rnacentral:lncRNA from 1 species
GGCAUUCUAUAUGUUGUAAAAUUUCACGAAUAGCAAAGUCUACUGCCAAAUCAUACAUUCUUUUUGGCGUAGGCAUUAUUUGGCCAUGCCUUUCUACAUCAAUCCCGCUAAAGCUCUUCGCAAUCACAACUUGGGGAAAUAAAGGUUCAAUUUCAUCCAUGUAAUGAGUCAUCAGUGUACUGAUUUGAUUCUCUAACUUAAAAGCAUCGAUCUCUUUCUUCUUUGAAGGUGCUUCCAUUUCUCUCACCACAUCAUUGAUCUUCAAAAUGUCCCGAACCCACUUAUAUUGAUUCCGCUUGUAGCUUUCUCCGUUCACCAAACUCAUAGGAGGAUAAGAUAUAAUAAGGCACACAAUAUCCUUCAUCCUGUUCAAUAUCUCAACACUCUGCUUGAUUCUUUCGUGGACAAUCCUGUCAUCUUCUAACUGUGUGGAAGGCCCAGUUAUAUUGAUUUUGCUUCUGCAGAAAUGGAAGGAAAAAACAUUAGAUUGAGUUCAACUAGAAAGCAAUUUCAGAUGACUAUUUGUAGUUAACCUCUUAUGAGUUGUGACAAGCAUGCACGGUAUGUACAAAUACAAGAUUGUUUGAGAAAAAUCUCGAGCAAAACAUAGUGGUAAAAGAAAUAUAGAAACCAUUUGCAGAUACAAUGAUACCCUUAAGUGAUUUUUAGAAGAAUUGCUUUCAAAAAUUGACUUUCUCAUACGACUCCAAGAUGAAUUCUUAAACCAAUGUUUGCUUAGUGUAGGGUGCCUUGGUGAGAAGGACCUCAAAUCCUAGAGUAUACUAAAAAGAUGUGGGGCCAUUUAUUUUUUAACAGAAAAUUUCUUUAUAUUUUUGUUUCCAAAAGCUUGCUUUUGAGAAGAGAAAGUCUGGUUUAUUUUGAGUGAUGUAUCAUAAUAAAUAUUAGGAAGUGGUGGUUGAUUAUAUUUAUUCGAGUUUCGAAAAGGAAUUAAGUGUUUAGGAAGCCUCACGGUUCAUUGGUUUUCUCACAAGUUACAAGUUGUUGGGUCACUCACAAAAUAUAUGAAAAUUGUUGUGUUAGUGGAAGCUUUAAUGCAAAUAAUAUUAGUUCAAGAACACAAAGAUAAAAAUAAUUGACAUAAAGAAAUACAAGGUUUUAAUAUAGUUCGAACAAUCAUGCCUAUAUCCACGGAUGAUAGAACAAGAUACAAAUGUUGGGUUCCCAAAAUAUCUCAUAUUUCCUCACUCCUUGUAUCAAUAUCCUAAACCACGAGUCCCUCACUCCAUUGAGUGUCAUCUAUUCUUUUUCACAUCUCUAUCCUCCUCCAAUAGUUUUUACAAGCUCAUCUCCAUUUCAUGAUUUUUCUCCUUAUGACUUGAGAUAUUUAUAGAGAUAUUCCUAAUAACUUUCCUUAUUAUAUAGAAAAUAUAAUAUUUAAAUAAGAAAAAAAAAUGGGUUUUGACUCACUAAUGUGUAAAAAUAUAAAAAAAAAAGCUUCAACUUUUAUAAAUGAGUUUUAUAUUCAUUUAUUUAAAAAUAUUUUAAAAUAUAUGCACUCUUUCAUAUCUUAAAUAAUUAUUUCCUAAAAUGACCCUAUUACUUGUGAUGUUAAUAACACCAAUCAACAAUUUUUUUUAUAGUAAGAAUCGAUUUGACAUUAAUAAAAUAAGAAAUUUUAUAAAUUAAAAAUACAAUUAAAAUAAAAUAAAAAAAACUUUAAAGCUAAAAAUAUAAAAAGAAAAUAUUAUGCUUCUUUAAAUUUUUUGGUUUUUAAUUGUAUUUAAUUAUUAUGUAUUUUAAUUUUAAUUGCAUUUUUUGUUUUAAAAUUUCUUAUUUUAUUGUUGAUAUCAACUAACAAAAUUUUUAUUCAAUUUUACUAAAAAAAAUAUGAGAAGACGAGGGGAUUUAUAUAAUAUAGGACAUAAAAUCAUUAUUAACUAUGGGAUUAGAAAGAUUAGAAAGAUUUUAUUUAUUGCUUGAGGAUGUUGGAGAAUUUUCCACAAUGAUUUGUAUCUCAUAUUAUAUAAUAAAAAAUUUAUAAUAUGUUUCAUUAUAAAACAUUUUUAUCAAAUUAAAAUGAUAAAUGAAUUUUGGAUAAUUUUAUUUAAUAUUAUAAAGUAAAAGGAUAUUUCAAGGAAUAAUUAUUUAACUUGUGAAAAAGUACAUGCAUUUUAAAAUAUUUUUAAAUGGAUGAAAAUAAAAUUGAUUUAUAAAAGUUGAGGUUUUUUUUAUAUUUUUUUAAAUCUCAAAACCUAUUUUUUCUUAAAUAACAUAUCAACUUAAAAAAUAUACUAUACAAUAUUUUAUACGAAAAGGAAUCUAUACUAAUUAGGAAUUAUCUAUACUAAUUAGGAAUUUGGGACACUUUCCAACCAUCUACACACUUUGGAUCAAAUUCCGUUAAGUCAAUCUAUCAUCUUUUUAUGACAAACACUUUUUUGUUUGUGUCACAUCCAUAAGAGAACAAUCGAAUCCACCUUCAACUAAAAUUCUUUUUGGCGUCAUCUUCUGUACUCUAUUCUCUUUGCCUUCUCCAGAAAUCUUCAACCCAAAACUCUUAUACCAAUUUAUUAUGUCAACAAAAGUUUUAAUGCAAACAAUGUUAGUUCAAGAACACAAAGAUAAAAGCAACAUUCCACACAAAGGAACACGAGGUUUUAACAUGGUUCGGCUAACCAUACCUACAUUCAUGGAUAAGGAAGAAUUAUUCUACUAUACCAUAAAGAAUAUUAUAAAUGAUAGAACCAUUCUACUACAUCAUAGAGAACAUUACAGAGGACAGAACCAAAUACAAAUAUUGAGUUCCGAAACAUCUUAUAUUUCCUCACUUCUUGUAUUAAUAUCCUGAACCAUAAGUCUCUCAUUCCAUUGGGUGUCUCUUAUUCUUUUUCACAUCUUUGUCCACCUCCCUCACUCCAUUGAGUGUUUCUUAUUCUUCCUCAUAUCUCUAUCCACCUUAUAUAGUCUUUACAAGCUCAUCUCCAUCUCAUAAUUUUUUCCCUCAUGACCUAGAAUAUUUAUGGAGACAUUCCUAAUAACUUUCUUUAUUUUAUAAGGAAAUUUAAUAUCGUAAUAAUAUAUCAACUUGAAAAAUAUUCUAUAUAAUAUUUUUUACAAAAAGAAAUCAAUAUUAAUUAGGAAUUUGAGACACUUUUUAAAAAAAAAAAUCAAUGUAAUGGUGUGAGUAUUUAUCCAAAGAAGCUAGUGUUAUUUUUACAAUGCAUGGGAUCGAAUGGAGACUAAGUGUGUUUGAGAGUGUGUCUAUUUAAACUCUUUUUAGUCAAAUUACUUUUACCAAAAAUGUUUUUAAGAUAAUUACUUAUCAAGUGUUUAUUUAAAAAACACUAUAAGUGAUUUUUUAACUUUAAAAAAAUUUCCAAACAACAGAUUUUUUUGUCAAAAAUACUUUUUAUGCUAGAAGUAUUCUAAAAAAGACAAGGAAUAAAAUAUUAAUGAAAAGAUGAGGAAAAUAUUAUAAGAUUUUAGUUUCCACGUAUGAAUACUUUUUAACAAUUUAAUUUUCUUUUCCUCAUAUUUUCCAUGGACAACCAAAUAAAAAAACAUUAUUUGAUUAAAAUGGAUGAAAUUAUCCACACUUUGUAAAACUAACCCUUCACCUAUUUUUCAACCUAAAAAAUGUUCAUUUUGGACAAAAAUACCCUCAUUUUUUUCUUACAAAAAUAACCUUUUUUUAAAACACACAUGUAAAUAAUAGAAGUGUUGAAGGGUAUUUAUAUCAAAAUUGGGUUACAAUUUAUGUUAAAAAAAAUGGGAGAAGUUAGUUUUAUAAAAUUGGGAUCUUUUCUCCCUAUUCUCUUUCAAUCUUUUUCCAACUAUCAAACAUAGCCCAAUGAUUCUAUAUUUUGUCAAUACUCUUAUUCACGUUUUCUUAAUAGUUUUGUUAUUAUUAAAUGCCACCUUGCUUCAAAAUUUAUGAUUUUAUAUAUGUUUACAUCUAUAUGAGUUCCCUUUCAAAGAAAAGCUGUUUAAAUGUCCACAUAUUUUAAUAUAAGAGCCAUUUGGUCUUGAUGGUUUGCAUCUCAAGUACAAUCAAGUAUAACUACAAAAUAUUUUAUUUCCUUCAUUAUUUUUUUAUAAUUAUAUUUUUAACUUUGAAAUAAUGAUUAUGAAUUUCACGAUGUCAAAAUAUUUGCAACAAAAAGACACCAACGUCCCUUGAUCAGGCAUAGGCAUGGACUGUGAACAGAGUACAGGGCUACUUGUGUUGGAACACAGGUUUCAGCAUUGGGUAGAAGUGGAUAUUGAACAUGUAGUUUGAUAUGCUUUAGUGGUUGGGACAAAUGUGCAUGUUAAUGAAUAGCAUGCACAGAACACCUCUUGACUUCCAUCACUCAGACCUCUCUUCCCACACUGCUAAGUGGUUAUCAUCCAAAUAAAGCUUAUACCUACCCUUACAAUCCUAAAAGCUAAUUCACUCCAAGACACAAACUUUAUGAAAGGGAACAGUGUCAAAUACCUCUCUAGUCCAUGUUUCAGAUCAUCUUUCAGAGCCUUCAACUUUCUAGCAAAGGACAAAACUGGAGAGACCUGUAAACUGAUAGCCUCCAAACUCAUGCACUGUAUGCACUCGAAGCCUACUGUUCUCCAACCUGAAAGAACAUCUCCAUCUCCAAAUCCUAGCCCCACCACAGUAAAAAGAAAUGAUCAGAAAGUGGUCUAAGAAAAAUGCACUAGGACACAUUUGGAAACGUUCCUCCCAAUCAACCGAAUGGAAAAAGUAAUCUAAGGAAAUAACAGAUGCAUAUCUCAGCCACAAGACCAAUUAAAAAGCCUCAUCCACUGUAGGAAUACUUAAAGCUAAACUCCUACAUAAUCAAAGAAAAACCCCUCAUUGGUGAAGAAAUCCUCUGAGAAUUACGAUUGUAAAAAAGGAACCGGACCACAUUACAUGUCUGUUGUGUUUAUCACUGCUUUAGUUAUAUCAAACCUUGAGUGAGAAUAGCAUCUUUUUUCAAAUGUGAGGGGAGGUCACUAUAAUUCUAACAACAAACCUCAAGGCAAGUUAGUGUUAUUUUCCCUAAAUAGGAUUGCAAUGAAAUAUGAAAGGCACAAGGUGCAGAAGACUCCUAGUGCCUAAACUGCAAGGGACAACACCCAAGGAGCACCAAAGAAAAAUGAAGCACAACCUAAGUUGCAGGUGUAAAUUUAUAAAAUAUUGUAAAUUUGGACAUGCAAACAUUUGUUAUGCACUCAUAUAUCAUCAAAUAUGACCAAAAAUUCCAUUCCGGGCAAUAAAAAAAAUGAAGAUUUCAAGCAUUUAAAGGAAGCAUCCAACCAAAAACAAUGUAAUAAUAUACAAUUUCAAUAUACAAUCAGAAAUUUCAUGAAUAAAGUGAAAAAAACACCAAAAACAAUAGAACUAAUUCUGCAUUGUUACUGUUUGGGUGCUCAGAAACUCAGAAACUAGAGAAAAACAUAAGCACCUUUUUGGUGCACAUGAAAUGUAGAACCCACUCAUGGUAAAUUUUCAGGGAAAGAAAUAGCCUUUUGCUUUCCUUUCCAAGAUGGAAAGGCUGAUCGUUAGAUGUAUCUCUUUCAAAUCUAAUGUAUAGGCUGGCUCGCAGCCAUGAACCCCUUUCCUUGAACCUAUGGUAGAGGGUGUCAACCCACAUCUCAACUGCCUAGGGGGACAUCAUCUUUCCUUGGCCAAUUUCUCGAGCUAUAAGAGUGACCUUAUCUCCUUAGAUCAUCACCAAAAGUUUCCACUAGGUACAAGUUCUCGAUGUUGUCAUGCCUUUACAAGUCAAAGAAAGGUGUAAGGGUCCUAUUUAACAAUACGAACACAAUGGUUACGUGAUAGGAUUAACCUCCCAUCACCAAGUUCCUAGGAGUUGGAUGGAUUUAAGGGUCUUAGUUUGAUGAAUGGAAUUCAAGGCUUGCUAAGACAGGAAUAAAAUAAACCCGUGUCAAAAUCAUCUUGACCAUUAGAAGGAAAGAAAAAUUCACCAAUGUAGAAAGGACCCAUGUCGGUGCUAAUGAACCGACUAACGAAUCCAACACAUCAUUAAUGAACACCUUGCUCUACGAAUGCACACUUAACAAAAAGGUUGAUCAUCGAUCACCAAAGAUUGCUCUUCAUAGAACUUACUCACCAUCUAGACUGUUCAAGAUUCUUUUCGAAUCUCGACCUUUGCCCCCUGAUGAAUGGCAUAUUCUCCAACCCCAUUCUCCUCUCUCAAACUACAUCAAUCUCCCCUCAAACAAAAACCCUUCACUCUCCACUCAGUGGACAUCCUCUCCUAUUAAUAACAAACACUACAUUGGCAAUCAUCUUUUCACGUGCAUUGCUCCUCCAACACUAACUAAUAUUAGUAAACACGGAAAAAAAAGAUGCAUGACAUUUAGUGCUAGUAAAGAGGAAAAAAAAGAAUAUGAUACUACUAAAGCAAAGCCAGUAAGUUACUGAUGUGGGCACUCCAUUCCUAGAACCAGACUCAGGACAUGAGAAGAAAGACAAAAUUACCCUUGAUAUAAAAAAUGAACAACAAAUAGAGGGUCAAACCUGUCUCUACACUAUGAGAAUUGUCCCCUCCAUCAGAAACAUGGGGUGCCCAGAUUAUUAACCCUAAUCCUCUAGAGCUUAAAAUCAUAAUUUCCUUUUAAAAAGAACUCACUUGUAGUCGCAGACCAUAAGCAGACCUCCAUCUUUGCAGACAAAGCAGUAGUCUUCUGCAAUCUCUUCUUUCUUUAUCUUACUCCUCCUCAUCCUUUAAGCUUUAAUCGUCACAACCAAACGCAACCCUAGGUCUUAAACCCACGAAGAAAAACCCUACCAAAACGAGAAAAACACUGUAAAACUACCUCUAUAUUGCUUCAUUUCAGAAAUUAUCAAAGACCCAUUUCUAGAAAAAGGCAAAAACAUACCUCCAAACUCUGAAAUUCAACAAAGGGCAUUGACAGCGAUCCCAAGAGACCCACUUCAGAAAAAUGGAAAAAGAACGCCCUCAAAGCUUUAGACAAGCAAGAACUCAACUACUGCAACAGAAAAGAUUAAAGUAACAGGUUUUUUUUGUUUGGUUUCAGAGAAAAAACUCAGUAAAGUGAGAAUGCGAGUGGGACAGAUGUUGAAGAUGGGUAGAAAAAAUUUCUCGGAAUUUUCCAUAAAUAAGAAAGGAAUCGGAUUAUUAUGGAAGAGAUCCAUCUCAUAAAGUGCUCUUUAUUAAGCCUUCUAAUUUCUAAGAGUUUCUUUCUUCAGCAAAUCUAUAAAAAAGAAUAAAUAAAUAAAUAAUACAUAUAUUUUCAUGCCUUUUAAAAAAUAUUAUAAAUAAAUAAUUUUGAUCCAUGGGGUUAAUUAUUCUUUAGAAGUAUUUUUUUCUUUAGAAAAUAAAAAAUAAAUAAAAAUAUUAAAUUUGAUUUUUAAGAAAGUAGUAUAAAUAAAUAAAUAAAAAGUUACUUAAUUGUUUGUAAUUUUUUAUUAUUUUUUAAUUAAAAUUGUUUUUUAAGAUAUUGUUUUAUAAAGUGAUAAGCAUUUUUAAAUAAAAAAUUUGUUUCAAAUUUAAGAAAGUAAAUCUUUUUUUUUUCAAAAUUAAAAAAAUUAAAUAAUAUCCAAACUUUUUGUAAGUUUUCAAGUUGUAGAGUGGAUUUAAAAAAAAAGAGAAUAUAAAGUAAAAGAGAAUUUGUACUUUUAAAAUAAAUAGUAUAAAUAUUGUGUAUUGUGUAUCACUUUAAAUUGGAAGGAAUUUAAGGAUUAAAAUAAAAUGAACAUUUUUAUGUUAAAUUCUUUAAAAAUUCUACUUUCCUUAUUGGAAGAGCGAGGUUUUUGGGUAUGGAAAAUUUUCAAUUUGAUAAAAAAAAUCCUAUCGGCCGUCUCGACACAAUAUACCGAUUAUAAUUACAAUAUGCCGAUUAUAAUUUUCGAAAAUUUUUACCGAUUUUUUAUGGAAAUUUCCCGCCCGCGCAAUACAAAAUCUGUCCAACAGUCAGACGGAAAUUUCGGUAAAUUUUCGAACAUAUCACCGAUAUUUCGAUAUUUUUACCGAUUUUUCGGGAAAUUUCCCAACCAGUCCAGCCCGCGCAGGAUACAAAAUCUGUCCUUUUUAAAAAAAAAAAAAACACAUAAGAUGUUAUUUGGUAAUCUGAUGAUGAUUUGCAGGCAAAGGUUGUGUUUUUCAGCCUGGCUCAAAAAUCGUGGAUUUAGGGUUCGUGAAAUUUAAAUCCAAUGGCACAACAGCAAAGAGACCCCUAGAACAUAUCCAGAAAACACAGGGAGCCAAAAAAAAGCAAUUUUUUUGGUUUUUCAGGGGUUUUGCAUGGAUUUUCUCGGAAAUCAAACGAGGAUGAAUUUUCCCGGAAAUCGAAUGGGGGAUGGAUUUUCUGGGGAAUCAAACGGGGUUGAAAAAAAAUAAUAAUAACAUGAUUAGAUUAGUACCUGCUAGGAUUGAGAGUGGCAGAGGAAAAUAGGGCCUUUUUAGGGAUUCUCUUUGGAGGGCAACUUCUUGAAAAAAUAAGGACUUCUUGAUGCCCGACUGAGAGAAGUGGGUGGCCCUUUUUAUUGUUAGAUUAAGUAGAGAUCAAAAAGGAAACAAAUCAUGAGAACAAUUUUCAAUUAUUAAUUAUUGUAGACCCCCAUUUUGGGAGCACUUUCUUUUUAAUCUCUGAUUGGCUUUCAAAAACACUGUUCUGAUUCCAUGAUAGCCAAUCAGGGAUUGACACGUGGCAAGGAGGAAUCUGCAAAAGCUGCAGGUUGUUGAGGGGAGCAGAGGAGAGAGUGCUUUUGGCUGCCAGCUGCAUGGUAGUGGGGACGGUACCUGGGGCUGCAGGGAGGAGCGUUUUUGGAGAGCAAGCCGUUGGAGAUAUUUUGGGUAGACGAGAUGAUGCUUUUUGGGCGGCCAGCUGCAUGGUAGUGAUGCAGGGGAGGUACGUUUCGGUGAGAUAGGGGGAUUUUCCAUUGAUGAGAGGGGGGGGAGCUUCCUUUCCAGUUUUUUUUGAGAGAAGAUAUUUUGAAGGGGUUCCAGGGAGUUUUUCCAUGAGAGAUGGUGCUUUUGAGAGGAGAACGAGAGAGAGAGAACAGGGAGGUUUGAGGUUGGAGCAGAGAGGUGAGUUUCUGGAGAGCUUAGAGAGACAUUCUAGGGGAGCAAGCUGGAGAUGGAAGGGAAAAAGAUAUUUUGAGAGAGCUUUUGUUUGGGUUGUUUUUGGGAGGAAAUGAGCUGAGAGAAACGGAAGAGAUUUCUGGAGAGAGCAGGGGGAGCGUAUGAGAGAGGGAGACGACUUUUUCAGAAGGGGAGAGAUUUUAGAGCUAGAGGAGGUUAUUCUGGGGAGGGUGAGAGAAGAUAUGGAUUUUUGAGAGAAAUGAGAGAAUAUCCUUUCAGCUGAGGAAGGUAGCAGGCUGUUUGGUUUGGGAAGGACUUACAGAGGAGUUUAUUCAGCUGCGGGGAAAGAGGACUUUGGAGGGAUUCGGGCAGAGGUGGUUUGCCUUUUGGAGGCUGCUGGUGAGAGAGCAGAGUGGCAAGCUUGCCGGUUUAGUCGGCAUUGGAGGAGGACUUAAGGCGUUUACAGCUGAACAGAGCCUUACUGGAAAAGGUUCUCUCAGGUAUGAAUGCAACUGACUUAUUGUUUGAUUUGGAUUCUUAUUACUCCUCUACGUUUCCUAUUGAUGUUUGAGUGAUUGUUGGUUUGCUUGGGGUGGAUAAUGAAGGCCACUUAUUACUUGUUGAGAUAUCAUCCUGAAUUCAUGCUUGUUUUUGUUAAUCUUGGUGUGCCAUGUCUCUGUUAUGAAAUACCCAAGAAUCCUUCCAAUAUUUGCAUUUAGUGCUAUUUUUCUCACCUAAGAAGAAGGUUCACUGAUAACUCAUGAAGUGGAGCCUCAUUUGAUGACAUCUUUAUUUUGUUUUCUUUUAUGCUCUGUUUCCAUGGUUUCUUCCUUCUUGUGGCUCUUAUCUAAAUGCAUGGGAUGUGAGGAAAAGACUCGGAUCUGGUUAUGAGCUCCAAUAAGGAUACAUGUCCUCAGGCUGAAGCUGUUAUCAAAGAGCAGGCGGGUCAGACUUCUGUAUAAGCUCCGCGAGAAAUCCUUGGGAAAUGGUCUGGGAAGGUCUCUCGUGAAGCUAUGUUAAGUUGGCCAGAAGAGCAUUUCUAUGUUUCAACAACUCCAAGUCCUAUCAGUGUUAGUUUUGAAGGUGGUUAUUAUAGUGAGAAUGGACUAUGGUUUGGUGAGUAGGGUUUUGCUAUGGGAGGUCAAAGACUCAGUUGAUUAAAUGGUCAGCUUUCAGGAUUAGCUACUGCCUCAUUUGUUUGUAAAAGAGGUGUCCAAAGAGUUUUCUUCCUAGAUGGCAGCAUUACGAAACACUUGUCUGCUUGACAGUUGGAAUGGUGGCACCCAGAUUCCAGCUACACUUUCUUUUAUCCCUGGCUUCUUUAGUUACUCUUGGUCAUGCAUGCCAAUCAUGGCUUCUUUAUGGACCCUGAGGCAGUGGUGGUGUUGAUACUUUUCUUGGCCACAGAUUUGGUUCUCAUUAUUCUGGAGAGAUGUCUCCAAUCGUCCUUGGAAUCCUCUACCUAAGAAUGCAUCGGGAUGUUAGAGAUGCCAUGUUCAUGGCAUGCCGUUGUCUUCUCCCUUCUAAUGUGGUCUAUUAGAGAUUUUGUUAACUGUGGGCUAUUCAAGGAGACUGGAGGAAUUGAAGAAAGUCGGAUAUGGGACGAGAUGCAGACAAAUUUUCUCUUGCUGCCAUAAGGGUUUAAAUUAAGAUUGCAGUUUUCACUGGGCACCUCGUUCAUUUAGAUAUCCGAGAAUUAACUUUGGUUCAAUCUUUGGCUAAUGAUCAUGUUGUUGUUAAUGGUAUUGGAAUCAUAAUUGGUGAAGACUUUACAGAAACCGUUGGAUCACGCUACAAUCUUCAUCAGUGAGCUUGUGAUAUCAAAAUCUCCGGUGGCGACCAUGGCUCCGAUUGCAGUUGGCGACGUUAUUCCGGAAGGGAUUCUGACUUAUUUCGAUGAGCAAGAUCAGCUCCAGUAGGCUUCAGUGUACCCCCUGGCUACCGACAGGAAGGUCAUCAUUUUCGGUGUUCCCGGUGCUUUCACUCCCACUUGCAGCUUGAAGCACGUGCCAGGCUUCAUUGAGAAGGAAGGAGAGAUGAAAUAAAAAGACAUUGAUGAAAUUCUGCUCGUUAGCGUUAAUGACCCCUUGGUGAUGAAGGCAUGGGCAAAGAGCUUACCCUGAUGACAAGGAUGUGAAGUUCCGGGCUGAUGGCUCAGCAACAUACAUGCAUGCGCUUGGCCUGGAGCUUGAUCUUUCAGAGAAAGGCCUUGGCACUCAGUCCAAGAGGUUUGCCCUCUUGGUGGAUGACCUUAAGGUGAAGGUUACAAACAAUCAGAUUUAGCAAGCCAAUGCAUUCAUAAGAGUUUGAUGCCGGUGCAGCCACCAACAGUUUAAGAGACACACUUAAUUUGUCUCCUAGAAAGAGCAAGCAAAGCCGUCCUUGAACGACGCCGGCGGCGAAAUGCCUCCGCCAUCACCAGAACGUCAAGCAACCAUUGAAGCUCUUCCACUUUCCCUCUCCACCGUCUGAUGGCCGCGAUCUUUUUCCUGGAUCCCACUUCCAGUGCUCCGCUGCUGUGCCGGGUCAAGAUCUCCUUUGCCGACAACGUCCCUCUGCUUCGACAAGCUUCCAGAAACACCGCCCGGAAUGUGGUGCACUUGGACCCGCCGUGUCACAAUGCCAGGUGUAAUUGAUAAUGCUGAUAGUGACAGUGACCUGGAAGUAGUUGCAGAUUUCUUUACUGUCAAUCUACGAUGUCCUAUGAGUGGUUCAAGCAUGAAGGUUGCUGGAAGAUUCAAACCUUGUGCUCACAUGGGCCGUUCUGAUCUUGAAAUUUUUGUGGAAAUGAACCAACGUUCUAGGAAGUGGCAAUAUCCCAUUUGUAUCAAGAAAUAUUCUCUAGAGAAUGUUAUCAUUGGUCCGUAUUUUCAAUCGCAUGACAUCCUCGAUGCAGUCUUGUGGGGAAGAUGUAACUGAGAUACAAGUGAAGCCUGAUGGUUGUUGGCGUGUAAAGCCUAAGAAUGAACGUGGGAUUCUAGCACAAUGGCACAAUGCUGAUGGUACUCUCUGUCCCCUUGUUGAGGGAGAAUUUAAACCAAAGAUGGAUGUGAUCUCCACAGUCGGCUGCAUGGGAGGUCUUGAGGGAACACCCAAUCAAACCUCAUUGGUGGAGGCCUUGCAUGGUGGCCAUGUCACUUUAAGAUAUUGGAAGCGAACUUCGAGGAAGAAAUGAAGCAAAUUACUAAGUCUAUCAAAGGAGAGGCAAACAUGCUCUUCUCUCAGCCAUCAACUAAGAAGGUUGAAGAUCUUGCACGCUUAUCAUUCCAGACAACUCCUGUCUAUAUUGAUGUGGAUGAUGGGAGGACAAAGGUCACUAAUAAAGGGCUGCAGCGAGGGUAUUGUGUUGUGCCAAGUGCCAAGGAAUCCGUUCUUCUGUAUUCUUUCUUGAAGAAGAAUCUGACAAAGAAAGUGAUGGUUUUCUUCUCUUCAUGUAACUCGGUGAAGUAACAUUCAGAACUUCUCAGAUACAUUCAGGUAGAUUGCCUUGAUAUUCAUGGGAAGCAAAAGCAGCAGAAGCGGACCUCCACUUUCUUUGAUUUCUGUAAAGUCGAGAAAGGCAUCUUGUUAUGUAUUGAUGUUGCUGUUCGUGGUCUUGGCAUCCCCGAUGUGGACUGGAUGCGUCAAAAGGUGAGUAAGGUAAAAUAAGACCGUGGGACCCACUCUUGCAUGACAUGCAUGGUCACCUCUGGGCCACAUGCCACCUACUGUUCCAUCACCUUUGAUUUUGAAAAUGAUUUCUCAAAUCCCCUUUUUGUAAAUAUCCUUCUCUAAUUCUGAUUUUUCUAAUAAUCCCAAUUUUCUCAUCUUUCAUCCUUAGAAUUUUUAGGAUCGCCCAAGAGUCUCAUUUUCAAUAAAAUUUGCUUCUACUUUCCAUUCGGUAAGCAAUUUUCAAAUAUUUCAUGAUCUUUUAAAAUGUUUUAAAAAUAAGUAAGAAUUAAAUUCUGUAAUUCCAAGUGAUGGAAUUUAUGGAAUUGAUUCAUGCAAAAUAAAUGGGCUUUGGUGGGGGCCCAACAUCAAAUAAAAUUUCUUUAAAAUAAAAAUGAAUUUUGAGUGGAGUGCCAUGCGUGCCUUUGAUGAUUUUGUACUCGAUUUAGUGACAUGUGAGCUAUGUUUAUGCUCUUUAUUUUGCACUAACCCUCUCUCUUGAUAGCGCAUAGUGGUUCGCUGCUCAGGUACACACUCAUUCCUACUCUGUUUAGUCUGUGUGCAUUUUCUGACUCCCGUAUGUGCAUGUUUCGCUCUGAGUAUUCAUUGAUUUUCUCAUUGAUUGCCAUGUUAGCUUCAUUCUAUUAGUAGAGACCCGACUUUAGGGACUUAGAGGGGUGCUACGGUGUUUACCGUACCUUCCCGAUAAGUAACCUGACCCCCGAACCCAAUCCGGUUUUUCACAGACCACCUUUUCCAAAACAAGGAGUCACACUUAGGGUUUUUCUUUCUUAUUUUGUUUACCCUUUAAAAAUAAAACAAAAAUAAGUGGCGACUCCAAGUCAUUUUCAAAUAAUCAAAUAAAAUCAAUUUUUCAAAUAAAAAUCGAGUUUCGCCAUCGAGUGGGAAACGCAUUGAGCCGAAAUGCGGGGUCCACAAUUAUCCAUCUUUAUUUUGAUUAAAUCACUACCAUUGGAAAUUUCGAUUUUUAAAGAUGAUAUUUUAUAAAUUAAAAUUAAUUUAAUAAUAUAAAUUAUUAAUAAUUUUAAUUAUUUAAAUAAAUUAAUGUUAAUAAAAAAAAAGUUGUUACCGCAUAUUUUUAAUAAAAUUUAAUAAAUUAAAUCUUAAAUAAAAUAUUUUAUAUAAAUUAAUUUAUUUUUUCAUUUAAAAGGUAAUAAAACAUGUUUUAAUAAAAAAUUUUUAAAAUUUUUUAAAUAAAUAUUAUUUUCAACAAAAUGGACUCCCUUUAUUUAACAAUAUAAUAAAAUCACAUCGAUCUUCAUUUUGAUACUAAGGAUUAUUGUAAUGUCAUAUGUAUUAUAUUUAUGUAUAAAUUAUUUUUAUUCAAUAAAAUUAAAUAUUUUUUUAACUCAAUUAUAACUUUAUACACUUUCAAAAUUCAUAUUUAUUAUUCUUAAAAUUCAAAUAUCGAAUCUACCGAUAUAUCUCUAUCAUGAUGUUUUUCUUCUUGAUCAUAUUUAUGUCAAUUAUAAUUACAAAAUAACUUUAAAAUGUGUAUUCUUACUUAUUUUUGUUGAGAUUUAAUACGGAAAUUAACACACAAUAAUCCAGAUCAUUGAAUUCAAACUCAUCUCUGAUAAUAAAAUAAUAAAAAACAUUAAUUAAAAAUAAAUUACAUAUCGUUUGAAGAACACGCAACUAUGAGAGAUUUCCCUUCAGUUUAUAGAUCUUAAAUCCUUGAUCUCUUCUUCUCCUUAUCAAACCUUAAUACACAGAAUUGUUUUCUGUAAUUGAUGGAAGAGAGCACACACCGCACAUGAAGGGGUUUCUGUAUAUAUAUCUUAUUGAUAGGAGAAGAGGACCAAGAAUACACGUUCAAAAACCGUUCUAAACAUGUUAUUCGAAUAACUGUUUUUAUUCUAAAUAAUAAUUUAAAAUUAUUAUAAUUUACCUACUCCAUCAAAGGUAAAUAUCUUUAUAACAGUUUAAAGAUAUUGGGUAUUCUUUUAAUUGGCUAAAUACUAGGUUAGUGGUCCAGCCACUUAAUUUUAAUGUGGAAAUAACAUUCUCCCACUUGGCCCACUAAACCGAUUAUGAAAACUAUAAUAUAUAUAGUUUAUAUAUAAAAUAUAUACUGGAAAAUAAAUUUGACACGUGAUCACGAUUUCAAUAAACUUAGCCAAUACGUCCAAAAUCAUAUACCAUAAUACUGAAUAGUUUAGAUCAUAAAUGCGAGUCAUGGCGGUCACAUGACCAUAAUGUCAUGUUUCCUUCCAUGCACCACACAUCAAUAACCCUUACUAACCCAGUCCUUAAUGCCAAAUAGCCCCUGUAAUUUGUCUUGUCAGGACAAUUCUUGUUUAUCAAACAAUAAAACAUGCACCCAUAAUUGAAAACAAGAAUAAACAGAAACAAUUUUAAUGCGCAAAUUGUCAAUUACAUAACCACCAUUCAUUAUCAUACAUAUUAUGGAUUACUCAAAAGGCCCAUCCUCAUAACAUGUUCCAAAUAUGCCUUUGGAGGUAAUCCUUUAGUUAAUGGAUCAGCAACCAUAAGUGUGGUCCUAAUAUUUUCAAUUGACACUUGUUGUUUUUGGACUCUUUCUUUAACAACUAAAUACUUUAAAUCCAUGUGUUUCGAUCCACUAGAAAAUUUGCCAUUCUUAGAGAAGAAAACAGUUGCGGUGUUAUCACAAAAUAUUCUCAAAGGCUUAGCAAUAGAGUCGACAACACCAAGCCCUGAGAUAAAAUUUCGCAACCAUAAAGCAUGACUUGAAGCUUCAAAACAAGCAACAAACUCGGCCUCCAUCGUGGAUGAAGCAGUAAUUGAUUGUUUUUCACUCUUCCACAAGAUUGCCCCAUUUGCUAGCAUAAAGACAAAUCCUGAAGUUGACUUUAAGCUAUCGAGACAACCACCAUAAUUAGAAUCCGAGUAACCGACAACCUCUAAUUGUUCUGAUCUUUUAUAUGUGAGCAUAUAAUCCUUUGUCCCUUGUAAGUACCUCAUCACCUUCUUUGCAGCUUUCCAGUGUUCGAAUCCUGGAUCACUUUGGUAUCUUCCUAACAUACCUACAACAAAGCUGAUAUCCGGUCUUGUACAUGUUUGAGCGUACAUCAAACUCCCCACAGCUGAUGCAUAAGGAAUUUUCUUCAUUUGCUCCCUUUCCAUGUUAUUCCUUGGGCACUGCAUUUUACUUAAUUUGUCACCUUUCAAUAUAGGUGCAAUACCCGAUGAACAUGACUGCAUAUUAAAUCUCUCUAAAACCCGAUCAAUAUAUCCUUUCUGAGAUAAACCUAGCACUCCUCGAGAUCAAUCCCUAAAGAUCUCGAUGCCAAUAACAUAGUUUGCCUCACCCAUAUCAACCAUAUGAAAGUUUUUAGAGAGAUAUUCCUUGGUUUCACAUAAUAAACCAAGAUCACUACUAGCAAGCAAAAUAUCAUCCACAUACAGUAUCAAAAAUAUAAACUUGCUCCCACUAACUUUCAGAUAUAUACACUGAUCACAUUUUCUCUUUAAAUCCGAAAGAUGUAAUGGUAUUAUUGAAUUUAAUAUACCAUUGUCUGGAAGCUUGUUUAAGACCGUAAAUGGAUUUCUUUAAUUUGCAAACUAGGUGUUCAUUUCCUUUCUUUGUGAACCCUUCAGGUUGUUCCAUGUAGAUAUCUUCAUCCAAAUUCCCAUUUAAGAAUGCAGUUUUCACAUCCAUUUGAUGUAACUCUAAAUCAAAAUGAGCUACAAGUGCCAUGACGAUUCUAAGCGAAUCUUUCUUGGAAACCGGAGAGAAGGUAUCUUUGUAAUCGAUACCUUCCUUUUGAGUGAAACCUUUAGCCACAAGUCUGGCCUUAAAUCGUUCGAUAUUGCCUUUAGCGUCGCGCUUUGUCUUAAAGAUCCAUUUACAGCCGACGAGUUUACAACUAUUAGGCAAUUCGAUGAGAUCCCAGACACUGUUAUGGGCCAUAGAUUUCAACUCUUCAUUCAUAGCUUCCAUCCAUUUACUAGAAACAUCACUUUCCAUGGCUUGUGAAAAUGAAAUCGGAUCCUUCCUUAUCCCAAUAUCAAAAUCAGAUUCCUGUAGAUACACCACAUAAUCAUCUGUAAUGGCAGGUCUCCUUUCUCUUUGAGAUCUCCUCAAAGGUGUCGGUUGUGGUGGCUCUACAACAUUUUCAAUGGCAAUAUUUUCUGGUGGUAAUGAACCAUCUCUAUUAUGUUGCUCAUUUUCCUCAACUUGUUGAACAGGUUGAGGGACAAUAAUUUCUUGAGGUAAAAAAGGUGGUGGGAUAUCCACUCUUAUCUCCUCAAUAUCUACCUUUCUUGGUUCAUUACUCCCACUGAUUUCGCCAUUCUCUAAGAAUCUGGCAUUACCGGUUUCAACUAUUCUCACAUUGUGGUUAGGACAAUAAAAUCUGUACCCUUUCGAUUUAUUCGGAUAGCCAAUGAAAUAUCCAGAUAUCGUUCUUGAAUCAAGCUUUUUCUCAUAUGGGUUAUAGAUUCUUGCCUCCGCUGGACAACCCCAUAUAUGUAUAUGUCUCAAGCUAGGUUUCCUACCAGUCCAUAACUCGAAAGGAUUUUUUGGAACUGCCUUACUAGGAACUCUGUUCAAGAUAUACAUUGCGGUUUUUAAGGCUUCACCCCACAAUGAAAUAGGUACAGAAGAGUAACUCAUCAUACUCCUAACCAUUUCCAUUAAUGUGCGAUUACGCCUUUCAGCAACACCAUUCUGCUGUGGCGUACCAGGCAUUGUGAACUGAGCACGAAUGCCAAGCUUUUCAAGGAAUUUGGCAAAAGGACCAGGAUUUUGUCCUGAUUCAUCAUAUCUGCCAUAAUAUUCACCGCCUCGAUCUGAUCUCACAAUUUUAAUCUUUUUAUCUAAUUGUCUCUCGACCUCUAUUAUGAACAUCUCGAAGAUGUCAAUGGCCUGAGACUUUUCAUGCAUUAGAUAAACAUAACCAUAACGAGAUAGAUCAUCUAUAAAGGUGAUAAAAUAUUUAUCUCCUGUAAAACAUGGAACAGAGAGUGGUCCACAAAUAUCUGUAUGAAUUAUCUCAAGGAGCUCAUUAGUUCUUGUGACACCUUUCUUUGUAUGUUUAGUUUGCUUUCCCUUUAUGCAAUCCAUGCAUACAUGAAAAUCAGUGAAGUCAAGAUUUUAUAAAAUUCCUUCCUUCACUAAUCUCUCAAUUCUUUCCCUAGAGAUGUGCCCUAGUCUUCUGUGCCAUAAGAUUGAAGAAUUUUCAUUAAUUAAGCCACGUUUUGAACCAGCAUUUGAAUGCAGGGUUAUCAAAGCUUGUGCAAAUUCAUGAUUCAAGGAAAUUUUAUAUAAACCAUCACAUAAAAUACCAGAACCAACUGUAACAGAAUUUAACGUCAAACUUAGUUGUCCAGAACUGAAUAAAACAGAAUAUCUAGUAGCAUCUAAUUUAGACAAGGAAACUAAAUUCCUAGAGAUAGAAGGUACAUAAAAAGUGUUUAAAAGAUCCAUCUGAUGACUCGUCUCUAAUAGUAAGCGAUAGGUACCAACAGCUACCACUUCAACCUUGGGACGGUUUCCCAUAUAGAGGAACUUUUCACUUUCCUUUGGUUUCCUGGUUGUAAGGAAUCCCUGCAUUAAAUUAGUCACAUGAGUUGUGGCUCCAGAAUCAAUCCACCAAGUAUUUGAAGGAACUUCAACAAGAUUGGAUUCAUAACAUACAAAAGAAAGAUUUAUACCUCUCUUUUCGAACCAAGCCUUGCGCUUGAUACAAUCCUUCUUCACAUGCCCUUUCUUGCCACAAAAGUAGCAACUUACCGUGAAUUUUCCAUCAUGAUUCUGGCUACCUUCCCCAAGUCCGCUUUUCUUAGGUGGAAAGUUCCUUCAUUUUUUGAAUUUUCCUUUCUUCUUCGUGACUCCAUGAGUUACAGCAAGAGCAAGAUUAUGUCCUUCUUGUCUUAAUCUCACUUCCUCUUGUAUACAUUUACUGGUGAGCUCAUUCAAGUUCCACUGAUCAUUAUUAGUAUUAUAGUGGAUUUUGAAUGGAGCAAACUGUGAUGGAAGUGAGUUAAGGACAAACUGUACCAAAAAGGACUCAUCCAUACCCAUGCCUAGUGCCUUAAGCUUUGCAGCCUUUUUAGUCAUGUUUAAAAUAUGUUGCUGAAUACCUUUCUGACCAUCAUAUUUCAUGGUGGUCAAUUCAGCCAUCAAUGUGCCUGCAAGGGACUUAUCAGAGCGUUUGAAGCGCUCUUCAACAAAUUUCAGAAAUUUCGAGGCAAACUCGGUUUGAGGGAGAGAGGUCUUGAUAUUAUUGGCAAUAGUCAUUCUCAUAAACAUCAGACUGAGUCUGUUGGAUCUUGCCCAGGCUUUUGAUUGUUCCACUUGCUCCGGAGUAUUGUCAUCCGUAGCUUCAGGAGGUUUAUCCGUUAUUAAAGCCAGGUCAAGAUCCAAUACGCCCAGUGAGAAUUGAACCCUUUCAUACCAUUCAGAAAAGUUCGACCCAUCAAAAACAGUCAUUCCAGAUGCAAGAGAGUGUAAUGAAGUGGGAACUAUACAAAAUAGAACAAUGCUCACAAUAAGGCCUCAAGUAUAAAAUAAAUAGUAAUGAACUAUUGAUAUCAUUAAAAUUCUCCUUUGGGUAAAUUUUAACAUAUCCAGUGUUCACUUGGAGGGAGCUUAAAACACUUUACUAUUUUGUGUCAUUUAUAUGUUACCUUUGGGUAUCCAUUUUACCUUUCUAAGCAACACAAAAUAAAAACAUUAAUUAAUAAUUAGCAGAAAUUGACUCUCCUUUGGGUUAGUCUCAUUCUCCUAAUUAUAAAGAGAAUUAUUAAGAAUUUUACAAGUCUCCCUUUAUUCUUUUAUGCAAUUCAAUAAAUACAAGGCUCACUAAUUUAGGUUACUUUGGCAACUAUCUAAAUUAGUUAACCUUACAUUUAUAAAUUUUCAUUUGGAUAAAAUUUCACAAGAUGAAAUUAAUUCUUUUAUUUGAGUUAAAAAAAAAAAUCAAGGAAAUAGUAUCUUUAAUAAUCAUCUCAUUCCACCCGGACGGGAAUCCCUCAUUCCACCCGGAUGGGAAUCCGGCACCCUUGUCACCGGAUGGGAUAGGAGGACGCUUCAACUUCCCCGGGCAGACAUGUCCGGAUCCUUCGGUAACGCCUAUCUGGAGUGCGCGCUUGACUUGUCUGCGAUCCCCAUACUUAGCUCCUGGGGUUUGAACCACCAAACCUCCAGACUUUCCUUGCUUUCUGCCUAGGCUCUCAAGGGUGCAAGGUCUACCCAUGAGACCUAAUUCUUCGGGUCUGAAUCAAGUGGCUAAGGGGCUGACAAACCAAACGACCAGCAAUGGCGCUUGAAAUGGCACCUGAAAAUGGCCAGCAAUGGCGCCUGAAAAUGGCCAGCAAUGGCGCCUGAAAACGGCCACCGGACUGACGCCAAACCAGCGCCCCUCACCGGCAUUGAUCCAGUCAACGUUGCAAGGAAAAAUAAAAAUCUUCCUUCUACGCUUUGAGGCUGGUCUUUACUUUGUUUAAUUAAUUUUUUUUUAUUCAUUUUAGUGAGACGAAUUAAUCAAAGAUAAAUCUAAAAAAUUAAUCUUUAUAAAACAAUGAUUCUGAAUAUUUAAAUUCAACCUUGCUCUGAUACCAAUUGUUGAGAUUUAAUACGGAAAUUAACACACAAUAAUCCAGAUCAUUGAAUUCAAACUCAUCUCUAAUAAUAAAAUAAUAAAAAACAUUAAUUAAAAAUAAAUUACAUACCGUUUGAAGAGCACAUAACCAUGAGAGAUUUCCCUUCAGUUUAUAGAUCUUAAAUCCUUGAUCUCUUCUUCUCCUUAUCAAACCUUAAUACACAGAAUUGUUUUCUGUAAUUGAUGGAAGAGAGCACACACCGCACAUGAAGGGGUUUCUGUAUAUAUAUCUUAUUGAUAGGAGAAGAGGACCAAGAAUACACGUUCAAAAACCGUUCUAAAGGUGUUAUUCGAAUAACUGUUUUUAUUCUAAACAAUAAUUUAAAAUUAUUAUAAUUUACCCAUUCCAUCAAAGGUAAAUAUCUUUAUAACAGUUUAAAGAUAUUGGGUAUUCUUUUAAUUGGCUAAAUACUAAGUUAGUGGUCCAGCCACUUAAUUUUAAUGUGGAAAUAACAAUUUUAUCAUUUUUUUUAGUUUUUUCAAAUAUUCUUAUGAAUUUUAAAUAAUUUUCGCUCCAUCGAUAUUUGUGAAAAAAAUAUCAACCGAUAUUUUUAUGAUAUUUUGAUAUUUUUAUGAUAUUUCCUAUUAAAAUCGAAGUACCAAUAUAUUUGUAAAAUCCGAUUUUUCAAUCCAUGAGUAUGACUUUGUCCCUUUCUGCCUUGAUUAUAUGUAAUUUUAAAUAAAAAUUUAAAUGGGCCUAGUGAGGUUGGUAUGAGAAUUUUUCAUAUUUGCUCCACCCCAUCCCUCAUUAUUUAAUAUUUUUUUUAGCUUGUGCUGAUAAUAUAUAUAAAUAAAUGAGAUAAGUUGGGAUAGGGUUGAGUCGUCCUAAACUCUCCACUGUCAUCCAUAUUCUCAUCUUCUUUCUUUACCAACACACCAAAAAACCCUAACCUUAAUUUAAUAUGCCAAUUUUUCAUAUUUGUUCCACCCCAUCCCUCUUUAUUUAAUAUUUUUUUUAGCUGUGACGAUAAUAUAUAUAAAUAAAUGAGAUAAGUUGGGAUAGGGUUGAGCCGUUAUAAACUCUCCACUGUCAUCGAUAUUCUCAUAUUCUUUUUUUACCAACACACCAAAAAACCCUAACCUUAAUUUAAUAUGCCUAUUUUGUUUUUCAAGAAAUUUUUUUCCCUUUCCAUUUUAUUUUCUUCCAUUUUCUUUUUUACCCUUUUCAACCCUCUCUCUCUUCUUGUUUUUAUUUUUUAUAUUUAAUGAAUUUAUGAUGGGGAAGAAAAAUGAGAUGAUUGAAAGAGAAAAAAAUUAAGCGAAAAAUGAAAGAAAAGAAUAAGGUAGAUGAAAAGAAAGUGACAAAAAAAAAAAAACCAAGGUUAGGACUUUUGGGUCAGUGUGAGAAAAAGAGAAAUAUUAGAAUUAUGUUUGGUUUUUGAAAAGUAUUAAGAAAAGAAAAAAAUUGUUACGGAAAAUAUUCUCUUAUUUAGUCAUAUUUUGAAAAAUACCAAAAAAAUAAAAUAUAAUUAAAAUUAAUAACAAACUUAUGUAUUUUUAAAUAUUUCAUCUUUAUAUCCAAUAGUUAAAAUAAGUAAAAUAAUUUUAAAGUAACAUAUAAAAAAAUUAUUGAUUUUAAAUUUAUUUUAUUUUUUCAUUUACUUUUUCUCUUUAUUUUUUUCCUUUGUAUUUUUCUUUAAAUUUUUUGGGAGCCAAACAUGACCUAGAGAUUUAACAUAGCUUCACAUGUUUAUAUUAUUAAAUAAUAUUGAAAAAAUAAUACAAAAUUGUAAAAUUGGAAGGGAAAAAGGUGAAGUUGAAAUAAACCACCCACCUAUUUGUCUUACUCAAUAUGUCUUUAUUUAAUUUUCAAAGUCUUACUAUUUUUUUUAUAUAUAAUUAUUAUGUAUAGUGCUUAUAUGCAAUAUUUCUUGUAAUUGUUGUUAUAAGAAUAAUAUAUAUACAUUUUACUAGAUAAGAUUAAGCCCUAUUCACUAUUUUCAAAUCAUUUCUUUUAUCUUGCUUUUAGAUUAGUUGUUUCACUUUGAUUUAGUGUCAUAAAUCAAGUUGAUGCAAAGGUAAUGAAUGGAUUUCCAUAUUAUCUAUUUAAUCAACACGAUGAAAUAGAUAAAAUAUAAAUGAUUGAUGUCAUAUAAUUUAUUAUAUUGGAUCGACAUAAUUCAGGGUUAAUUAUAGAAAAGACUUUUUUUUUUUUUUCAAAUGAGAGACCUUAUACUUUGUAUUUGGGGUUUGCCCUUGUGGUUUAAAUAACGAUAUGAUUUGGGUUUUGGUAAAAAGAUUCUCUUAAAGCAUACUAACUAAUAUAUUUUACAUGAGGCUUAUACUAUUAUUGGAAUGAACAUGAAUUUGGUUAAAGGAGAGUUAUGCCUCGAAUAAACAAAAUUUGGAAGAUAAAAUUUGGAUACUUUAUAUAUGGGGUUUGCCCUUAUGGUUUAAAUAAUGAUUGUGUUAAAUAUUGAUGCUUGUUUCUUUAGUUCUUUUAUGUUAUGUUUCUAUGAUCUCAUUGAGUAACUUGUGAUACAGACUUGCUGUAUGCUUCUGAGUUCAGAUUUCAGAAGUGAUAUCCCCCAGUUUGAUUUGUAUUGAAUUGAUAAUUGACUUGUUUUAUGUCAUGUGCAUCUCUGAGUUUGAUUAGUAUUGAAGUGAGAAAUAGUUUGUGGUCUAUGUCAUUUGCUCUUGUUCUAGCAGUGCCACGCAAUCCCCCUUCUUAAUUUUGCUAGGAAUGUUGAUUUGAAAAGUUACCUUUCCAAAAUGUUGUCAGACAUUAGAUCCUUGAUGGCCCUACAAUCAAGGUUGGAAUAAGCAAAAAAUAAGUUAGUGUCCAUUUGAAUACACCUUCUUAUUUUUAUUUUAAAAAUUAAAAACUUGAAUCUAAAAGUAGAAAAUCUUAUACAAAAAGUAUAAAUUUAUUUUAUCAUGUCUUUCAUUAUUUUUUAAAAAAAUUAAAAUUUGAGGAAGUAAAUUUUUUUUUAAAUCUCAAAUUUUUAAUUAAUUUGUAAAAUUAUUACUUUUUUCUAUAAGAGUUUUUAUGUCUUAUAUAAAAGUUAUUGCUACUAUCUAAUUUUAAAAUUAAAAAACCAAAAAAUAUAUACAAAUUCAAUAAAAAUAUAUUUAUUGAGUUCUAGGUUUUAAAAAAAAAUUUCUUUUACUUUUCCAUCUUCAAUUUUUAUCCUUAUUUUCUAUCCAUUGUACAUUCUCUUAAACAUAUUUAAAUCCGAACAAAGUUUUAAUCUUCCUCCAUCUUCAUCUCAUUUUACGUUAAGUAGUGAUUUGUAGUUGGUGGCAAAGCUAGUUCAGAGAUCCCUCUUGAAACAUUUUUCAAAUACAAAAGUUCAGUAUAUUUUUCCGAAUUUAUGAAUUAGCCAAGAUUCUUUUGUACAAGAUAAUAAGUAGCACAUAAAUUUUAUUAUAAAUGCGAAAUACUUAUCAAGUAAAAAUGCAAGGUCAUUUCUCUGCUUGGCUAGUCAAGCAUGGACUAGUUCAUAGAUCUUUGGGCUUUGAUUAUUAGUAUAAAAAUGGUUUUACCUUAACACUUCUAUCGAUUGCAUUUCUGUUAGAUCAUAUACAUAAAAAAAAAAAUAGUUAGUGUUUAAAUGUAAAUAAAAAACUAUUUUCAAAGUGUCAUUGAUACUAAAAAAAACAAACUAAAAUAAGUAUAUGAAUUGCAAAUCUAAGAAUUGGGUGAUUCUUUAGGUUUUUAAUAAUUUUAAUCAUAUUUGAUUUUAUUUACUAUUUUUCAUAGUAAGAUUAAAUAGAAGAAAAUUAUUUUCCUUCAUAAUACAUAUAUAUAUUUUUUACUUUUUUUAGUACAUUUUAGGAACCAAAUAUAGCCUUAAUGGGGUAUUUGUAAUUUCAUCUUCUCACAUAUUUUUUUACCACUUUUAGGAGGUUUUGGCAGCAAGCUUUAAGAUGGUGGGCUGGAGCAGUGAUCUUCUCUUAAAGCAAGCAGCAUGUGACGACAGGUGGCAUGGGAUACUUUUCUUGAAGCAACCCGCAUGUGACAGGUGGUAUGGGGAUUCAGAGGCCGUUGGGAGUGAGCUUGGGCAGUAAGAAAUCUGAGCCGGAGGGUGAGAAAAACAGAGAGGAGCGGAUGCAUUUUUUUCUUUUUACAGAGAACAGGGUGGGAGGUAACGAUUCUGGACAGAAAACCAUGGUAAGCUGAGCUUAGACCAUGGGUGAGCUGUAAGAGUGAGAGAGAACGGAGGAGAAGGGUUUUCUAGAGAGAGCUAAAACAGAGGAAGAAAAAUGAAGUGAGAGCAAGGAGGAGAGAGUGAGCUGGGGAAGACAUCUGAAACAAGAGGAGCUAUAGGGAGGUGAUUUUGAGCUGAGCAGGGGAGUGAGUUGGAUUUUGAGAGGGUUUGAGGCUGUGAAAAUGAGCUGAACAGUGAGAGGGGCAGAGGAGAGAAAGGGAGUGGGUUUGCUGCGGUUUUGAUUUAAGCUUAGGAGAAGAAGCAGAGCAGCUUGAAGCCCAGUUAGUUCCGCUGGAGGGGAGCAUUUCCUGGUACGUUUGCUAGACCACGUAUUGAUUGCAGUUGAUUUUCUUUGGGUUGCUGUGACUGUGUUAUAAUAAAUCCAUGCUUGGUUCUUUAUUUGAAAUUUGUUUAAGAGUGAUCUAGCUCAUUUUUAGCUUUCCUUUGAGUGUCCAAGUCAUAUUUUCGAUCUUAUUUUCACCUGGUUUUUCCCACCCACACAUAAGCCCAUCGACUUCAAUAUGAGAAGGGGCUCGGUUUAAUGUCUUCUUUGGCUCAUUUGAUGCUCUGUUUUUCCCUGAAAAUUUACCAUGAGUGGGUUCUACAUUUCAUGUGCACCAAAAAGGUGCUUAUGUUUUUCUCUAGUUUCUGAUUUUCUGAGCGCCCAAACAGUAAAAAUGCAGAAUUAGUUCUAUCGUUUUUGGUGUUUUUUUUCACUUUAUUCAUGAAAUUUCUGAUUGUGUAUUGAAAUUGUAUAUUAUUACAUUGUUUUUGGUUGGAUGCUUCCUUUAAAUGCUUGAAAUCUUCAUUUUUUUUAUUGCCCGGAAUGGAAUUUUUGGUCAUAUUUGAUGAUAUAUGAGUGCAUAACAAAUGUUUGCAUGUCCAAAUUUACAAUAUUUUAUAAAUUUACACCUGCAACUUAGGUUGUGCCUCAUUUUUCUUUGGUGCUCCUUGGGUGUUGUCCCUUGCAGUUUAGGCACUAGGAGUCUUCUGCACCUUGUACCUUUCAUAUUUCAUUGCAAUCCUAUUUAGGGAAAAUAACACUAACUUGCCUUAAGGUUUGUUGUUAGAAUUAUAGUGACCUCCCCUCACAUUUGAAAAAAGAUGCUAUUCUCACUCAAGGUUUGAUAUAACUAAAGCAGUGAUAAACACAACAGACAUGUAAUGUGGUCCGGUUCCUUUUUUACAAUCGUAAUUCUCAGAGGAUUUCUUCACCAAUUAGGGUUUUUCUUUGAUUAUGUAGGAGUUUAGCUUUAAGUAUUCCUACAGUGGAUGAGGCUUUUUAAUUGGUCUUGUGGCUGAGAUAUGCAUCUGUUAUUUCCUUAGAUUACUUUUUCCAUUCGGUUGAUUGGGAGGAACGUUUCCAAAUGUGUCCUAGUGCAUUUUUCUUAGACCACUUUCUGAUCAUUUCUUUUUACUGUGGUGGGGCUAGGAUUUGGAGAUGGAGAUGUUCUUUCAGGUUGGAGAACAGUAGGCUUCGAGUGCAUACAGUGCAUGAGUUUGGAGGCUAUCAGUUUACAGGUCUCUCCAGUUUUGUCCUUUGCUAGAAAGUUGAAGGCUCUGAAAGAUGAUCUGAAACAUGGACUAGAGAGGUCUUUGACACUGUUCCCUUUCAUAAAGUUUGUGUCUUGGAGUGAAUUAUUUGGAUGAUAACCACUUAGCAGUGUGGGAAGAGAGGUCUGAGUGAUGGAAGUCAAGAGGUGUUCUGUGCAUGCUAUUCAUUAACAUGCACAUUUGUCCCAACCACUAAAACAUAUCAAACUACAUGUUCAAUAUCCACUUCUACCCAAUGCUGAAACCUGUGUUCCAACACAAGUAGCCCUGUACUCUGUUCACAGUCCAUGCCUAUGCCUGAUCAAGGGAUGUUGGUGUCUUUUUGUGCCAAAAUAUUUUGACAUCGUGAAAUUCAUAAUCAUUAUUUCAAAGUUAAAAAUAUAAUUAUAAAAAAUUAAUGAAGGAAAUAAAAUAUUUUGUAGUUAUACUUGAUUGUCCUUGAGAUGCAAACCAUCAAGACCAAAUGACUCUUAUAUUAAAAUAUGUGGACAUUUGAACAGCUCUUCUACACGUAGAUGAAUAUUUUUAGAAUUUUUAAAAGUUGAUGAUGCAUAUACUAGGUGGUUGUCAUAACCUCAAUCUGAUUUUUUUUUUUUUUUGAUUAAGUAAUAAGAUUUAUAUAAUAAUAAUAUUAAAAGUAAAAGAAUAUUUUCAGAAUUUUUAAAAGUUGAUGCAUAUACCAAGGGAUUGUCAUAAACUCAAUCUGAAAAAUAAAUAAACAAAUUUUAGAUUAAAUUAUAUUUGCAUAAGUAAUAAGAGGUCUUAUUUAUAUCCUCAUUUAUUUAUUUAUUGCCUUAGGCCACAUUUCUUGUUGAGCCUCCCUUUGUGUCUUUUGUUUUGUUUUCUUCCCUCCCUGCCCCCUUUUUUAAGCAUUUGAUCCCUAUUAUCGUUCAUCUAAGUUAUUGUUUUGAAUUUGAAUUCUUUUUUUUUUCAAUCGAUAUUCUGACUUCUAUGUUGUUGGUACCAGAAGGAUGGCCUUAGAAGCAACAGCAGUGGAAGUAGCAGUGACUGAUGUAUAUAGAGAUGGGUGAAGCUUAUUAAGUUGGUAUGUGUAGGGACACCCCCCCCCCCCCCCCCCCCCCGAUGACACUUGGCACGCACCGCUGUCAGGAUUAACUUUAUCCGUACCCCCCGAGAGGACACGUGGUGCGCACCUCUAUUCAAAUCCCCCUGAAGGGGCCUACGAAACUCUCAAAUUUCUUACCCGGGCAAUGCUCUAUCAUAUCCGGACCAAUUGUCCGGAUCAUUGGUUGUAACAAGCAAGCCUUGCAGAGUCUUCCUUUAAAUCAUGNNNNNNNNNNNNNNNNNNNNNNNNNNNNNNNNNNNNNNNNNNNNNNNNNNNNNNNNNNNNNNNNNNNNNNNNNNNNNNNNNNNNNNNNNNNNNNNNNNNNUUUUUUUUUUUUUUUUGUUUAAAGAAAAGAAUUUUAUAAAAAAAAAUUUAAAAAAAAAAAAAAUUUUUUUAAAAUUUUUAAAAGGGGGGGGAAAAAAAAGGGGGGUGUUUAAAAACUUUUUGGAAAAAAAAAAAAAAAAUUUUUGAGAAAAAUUUUUUUGGGAAAAAAAAAAGGGGGGUUUUUUUUAUCCCCUUUUUUUUUUUUUUUGGCGGGGGGGCAAUUUUUUUUGGGGGCCCCCUUUUGGUUUUUUUUUUUUUUUUUUUUCCCCCCCCCCCCCUUUUUUUAAAAAUUUGGCCCCUUUUUUUUUUUUUUAAAAUUUUUUUUUAAAAAUAAAAUUUUUUUUUUUUUAAAAAAAUUUUUUUAUUUUUUUUUUUGGGGGAAAAAAAGGGGGGCUUUAAAAAAAAAAGGGGGGGGAGGGGGGGGGGUUUUUUUUUAAAAGGGGGGGGGAAGUUUUUUUAGUUGGGUUGGGGGGGGCCCCCCCCCCCCCCCCCCCCCCCCCCGAUGACACGUGGCACGCACCGCUGUCCGGAUCAACUCUAUCCGUACCCCCCAAGAGGACACGUGGUGCGCACCUCUAUCCGAGUCCCCCAGGAGGGGCAUACGACACUCUCAAAUAUCAUACCCGGGCAAUGCUCUAUCCUAUCCGGACCUAUUGUCCGGAUCAUUGACUGUAACGAGCAAGCCUUGCUGAGUCAUCCCUAACAGCCUGCCACAGCCCACGUUCCGCCACCUACAGAGCGAAAGGACAGGAGAGAUGACAAGUCACCUCCCACGAUCUCUGACAGCCGCCUGCAGGGUGAUGAUGACCCUGCCACUACCUUAAGGACAUCAUGACAAGCCAAAAAGUCUUCCCACCAUUAAAGAGGGGAGCAAAGCUUCUGACAUUAUAUAAAAGGGCCUUCACACAAGGAAGAAGGUAAGCCUAGGACCCUAAAAAAGCCAAUAGUCUGAUAUCUUAAGCCAUGACUAACAAAACCAUCGGAGGGUGUGUCCGGACAUCCUGUUCGGACAUCUUUUGCAGAUCGAUUGAGCCAGAAUUCCUUCUUGGUUGAUAGCACGCGUCCAUUUGGCAGCAGCAGGGAUCCCUGGGACGCGAGGUAUCAACAUUGGCGUCGUAUGUGGGAACUCUCUGAUUCAGUCGACGACAAAGAUGUCGACGACAAAGAUGUCAACAACAAAGAUGUCCACACCUUCGACAAGCCGCUCGUCGACUAGGGGAGACGAAGAUUAUUUCGAAUGGCACGAAGCCAUCGAAAGGAGACAGUUGGAGAGCGAGCGACAAAUGCAGGAUCUCCUCCAAGAAACGAGAAGAAAACGCUGUGUUAUGCAUCCAGGCUUCAUCGACGGGACCUUCUCGUGGUCAACGCUCAAGAGGCCAAGGAGCAAACUCAAGGCCUGACCCAGAGUCAAUAUACCCUGGGACUGCGGGGGUCAUCCCCGAGACGGGCAAUGUUAGACCACAAGAACGACACACGCCCAUGCACCAAGCCCCCCAGGAGGAAAGCUCAGACUCUACUCAUUUCUCAUCAAAGAGACAACACGACAAAAGACCCCAAUUGUCAGACGCGAUGCGCGCGAGUCUAGGCCCAUAGGGACCUGGGAAGACAAGGCCACCAGUAGCCACAACUUGGGGAACGCACCCUGACCCCCUGGUCACACCCAUGGUGCAGAACGUCCUCCAGCACCAAGCAGUAUGACAAGCUGGGAGAAACCCUCCAAACGAGCCACCCACUAGCUCCAUCAGCAAAAGGCUAGAUGACAUGCUUUCCACGCCUUUUUGCCCGCAUAUCAUUCAUUACGACCCCCCAAGGGGAUUUCUCGUGCCUAAAUUUUCCACGUACGAUGGGUCCAACGACUCCUUCGACCAUAUCAUGCAUUAUCGACAGCUCAUGACUCUCGAUAUAGGAAACGACGCGCUGCUAUGCAAAGUAUUUCCCGCCAGCCUACAAGGAUAGACUCUCUCAUGGUUUCACCGCCUACGCCCCAACUCUGUUGAUAAUUUCAGGGACCUGUCGGAAGCUUUUGUGGGACAAUACUUAUGCUCCGCUCGGCAUAAACAAAACAUCAGCACUCUGCAAAACAUAAAAAUGAAGGAGAAUGAGUCUUUAAGAGAGUUCGUGAAGCGGUUUGGUCAGGUCAUCUUACAAGUAGAGGCUUACAGCAUAGAUGUUGUCCUUCAAAUCUUCAAACGAAGCAUUUGUCCAGGUACCCCAUUCUUCGAGUCGCUCGCUAAGAAGCCUCCUACGACGAUGGACGACUUGUUCCGACACGUGAGCAAAUACUCAAUGCUGGAGGACGACGUGCGCGCAGCCACCCAGCAAAUCUUGGUUGCCGGUCAAACAUCCAGAAGUGGUGCAGAAAGAAGUUCCAAACUUCCGGACCGGCCAAGGUCGUCCGGCCGAAGGCAGGAAGAACAAAGCCGCCCAGAACGGCCGCCCCUCACACUCCUUUCCAUAUCCUACGAGAAGCUCCUCCUUAUGAUCCAAGACCUGUCCGACUUCAGGUGGCCCAGACCCCUCAGAGCGGACCCAGCCCAAAGGGAUCAUAGUAAGAAGUGUGCCUACCAUAAGGAGCACGGUCACACUACGGAGACAUGCAGGAGCCUCCAUUAUUUGGUGGAAAGGCUCCUGCAUGUCUUCGUAGUGUGAUCGUGCUCUUUGAUGAGAGACGAGUAGAGUCUGAGCUUUCCUCCUGGGGGGCUUGGUGCAUAGGCGUGUGCCGUUCUUGUGGUCUAACAUUGCUCGUCUCGGGGAUGACCCCCGCAGUCCCAGGGUAUAUUGACUUUGGAUCAGGCCUUGAGUUUGCUCCUUGGCCUCUUGAGCGAUGACCACGAGAAGGUCCCGUCAAUGAAGCCUAGAUGCGUAACACAACGUUUUCUUCUCGUUUCCUGGAGGAGAGCCUGCAUUUGUCGCUCGCUCUCCAACUAUCUCCUUUCGAUGGCUUCGCGCCAUUCGAAAUAAUCUUCGUCUCCCCUAGUCGACGAGCGGCUUGUCGAAGGUGUGGACAUCUUUGUCGUCGACUAAAUCAGAGAGUUCCCACAUACGGCGCCAAUGUUGGUACCUCGCGUCCUAGGGAUCCCUGCUGCUGCCAAAUGGACGCGUGCUAUCAACUAAGGAGUUCUGGCUUAGUCGAUCCUACAAAAGAUGUCCGGACAGGAUGUCCGGACACACCCUCCGAUGGUUUUGUUAGUCAUGGCUUAAGAGAUCAGACUAUUGGCUUUUUUAAGGUCCCAGGCUUACCUUCUUCCUUGUGUGAAGGCCUUUUUAUAUAAUGUCAGAAGCUUUGCUCCCCUCUUUAAUGGUGGGAAGACUUUUUGGCUUGUCAUGAUGUCCUCAAGGUAGUGGCAGGGUCAUCACCACCCUGUAGGUGGGUGUCAGAGAUCGUGGGAGGUGACUUGCCAUCGUUCCUAUCCUUUCGCUCUGCAGGCGGCGGAACGUGGGCUAUGGCAAACUAUCGGGGAUGACUCAGCAAGGCUUGCUCGUUACAGUUAAUGAUCCGGACAAUAGGUCCGGAUAGGAUAGAGCAUCGCCCGGGUAUGAUAUUUGAGAGUGUCGUAUGCCCCUCCUGGGGGACCCGGAUAGAGGUGCGCGCCACGUGUCCUCUUGGGGAGUACGGAUAGAGUUGAUCCGGACAGCGGUGCGUGCUACGUGUCAUCGGGGGGGGGGGGGGGGAUGGUCCCUACAGUAUGGUUGUAAAUUUGAUUAUUGGAAGAAUCUAAAAAGAAACAAUGAAGAUUUAAUGUAGAAAGCUAGAGAGCUUUGGGAACUGAGAAAUGUCAUAAGGGAAGGAAUAAGCCAAAAUAGAAUCAGGCCAGACACAACAACAUGGAUAGUUAAGGUGGAGAUGAAUGAAGGUGAAGUGAUUGAACUAGACACCAAAUACAAUGAUAGAAAAAAUCUGCCAUGGAAAUUGUUUCGUUUUUGGAAGGAUGCUAGUCUUAGCAAAGACAUGGCUGAGAAGUGCAAGCAAGUUCUUAGUCUUUGGGAAGAGGGAAAACGUAAAAGAGGAGUGUUGGAUGCGGAGCUGCCAAAGCAUGUCUUGGGAAUACGUCCAGCCAAAAUAGAAUAUGAAUCACCUCUGCACAAACAUGUAAAAGCAGCAGUGGGUUUUCUAGAGGAUCUGGAAAUAAAAAGAAUAGGAAUCUGGGGAAUGGUGGGAACCGGGAAGACCACAAUAAUUGAAAACUUGAACACUCGUGACAAUAUUAACAAAAUGUUUGAUAUUGUCAUUCGGGUAACUAUCCCAAAGGAGUGGAGCGAGGUAGGGUUGCAAUAGAAAAUCAUGCGUAGGCUAAAUUUGAAUCUGCCCUACUGACAUUGAGGAAAAUACACAGAUAAUAUUCGAAGAGUUGAAGAAAAAGAAGUGUUUGAUUCUUUUAGAUGAAGUUUGUCAUCCACCCUACCUCGCUCCACUCCUUUGGGACAGUUACCUGAAUGACAAUAUCAAACAUUUUGUUAAUAUUGUCACGAGUGUUCAAGAUUUCAAUUACUGUGGUCUUCCCGGUUCCCACCAUUCCCCAGAUUCCUAUUCUUUUUAUUUCCGAAUCCUCUAGAAAAAGCACAAGAAUAUAUUUUUAUUUCAAUUAUUGUUGACUUAUUCUUAUCUGUUUAUCAUAAGUUCUAUAUAUAUACUAAGAAUUGCAAAGUCUUAAGAAUAUCUUAUUUCUCAACUCGGUACUAGAGCAGCUCAGUCACGACAAUGGCUACCUCUUUUCAAAGUAAUCAACAAGCUAGUCUCUACUCUCUCUCAACUUCUGCUAUUUCAAAACCUUGCUCCACUAACGCUGAAACUAGAUAGAAACAACUACACCUUCUAGCACUCACAAGUGUUGCCUGUAGCCGCGCUCAUGAAUUGGAAGGAUAUUUGUUUGGGACCAAAGUUUGCCCAUCUCAAUACGAAGACCACAACUUGCGAGGAGAGGAUCCUGGUGAGGUACGUCAAGUCAAUCCUAGUUUUGUCGUCUGGAAGAAAACUGACCAGUCCUUAAUGAGUUGGCUAUUAAAUUCAAUCUCCGAGGCCAUGUUUGGCCAUGUUGUGGUCUCCCAUGAAGUCAGGAGUACCUUCGAAAAGCUAUUUACAACAGAGUCAAAAGCAUGUACAUUGCAGCUCCGUUUUUAGCUUCAGUCAAUUAAGAAGGGAUCCGUGAGUGUAAAUAAUUAUAUCCUAAAGAUGAGGCUAUGUUUGGUUCCCGGAAAGUACAAAAGAAAGAAAAAAAAUGCUAAGAAAAAUGAUUUUAUCAUGUUUGUCCUAUGAAAAAUAUAAAAAAAAAUCAAAUAUAAUUAAAAUUAAUUAAAAACUUAUGUAUUUUUAAAUUAUUUAAUCUUUAUAUUGAUGAGUUAAAAUAAAUAAAAUGAGUUUGAAGUAACAAAAAAAAUAAUUUAUCAACUUUUAAUUUAUUUUUUUAUUUUCCUUCACUUUUUCUUUCCUUCUACUUUUCCUUUGUAUUUUCUUUCCCUCGCAUUUUCCCUCAAAUUUUCCGGGAACCAAACAUAGCCGAAAGCUAUUGCCGAGAAUUUGUCUACUGCAGGACAAUUAGUUUCUGAUGAGGAACUAAUUUUGUACAUUCUUGGAGGAGUGGGUCAGGAGUAUGAUCCUGUGGUUAUCAGUCUCACCUCUCCAUGUGAUGAGGUAACUUUGCAACAAGUCCAAUUUAGGCUGCAAAGCCAGGAUAUGAGAUUAGAACAAAUUAACUCAGUUGCUGCAGCUCGAAGGAAGGAUACACAAAACACAUUCACUACAGAAAAACCACACUUUUAGUUGUGAUUCCAUGUUUUCAAUAAUGCAAAAUGUUAUAGCUACAACAAUUUGUCAUCAUAACAAAUAUGCAUUUACUAAAAAUAUUUCCACAAUAAAUUUAUUAUUUUAGUUAUAAUAAUGCUAUAAUUAAAUAUUUAUUUUUAAUUACAAUUAUAUAUCAACAUUUAUAUAUAUUUAUAUAAUCAAACCAAAAUUUAACUAUGAUUACAUAUCACCAUUGAAAAUUUUCUCGAAGAAGUGCAUUCUGUUGGUGGUAAAUGAUUAUCCCCAAAAAGUAUGGAAGUGUAAUUUUAUUCAUUUAAGUAUUACACAUUAUAAUAAAUAAAUAAAUAAAAAUAAUGAUUGAUGGACUUUUUCCUCGGUGUUUGUAACCAAGUUUGGCACAACUUGUAAGAAAAAAAAAUGAAAUAAUAAUUAAAUUAUCAUUGCUAUAAAAAAAAAAAAACACACACACAUACAUUUACACACCCAUAGAAAUAAAUAAUAUUAAAAUUUAAGACAAAAGAAAUUAUAACAUAUAUUUAAGAUUAACUUUUAUUCAUUCAUAUAUAUUUAAUAGUAUAAAAAAUUUAAAAGAAAAAUGAAGAGUAUCAUUUAAAAAAAAUAAGAAAUAUUAAAUAAAAAUUUUGCAUAAAAAAGAAAUCCAAGUAAAGGAAAAAUUUAAAUACCGAUUCAUUUUUCAACUGUGGACGGUAAUAGAAAUAAACCCGGAAUCUAAACAUGGCCCAAAACUAUCAAAAAUUUAAAAACCACCUCCGAAAUGGUAAAUACCUUACUUUCCACUCCCUCUUCCGAUCAUCUCCUUGUACCUUAUGGUCGAAUCCAGCCUCUGCAACUUCAAUUGCUGCUUGAACUUGUUGAUGAAGUCGUCGGCCUUCGCGUCCACCUCCUCAUCGUCGUCAUCACCCUUCGCCACCGUCGCUUUAGCAUUCCCUUCCCUCAUAUUCGCCGGUCUACAAAAGCAAUUCUCGUAUUGUUGGUAUAUGUUGAUGAUGUCCUGAUAACUCGGAAUGAUCAAUGAAGAUGAAAUUGCCUUGAAGAAUUUGGGAUCAUUGAGCUAUGUCCUAGGUUUUAAAGCACAUCGAACAAAGUAUGUAAUCUAUCUCUGAAGAAAUAUAUGAUUGAUCCAUUGUACAAGGCUAACACGUUGAAUGUUAAAUGCAACCCAACACCUAUGCGCCAAGGAACAAAAAUUCACCUUGCUGAUAGUGAUUUAUUUGAACAGCCAACUCUAUAUUAGAGCAUCAUUGGAGCUUUGCAAUACCUAACUCUAACCAGGCUAGACAUAUCAUUUGUUGUAAACAAACUUAGUCAAUAUUUGCAGGCACCAACAGUUAAUCACUGGAAAGCUUGCAAAUGCAUCCUUAGAUACUUAAAUGACCCUCUUAACUAUGGGCCUCUCUUCUCGCCAACAACAUAAGUGACACUAGAAGGGUAUGUUGAUGCAAAUUGGGCUAGUUCCUUGGAUGAUAGAAAAUCUACAAUAGGUUAUUCUAUUUAUCUUGGUGGAAACUUAGUUGCAUGGAACUCCAGAAAAUAAAAGGCAGUAUCUCGCUCAAGCACUGAAUCACAAUAUUGUGCCCUUACUUAAGCUAUAACUGAACUUGUUUGGUUGCAAUCUCUAUUUUUUAAAUUAGGAAUUGAGAUAAAUAGGUGCCCUACACUCUGGUGUAACAAUACUGGAGUUAAACAACUUACUUCUAACCCAAUCUUCUACUCAAGAACAUAACACAUUGAGAUUGAUGUUCAUUUUAUCGAGAAGAUAAGGUAAUUGCAAAAGAACUGGGGAUAAAAUAUGUGCCAACAGAAGAUCAAACUGCUGAUAUCUUUACAAAGUCAUUAUCCAUAUCUCAAUUCCACUUUCGUAAAGGCAAGCUUGCUGUUGUUCAAUCCCCACGGUCUCGCUUGAGGGAGCAUGUUGAAGACUUUUUUGUAUGUGGAAAAUGACCUAUCUUAUCAAAAUUAGUUACAGAGAGUCCCUCUAAACUCAAACUCUAUCAGAGCUCUCUCGGACUCUUUCUCUCUCUGAGAAGCUCCAUCCUCAUCCUUAUCUAUUGGUUAUGAUAGGCUUUCCCUUAUUCUUAUCUGUUAUCAUAAGUUUUAUAUUCUAUAAAACCACUCAAGUAAAGUUAAAAUAGACUAAGAAUUGCAAAGUCUUUCAAUGCUCCAGAAUCUCCUAUUUCUCAACUAUAUAAUAUCCAGAAACCUUUUUAAUGUAGCAGUAGAACGAACUAGAUAUAAAUUCAAUUAUUAUAAAGUCAAACAAAUAAAAUAAAACUAGAAGAUAAGACUUGAUUGAGUCUUAUUAUUCUGGGUUGUUUAGUUUGGAAAAGUCCUAGAUUUUGAGGAGUUUGAAUUUAAAAUAACAUCAGAAGAUAAGGCUUGACUGAGUUCUAUUAUUCUAGGUUGUUUAUUUUGGAUGAGUCUUAGUGUAUUUAAAUUUGAUUUUAUUUCUAAUUUGAAUUAGAGAGAAUAUUCGAGUACGAUUGGUUAGUUGCUAAAUUCAGGGAUUGCUUUGUUUAUUUAAGUUCUUGAUGUAAACCAAAUUUUUUAAUAAAGUAUUAUCUAGUUUCUCUUCCAAAUUCAAUAUGGUAUUAGAUCUUUAGUGACUUUGCCUAUAGAGAGCAGGUUACACGUAGGCUUGGGAACAUGAAGAAUAAAAAGCAAUCUAAAGCUAUUCGGGAACAUGAAGAAUAAAGAGCAAUCUAAAGCUAUUCGGAAGAAUGACACUCCCUUUACCGGCCACUGGUGAGAAAAAACCAUCAGCAAUUUUAAUUUUAUAACUCUCAAAACAAGGUUGAUAAGAGUGAAAGAGAGUUAUAUCAAAGGUCAUGUGAGAUCGGAUACACCGAAGUCGAUAAUCCAUGGGUUUGACUUUGAGAAAGCAUUCAAGGCUCUAGAACAUAUACCUUUCUAGGCCAUGGAACCUGAUCCUAUAGUGGAGGUACUUGAAGGAUCACAUGUGAGGAGUUUCUAAAGUAGCUCCAUCUGUUCUUGGUUGAAAGGAGUUUUGUUGGCUAAGUUAUUGGAUUGUGGUGGUUCAUCAUUGGUAGCACGAUAACCUCGAGGUCCAUUUUCAUAUGUUUUGUUACUUUUCCAAUUGGGCGGCUUCCCAUGAAUUUUCCAACAAGUUUCUCAAGUGUUACCAACUGAAUGACAAUGAUCACAUCAUGACCUAUUGGAUCUUCUUCAUGAAUCAAAGUGUUGAGAAUUUGGUCCCUUGGUGGCUAGGCUGAUCCGUCCUUGCUUAGAAAGGACAAUGACGAGGUGUGAUCCGUUAUCAUGACAUUCUUUCGUCUCUCUUCUUACCAAACUUCAAAACACACUUCUUCGAGUAAUGGGUGUGGUUAGGUGUUAAGAACCCUUUCUCGGACUUCAUUGAGAUUCUUGUUGAGUCCAACCACCAAGAAUGUGAAGAUCCUUUAUUUUGCCACAAUUUUCUAAUAAUUGAGGCUAUCACUAGUGCAAUCUCAUUCCAAUUAUUUGAACACGUUCAGUUUUUGCCAAUAUUGGAAGAGAAUGCUAGAGUAUUAGGUCACACUAAAGUUCCUUUUCCAUAACUCUAGAAGUUGGCGUUUGAUUUUGAACAUCUUUGCUGCAUUUUUGCUAUUCGAAAAAAUCUCCUUGGUUGCAUCCUAGAUUUCUUUUGCUAUCUUAUAGAAUAGGAAUGUCUGGCCUACUUUCGUCUCCAUGGAAUUAGUAAGUCAAGACAAAAUCAUAUUGUUCUUAAAAAACCAAGUUUUAUAAGAUGCAUCGUUCUUUGUCAGGGUUGUCUUCAAGCCUGUGAUGUAAUCAUCUUUGCCUCUCCCACAUAUAUACAUUAUUACUAAUUGAGACCAUUGGAGAUAAUUUUUUCCAUUUAAUUUGUGGUGAACAAAAUUCUCAAAACCACCAUUACUACCGAAAUUGACAAGAGCAGAAUCGGAGAUCACCUCCAAAGAUCUUGUUGGAUGUUCGCCAACCAUUGCAGUUUUCACCAUAUUUAAGUUUAGAUCUUAGGCUUUGAUACCAAAAUUUAGGUAACACACUAAUUGAUACUAAUCUGACUAUAUUAAAUGAUUUGGAUGUUCCUAUUGCAUUUUGGAAAGGGGUUAGAUUGUGUACCACACAUCCCACUGCUGAUUUUGUUUCCUCUGAAAGAUUAUCUCCACAAUUUCGAGCAUUUACUACUAAUCUUUCUAAAAGUGAUAUACCCAAGGAUGUUCAUGAGGCAUUACAAGAACUAAAUUGGAAGACAGCAUCACACGAUGAGAUUAAAGCUCUUAGGAAAAAUGGAACCUAGGAAUAGACCGAAUUGCCUUUGGGAAAAUCUACUGUAGGAUGCAAGUGGAUUUUCAAUGUGAAAUAUAAAGUUGAUGGGAAUAUUGACAGAUACAAGGCAAGAUUGGUGGCUUUCAAUGUGAAAUAUAUGUCAAGGCAAGAUUGGUGGCUAAGGGGUUUGCGUGGGAUUUACGCAAACGUAUGGAAUAGAUUAUUAGGAAACAUUUGCUCCAAUUGUGAAACUUAACAUUGUCCAAGUUCUACUCUCCAUUGCAAUCAACAAUGAUUGACCUCUUCAUCAAUUAGAUAUAAAAAAUGCAUUUCUUAAUGGUGAUCUCAAUGAAGAAGUUUACAUGGAUAUUCCACCAGGAUUCAAAGACGCUCAAAAAAGAAUCAAGUGUGCAAGUUAAAGAAAUCUCUAUAUGGCCUAAAACAAUCACCUAGGGUCUGGUUUGAAUGUUUUAAUGCAAUUGUUAAGAAAGUUAGGUACAGUUAGGAACAAUCGGACCAGAUGAUGUUUUUUAAACAUUCAUCAGAUAGGAAGAUCAUCAUUCUUAUCAUCUAUGUUGAUAACAUAAUUCUUACAAUUGAUGAUGAAACAGAAGUGAUAGAUUUGAAAAACGCCUUCCCUCGAGAAUUUGAAAUCAAGGACUUGGGAGCUCUUAGGUACUUCCUUGGCAGUGAGGUGGCUCGAAUUUCAAAGUGGAAUAUUAGUCUCUCAAUGGAAACAUGUCCUUGAUCUUCUGAAGGAAACUAGUAUGGUUGGAUGUAGACUAGUGGACACACCUAUGGAGGAGAAUGGCAAGCUUAAUGAUGAAGAAGAAAGCCCUUUUAUUGACAAAGGUCAAUACUAGAGACUUGUUGGGAAGUUGAUUUAUUUAUCCCAUAAUAGGCCAGACAUAGACUUUCCUAUUCGUGUGGUUAUUCAGUUCAUGCACAAUCCCAUUGAAGAACAUCUUAGUGUAGUUCACAUAAUUCUUCAAUACUUGAAAAUGACACUUGGAAAGGGGUUUUUUUUUUUGGCUAAAGUACUAGAAAAGGAAUCGAAGUAUAUUCUGACAUAAAUUGAGUAGAUUCCGUGAAUGAUAGAAGUUCCACCUCAAACUACUAUACCUACGUAUGGGAAUUUGGUCACUUAGAGAAGUAAAAAGCAAUCCAUAGUAGCUCGAAGUAGUGGAGAAGCUAAGUUUCAGGCUAUUGCACUUGGUGUAUGUGAAGGACUAUGGCUAAAAUGUGUGAUGAAGGAGUUGAAGAUUUCAAAUGAGUUUUCGAUGAAAUUGUUUUGUGAUAAUCAAAUAGCCAUCCAUAAUUCGGUUCAUCAUGACAAAACCAAGCAUGUGGAAAUAAACCAACAUUCCAUUAAGGAGAAAGUUGACAAUGGAGAGUUUUUACUGUAGUACAUGCUUACCACUGCAAACAUUCUUACAAGAGCUCUACCAAGAUAACAUUUCAAUUUUCUUAUAAGCAAACUAGAAAUGAUCAAUAUUAAUUCCUUAGUUUGAGGAAUGUUGAAACCCUAAGUUUUUUAGGAGUAUGAAUUUAAAACAAAACCAGAAGAUAAGGUUUGAUUGAGUCCUAUUAUUCUGGGUUGUCUAGUUUAGAUAAGUCUUAAUGUGUUUAAAUUUGAUUUUAUUUCUGGUUUGAAUUAGAGAGAUUAUCGGAUGAUAUUUUGUAGGUUGGUUAGUUGAUAAAUUUAGGGAUUGCUUCAUUUAUUUAAGCUCUGGAUGUAAACUCAAUUUUUUAAUAAAGUAUUAUCCAGUUUCUCUUCCAAAUUCACCUAUUGCAAGUGGAGACACCUACUCUAUUGGAUGUUGAUUUUCUGCUGAUUUUUUAUUUCAGAAUACUAAUUUUCCAUAGAUUGUUUGUUGUGAGGGAACCCAAUAUAUAGGCUUGGAUUAAUCUAUCAACAUUUGUUAAAUAUUACCUACUUGUUUUCUUAUUAUUAGAUUCAUAUAAUUUGUUACUGCUUUUAUAAUGAUGAUAGUCACACAAACAUAUUUUUAGAUAUAUAGUUAAUAUGAUUCCACAUAAAUUAUGAUUCCACAUCCAUUUAUGAUAUAUUUGUUGACUGUUUUAUGUUUACCUAUUAUUUUAAUUUUUUUAGAUGAAGAUGUUGGAUUAAAAGACCUUAAAUGGAGAGGUUUUGUAGUCAACUUAAAAAGACAAUAAGCAUGUCAGUUCAAGGCUCUGGCUAAUCAAUGUGUCAACUACUGCUAGAACAAAUUUUUUUUUUCUAGUCCAUCUUUUGCUUAGUAUUUUCUACUAUUUACAAUUGAUAUAGUGGCUUCAGUUGUAUUUAAGGGUGUUUUUUUUUUUUAAGUUAUGUUUGAUUUCUAGAAAGCAUUGAGAAAAGGAAAAGAAAUAUUGAAAAAAAAUUAUCCUUUUUAUGUUUGGAUUCUAUAAAAAGGUUGCAAAUUGACCAAAUCGGGUGAAUUGGUAAGAACAAAAAGCCUAUAAUGGAAUCUGCAAGUAAUGUUUGAUUCCCAGAAUGUUUGAGGGAAAGAAGAUAGAGAACAAAAUAUAAUGAAAGAGUUAAGGAAAAUUUAUAAUAAUUUUUUUUUCUCGUUUGAUUGUUCUAGCUUUGGUUAGAUGUAAAAUAUAUCGAAUAUCAGUAAAUGAGAACACUUACAGUUUCAUUUUCUUUGAGGCAGUUGUGGCCUCAAAUGCAGGGGCCUUUAUGAAACCACCAGAACCUGUCACUCAUAGACAAACAGCCAACAAAACAAACCAAAUAUUAGACGGUGAAUUUGGAAGGCCACAUGGAGUUGGAAAUUAGUAUUCCCCCACCCUGUUUUUAAGCAUGCAAAUGAAUAAGAAUACCCAUUUUAAGUGUUAGAAAUUGGGAUCUAAUGUCCAUAUGGGAAUACCUAAUCCAAACCUUGGGGAAGUUGGAUAAAUGAGUUACACAUUCAGUGAUAUAUACAGAUACACAAACAUCCCAAUAGAUGGCAGUAUAGCAUCGCUAGUGCAAGCGUGCAUAUACCUUUUCCAGCAAAAGAGUCUAAGUGAUCUUUUAACGAAAACCAGCAACACGUGCACAUGCUUUUUUUGAUUCAAACUGAAAAUCUGUGUAUCCUACUGCAUCAUUUACGUCAAAGAAUAGGUCCAAAAAUGCAAUGAAUUGGGCAAUGUACAUACCAGUUAUAAAUAAAAUGAAUAAAAUGGAGAUCACCUCUAUCUAUGGAAAGGGAAAAAAGACAUGAAAAAUAACCUAACCUGACUGUUGAGAAGGCUUUCUUUCUUGCCUCUUAACUUCACCUGACUGUUGAGAAGGCUUUCUUUCUUUCCUCUCAGUUUCACCUGACUGUUGAGAAGGCUUUCUUUCUUGCCUCUCAGCUUCACCUGACUGUUGAGAAGGCUUCCUUUCUUUCCUCUCAGCUUCACCUGACUGUUGAGAAGGCUUUCUUUCUUGCCUCUGAGCAAGAAGCUGAUUCUCAAUUUCUUCUAGCUGAGUCGUCAAAUCUUCAUCCCUUUUAAUGGGGACAAAUACAUUAUGCUGAUGAGCAAAUCCAAAAAAUGAACUCCACUCCAAUGACCUCCACCAGUCUGCCUCUCCUAUGAUCACAUUUAUACUAAUACUACAGAAUUCCUUGUCAGACAGAGUUCCAAGGCACGGGCAGUUAUAGAAGCUCAUCCAUUCUAAUUUUGGUGCAAUGGGUAAACCACUAGAAAUGUUGACCAAUUUAGGCAUGAAAUGAAGUGAUAUCUUCCUCAAAUUAGGGAGAUAUGUUCUCAAGGGGAAUGGUUUAUGUUCAGCAGGAUCUUCAAGGGUCACUAUGCUGUUGAUUUCAGGGCACCAUUCAGCCACAAGCUCCUCUAAGCUGUUGAGAUUUUCAAGCAAACCCAAAGUAAAAAUGGUAGUCAGCUGUGGGCAUUCAUGUAAUGUCAAGGACUUUAGACUAGAUAGACAACCCCUCCAAACUGGUCCCUUCCAGAUGCUCACUAAAUUCUUCAUAUAAUGAAGCCUUAAGAAUUGUAGAGACCCAAGUAUAUUUUCUCCAUAAAAAUCUCCAUCAUCUUCUCGUUGUUUACAAUUUUCUGCUCCAUCCACAAUGGUUUCAAUCUUGUAACAUUCCCCCAAUACACAAAAUUCCAGCUUCUUCAUAUUUCCAAUCCCAAAUUCAGAUAGCUUGGUGAGAGUUAAAUGGCGAUCCAGGAACAAAGCAGUGCAAUGCUGGAGUACCUCCUUGAUUUGACUUGGAAUGCCUUCACCAUUCACAUACUUCAGGCUCCUUGCCUGGAGUUCAAAUUUAAUAGCAAGUUCAUUGGGUAGUCGAGAUAUAAUGCGGCUGUGAUGACUGCCAACAACAAAUCUAAAGUGGACUAAUGAUGUGUAUACCGACGAAGUUCCAUUCCUCAUAAAGUGAUCAAGCGGUGCAACUUGUGGCAAAUAAAUUUUUAGAGCCUCCAACUGUUUUAAGCUGCACACUUCCUUUACAAUAUCUUCCAUGGUCGCAUUCCAUUGUUCAUCAUCAGGGUUCACAUCUAUCCUUAACUCUUGCAAUUGAAACAAUUGUUGUAUCACAUUCCGAGGAAUCAGUGUGGAUGACUGAUUUUUUCUGUAUCCAUGAAAUGACACGUUCAAGCAUUUCAACUUUGUCAGUCGUUCAACAUCUAUGGGUAGGUUUAUAAUUUUAGUGCCUUCAAGAUUGAGCACCUCAAGAUUCCCUAGUUUUCCAACUUCAGGUGGCAGCUCCAUUAAAAGUUCACAGCCUCUUAAAAAGAAAAUUCGAAGUUCGAAUAACUUAAAGAGAGAUUGUGGUAAAGAUCUGAUUCUAGUGUAGGACAAGUCUAGAAUUUGGAGGACAGGCAAGCAUUCAAAGAACAUCGGAGGAAUAGCUCUCAAAUGGUGAUUGGACUGCAAAAACAACACUUUGAGUUGUGAUCCAUGAGGACUCGUUGGUAGCUCCAAAAGUUUAUUAUUCAUCAAAUGCAUCUCAUUGGCUUUUUCCCAUGCCUCAUCUUUUGGUGGUUCAAUUAGUCCCCAUCCACCCAGCCUAAGAAAGGGUGAACAUGAUUCAAAUCUUAAGAAGUUUAAUAACUCCUCAUGAAUUUCCCUUCGCAUUCUGACAAAAUCAGAAUCUCCAUACUGAAAACUCUCUAACAAGAAGGCAUUGACAAGAUCCCCCACAAUCUGUUCACCUUCAUCAAAUGUCCCUACCAAGCUGCUUGUGAUCCACUCUUCAAUCAAAUGCACUUUCUCCAUCUGUCCCCAAUUCUCCAUGUCUACACAGUAUUGUAAAUACUUGUUUGUCGAACCUGAACGGCCCCACAUGAAUGCCAAUGCAUUAAAUAAGACUCUAUCUUUUGUCUGAGAUCUGUGUUGUAAUCCUAGUGUAUAAGAUGCAUAUUCCCAGAUCAAAACAUCAUUCACGUCUUUCAAAGCUCUUGCCAUUAUAACAACAGCAAGUAAAUGGCCACAACACUUUUCAACCACAUUUAUGGCGAGGCGUUGGAUCCCUGAAGAGUGCAUAACUUCCCCAACAUUCACACAGAACAAUUGCCAUGAUAACAGAUGAUUCUCCAUCCUGAUCUCUACACCCACUGCUGUUACGUCAUCAACAUUCUGAGAAUUAGUUGUAUAAACUAUUUUUUGAAUUUUCUUUGAGUUCCACCAGUUGGUCCCCAUGUCAUAAAGAUUUACCCUUUCACCAACCUCAUGAAGAAGGAUGAAGAAGUUUGUGCCUUUCAGUGUUUCAUCUAAUUUCCGUUCUCCUGAUGUGGAGGGAAACAAGUCCCGUUCAAUUGAAAAUCUAAUCUCUUCAAUGGUGGAACAUCUUGAGACCUCAACAUCAAUGACAUGAUCAAAUAUACAACAUUCCUGUAGUUCGCCCCACAAUUCUGAAAUAACUGUUUCUCCAUGGCUUCCUGAAAUCCCAAUCUUCCGAAUUUUAGGGUAUUCUAUAUGCUGUAAAAUUUCACGAAUAGCAAAGUCCACUGCCAAAUCAUAUAUUCUUUUUGGCGUAGGCAUUAUUUGGCCAUGCCUUUGUACAUCAAUCCUGCUAAAGCUCUUCGUAAUCAAAACUUGGGAAAAUAAAGGUUCAAUUUCAACCAUGUAUCGAGUCAUCAUUGUACUGAUUCGAUUCUCUAACUUAAAAGCAUCGAUCUCUUUCUUCUUUGAAGGUGCUUCCAUUUCUCUCACCACAUCAUUGAUCUUCAAAGUGUCCCGAACCCACUUAUAUUGAUUCUGCUUGUGGCUCUCUCCAUUCAGCAAGCUCAUAAGAGGAUAAGAUAUAAUAAGGCACACAAUAUCCUUCGUCCUGUUCAAUAUCUCAGCACUCUGCUUGAUUCUUUUGUGGACACUCCUGUCAUCUUCUAACUGUGUGGAAGGCCCAGCUAUAUUGGUUUUGCUUCUGCAGAAAUGAAGGAAAAAACAUUAGAGAGAGUUCAACUAGAAAGCAAUUUCAGAGAACUAUUUGUAGUUAACCUCUUAUGAGUUGUGACAAGUGUGCACAGUAAGUACAAAUACAAGAUUGUUUGAGAAAAAUCUCGAGCAAAACAUGGUGGUAAAAGAAAUAUAGAAGCCAUUUGCAGAUAAAAUGAUAACUUUAAGUGAUUUUUAGAAGAAUUGCUUUCAAAAAUUUACUUUCUCAUACGACUCCAAGAUGAAUUCUUAAUCCAAUGUUUGCUUAGUGUAGGGUGCCUUGGUGAGAGGGACCUCAAAUACUAGAGUAUACUAAAAAGAUGUGGGGCCAUUUAUUUUUGAACAGAAAAUUUCUUUAUAUUUUUGUUUCCAAAAGUUUGCUUUUGAGAACAGAAAGUCUGGUUUAUUUUGAGUGUUGAAUCAUUAUAAAUAUUAGGAAGUGGUGGUUGAUUAUAUUUUUUCUUGAGUUUCGAAAAAGAAUUAAGUGUUUAGGAAGCCUCACAGUUCAUUGGUUUUCUCACAGGUUACAAGUUGUUCGGUCACUCAAAAAAUCUAUGAAAAUUGUUGUGUUACUGGAAACUUUAAUGCAAAUAAUAUUAGUUCAAGAACACAAAAGAUAAAAAUAAUUGACAUAAAGAAACACAAGGUUUUAACAUUGUUCGAACAAUCAUGCCUAUAUCCACGGAUGAGAGAGAAUUAUUCUACUAUACUAUAUACAAAGGAUAGAACCAAAUACAAAUAUUGUGUUCCCAAAACAUCUCAUAUUUCCUCACUCCUUUGUAGCAAUACCCUAAAUCACAAGUCCCUCACUCCAUUGGGUGUCAUCUAUUCUUCUUCACAUCUCUAUCCACCCACCCUCUAUAAUUUUUACAAGGUCAUCUCUAUCUCAUGAUUUUUCUCCUCAUGACCUGAAAUAUUUAUAGAAAUAUUCCUAACAACUUUCCUUAUUGUAUAAGAAAAUCUAAUAUUUAAAUAAGAGGAAAAGUAGAUUUUGACUCACUAAUUUGAAAAAAAUAUAAAAAAAAAACCCCUCAAAUUUGUAAAUAGGUUUUAUAUUCAUUUAUUUAAAAAUAUUUUAAAAUGCAUGUACUUUUUCAUAACUUAAUAAUUAUUUCCUGAAAUGACUUUAUUACUUAUGAUGUUAAUAACACCAAUUAACAAUUUUUUUAAUCGUAAGACUCGAUUUGACAUUAAUAAAAUAAGAAAUUUUAAAAAUUAAAAACACAAUUAAAACUAAAAAAAAAAACUUUAAAGUUAAAAAUAUAAAAAUAAAAUAUUAUGCAUCUUUAAAAUUUUUUGGUUUUUAAUUUUAUUUAAUCAUUAUGUACUUUAGUUUUAAUUCUAUUUUAAAUUUUUAAAAUUUCUUACUUUAUUGUUGAUGUCAACUAAAAUUUUUAUUCAAUUUUAUUAAAAAAUAUAUAUAUGAGAAGAUGAGAGGCUUUAUAUAAUAUAGGACAUAAAAUCAUUAUUAACUAAGAGAUAAGAAGGAUUAGAAAGAUUUUAUUUAUCACUUGAGGUUGUUGGAGAAUUUUCAUAAUGAUUUGUAUCUCAUAUUAUAUAAUAAAAAAUUUAUAAUACGUUUCAUUGUAAAACAUUUUUAUCAAAUUAAAAUGAUAAAUGAAUUUUGGAUAAUUUUAUUUAAUAUUAUCAAGUAAAAAGGUAUUUCAGGAAAUAAUUAUUUAACUUAUGAAAAAGUACAUGCAUUUUAAAAUAUUUUUAAAUAGAUGAAAAUAAAAUUGAUUUAUAAAAGUUGAGGUUUUUUUUUCUGUAUUUUUUUUUUUAAAUCAGUGAGUCAAAACCUAUUUUUCCCUUAAUAAUAUAUCAACUUAGAAAAUAUACUAUAUAAUAUUUUUUACGAAAAUGAAUCUAUAAUAAUUAGGAAUUUUGGGCACUUUUUAACCAUCUACAUAUCUUGGAUCAAUUUCUGUUAAGUUAAUCUAUCAUCCUUUUAUGAUAGACACUUUUUUGUUUAUAUCACAUCCUGAUAUCCUGAUAAGAGAAUAAUCGACUCUACCUUCAACUAAAAUUCUUUUUGCCAUCAUCUAUUGUACUUUAUUCUCUUUGCCUUCUCCAUAAAUCUUCAACCCAAAACUCUUAUACCAAUUUAUUAUGUCAGCAAAAGUUUUAAUACAAAUAAUGUUAGUUCAAGAACACAAAGAUAAAAACAUCCCACACAAAGGAACAUGAGGUUUGAACGUAGUUCGACUAACCAAACCUACAUUCACGGAUAAGGAAGAAUCAUUCUACUACACCAUAGAAAAUAUUACAAAGGAUAUAACCAUUCUACUAUACCAUAUAAAACAUUACAAAAGACAGAAUCAAAUACAAGUAUUACGUUCUGAAAUAUCUCAUGUUUCCUCACUUCUUGUAUCAAUACCUUGAACCAUAAGUCUCUCAUUUCAUUGGAUGUCUCUUAUUAUUUUUCACAUCUCUAUCCACCUCUCUCACUCCAUUGAGUGUUUCUUAUUCUUCCUCAUAUUUCUAUUCACCUCAUGUGGCCUUUACAAGUCUAUCUCCAUCUCAUAAUUUUUUCCCUCAUAAACUAGAAUAUUUAUAGAGACAUUCCUAACAACUUUCUUUAUUUUGUAAGGAAAUUUAAUAUUAUGAUAAUAUAUCAAUUUAAAAAAUAUUCUAUAUAAUAUCUUUUUACAAAAAGGAAUCAAUAUUAAUUAGGAAUUUGAGACAUUUUUUUAACAAAAAUCAAUGUAAUGGAGUAAGUAUUUAUCCAAAGAAGCUAGUGGUAUUUUUACAACACAUGGGAUAGAAUGGUGACUAAGUGUGUUUGGGAGUGUGUCUAUUUGAACUCUUUUUAGUUAAAAUACUUAAAAAAACAUUUUUAAGAUAAUUACUUAUCAAGUACUUCUUUAAAAAGCACUAUAAGUGAUUUUUCAACUUUUAAAAUUUUUCCAAACAAUAGCUUUUUUUUUUUUUUUCCAAAAGUACUUUUUAUGCUAGAAGGAUUCUAAAAAAAAAAGACAAGGAAUAAAAUAUUAAUGAAAAGCAUAGGAAAAUAUUAAAAUAUUUCAGUUUCCGUGUAUGUAUAUUUUUUAACAAUUUAAUUUUCUUUUCCUUAUAUUUCUUCAAAUUGAUAAAUGGUAGUUUUUUUCAUUCAUACUUUCAUUCGUUCAUGUACAUAGUAUAUAUAGAGGGUAAUCACCAUUCUAAGAAUAGGAAAGAAUGAUAUAAGGAAAUAACAACUAAUAUCCUAAAAUCUCAACUUUCCUAAUAUCUCAAUAUUCCUAAUAUCUCAAUAUUCCUAGUAUCUCAAUAUUCAUAAUAUCUCAAUAUUCAUAAUAUCUCAACUUUCCUAAUAUCUAAACACUAAAUGAUAUAAGGAAAGCAUUUCCAAUAUCUCAACAUUCCCCCUCAAGUUGGUGCAUAGAUGUCACACAUGCCCAACUUGUCUAAAAAUUUUGAGAACACUUGACUUGAGACAGCUUUGGUAAGGAUAUCAGCCAAUUGAUCUUCUGAUCGAAUCUUAGGCAAUUCCACAAUCUUAUCAUCCAACUUUUCCUUAAUGAAGAAUCUAUCCACCUCGACAUGCUUUGUACGAUUAUGUUGUACUGGAUUAUGAGCAAUGUCACAUGCGGCUUUAUUGUCACAAAACAAUCGGAUUAGUUGCCUAGAUAGGUAACCUAAAUCCUGUAAGAGGAGUCUUAGCCAUAAUGCCUCACAAAGUCCUAGAGACAUACCUCUAAAUUCCGCUUCUGCACUUGAACGAGCGACGACAUUCUGCUUCUUACUUUUCCAUGUCACAAGAUUACCACCUACAAAGGUAAAGUAACCAGAUGUAGAUCGCCUAUCAUCCACUGCACCGGCCCAAUCAGCAUCAGUAUAUACUUCUAUACUCUGAUGAUCAACAUUUUUAGCGAACAAAAUUCCCUUCCCAGAAGCAUUCUUCAAAUACCUCAAAAUACGCAUGACUGCAUUCAUAUGUUGCUCUCCAGGAUUAUGCAUGUAUUGACUCACUACACUCAAUGCAUAAGCAAGAUCUNNNNNNNNNNNNNNNNNNNNNNNNNNNNNNNNNNNNNNNNNNNNNNNNNNNNNNNNNNNNNNNNNNNNNNNNNNNNNNNNNNNNNNNNNNNNNNNNNNNNAUGCUCUCGGGGAUUGCUUCAACCCAUACAAUGACUUCUUCAAUUUGCACACCUUCUGACAUUGCUUUUCUGACACCAUGCAUCCUGGUGGAAGAUCCAUAUAUACUUCUUCAGAUAACUCGCCAUGCAGAAAGGCAUUUUUCACAUCGAAUUAUUGUAAUGGUCAAUCUAGGUUUGCAGCUAAAGACAAUAAUACUCGAAUUGUGUUGGUCUUAGCUACAGGUGCAAAUGUCUAUGUGUAGUCAAUUCCAUAAGUUUGAGUGUACCCUUUUACUACCAGUCUUGCUUUAAAUCGUUCAAUACUAUCAUCUGCCUUGUACUUCACAGUAUAGAUCCAACGACACCCAACUGACUUCUUUCCUGGUGGACAUUCUACGAGUUCCCAUGUUUCAUUUUUCUGCAAUGAUUUCAUCUCUUCAUUCAUGGCUGCUUUCCACCUUGGAUCAGCUAAGGCUUCCUGCACACUGUUAGGAAUAGAUACAGUAGAUAAUUGAUUUACAAAUGACUUAUUUGAUUCAGACAAACGAUGGGUAAACACAUAGUUGCUCAUGGGAUAUUUGACUUUAGUAGACAAUUCAGGUUCAUAUGUGGGUUUAGGAAUACCUCUAUUAUGACGAUGUGGUAACCGUUUCAUGAAUGGAUCAGGUUCCAAAUUAAGAACACCCUCAACAGACGACGAUUGGUUUGGUAUUUCAGUGAAGACAUCUUCGGACCCAAAUUGUUGACCACUCAUAUCCAACUCACCAACUUCCUGGUUCACUAGUUCAGAUUGUCUAGAUUCAUCUUCCUCAGAGAUAUGAUAAUUAUAAUCGAGAGUCUGAAUUUCUUUAUGAUACUCCCCCUGAAGUUCAGACUCAGAUGAAAAAUACAUUGAAUCUUCAUGAAACACCACAUCCAUUGUAAUAUACAUUUGUCGAGUUGGAGGAUGGUAACAUCGAUAUCCCUUUUUGUGCAAUGCAUAUCCAACAAACACACAUUGCAAUGCAUGGGAAGUUAACUUGGUGCGUUGGUGCUUGUGUAGAUGCACAAAUGCCACGCAACCAAAAACACGAGGAGGUAGAUUUGGGACGGUUGGGGCAACUACGGCAUUAGUAAGAACUUGGAGAGGUGUUUGAAAGUUAAUUGAGCUAGAAGGUACUCGAUUAAUCAAGUAUGCGGCAGAUGUGAUUGCUUCUCCCCAAUAAGAUAUCAGUGUUUUUUAUGCUAUCAAGGAAGCACGAACAACCUCUAACAAAUGUCGAUUUUUUCAUUCAACGACUCCAUUUUGCUGGGGUGUAUUGGAACAAGUAGUCUGAUGAAUGAUGUCAUGUCCUUCCAAAUACUUUUGAAGAUCAGAACUUUGAUAUUCUCCACCAUUAUCACUAUGCAGAACCCGAACCUUUGCAUUGUACUGAGUUUCAAUUAUUUUAUGAAAUUUUUGAAACAACAAGUUCACUUCAUCUUUGGUCUUCAUCAAGCAUAACCAUGUCAUUCUGGUACAAUCAUCAAUAAAAGUAACAAACCAACGUGAGCCACUCAAAGUUGGGACUUUGGAUGGGCCCCAAACAUUAGAAUGUAUAACCAUAAAAGGAAACAAACUUUUAUUCAAAAUUAACGGAAACGAAGCACGAUGGCUUUUAGCCAAUUCACAAAUAUCACAACGGAAACCAGAAAUAUCACUCUUUGCAAACAAACUAGGAAACAAUUUUUUUAAAUAACCAAAGGAAGCAUGUCCCAAACGUCGAUGCCACAACCAAAUUUCAGAUUUUUUCUUCUCCCCCUCAAAUCCAUUUGCCAUCAAGGCUUGUUGCAACUUAUUUGAAUCCUUUGAUUACAAGUCCAAGUAAUAGAGUUUUCCCCAUUUAAUACUACAACCAAUCGUCUGUGUUGUUUGGAUGUCCUUAAUCAUACAAAAUUCAGGCUAAAAAAUGACAAUACAAGAUAAGGUUGUAGUGAUUUGAGAAACUGACAAAAGAUUGUAAUCUAAAGAUGAAACAACUAAAACAGAAUCCAAAUUCAAAGUAUCAGUAAGAGUUAAGGAUCCUUCCCCAAUGACUGGGGUUGUGUUACCAUUGGCUGUGGAAAUAAUUUUUUGUCAGGAAGGUCUAAGGGGUGAAACCUGUUUAGAAUCAAAAGUCAUAUGAUCUGUAGCACCAGAAUCAAUUAUCCAUGCACUAUUAAUAACAGGUGUAAAAGUAUUUAAAAACUUACCACCAUGAUCAGUAGCGGCUACCAAUGCAGAGGCUUUCUCAGCAACAUUAGCCUCUGUUUUUAUUUCGGCAACAGUUGCAGUCGAGGUUUUCUUGGGAUCCUUCUUCCGUUGACCACGAUUAUUAUAAUUAAUAACAAAGUGUUGAUAGCCAAAACAUGAUCUAAAGGUCCAUGGUUCAAACCCUCGGUUCCUUAUUGUUUUCCUGGUCAUACCAAGAGUCGUUGCUUUGAAAUUGUGGGAUAUCCAGACUGGUGGGACCAGUCUUAUUGAAGUGAGUGCAUUUGAAGGUUGACUUAUCAAUAUUAGGGUUUGUCUUAGGAUGGUUGAUCGCUGUCGGACUACCAUAGCGACAAAAUAUCCAGGAUUUCAGUUCCAUGGCUCUGAUACCAUCUUCAAAUUGAUAAAUGGUAGUUUUUUUCAUUCAUACUUUCAUUCGUUCAUGUACAAAGUAUAUAUAGAGGGUAAUCAUCAUUCUAAUAAUGGGAAAGAAUGAUACAAGGAAAGAAUGAUAUAAGGAAAUAACAACUAAUAUCCUAAUAUCUCAACUUUCCUAAUAUAUCAAUAUUCUUAAUAUCUCAAUAUUCCUAGUAUCUCAAUAUUCAUAAUAUCUCAAUAUUCAUAAUAUCUCAAUAUUCAUAAUAUCUCAACUUUCCUAAUAUCUAAAUGCUAAAUAAUAUAAGGAAAGCAUUUCUAAUAUCUCAACAAUAUUUUCUAUGGACAACCAAAGGGUAUUUGAUUAAAAGGGAACAAAUCAUCCCCAUUUUGUAAAACUAACCCUUCAGCUUUUUUUUCAACUUAAAAAAUACUCAUUUUGGAUAAAAACACUCAUUUUUUUCUUGCAAAAAUAACCCUUUUAUAAAACACAAAUGUAAAUAAUAGAAGUGUUGAAGGGCACUUAUAUCAAAAUUGGGUUACAAUUCAAGUUUUAAAAAAAAUGGGAGAAGUUAGUUUUAUAAAUUAGGGAUCUUUUCAUCCCUUUAAAUCAAUUAAUCCAAUAAAAAAAAUUAUCAUUUUUCUUUCUUUCCUUUUUUUCUCCCUAUUUUCUUUCAAUCUUUUUCCAACCAUCAAACAUAGCCCAAUGAUUUUAUAUUUUGUCAAUACUCUUAUUCACGUUUUCUUAAUAGUUUUGUUAUUACUAAAUACCACCUUGCUUCAAAAUUUAUGGUUUUAUACAUGUUUACGUCUAUAUGAGUUCCCUUUUAAAGAAAAGAAACUCUUAUUGUUAAUCCAUGCCAAUUUUACCUUCAUCCAAUGCACCAAUUUAUUAUUCUAUCUUUACAUGUUUCAUAUCAUUAAUUAAUAAAGAUAAAAAAGAAAAUAUAAAAAUUAUGAAAAAAAAAAAUUUAAAUAAACAAAGGAAAAUAAUCAUAUUGAAUGGAAAAAAAAAUCCAAGAAUAAAAACAAGUUGAUUUAAUAAAAAAAAAAUAUAACAAUUAAAAAGGUUUUUUUUUUUACUUCAAUUUCCUCAAACAUGUCCUAAAAAUGAAGGUAAAAAAAUUGGGAAAAAUGAGUUUUGACUCACCAAUUUGAAAAAAUAUAGAAAAUGAAGCCCAAUUUUUAUAAUCAAAUUUAUCUUCAUCUAUUUAAAAUUAUUUUAAAAUACAUGCACUUUUUAAAAAAUCACAUAAUUAUUUCCUAAAAUAAUGUUUUACUUAUUAGGUUAAUAAAUCCAAUUGACAAUUUUUUUUUUACCAUGAAAAUUGAUUUGAGGUUAAUAAAAUAAGAAAUUUUAAAAAUUAAAAAUACAAUUUAAACUAAAAAAAACUUUAAAGCUAAAAAUAUAAAAAUAAAAUAUUAACUUUCACUUCAUUUAAUCCCAUUAGUAAAAAAAUAUAGAUUUCACAUAGAGUUGGGAAUAUUUUAUUGUUGAUGUUAACUUUUAGUAAGAGAAUUAAAAAUAUUUUAUUUAUCAUUUUAUGAUUCUAGAGAAUUUUUUCAAAAUGACUUGUAUUUCAUAUUAUAUAAUAAAAAGUUUAUAAUCUAUUUAUUUGUAAGAUGUUUUGAUCACAUUAAAAUAAUCAAUUAUUUAUUUGAUAAUUUUGUAAUAUUAUCACGUAAAAUGAUAUUUCAGAAAAUAAUUAUAUGACUUAUAAAAAAGUGCAUGUAUUUUAAAAUAUUUUUAAAUUAAUAAAGAUAAAACUAAUUUAUAAAAGUUAAGGUUACUUUUUCUAUAUUUUUUUAAAUUAUUCCCUAAAUAUUUGUUGAUAAUAAAAAUAAUCUUUAAAAAAAUAAUAAAAAAUUAAAAUAAUAGAAAUCUUUCAAAGGUAAAGAAAUCUUGGAAAGAGAAAAAAAAGGCACUUCAAGUAAUUUAAAUGAUGCUUUAAAAAAAUAAAAGAAAGAAGAAAAAGAAAUCAAAUUUACUUUAAAGUUUAAACAUACUUCUUAUUGAUGGAUGAUGAUAGUAGAUGAAAUUUUUUGAUUAUUCUACCCAAACACAACAAAAAAUAAAAUAUGAUAAAAAUAUUCAAUUAUUCUACCCAAACACAAUAAAAAAUAUAUGUGAUGAGUACCUAAGAAAAUAUGACAAAAUGAAAAUAAUUUUCAUUUUUCUCAAACAUGACAAAAGAUAUAAAUAGAUUAGUUAAUUUUGGAUGGUAAGGAAACUCCCUUCAAGAUUUUCAUAUUUUAAAAUUUAAAGCCUAUUAAGAAUCCAUUUGCAGUGAUUUUAGGAAAUACUUUUAAUUUUUCUAACACUUGAAAUUUUUUAUUAUUCAAGUAUUAGAGUUGCUAGAAACAUUUUUUGGAAUUACUUCUAAAAGCACUCUAAAUUUCCUAGUUAGAUGUUGUAAACAUAAAAAUUUUAGUGGAUUAAAUUACCACUAAUUUGAUCUUCAAAAUGAAUAAAUAAAUAAAUAAAAAUAGAUAUCCUCUUAUCGAUAAGUUUACUAGAAAAGGAAAAUUAAUGUCAUAAUAUUUAUAAUAAGAAAAAUAUUAUUAUUAUUAUUAUUAUCUUGUUGGUGAACCAGAAGAAAAAUUAAUAAAAUCAAGGAACUAAAUCUCUUGAAUUAAGAAAUUUAAGUUCCCUACCUUCACCUAACUUUUUUCAAGAAAGGGGAUCAGGGGAGAAAUUUAGAAAUCGGAAAAACUCAGAGAAAAAAAUCCAAAGGCAACUUUGUACGAGAAAAAAAACUUCACAACAUAAGAAAAAGUUUUAUCAAAUCUCUCUGACAAGUUUGGUAAACAAUAGAACUAUUACACGUGUUUUUCGCCAUUUAGCAAGUUCACUAGAGAAAAAGCUACUCCAAGCCCUUGAUUGAUCUUCAAAUCCAAGGAAACAAGUUUGUCAUCAUUCUUCAAGUUGUGGUAAAAACAAAUGAAUUAGAGGAAAAAUAUUCUUUUGUAAAUAAUAUUUUAUUUGAGACUAUACCCUACAAUUUUAAUUUCAACAAAUACUUUGUUCCCAUUAUUUUUCCUAUUGUUUUGAUAAUUUUAUAGGACUUUAUAUGAAAUUUGUGCGUACAAAUGACAAAAUGAAUUAUCAUAAUAUUACUUUGGGGUGACAUUUGAAUUUUUUUUUUCUCUUUUAAGAUAAGCAAUGUGAUGAAUUAAAACACUCACGAGUAUCUCCAAUAGAGAUGCUAAAGAAGACUUAAAAAGUUUUAGCUUUCCAAGUAUUUAAAAUUAUUACAUUUAUAAAUUUAAAAAUUCAAAUUGAUUAACUAAGUUAUAAUAAUAAUAAGUUUAAUAUAUUAAAAUUGUGUUAACAGAUUGAAAUCAUGUUAACAACUAAAUGGAUUAGAAUUGUGUUAAUGAGUUUACAACAUUGAAAUCAUGUUUACGAGUUAUUCAUGUCAAUUCAUACAUAAUCUAGACUUAACUCAUUUAUUAAAUGGACUCGUGUGAGGUCAUUUGGAUAUGAUGAUUAAAUGUAUGGUAUUCAAAUCAAAUAAAUUUUUUCUAUUUUUAAAGUUUAGACUACAUGAAUUUUGACUCAUUUGGCCCGUGCUAUAUAUAUAUAUAUAUAUAUAUAUAUAUGUGUGUGUGAAAGAGAGAGAGAGAGAGGGGGUUAUUUAAUUAAAAGGGAUGAAACAAAAAAAUUCCUUUUUUAUUUUUUAUUUUAUAAAAAUACCCACAUCUUUUUCUUAUAAAAAUAAUCUUUUCUUUUAAAAUUUACAUGUAAAUAAUUAAAAUAUGGAAUGAAAUUUAUGUCAAAAAUAGACUAAUUAAGUGGAGUGGGUUAAUAUAUAUAAAGUUAUUUGAUUAAAAGUUUUUGUUUUCAAAAAUAGAGUACUUUUAGGACUCUUUGACAAUUAGAAUAGUUGUUUUUAGUUAUUUUCAUUUAUUUUUUUGAGAAUUAUUUUUAAAAUAAUUAUACAAAUACUAAGAAUAAUUAAAAAUAAAAAACUGCAUAAAAAUUAUUUUCUAAACAUAUUUAAAAAUAUAUAAAACAUGUUAAAAACAUUUCAAAUCCUAAACAUAUAUUUGUUUUACAAAACAUCGAGAAUUGUAUUCAAAAACUGUUUUUUAGAACUAUUAUAAAAAACAAUUACCAACGUAACAUUAACUCUUCAUUUGUUCUAUUUCUUUUUGACAAAAAUAACUUCACUUUUAUUUUUAUAAUAUGCAUAUAUAUAUAUAUAUAUAUAUAUAUAUUAAAGAUGAAUUGCUUUUCAAUUAAAAACAUUGGAUGAGUAUAGGAGAAUUCUUACCGAAUCAAAUUUUGAGAGUGGGCACGCAAAGCUCUCGAUGCCUCAACCCUCCUAUCAAAUUGAGCCUUCUUAUCCAACACCUUCAACCACUUCAUCACCCUCUUCCGAUGUUUCAUACUGAGUCAUAGUUUACAAAUGAAUUUAUAUGUGAAUAAAUUGAAAAGGAAAAUUUUUAAGUUUAUGUUUCAUUUUUUAACUUUUUGUUGAAAACAACUUCCCUUCAAAUUUCAAAAUGUUUAUUCUUUUAUAUAUAUAUUUGAAAGUUUAAAUCCAAAUACUUAAAACGGUGGAGACAUUUAUGUUAAAGAUGAAUUACUUUUCAAUUAAAAACAUCAGAUAGUAAAAGAGAAUUCUUACUAAAUCAAAUUUUGAGAGUGAGCACAGGAUGGUCCUGAUGCCUUAGCCUUCGUAUCAAAUUGAGCCUUCUUAUCCAACCACUUCAUCACCCUCUUCUGAAGAUCCAUACUGAAUCACAGUUUCCAAAUGAAUUUACAUGUGAAUAAAUUUGAAAGCAAAAUUUUUAUGUAUUUGCUUUUUUUUUUUUUUUGAAACUUUAUAGUGAAAACAACUUAAAAUGUUUGUGUUUUAUUUUUUACAUUCUUACUAAAUAUUAAAAUCCAAAUUAUUUGACUUUUCUGAGUACUAAAAAUAAAUUUUUAUUUAUUUUACUUCUUAAUAUCUAAUAAAAAUAAAAUAUUAGAAAUACAAAUAACUUAAUAUUUUAAGUUAUUAUUAUUAAGUAUUAUUUAGCUUUAAAUUUCAUUUAGAAUUAAGUGAAAAAAACAAACAAGAGUAUGUUUGAUUCAAGGAAAAUACAGAAAGAAAGAAAGAAAAAAUAUAAAAAAUAAUAUACUACUACCUAAUUUAACUUAUUUUAAGUGAUUAAAUAAUCUAAAAAUAUAUAAGUUACAAACCUAUUUUAAUUACACGAUAAAAUCAUUCUUUUUUAACAUCUUUUUUCUUUGGAACCAAACCUACAUGGCCUCAGAACAGGGUAUCACUUACGGAUUGGGAUCCCCUUCGGAAGACAACGGCCACCGCCGCAGCAACCUCUGCGAGACCUCGCCCAGAUCAUUUCUAAAUCUCACAGUAUGUGAAGACAACGGCCGCCUCCAAGGCAACUUCAGCCACUUCCAACGCUGAUAAAGCUGCUCCCCCUGAUCGUUACUAAAUCCCAGAGUGUCGGAAUCGGAAUCCGAAUCUGAAUUCAUAUCCCAUUCCCAAUCCGAAUCUGAAUCUGGAUCUAUAACUUUUCCCAGUUCACUCGUACCCUCCACUGUCAAGUUUUGGCUGUUGCUCUGCUUCGCCUCCAUCCCUCAGUCGGUAAGGUAGCUAUGAAUUUCCAUCACCAAUUUUAGCUGAUUUUUCACCUGCAUAAACUGAAAGACUGGUAGGUCUUUGAAGGCACAUUUGGUUCCUUCGAAUUCAACCCCGGACGCCUUCGUCCUGUACUCUAGAGAGGGUCCAAAUUAUAUAAUAUAGCUAGGUUUACUCCAAGGCAGUGAACAGUUAUUUAAUAAAGUUAAUAACUUAAUACUAAAUUAAUUUUUAAAAUUUAUUUAAUAAAAACUAUAAAAAAAAUAAUUUAUUUUAAAGAAAUAAGCUUUUUUAUAAAAAAAAUUAUAAAAGAAUUUGGAACAAUAUAAUUUAUAAUUAAAUAACAAAAUUAUUUAUUUAGACCUAUUUUAUAGCCGGGUGUUUUAGCUUUAAAGUUACGUUAGAAUUCAAACCAAUAAAAAAAUAUUAUUUUAUUAGAUACUGAACUCCUAAUUAUUUUCAAAAUAUUAAUUAAGUUUAAUAAAUAAUAUUAAUGAAUUAACAUAAAAAUCUAAUAUGAAAUAAAAAUAAUUUUAUUUAAUUUUUUAUUAAAAAAUAUUAUUAAAUAAAAUUAUCAAAUAAUUGUAACAUCAAAUAAUAGAAGAUGUAAAUAUAGAAUAAAAAUAUUUUUGAAACUAAAUUUUUUAUUAAAUAAACUAAUUUUAAUUAAUCUUAGUAACCACUAAUAAAAAAUACUAAACAAUAUUAAAUAAAAAAUUUGUUGUAAAUUUAUAUAUAUAUAUAUAACACAUUUUAAUUUUAAAAUUAUUAUAAUUAAUUAAAAUUUAAAAAUAAUAUUAAAUAAUAAAAAUCGAAUAUCAAAUAAAAAUUUGAAGCAAAAUCAUCGUAAUUCACCUUUAUCUUUAUUAUUUUAAUAUUUCAAUAACUUAAAUAAGAGGGUUGUACAAUGGGAUGUGGGUUUGUACACGUAAUAUUGUGCAUGACCCUUGUGUAGUGAAGAAUGGGUGAAUAGGGUCCACGUGUCGUUAUGUGGUGCAUCUCUUGUUCAGAUAGUAGAGAAAACGGUUACACUUAGUUCUCAAUUAAAUUACAUAUAUAUCAUUCUUAUUAGUUUGGUGUAAUGGGAGAUCAAUGGUUUAAACAAAAUAAGGAAAGUAAAAAAGUUACAACAAUACUUUCAUUCUAGCUUUUAUAGUAUAAAGAUAUUGGGGUGAUUUCCACAACCAUUGUUUUAUUCUUUCUACCCACCUAUUGAACAAGCCAAUUGAGGAGGUGCAUUUUUUCACUCUAAGGUAAUAUUGUUUUUUAUUUAUGAAAAUUUGAUUUUUAAAAAAUGUGGUUUUUUCAUUUAUUUUAGUUUAUUUUAAAAUAAAAAAUAAAAUAAGAAAUAAAACUCUAAUGUAACUUCUUAUGUUUCUCAAAAAAAAUAAAAAAAUUGUAAAAACCAUUUUAUCCAAAAUUGGGUUAUUUAUUAGGAAGCUAUGAUAAUAAACACCUCUCCCACAUAGUUAUGGUUUCUAUAGAACAAAUGAAGUGAAAUAUAAUAAUUAAUAAUUAAUUAAUCAUGGAUACGGGAAUGAUACGUACAAAUAAUUAUGUACAAGUUAUAGUAAAAAUUAAAUUAUAAGAAUAGAUAAAAUAAAUAAAUAAAAAAGAAGCAAAUUGAUUUAUUAAGUUAAUUAGAAAAAAAUAUUUUAUUAUUUACCACAUAAUUUGAAGAAUUUAUUUGUAUUAAAAAACAAUUUUAAAUUGAUGAUUUCAAUUUGUUCACUUAAUAAAAAUUUUAAUUUAUUUUUAAUUGAUUUAAUUUAAUUUGUAUUUAAUUUUCAUGAAAGUUAUUUACAUAUGUUUUAUCAAAAUAAUUAAGAAAAUUCAAUUUGACAAUAAAGAUGAUUUUUACUUGCUUUACUAGAAAAAUAAUGAAUUUUUAUAAUUUUAUUUAAUAAAAAUUAUUUUUGCAAAUAGACAGAAAAAUGAAUUUUUAUAUAUAUAGUUAUUUGUAAGCAAAUUGAUUUUUGUGAAAAAAUGAAGUUUUCAAUUUUCUUUACAAAAAUAUUAAAAACCAAGUAGGAAAAAAAAAUUAAUUGGAAGAUUACUUUUUACAAAAUUGUUUUAAUCUUUUUUCUUUGCGUUUUUUUUUUUACUUACCAUAAACGAUGUAUUUUCUAUUUUGUUCAAAAAGAUUUAUUAAAAAAAUGAUUUUAUCCUUCUUUGAUUUUUGUGGAAAGGUUUUUUUUUUAAAAAAAAAAAUUAUCUUUGAUUUUAUUAAAAAAAAAAAAAAGAGUUUUGAAAUUUUGUAUCAGGUUGAAAGACGAGCCACAGUUAAGUUUUGGUGAAGUAGCUUGAAGUGUGGCAGCUACCAUUCCUACCAUGACCAUCAUAUCGUAUCAAGGUUGAAUGACAAGUCAAUUUCUGUCCGCUACAGUUAAGUUUCGGGUGAAGUAGCUUGAAGUGUGGCAGCUGCCAUUAUCAAGGUUGAAUGACCAGCCAAUUUCUGUCCGAUGCAGUUGAUUAUUAGGUGAAGUGAAGUGAAGUGUGGUAGCUGCCAUUCCUGUUGACCAUGACCAUUGUAUCAUAUCAAGCUUGAAAGACCAGCCAAGAGUUUUGGUGAAGUAGCUUGAAGCGUGGCAGCUGCCAUUCACCAUGACCAUUAUAUGGUAUCAAGGUUGAAUGACAAGUCAAUUUCUGUCCGCUACAGUUAAGUUUUGGGUGAAGUAGCUUGAAGUGUGGCAGCUGCCAUUAUCAAGGUUGAAUGACAAGUCAAUUUCUGUCUGCUACAGUUGAUUAUUAGGUGAAGUGAAGUGUGGCAGCUACCAUUCCUGUUGACCAUGACCAUUGUGUCAUAUCAAGCUUGAAAGACCAGCCAAUUUCUGUCAGCUAUAGAUAAGUUUUGGUGAAGUAGUUUGAAGUGUCGCACUGCCAUUCACCCUCAAAUGAUAUGACCAUGGGAAGGGAAAAUUCUAUAGUACCUCUAUCGGUACCGUACCAAAGCCCUUGAUGCCCUAAAUUAUAUCUUGACCAUUCAUUUUAAAUUUAAGAAGAAAAAUCAACUCGAUCAAUUAAGGGAAGAACCGAUUAUGACCUUCCCUAUGGUACCUCUGUUGGUACCCCACCAAAAAUCUUUUAAGCCAUUGGAUGCCCUAAAUUACAUCUUGACCAUUCAUUUUAAAUUCAAGAAGCAAAAUCAACCCGACCGAUUAAGGGAAGAACUGAUUAUGACCUUCCCUACGGUACCUCCGUCGGUACCCUACCAAAAAUCUUUUAAGCCAUUGGAUGCCCUAUAUUACAUUUUGGCCAUCCAAUUUAAAUUCAAAAAGAAAAAUCAACUCGACCGAUUAAGGGAAGUAUCGGUUGUGACCUUCCAAUCUCUUUUCUUUUUCACUUUUCCUCCAUCCAUUUUCAACCAUUUUGGGUUUAUAUAAAACAAAUAAAAGAUAAAUAUUGAGAUAAAAAAAUAGAAUUGGAUAAAAAUAAAAAUAAAAAUAAAAUUGAUAUAAAAUUUGCAAAACAUAUUUAUUAACAAAAAAAAAAAAUCAUCACAUAUUAUAAUUACAUUGUUUUAUUUUUAACAUUAAAUUUUUAAUUUUACGUAACAAUGAAUAUAAUAAUAUUUUAAUAUGAAAUGAGUAUUUGCAUUAAAAUUCAAUAUCUUGAUAAUCAUAUGUAAAACAAAUGUAUUAAAUAAUUAGAUUGUCCUCAUAUUUUUUAUACCCUCCAAAUUCUAUAUUUUUUGAAUUUAAGGUUUUUAAAUUAUAAUUACAAUAAAAUAAAUUACAAAUAUUAUUUUGAGUUACUAAUGAUGGUAUUUUCAAAAAUAAAUUUGUAAUUUCAAGAAAUUAAAAACUAAAAGUCGGUAUGAAAAAUGUUAUGAAGGUACUAAGCAUGUAUUUAUCACAUUCUUCAUAUCAUGUGAUCAUGGGAAUUAUUCUGAAAAAAAAUAAAUUAAAACACUAUGCAAUUGUAGAGGGUAUGAAAAAUAUGAAGAAUUCUUAUAUUCUUCAUACCCUUCUUCACAUUUUUAGUACUCCCAAAAUUUUAUAAUUUUUCAAAUUUUAAGAAAUUUUUUCCACUUGUAAAUAUAAUAAUAUUGCUUAUUGGUACUAAUUAAGCUAAAAAAUGAUGGAAAUUAUAUUUUUAAAAUUUAAAAAUUAAAACACUAAAAAAUUGGAGAGGCUACGAAGAUUAAUAUAAGCAUCCUCACAUUCUUUAUAUAUUUUCUCACAUUUUUCGUACUCUCAAAAUUUUUCAAUUUUUUGAAUUUUAAAUACAUUAAUAUUGUUUAUUGAUACUGAUUAAUCUUAAAAAUGAUGGAAAUUAUCUUCAAAAAAAUUAAAAAGUUGAAAUAGUAAAAAAUUGAAGAGGGUAUGAAGAAUGUGAGGCUAACAUUCUUCAUACCAUUCCACACAUUUUUCCUACCAUCGAAAUUUACAAAUUUUCAAAUUUUCAAAAUUUUUUUUUCCACUUGGAAAUACAAUAAUAUUUUUUUUAUUAAUACUAAUUAAAUUUAGAAAUGAUAGAAAUUAUCUUCAAAAAAAUUUAAAAAUUAAAAAUUGAAGAAAGAACAAAGAUCCUCACAUUCUUUAUAUCAUUUUUCACAUUUUUCAUACCAUCAAAAUUUUACAAUUUUUCAAAUUUUAAGAAUUUUUUUCCACUUGGAAAAACAAUAAAUAUUGUUUAUUAAUACUAAUUAAGCUUAGAAAUGAUAGAAAUUAUCCUCAAAAAAAUUAAAAAAUUGAAAUAGUAAACAAUUGGAGAGGGUACAAAGAAUGUGAGGAAUGUUCACAUUCUUCAUACCCUUCCUCACCUUCUUCAUACCUUUGAAAUUUUAAGAUUUUUUUUCACACUUGGAAAUACAAUAAUAUUUUUUUAUUGAUACUAAUUAAUUUUAGAAAUGAUGGAAAUUAUCCUCAAAAAAAUUAAAAAAUUAAAACAUUACCCUUGAAAUUUUACAAAUUUUCAAUUUUUUUUUUCCACUUGGAAAUACAAUAAUAUUGUUUAUUGAUACUAAUUAAAUUAGAAAUUAUGGAAGUUACCCUUAAAAAAUUUUAAAAAAUAAAAAUUAAACACUAAAUUUUACAAUUUUUUUAUUUUUUUUCCACUUAAAUAUACAAUAAUAUUAUUUAUUGAUAUUAAUCAAGCUUAGAAAUGGUGUAAAUUAUCCUUAAAAAAAUUAGAGAAUUAAAAUACUAAAAAUUUGGUAAUUGUACAAAGAAUGUGAGGAAUUGUACAAAAAAUAUGAGGAUUCUCACAUUGUUCUUCGUACAAUUUUUCACAUUCUUCGUACUUGGGAUUUUUACAUUUUUUAUGAUUUUAAGAAUUUUUUUCCAUUGGAAAAUGCAAUAAUAUUGUUUAUCCGUAGUAACUAAGCUUAGAAAUGACAAAAAUUAUCCUUAAAAAAAAUUAAAAUUUAAAACACUAAGUAAUUGUAGAGGGUACGAAGAAUGUGAGGAUUAAAAUUUUAUAAUUUUAAGAAUUUUUUUAUUUGGAAAUUCAAUAAUAUCUCUUACUAUUCUAAUUAAGCUUAGAAAUGAUGAGAAUUAUCAUAAAAAGUUUACAAAAUUUAAAAUUUUAAAAAGUAAAUAAUCGUUUUCCAAUUUUAAAAACGAAACUCGUUUUUUUGUUUGUUUUGUGAAAUUUUGAUUUUUAGAAAAAGACUUGGAAUCAUCAUUUUUUUUUUUUUUAAGGAAAACAUAGAAUAAGAAAGAAAAACCAUAAGUGUGACUUCUUAAGGAAAAAAAUAGGUCUGUGAAAAAUUGAGUCUGGGUCCGGGGGUCAAGUUACCUAUUGGGAAGGUAUGGUGGUGAGUCAUAACACCCCUCUAAGUCCCUAAAAACUGGUCUCUACUAAAUAAUGUGAAACAAACAUAACAAUUAACUAGGAAAUUAAUAGAUACCAAUGAAAUAAUCAAAUAAUAAAAUGAAUCAUGUAUGAGAAUAAGCAAAGUGAGAGUGAGAGCGUACCUUGACAACAAGUAAUAGUGCGCUGUCAUGGAAACAAAGUUAGUUCAAGUAUAAAAUUAUCACAUGCAUAUCAAAGAACAAGAUAAAGAUCAAACAAUAUUCAUUAAGCGUAGUAGUUGACAAUCAGAAGAGAUCAUAUGUAAGGCCCCCAUCAAAGCCCAAAUUUAUCUUGUAUGAAUUAGUCUCAUUAAUUCCAUUAUUUUGGAAUUAUGAAAAAUUCAUUAUUGCUUAUUGAAAAUAAAGGAAAACGAAAAAAAUUAUUUUUAAAUCAAAGAAAAUUUGAGAAAAAUGCUUACCUAAAAGGAAAUGUAGCAAGUUUAUUUAAAAACGGGAUUUUUAGCUACUUAAAACCCUAAUGAAGGAUGAAAAAUGGUAGAAUUAAAAAAAUAUUUGAAAACUUGAGUGAGAUUAAAAUUAUUUGAAAGAAAACCAGAGUUUUGAAAUUUGUUUGAAAAUUGAAGUAUCGAAAAUUAUUUGAAAAUUGGAGUUUUGAAAAUUAAAUUUAAGAAUUGGAAUUUUGAAAAUUAAAUUUGAAAGAAAUUGAAAUUUUGAAAAUUAUUUAAGAAUUGGAGUUUUGAAAGUUAAAUUUAAGAAUUGGAGUUUUGGAAAUUAAAUUUGAAAGAAAUUGGAGUUUCGAAAAUUAAAUUUAAGAAUUGGAAUUUUGAGAAUUAAAUUGAAAGAAAUUGGAAUUUUGAAAAUUAUUUGAGAAUUGGAGUUUUGGAAAUUAAAUUUGAAAGGAAUUGGAAUUUUGAAAAUUAUUUGAGAAUUAGAGUUUUGAAAGUAAAAUUUAAGAAUUGGAGUUUUGGAAAUUAAAUUCGAAAGAAAUUGGAAUUUCAAAAAUUAUUUAAAAAUUGGAGUUUUGAAAAUUAAAUUUAAGAAUUAGAGUUUUGGAAAUUAAAUUUGAAAAAAAAAAUUAGAGUUUUGAAAAUUAAUUGAGAAUUGGAGUUUUGAAAAUUAGUUUUAAGAAUUGAAGUUUUGGAAAUUAAAUUUAAGAAUUGGAAUUUUGGAAAUUAAAUUUGAAAGAAAUUGUAAUUUUGAAAAUUAUUUGAGAAUUGGAGUUUUGAAAAUUAAAUUUGAAGAUAAUUAAAGUUUGGAAAGUUAAAGUUUUGAAAAUUAAACUUAGAAAUUGGAGUUUUGAAAAAUUAAAUUAAAAAUUGGAGUUUUGGAAAUUUAUUUGAAAAGGAAAGUUUGGAAACUUAAAUUUAAAAAUAAUUCAAGUUUGGAAAGUUGAAGUUUUGAAAAUUAAACUCAAAAAUUGGAGUUUUGAAAAAUUAAAUUAAAAAUUGGAGUUUUGGAAAUUAUUUGAAAAUUAGAGUUUUAAAAAUUAAAUUUGAAAAUUGAAAUUUUCUAAAAAAUUGGAAUUUUGAUACCAAAAGAUGAAGAAUUAAGAUAUCGACAUGUGGUCGUUGGAUUGUGCACUAGAUGGGUGGCCAUGCAAAAGUGGGGGCCAGGAUGCAAGGUGACUACUUAGAGACUGUGUGGGCUGUGACAGGCUAGGAAGGCUGCUUGGUGACUGUGUGGGCUGUGUCAGGCUAGGAAGGAUAAUGGGUGACUGUGUGGGUUGUGAUAGGUGUAUAGGGGUAAGCUAGUGAGCGAUAGGGUACGAUGGGUUUGGUGACAUAGGGUUAAUGGUGGUAAGCUGGUCCCAAGGUAUGGCUUAUUCAACUAAGUAGGUAAUACGAGUUUCUUCCAGUUUCUUCCACUAUAGGAGCUUCUUAAUCAAAUGAAAGGAUUGAGCAGGCAACAUGAUUCUUCCGGUCGCUUUCAAUUUCAUCAAGAAUUGACCACCGAUUCAACAAAUACUCCUUUAACUGUAAGACCCUUAUGGGAUUGAAGCUCUUGCGACCACCUGAGGGGCAAACUGCAUAACCCAUCAUAAUCGCCUAAAACUCUAAAGCAUUAGGUUUCCAUCCAUCCUUGUGCAUCGACUCAGAAAGCCCAGAAAUCUACUGGUUUCACUCACCCAACUGAAAAUGGAGCUUCACACCGACAUUCAACAAUCUCAUAUACUCCAUCUCAAACCCCGUACAACCCAAUAGGAGACUCACAGGAAGGUAUACAGAGGAACAGAGCAAAGACGAGCAGAGUAAAAGAAAAAGAAAGAAAAGAAAGAAAGAAAAAUAGAAAAAAAAACAAAUAGAAAAUCAAGAAAAAAUUAAGUGCAUGAAGCCUCAUUUCAUAUGUCUUUCGUGAGCUCGAAGCAAGUGGGGGAAACCUAAAGAAGAUUCAAAACAUGAAUAAAGAUACCUCCAAAUUGCUACACAAUGUAUAUAGAACAGAGUCCCGACAACCUGAAAUCGGCCCACGAGAAUAGCAGGUGAAUCAACAACAACGAAGUACAUAAAAAGAAAUAUCCGAAAGUCAAUAAAGCUCAACAUGUAAUCCAUAUUAUCCACACCUAAAUCAACAAAGCGAUACCAGGCAAACAAGAGGAAUGAGAGAAGAGAAGUAUGUAAUUCAAAAUAGGUUUCGUGACAAACUUACCUGGAGUUGCUCCUUAUCUAUAUUAUGCUCAUUCCCCUAUCACUGCUCGUUUCUCUUCUUUUCUCUUCAGCUCGCUCUCCCCGAGGGUGGCCAUAUUGGUGUGGAUGAAAGUGGUGGUUGUGAUGUAGGCGAUGUCUUCCAUGCAGAUAGAGGUGUGUGGUGCCACGUAGGGCGAGGCGCAGUGGUGCUAUGGGCGUGGCGUAAAGGUUGGUUCUAUACGGAAUAGGUAUGGAAGGCCGUGGAAGUGACCAGGAUGUGGGUAGCAACAAGACGGUGAUGAUCUGGAUGGGUAUAGAGGUUGCUAUAGAGGUGAUGGAGUUGAAGGUCGUGGGUGCAUAUGUGUUGGGUGUUGAGAUGGAGCCACCUACUGGUGUGGGCUGGGUUUUGGCGCUGUGUUUGGGAGCUUGGUGGUUCUCCUUAUUGGAAGCAAAAAAGAAAAAAAAUGGUGAUUUGGGUGAGGUGGUGAGGUUGCCGGUGGAUGGAGUUGUGGUUGCCCCGGUCUUCUUGGGUUUCCUUGGUGAGAAAAAAAUAAAAAUAAAUGGUGCUCCCCCCUUAAAGCCCAGAACCAAAUCCAAUUUCAAAAGCAAUAAUAUAAUAGCAAAACCAAAAAAACUAUUCUCCAAAAAAACAGGGGUCUACAAUAAUAAUAUUGUUUAUUCAUACUAAUUAAUCUUAGAAAUGAUGAAAAAUAUCCUCCAAAGAAUUAAAAAAAUGAUACACUAAAAAAUUGGAGAAGGCAUGAAUUACAAUUAAAAUUAAUUGAAAUCACACAAUUUCUUUUUCGACUUCAAUUAACCGUUGUAUUGUUUUUCCUAAUUUCAAAAUUUCAUCCAAUCUUUAAAACAAAAAAAAAAAAAAAAUCAAAUUUAGAAUAAAAAAUUAAUAACACAAUUUUCAAUUACUAAUUAACAAUAGAUACUUAUUUUUAAAUUUAUUUUAAAAAAAUUUCCACUUCAAAUAAUUAUGAUAUCCUUUAAAAAGAAUAAUUACACUCACACUUUUUUCACCCUCUAAUUUUUCUAAUUUUUUAAUUUAAUAUUUUUUUACCACUUCUAAUAGCAUUAAUAUUACUUAGGCAUACUAAUCAUCCUUAGAAAUAAUGGAAGUUAGCCACACAAAAAAAAAAUAAAAACACAAAUAAAUUUCCUUAUAUAUAUAUUUUUUUUAAAUUCCACUUCCAAAAAAUGCUUUUAAUAUUUAAUCCAAUCUUCUAAAAAAAUAAAAAAUAAAUGAAUAAAUUAAAAUUAAUAAAAAAAAUUAUAAUACCAUUUUUAAUUAAUAAUUGAUUGAUCAUAAUUCUAAUUUUUAAUAAUAAAUACUAAUUUUAAUUUAAUUAUAAAUUAUUUUUUUUACAAGGUCUUAGUGUUUAAACCUCAUAUCAUAAAAUGAGAUCACUUCCUUUUCAAAGAUAUGGUCACCGAUGGGUUACUUGUAGUAUUGGUUAUUUUGAAUUUUUUAUUCAUCUAGUGGUUUAUUCUUGUCGGUUAAAAAAUGGAGGUAUGUAACGAAAAGCACUGUUCGGUUUUAAGUCAUUGGAUGCCUAAGAUUACAUCUUCACCAUCCAUUUAAAAUUCAAAAAGAAAAAUCAACUCGACCGGUUAAGGGAAAAACCAUUUCAAUCUCUUCCCUUCUCACUUUUUCUUCGUCCAUUUUCCACAAUUUUGAAAACUUACACGUGGCUUAUUCUUAUCGGUUAAAAAAUGAAGGUGUGGUACCAAAAAGCACUGUUCGGUACCAUAGAAUGAUCCUCAUGGAAAGUCAUGAUUCCACGUUGAAAGACAAGCCCAAGUGUGUUCCUACUUACCCUCAAAGAAUAUGACUUUUUGUUCCAUGAUGAAAAAUAUGUGCCAACUGCCCUUCCUACCGACCCCUCAAAGAAUAUGACUUUCUGUUCCAUGAUGAAAAAUAUUAAAGGGGACCAGGAAAAAGACAAGACAUUUAUGUUUAUUUUUGAUGCUUGUACCAAAAUUUUAAAUGAGUUAUUUUUCUGAUGAUUCUGAAAUGAGGUGAUUGAAGACGGAACAUUACAUGUCAUCUAUUGACGAAGGGCCUUAAUUUGCAUUGGAUUUAGCAUCAAUGAGAUCAUGAAUGGAUGGCAAUGAUGAUUUCUUUAUGGGCAGAUGUAUAAAUUAAGGCUAAGUUGGAAGUUUGGCAUAGGGGUUCCUCUCUGCAGGCGCUAUUUUCAAGUCCAACCUUAAAUGUGGUCAGGUGGUAAGUUGUCUGGUUCAAAUCUACCAACAUUUGCAUUUUUUUAACCACCACAAGAAGGAACUAAGUUGAGAUGGUGGAAAUAAUACUAUCUUGACACCAUGGAAGUCAACUCAAGCCUCAAUCGUCAAGCUUUUCUGGAUGGUGUGCAGUGGGCAGUCCAUGGAGAUCUAAACAGCAAGAUCGAUAGUGGGAUCUGAUGCGUUUUCCAAGCCUCUUUCCCUGAAUUUGGAUCCUCAUCAGCAUCUCUCUCUCUCCGUUUCUUCAAUCAGGUUCAUUUUUUUUCCUUCAAUGUGAUUUUCCCCUCUCUACGAGUUGUUUGCUUGUUUGAUUUCAUAACAUUAAGUGACUGCACCUUAAAUACAUGAUCUAUUUCUAACCGAAAGGUUUGAGGGUGAGUUUGUGAUAUCCCAUGCAGAUCUCUUUUAUAUUAAGAAGAUAAAGCUAGAUAACAUGUUGGAAAGUUUUAUAAUUAUGUAGAGUUAUGCUACAGUCGCUAUUGCUCCUAUAGAGAAUUGAAGGGGGAAAACUCUACUUGUAUUUUUGUGGUUGAUAGUCCUUCAUCCAGUCCUGAAGUACAACGACUUCAAUUUUGUAGUAACCUUAUAACCAUUGGGUGUCAAACCUAAGAGAGAAUUGAAGAGGCUCUAAUUAAGGUUGGUUAAGAUGUAUGUGAUAGAGUGAAAAUGGCGUUAGAGGUUUAGAAAAUGGAUUGAGGUGGAAUGGAUGAGUGUUUAUGAGGAGGAAGGUGUGAAGAAUCGCCAAAAACAGGAGAGAAAGAUGAUUGAAAACUUUGAUUAAAAUAAUGUGAAAUAUGUUAGGAAGUGAGCAUGUUUUUAAACUUCCUCCUCAUGGUCUUUUUGCACAAAACAAUUUACACAAUCUAAGUCGUAUAGUGAAAGAGCUUAGCUUUAAAACUAAUGUAAUAUUUUUAAAAACAUGAUAUUUACACAAUGGUUUUGCUUUUCACAUUAAAUGGAUGUUUAAACUAUAAAAUACAAUGUUUUAAAAACUAGACCGGACUGAUCGAUCCAACCGUCGGCCGGUCAUCGUUUUGGUCCGGUUAAUUGGACCGGAUUGGGAUUGAACCUGGGUUGGACUUCUUGAACUGGUGGUCCAGCCGGUGAACCGGACGAACCAGCCGGUUCCCUGCGAAUCGGUGGUUCAAUUGAUUUUAAUUUUUUUUUUUUAAAAAAACAGCAUCUAAACAACGUCGUUUUGGAGUCCUAAGCCUGCAACCUCCAAAGUCCAAACCCUCCCUCCUCCCCCCACAGCAGCUGCCAGCUUGCCGCUCCGCCUGUCGCCGAUGCGUCGCGGCCUGCGACACCCAGUCAACUCCCGCCGGCAGUCGUUAGAAGCUGGCAACCCUCCCUAUUGCUGCCUCUUCCAGUCUUCCCAGUUCCCUGCCGUGGCAUUGGAAACCCCUCCUUGCCACUGGAAGCUUGGAAACCACCUUGACUGCCUAGUAACCCCCCACCUCUCCCGGCUGUAAACAUCCCCCACCUUCGGUGUUUCAGAGAAAAGAGAGGGAAAGGGAAAGAAACGGAAAAAGAAAAAAAAAUUGCCAUUAUUCAUGCAAUCAGUUUGGUAGUUUCUUUUUCAAAUAAAAAAUUUUGCCUCUCUAGUUUGAUAUUUUUCUUUUUGGGGGUUCAAUUAGUUUGGUAGGUUGACUAGUUACUUUACUAAUUUAGAUAGAAUUUAUUAAUUUUUUAAUUUUAAAUAAUAUAUAAAAUAAAAAAAUAUAUAUUUAUGACGUCACAGGUUCGACCGCCGGUCUGACCAAUAAAUCGUAAACUGGUAACUUUUCCGGUUCAAUGGCCGAUCUGAUUCUGAAAACAUUGAUAAAAUAUUAACUCCAACCCUAAUCUUAUGAAAUUGAUUAAUGACAAAUAUAGGUCAAGGGUUAAAACCCAAGCAUAUUUCAUAAUCUAAAGAUAAGUUAUAAUGAAGGAGAAAUACAACACAUUAAAUCCUCGAAUUAAAAAUCAGGUAGAGACAAAUCAAAAACAUAUAAAAUACAAGAACAAAAAAUGUGUGUGUGUAUAUAAAGCCACAAACUUGACAUUCCGUUUUAAGAGGGAGAUUCAGAAUCUAGAAUGCUCGGUUAAUGUAAGAUACUUGGAAAAUGAGAGGGGAUAGGAGUUGGUUUAUAGUGGAGUUUAAAUCCUUUGAAAUCUUAAUUGAUGAGACUAGAGGGAAGCGAAGAGGAAAAAUCUUGUUGAGAAACAAAUGUUUUUUUUUGUGGUUUAGGUUUAGGGAGCUAAGUUUAUCUCGUUAAUUAGAAGGUAUGUAAGCUUGUUAUAGGGAUGAAGAUGGUAAGUAAUGCAACAAAGUCCAGGUUGAAUAUGGUAGAGAGUUUAGGUUGGAGCACUGAUCAAAUAGGACAAGGAGGUACAUUCUCUGCUUGGUUAGUUCUAUGGAGGUUAAGAAAUUUUCUCUAUUUUUUCCUAAAGGAAGGGAUCUACCUAGGGGGUGGUCUAUUGUGGGUGAGAAGCUUCAUCAUCUUGGUGUGGUUUUUUCUUCAGAGGCAAGGUGCAUGUAGUCUCCUCAAGGAAGGUUGAGAAGCUCAUGGUAUGGUGGAUGAAGUUGUUUGGAUUCAGGUCGCGAUUGAGGAGGUUCAUAGGAGAAAGAAAUAAUUGAGGCAGGGGCGGACCCACCAUGGGCUCGGGGCAUGUUCUUUUGUUGAUUUAGGAAUUUUAGAAAGUUAAAAAAAAAUAAAAAUGCAAAUUUGUCCCCUCUAAAAAACUAAUUUUGUGUGUGAAAAAAUAGAUAGGAUAAAAAAUUAGAUAAGCACGAAUAUUGAAUAAAUUGAAUAAAAUAUUUGUUUGUAUUUCUAAUUUUAUUUAAUGUUUCUAACACAAUGAAUUUUUUAUAUUUUUGUAUUUGAUAUUUUAUUAAUUUCUUUUUUUGUUCUGAGCCAUGUUCUGAUUAAUUUUGAGAUUUUUAAAAUGUUUAAACUUUUAGGCUUAAUCAAGUAGUUGUUAAUUCAUGAAUAUCUACAUAAUUAUUCAAAUAUAUGUUAUUUAAUUGUUGAUAAAAAUUUAAUUUUGUUUAAAUAUUUGAUAUUUUAUCAAAUAUCAUUUUUAUUGAUAAGUUAUUUUUAGUUUAAUUUAAUGAUUUUUAUAAAUGUUCAGAUUUUUAGGUUUAAUAAAAUAUUUAUUAAUUUAGAGUUGACUAUCUAAGUUUUAAUAAUGAUAUUAUACUUACAUCAUAGACAACUUUUAAAUAAAAAAUUAUCACUAUAUAGUGAUUUAUGUUUAAUUAUUUAAAAACACCCAAAAAAUUAUUAGUGAAAUUAUUAAUUUUUUUCUAAAAGUUCUAUGGAAAAAUAUUUCUAAAAAAUGUUAAAAAUGUUUUGGUGAAAAAUUUCUUACUAUCUUUAAAUUUUUUUUCACAAAUAUUAUUUGACUUUUUUUGUUUUAUGAACUUUUGGUAGACUCUUGUCAAUUUUUUAGUAUUUUUAUUAUUUAAUUUAUAAUAUUAUAAAUUCUUCUUUUCUUUUGUAAUUAUCAUUAUUGAAUGACAUCGAUGCUACCAUUUCUAAAAUAUAAAAAUUAAUCUAUAUUUAUUAUAAUUCACAAAUUUUUAUUUUGUCUCUCACCAAAAUUUCUGGUGCCACUGAGUUGAGACAUUCUGAUUGGGAGAUGGGGUGACUAUUUAGAUCCAAGUCAUGUUUGGGUGGCCCUUUACCGCCUUUGAGAAGGGGGAGUGAAGAUUUCCUUAUUAAGGGGGGCCCUUAUUUUAUUUGACUUUAGGAAUGCUCUGAUGUUGAAGUAGAUGUUGAAACUACUCCUCUUUGUCACUUGUAGUGGGCUAGAGCAUUGGUGAGAUCAAAUGGAAGCAUAAUGCCUAGGUCGUUGCAAGUGAGGGUCUUUAUGUCAAUGUUAUUAAGUUAUGGUGGGAAGUGCCACCAUGGCUCUCUCAAGUGGUGUUGAAAGGUGCGACCAGUAGCCUGAAGGUUAGGAGUGAAGGAGAGGGUUAGGCAUGCACUGGAGAGAGCAUGAGGAGGCAGGCAUUGUUUGCGGAAAAGGAAGUAGAGGGCGUGUGGUCUUUUUGAUUGUUGGAGUAGGACGAUAGGAGGGGGCCGGGGCAGCUGAUGGUUCUGAAAGGGUGCAUGCAGAGGGGCUAGGGGGUGAUUAUGAUAGUGGGAGAACAAUGACAAUGGAGGCUGUUUAGACUUGGUGUGUUUUAAGGAAGUUGAAGGUGAGGUUGUAAACUUGUAAUUGGAAAUGAGGGUUGGGCCUUGAAGAUUUGAAAGGAGCCCACCUUCUUAAUGAUAGCUUUAGUGAAGAGGCAAGGUGUUGUAGAGGUCCAUUAGAGAAAAAAGAAGUUUUUUGUGGCUUGGUCGGGUCUGUUUGGGCGGAGGGGCCUUGUACAAUGAGAGAUCCUUAGGAUUUUUAAAGGGAGAAUUAUGUUUUGGGGGUAGAUGAGCCUCCAAAUUAACAAAAGGUUCAUGUAACUCUUCAAAUUGAGCUCAAGACCCAAUGAAAGUAUGAAAAUUGAGUUGAAGGAUAUCAUCAUUCAGUAUUUCCAAAAAUGCCCUUUGUUGAUUUUGAGAAAAAAAAUUAAUAUUUUUGAAAAAUACUUUUAUUUAAUUUAAUAUUUUUUAAAAAUACUUUUAUGUAAUUUAAUAUUUUUUAAAAUACUUUUAUUUAAUUUAAUAUUUUUUAAAAAUAAAUUUAUUUAAUUUAAUAUUUUUUUAAAAAUAUUUAAUUUAAUAUUUUUUUUAAAUACUUUAAUUUAAUUUAAUAUUUUUGAAAAAAAAAUUAAUUUAAUAUUUUUGAAAAAAAAUUAUUUAAUUUAAUAUUUUUGAAAACUACUUUUAUUUAAUUUAGUAUUUUUGAAAAAAAAUUAUUGAAAAAAAAUUAUUUAACUUAAUUUUAUAAAAUAUUUUAUAUGUGUUCUAAAAGGGUAUAUUUGUCUGUUACUAUUUCAUAUCCUUCAACUCAAUUUGAAGAGUUAUAUGGACAUUUUAUUAAUUUGGAGGUCCAUCUACCCCCAAAAGAUAAUUCUCCCAUUUUUAAAAGGAAGAAUUACUGUAUAGGAUGGACCGAGUGUGAUUAUGACUAAGAAGAGUCAUCUACUUUGAUAAUUCCUAAAGAGGACAGUAUAAGAGAGAAAAUUCUCUCCAAGUCCACAUUUCGUACUAUAAUGUGCUAAAAUACCAUAAAUGUCAUUCAACUAAAAGCUUUUGGAACUCAAAGCAUUUUAAACAAUUUACUUUUGUUUUAAGGUGUGUGGGUCCCAUGUUAGUUGUAAUCAAUGACACCAAAUUUUUAAAUCAAAAUUUUGGGUUUUAACUAUUACAAUUAUUAUAUACAAUGAUAGUAUAAUUUGUUAUUUAAAUUUGUUAUUUAGAACCAAAAUACUUCUAAGAAAUAUUUUCAAAAUAACAUCUAAUGUGUUUUCUUUUUACAUAUUUCUAUUUUUAUUUCUAAUUUUUAAUUUUAUUAAAAACAAAACAAGUUUUACAAUUAUGUAAUAAGAAUGAUGAACUUUUCAUGUACAUAUUUUUAAUUUUAAAUUGAUAAAUCAUGUUUUUGUAUUUAGUUCGAGCAAGAUAGAAUGUUUAAUUUUUUAUUUGGAUUGUCUAAAAAGAAUAAGAAAAUGAUGGAGAAUGUUUAACCGUUUUUUAUUUUAAUAAUAAAAUAAUUUUAAAAAAUUAUAUGAUUUUUCUACAUUUUUUUUUCCUUUGCAUAGUGUUUUUUCUUAAUUUUUGUAUAUAAUUUUUUUUCAAUGUAUCGAGUGGACGAUGUUAAUACAUUGAAUAUCAAUGAGGUAUAAAAAAAGAUCUUUAAGACUAUAACUUUUAUUAUAAAAUACAGUUAUGAUAAAAAUAUAUUAUAGUUACAGUAUAAAUAUACCUAUAUUACAAUAAAACCUAAUUGGGAAUUUCAACCUUUUUUAUUUUUUAUAAAAGUAAUAGUUUUGUAUAAUCAUAGUAUACUCCAUAAUAUACUUAUAUUAGGAAUCAUUUUUGAAACCAAAUAAAAUACUAAUUUGAAUUUGUAUGAGACUUGUAGGUUUUUAUUUUUAUUAUAUAUAUAUAUAUAUAUAUAUAUAUAUAAAUUAUUAAACAAUUUUAAUACAUUGAGUGAAUGAUAUUAAUAUGCUAAUAUGAUGUGUUAAUACCAAUGCCAAUGAGGUUUAAAUAGUUAUUUCUAUAAUUAUUAUACUUAUCACAAAAUAUAGGUACUACAUAAAUGCAUAAUAUUUACAAUACUAAUAUAUUAACGUUACAAUACAUUACAAUAUAAUUUAACUUAUUCUUUUUUGAAUUUUUUUCAUGUGCUAUAUUACUAAAUGAAUAGUUGUGUGUUAUUCAAUUCAUAAGUGCCUGUGAAAAAUUAUUUAUCAAAAAAAAAAUAAUAAUAAAAUUGAUGAGUGCUUGUGAAAAAUAAUUGCUCAUUCUAUUAGGGUAACAAAGUUUUUAAUUGUAUGUGACAUAUAUAAAACGACAAAAUAACCUAUAGUGUGGUUUUUAUUUAAGAGAUAUUAAAAAUUAAUUUUUUUUACCAGUUCUUUAAAAAAUCUUAAUUUUUUUUUGGAAAAUAAGAACUUGAAAAAAAAAGCAUAUUUAAAAAAAACAUUAAUUUUUUAUAAGAAAAUAAGAAAAAAUUAUAUAGUUUUUUAUUUUAAUCUUUUAUUAUCUUUGACACACAUAUAUAUAUAUAUAUAUCCUAUUUUCCUUUUUUUUUUUCCUUCACUUUUUCAACUUUGCCAAUUUUUUUCGUAACAAAAGAGUAACAAUGAUAUGAAAAAUUUAUUAAAUAUACUAUAUUGAUGUCAUAAUACAAUAUAAUUUAUGAUGUUAAUACAAAAUAAUAUAUUGGAUUAAUAAUACAUGAUUUAUUAUAUUAUUUUUAUGGAAAUUCUAACAUUCAAGUAAAUAAUAAAAUUAUCUUUAUCUUUGAUUUUUCUAAGUAAAAUUUUGUUAGAUAGUAGGUUCAUUGUUCAAAAGUGAAAAACAAUUUUUUGGGAUACAAGAUAUACAUUAUUGAUUGUACUUAUCAUCAUGACAAAUUUAUUUAUGAAUAAUAUAAAAAACCACAUUCAAAGGGUAAAAUUGUCCGAUGAUAAAUUUUGUCCUUUAUAAGAAUUCUUAAGAUAAGUACCCUUACUGGUUAUUAUCAUCUCCAACCCACCCUUUUUAAUGACUUUCCCUUUUUAAAAAAUGAGAGGGCUUCAUUGGUGUUUGGUGCUAUGGUUGGGUCCUUUGAUGCUAGCGGAAGUUUUAUCUCUUUCUCAAUGCCAACUCUUUCAUCAUUGAUCAAUCAUUCCUUGUUCAAUGAUGAAGCUAAAGGAAAUUACUAGAUUUCAAGGUUUUUUUUUUUUUUUUUCGGUAUUCUCCUUGGGGAUGAGGCUUCUUGUCCUUUUGGUGUGAUUUGAGGUUCAGUGAGGAUGAUUUGUCAAUCCUAGUUAGAAGGAGGGGAUGAUUGGAAACGCUCCUCGGUUUAUUGAUUCAAGCUCGUUGAGGAUGAUUUUGGCUGAUGAGAGUUCGAUGGUGUUUUUAACUUUAUGGGGAAGGAGAUUACAAAUAGGGAGGUUGGGCAAGAUAGAAUGAAGGGGAAGGUCGAUGGUUAUGCUAUAGGGGAUGAGGUUUAAUUGGAGAAUUAAUCUUUUAGUAGGUUGGUUACUUUCGCUAAUUUCUUAGGCAUGCAAUAAAGGGUUUUUGAGGAAGAGAUUUAGAUACUCCUUAAUAGAAUUAGGGUAAGAAAGAGAUAAGAGGCUAGGUGCAUGGUAGAAGAAAAUGUAAAUCUGUAUCUUCACAUUUUGAAGGAGAGCUCAAGAAGCUCAAGUGGUUAGUAAACUGUAAUAGAGCAGGAUUAGAGGGUGGAAGGGGCAGAGAAGGUAAGAUUAUUUCAUCAUGUGAGAGAUAAAGUUAAGACUUUUAUCUUGGAACAUGAGAGAAGCUAAUGACAAUCAUGAAAGGACGAUUAUAAAGUCUUUGAUUACAUGGCAGAAAGUAGACUUGGUCUGUAUACAAGAAACUAAAAGCUAAGAUCUAUUGACUAGUCUUAUGCGUAGUUUAGCAGCUGGUAGUUUCUUAAAGUGGGGUGCAGUGGAUUCAAGGGCUACUUCAGGUAGGGUCUUGGUUUUUUUUGGGACGAUAGGGUGUUGUAUUUGGUAGGCAUGGAAGUAGGUGACUACUAGAUUUCAUGCCUUUUUAAGAAUUAUGAUGAAGGGUUUGUUUGGAUAUUCAUGAGGGUGUAUGGUCCCUCCCUUGGGAAAGACAAUAAGGGCUUAUGGGUAGAGUUGGGGGCCAUUAGAGGGUUGUGGAAUAACCCAUGGUGCAUUGAAGGUGAUUUUAAUAUUAUCAAAUCUCUAGGGGAGCAUAGUAGAGUCAAUAUCUAUCUACUACCAUGAGAGGUUUUUCACAAAUCAUUGAGGACUUUUAGUUAAGAGAUCUUUUUUGAUUGGCAAAGGGGAGGGGGGGAGGUGGUUUGAAUAAUUAGUCCUCAUCGAGAUUAAACAAUUUUCCGGUAUUAGGGAGUUAGGAAGGCCACUUUAGCUGUAUAGUGCAAUGUAUCUAACCUAGACUUGUGUCAGAUCAUUCACUAAUUUUGUUGGACUUGGAGGGGGGGGGGGGGGGGGGGGGUGUUGAAGAGAGGCUCUACUUCUUUUAGAUUCGAAAAUAUUUGCCUUAAGAAGAAGGAUUUAAAGAUAUUCUUAAAAGACCGUGGAUGGGGUUCGGUUUUAAGGGUUCUUAUAGCUGCAUGACUAUUAAAAUUUAAAGGGGAAGGGGGUUUGAAGAGAGGCUCUACUUCUUUUAGAUUUGAAAAUAUCUACCUUAAGAAGAAGGAUUUAAAGAUAUUCUUAAAAGACCGUGGAUGGGGUUCGAUUUUAAGGGUUCUUAUAGCUUGAUGACUAUUAAAAUUUAAAGUUUUGAAGAUCAAAUCUAUUAACUUACAAAGAAUAGUACAUAAAUUUACUUAAAUGUUAUCUUCUCUUAAGGGACUUAUUCUAGCCAACACUUGCACAUCAAUGCAAUACUCUCUUGUACUCCUUAAUGGAUCACCCUAAUUUCAUGUUAAGGCUUAGUGAAGCAAAGCACCAAUCCUUGCUUUUCUACAUACCUUAAAGGGCUUUAAAGAAACUUCUUAAAAGAUUUCUAAGAAUUUGGAUCCUAAAGCAAAAUAAUGGAAGAUAGUUUUUUUCUUCAAGGGUUUUUUUUCCCGAGUUUUCUUUUUUUCUAAUGUGUGUGUGUGUGUGUGUAUAGAUAGAUAAUUUUUAGAAAAAUAAAAUAAAAUUGGUUAGGCACUUGUAUGCCCAAGGACAUUUGAGCAUCCUAAGUUGGAUGCUCAAAUAUUCUCCCUGGGUUUCCAUUUUUUCAUGCUCAAAGCUAACUUAAUCACUCCCAUUUUCUUUCAAGGAUUUAUUGUGCAUCCUUUUAGCCUUUACUUGACUAAAACUCAACUCUAGUUUUCCUUUAUUUUUACCCAUAUCGAAUAACUUGCAUUACAUGAGCCUUAGAAUGUAGUUUUCAACUAUUUCUCAAGGUAAAUAAGUUCCAAUGGAAUUAGGCAAUCUUGACUUAAUGCAUUUUUGGAGCAAAUUACCAAUGUAACAAUUACAUUAACUCACCUCUUUUGUCUUUUAUUAGGCAUUAAUCAAGAGUGAACCUCACAUUAUAAUGGUUUUACAAAUCUAAUUAAUGCUUACCAAGUUAGCUUUCGAGUCCUAAACAUAAAACAUGUGAAUAAGAAUGGGUAACUAUAGGCUUUAAUAGUCCCUUGCCUUCCAUGAUCUUUAAUGGUAUUCCAAUAUGGAAAAGUUACAUUUCCCUUUCUAAUGCUUCAAAGGCAAUAAGCUAAGACCUUAUUCUAGUCAAGUGCUUAGAUACUCACUAUCCAAGUACCAUGUAUAAGACUCUUUAGCUCAAUGGAUCAUAUACACAACUAGAGACUUGAGACUAUCCUUUUUAACCUAACCCUUUUCAUCUUAGACUUGGACAUCUUUUCAACAUGAUGAAUUUAGGUCUUAGACUGAUUUUGUACUAUAUUUUAGCUUGAAAUUAACAUUUCUAUUUAACACUCUAUUUUUCAAUUUAUGUGACACUCUCAUAAGUUGAUUCAACUUAGAUGGUAAGUUAUUAAACAUUCAUUUGUAGCAUCUAUUAACAUUGAAUUAUAGUCUUCCAUAGUGGUGGUAUUUAGUGCUUGAUAUUGAGUGAGAUCCUUUUAGAGACACAAUCCGCUUGGUCUUUACCAAGGUAGUCCUUACUCCACUUAGAAUUGUAACCUCAUCAACAUAUUAUAGGUUUAUUUUCAUAACUACAAGACUUCCCUCAAUUCAAUAAUGAUCAAGAAUUUUAGAACUAGGGUGUAAUAACUUUUCUUAGAACUCAGUUCUUCAUGGGUCGCUAUUACAUUAUGUAAGUUCUUUAAACAUGUAGCAUCCUUUAUUUCAAGAAAAGUCAAUUUGGUCAUGCAUUAUCUGUUCAUUUUUUACUUCAUUCAAUUCAUCCAACAAACUUUUAUGUGAGGCUUCCCAACUAACUUUUUCAAUCUUCAUUUUGAGAAAUUCAUCAUACCAUUUUAUAGAAUGAAUUAAACGAUAAUUGUGAAAAUUUGGGAACAUUAUUGAUUAAUUUACCAACGUACAAGGGAAAAUAUAUAGGCUAAAAACAGUGAACUAAAUCCCUGCAACAUUGGGAUAUUGUUUGACGAGAAAUGGAAUAAUUUGUAUAAUGGGAUUUGUAUAUUCAAUUGCUCUAUUAAAAUGGUUACAAAUGAGCUCAAUAUAUAUAGCCCAUAUAUGAUCUAAAUUUGUCUAGAAAUGUCUAAGGAAAGUUGACCCUGUAGAGUAGAGGGAUUGUAGUAAUCUGAUCCCUUCGCUUAUGCCUGUAAUGUAGGGAUUAUACAACUCAUGUUCACACUCCCCCUCAAGUUGGUGCAUAGAUGUUGCUGAUGCCCAACUUGUCAAGUGAGUUGUGAAAGACCUUACUACACACCGCCUUAGUGAGGAUGUCUACUAGUUGGUCUUGUGAUUUGAAAAAUGGGAAUCGAAUUAUCUUAGCUUCUAAGUUCUGCUUGAUAAAAUGUUGGUUUACUUCCACAUGCUUAGUUCGAUCAUGUUGGACUGGGUUAUGGGCAAUAUCAAUGGUUGCCUUGUUAUCACAAAGCAAGUUCAUCUCGCAACUGGGAUGAAAGCCAAUUUCUGUCAACAAUCUUCUUAGCCAGAGUAACUCACACAACCCCUUAGCCAUUCCUCGAAACUCCGCCUCUGCACUAGAUAGUGCUACGACCUUCUGUUUUUUACUUCUCCAUGUUACUAGGUUUCCUCCAACAAAUCCGAAGUAGCCUGAUGUGGAUUUCUUAUCAGAGAUAUUUUUUGCCCAAUCAACGUCAGUAUACCUCAUAAUUUUUAGGUGCCCAUUCUUUGAGAACAUAAUUCCCUUUCUUGGGGUUCCCUUAAGAUAUCUCAAAAUUUGAGUCACUGCAUUCAUAUGGUCUUCACUAGGGCAAUGCAUGAAUUGACUCACUACAUUGACCACAUAGGCAAUAUUAGGCCGGGUAUAUGAAAUAUACAUUAGUUUUCCAACCAAUCUCUGAUAUCUACCUUUAUCAGUGGGGAUCUGGUCAGGGUAUUCUCCAAGCCUGUGAUUUUGUUGUAUUGGAACAUCUACUAGUUUACAGUCUAGCAAUCCAACUUUUGAUAAUAGAUCGAGGGUAUACUUUCGUUGGGAAAGAAAUAUGCCUUGUUUAGAUUGAACCACCUCAAUUCCUAGAAAAUAUUUCAACCCACCUAAACUCUUCAUUUCAAACUCUACUGCCAACUAUUUUUGAAGUUUCGUAACUUGGUAUCAUUUCCUGUGAUGAUCAUAUCAUCUACAUACACUAUUAGUGUUGUUAACGCUUUAGAAAUGGAGUGUGAUUAGAAUUGCUAUGUUAAAACCCAUACUUUCUCAUUGCUAGGCUAAUGAGUCCAAACCAAGCUCGUGGAGAUUGUUUCAAGCUGAAUAGGGUGUGUUGCAGUUUACACACCGUCUUGCUAGACAUUUCAAUGUACUCAAGGGGUAUCCAUAUAAAUUUCCUCCUCGAGGUCACCAUGGAGGAAUGCAUUCUUUACAUCAAAUUGGAGUAGCGACCAAUCAAGGUUCGUUGCAAGGGAUAAAAGGACUCUUACAGUGUUCAACUUGGCUACAGGCGAGAAGGUCUCCAUAUAGUCAACUCCAUAAGUCUACAUAUAUCCUUUCGCUACAAGUCUCGCUUUGUAGCGCUCAAUCAACCCAUUUGCCUUGUAUUUGAUGGAGAAUACUCAUUUGCACCCCACUGUCUUGUGGCCUUUUGGUUAAGGGAUAAGAAUCCAUGUCUUGUUUUUCAACAAUGCUUCCAUUUAUUCCUUCAUUGCUUGGACCCACUUAGGGUCCUAUAGAGCCUCCUCUAAGCUUGUAGGAAUGUGAUGCAUUGAUAAUUCAUUAUAAAAGCUCUUUAAGGGUUUUAAGAGCUUCUCUAUUGAGACGUAAUUGGGAAUCGGGUACUUCGAUUUGUGUGUCUCAGUAUCCGGAGUGUAGCAUUCUGGUGGUUUGCCACGAUUAUGCCUAGGAGGUAAUUGAUAACCAUUGUUAGUUAAAUAUUUUGUGACAAGAGGAAAACUUACCUCAAGAAUCUCUUCAGGAAUAUUCUCAGAAGUUGGGUCAUGAGGUACUGUAGAGUGAGGGGGUGUCUUAGCGAUUGGAGUUAGUGUCUCAGUAGUUGGCGUUGGUGGGUCUGUAGUCUAUUCCAUACCUAUGGUAGUUGGUGGCUCUGUAGUUAGUGGGAUGUCCUUGAACCAAUUCAACUAUUCAUCGUGUGUCUUCCCCUGAAGAGAAGAAUUGGAUGGAUGAUAGAACAUCUUGGACUCGAGGAAGGUGACAUCCAUAGUAACAUAGAGCCACCUGUUUGUUGGAUCAUAGCACCAGUAACCUUUCUAAUUGGUGGCAUAGCCUAGAACGAGACAAUGACGAGCAUAAGGGUUGAGUUUGGUGCGUUGGUUGAGGUGAAGAUGAACGUAGACAAUGCAUCCAAAGGUUCGGGGAGGAAGUGUCGUAGCCGGAAGUAUUGAUAUGCUUGCGGUUAAGUCCUGUAGAGGUGUUUUGAAACCCAGAAUCCGGGAUGGCAUUCGAUUCAUGAGAUGCACAACAGUUGUAACCGCAUUAGGCCAGUGAGAACUAGGUAUAUGUGUACCUAAUAGGAGGGCACGUGUGGUCUCGAGAAUAUGGUUAUUCUUACGUUCUACUACACUAUUUUGCUUUGGAGUAUGAGGACACGAGGUCUGAUGUAUCAACCCAUGCUGGUGGAAGUACUCUUGGAAUUGUCGAUUCAUGUAUUCAUUGCCAUUAUCAAAGCGAAGGACUCCGAGUUUGGUAGAAAAUUGGGUUUGAAUCAUUAUGUGAAAUGAGCAAAAGGCAGUAAAAACCUCAUCUUUGUUUUUCAAUAGGCAGAGUUGUGUCAUUCAAGUGCAAUCAUCACAAAAAAAAAAUCAGCGAUAACUCGAUAGAGUAGAUUUUGAGAAUAGUCCCCACACAUUAGAAUGAAUUAAGCUAAAAGGAACAUCUCUCUUAUUCUUAUGUAAAGGAUAAAUUGCCCGGUGACUUUUUGCCAAAAUACAUGUUUCACAUUGAAAAUUUGAGAUAGAGAAUUUAGAAAGCAAACUAGGUAGUAAAUGCUUCAAAUAUCCAAAUGAUGGAUAGCCGAGUCGUCGAUGCCAAAGCCAAAUCUGUUCUAUUCUGGAAUCACCCAACCGUCCCACAUGAUGUGGUUGUCCUAUUGAAGUCGUCUAUAUUGUAGAGCCCCCCCUUCUUAGUACCAUGCCCAAUAAUUUUUUUCGUGAGAAUAUCCUGGAUAAGGCAAAAAUCAGGGUACAUCAGUGCUGUAAAAUUUAAGUCCUUAGUAACUUGAUUGAUAGAAAACAAUUUAUGAGAUAGGGAUGACACAAAUAAUGUAUUGGAGAGUGAUAACAUCACAGUUCCAACCCCUUGUACCAAUGAAAUACUGCCAUUAACAUUCGCAAUGCUAGUUCGCUUAGGAGCGGUAUGCUGACAAAAGUCCUGUGCAUCAAAUGUCAUAUGAUCCGUGGCUCCGGAAUCCAAGAUCCACAAGUUGCACUCACUCCUAGUAGAUCCAUGAGAUGCUAUACUUGGUGUGUUGCCGAUAGAAUCAGUAGGAAUUAGAGACAGUUUGGGUUCUACUGCUGCUAUUGUCGUUUUACCAAUACCGGGCUUAAUCAUUUACAUGAUUUCAGAUGUUUUGUUUAUUAUCUUUGAACUCAUGAAUCACCUUUGUGGGUCAAGUUAUAUCAUGCAACCGGGUUUCUCUUCUUUACUGUGUCUUUUGGCUCAGUGAAGGGACUGUUGAUUUGUUGGAUGAAGAGGGGUUGAUGUUAAAACUACCAAAUUAGUAGCAAAGAGAAGUAGUAAUGGGGAAAAGAGGAGAGAGUUGUUGGUUUGCAGUGGAAUCCAAGUCUUUUUGAAAUUUCUGUGGAUGUGUUUGGGAAUAAACUAAAGGGGAUCAUUGUGGAAAGAAGCAGAGGAUUCACUUCGUGGAUAAGGUUUGGAAGUUCCAGCUUGUGUUGGCUAUCGGAGGGAGUGGAGGCUAACUGUAGGGGGGAGUUUGGGCAGAGAUUCGUCAAAAGUUGGGAGGAUGGAGGUAGGAGGUUCAAACAAGAAUGUCGAGCAAAUGAGGCUGGCGGAUUUUUAUUGUGUUUAGUGGUAGACUUGGAUGCCAAGAGACAUUGUUUAGUGUUCCCAGAAGGAAAAGCUUUCUUGGAAGGUUGGGCUUUGAUGGCUAAAAAACUUCGCUCACUUGGAAUAUCGACAUGUGAUGAGCCUAGGGAAGUUUUUGAAUCUUCUAAGACUGAGAGUAGAGAUGGGGAUUCGAAGGAGAAGAAAGAAAAAUCCUACGUUGAUGCGGUGAAUACAAGAGGAGUUUCAAGAGUGAGAAGGCUAGGGGAAGCAGCAUGGCUACAACUUGGAGAAGAAGACGUGUCAAGAGGAAGGGAGCUGCUGGACCGAUGCCUUGUUGGGAGACGGGGAGAAACUUUGGUUUCAAUUCCACACCUGUGUGAUCUGGAAAGCUGGGGAAAAAGUCACUGGAAACUCAAAGGAGGAGUAAAGUUCGUGAGAAUGGGGGGCCCUUUUAUUUUGAUUGCGUUUGAGAAUAAAACAUAGGCAGACAAAGUGUUAUUGAGAGGUUUCCAAUGUUUUAAGGAUUUGGUUCUGCAUUUGGAAAGGUGGGACCCAAAAGUGGGUUGUUCUCAAAGUUGUGAACAUCUUAAGGAAGUUUGGGUGAGAGUGAUGGGAUUACCAUUGCAUCUUUGGAGCCGGGAAGUUUUUAAGAAGAUUGGAGACUGUUGUGGGGGCUUUGUUGCAGUGGAUGAAAGCACUGUUGCUUUAAAGGAGCUCCAAUGGGCCAUAUUACUAGUGAAGUCGGAGGGGACAGAAUGGCCAAGUUCCCUGCAAGUGGUAAUCGACACUACUUGUUUUGCUUUUCAACUGUGGUGGGAGGUGCUGCCAAGGGUGUCCGAAGUGCUUCCGGUGAUAAAAAAUGGGUCGGGGAAGGAGCAAGAGGCUAGGGAAUAAGAAGGGGGGACUUCACGCCGGCAGCAUGGUGAAGCAGAUGCAGCCAAACGGACAACCUACAAAGGUGGUUGUGCUAUCUGAAGAUGGUGAAAAUCUCUGUAGGACAGACAUGGAGGCUCCUCUUUCUGACUUGAUGUCGACAAGAGGGGCAGAGGUAGACAAAACCAAAAGAUGGCAGCAGUCUGUUUGGGGGAUUAAUUAAAAAAUUGGGCCUGCAGCUAAAGCUAAGGGAAUGUUGGGUUGGGAUGUGGAGCUGGCAGUGGAGAGGAGGCCCAUUGUGGAGGGCUUGAUUGGAAGCAAAGAAGUUUGUGGGCCAUCACUCUUAAGCCCAAUAUCUUUCAGGCUGGAGACAAAUCUCCAGAGGAGGCCCAUUGAGGAGGGCCAUUUAGGUUCCAUGGAGGACAGUGGGCUGUCCCAAUUAGGCGCAUUACCAAACACGCACUUAAAGAGCUGCGUGGAAGUGGGCACUCUGGAAUCUCAUAAAGGCCCAAUUGUGGGACGAUCCACUGUCAAAGACUCUUUUGAGGCUGAGGCUUGUGGAGGUUUCCGAGAGGAGAUCUGUGGGUGUCUAGAUGGGGCUGAUUUUGGACUCCAGCAGGUGCCAUCUCCUCCGACGCCAAAGACUAAAAUGCUCUAAGUUUAAAUGAAGAUACGUCUUCUUUCUAGGAAUGUUAAAGGGGCUAAUAAUUGUGAUAAGAGGAAGGUGAUCAAAGCCUUGAUUAAGAAGAAUAGGGUGGACCUAGUUUGCUUGCAGGAAACAAAAAUCCAAGAGAUGUCAAGGGGCCUUAUUCAGAGCUUAGGAGUGGAAAGGUUUUUAGAUUGGGGAACUGUGGAUUCAAGGGACUCAACGAGUGGUAUAGUGGUGUUCUAGGAUAAUAGGGUGCUGGAUUUGAUAGAGUUAGAAAAGGGAGAACAUUCAAUUUCCUGCAAUUUUAAAAACUGUGAGGAUGGCUUUAUGUGGACUUUUACAAGGGUUUAUGGUUCGACCAUGAGGAGAUACAGGGAAUGUUUGUGGAAUGAGUUGGGGGCCAUCUACGGUCUUUGGAAUGGGUCGUGGUGUGUUGUUUGUUAUUUUAAUGCCAUCUUAAGCCCUGAAGAGCGCAGUAGAAGAGGGAGCUUGAAUUCAGACAUGAAAAGAUUCUCAGAUGUAAUAGAAGAUUUAAAGCUAAAGGAUUUGCCCUUCAGAUUUUGGUCAAUGAGUCUUUCACAAGGAUAGAUCGAUUUUUGGUCAAUGAGGAGUGGGAUUACCGUUUUAGUGGUUCAAGGCAAUGUGUCCUCCCGAGACCAGUGUCUGACCACUUCCCAAUUAUGUUAAAAGGAGGGGGGCUGAGAAGGGGACCAUCUCCCUUCAGAUUUGAGAAUAUGUGGCUCAAAGUGGAGGGGUUUAAGGAGCUGUUGAAGGCUUGGUGGGAGAGGGACAGUUAUAAUGGUUCUGCAAGCUUUAUUCUGGCCGAAAAACUAAAGGUUGUAAAGUCUAAACUGAAGGAGUGGAAAAGAGAUGUCUUUGGAAGGGUGGAAUAUAGGAAGAAUUCAGCUUUGGAUCAGCUGCAGUUUUGGGAUGCAAAGGAGAAGACUAACAGAGUGUCCUUGGAAGAGAUGAAUGCUAGAAGAGAAGUGAAGGAAGAAUACAAAAAAUGGGUUUUAUUAGAAGAGAUGACUUAGAGACAAAAAUCUAGGGAAGUGUGGCUGAAAGAGGGUGACAGAAAUAUUAGAUUUUUCCACAUGAUGGAAAACGCUCAUAAAAGAAGAAACAAUGUGGACCAAAUUAGGAUUAAUGAUGUUUGGCAUUCGGAGGAGAAUGGGAUUAGCGAAGAAAUAGUGAAUGCCUUUAGAUCUUUGCUGUCCAAUCCCGGGGACUGGCGCCCUUCUUUAUCCUGGCUACAGUGCGAAACGUUGCAAAAUUUGGAUGUUAAUGCUUUGGAGGCACAGUUCACGGAGGAGGAGGUGCAUGACGCAUUGCUGGGUUGUAGUGGGGAUAAAGCCCCGGGGCCUGAUGGCUUCACAAUGGCUUUUUGGCGGUUUGCUUGGGACUUUGUGAAGGAGGAUGUGAUGAGUUUCUUCAAGGAGUUCCAUGAUCAUAACAAAUUUGUUAAAAGCCUAAACGCAACUUUUCUGGUUUUAAUCCCAAAAAAAGUGGGGGUUGAAGAUUUGAGGGAUUUUAGGCCCAUAAGCUUAGUAGGAAGCCUGUACAAGUGAUUGGCUAAGGUUUUAGCCAAUAGACUUAAAAAGGUGGUUGGAAAGGUGGUUUCUAAGGCUCAAGGGGCCUUUGUGGAGGGUAGACAAAUUCUAGAUGCAGUGCUAAUAGCUAAUGAAGCCAUUGACUCGAUUAUGAAGAAUAAUGAGAAUGGUUUUAUGUGCAAACUUGACAUAGAGAAGGCAUAUGACAAUGUGGAUUGGUCUUUCCUUCUCACAGUUAUGCAGAAAAUGGGCUUUGGGGAGAAAUGGAUAGGGUAGAUUAAGUGGUGCAUAUCCACUGCAAGUUUUUCUGUGUUGAUUAAUGGAACGUCUAAGGGUUUCUUCCAAAGCUCAAGAGGAUUGAGGCAAGGUGACUCUCUAUCGCCUUAUCUUUUUGUGAUAGCCAUGGAGGUUUUUAGCUCAUUUCUUAAAAGGGUUGUGGAUGGAGGUUUUAUGUCGAGUUGUAAAGUGAAGGGUAGGAAUGGAGAAGGGGUUCGGAUUUUCCACUUGUUGUUUGCUGAUGACACCUUGGUGUUUUGCCAAGCUUCUCAAGACCAACUGACUUACCUAAGCUAGUUGUUUAUGUGGUUUGAGGCCGUAUCAGGAUUGAGAAUUAACUUGGAGAAAAGUGAACUCAUUCCAGUAGGGAGGGUAGAGAAUAUUAAUGAUGUUGCCUUGAACUUUGGUUGUAGAGUGGGUAGUCUCCCAUCCACUUAUCUAGGCCUCCCCUUGGGUGCUCCGUUUAAGACAGUAUCAGUGUGGGAUGGAGUGGAAGAGCGGUUCCGUAAAAGAUUGGCCAGGUGGAAGAGACAAUACUUAUCAAAGGGGGGGAGAGCAACUCUAAUUCGAAGCACUUUGUCGAAUCUCCCUAUUUACUUUAUGUCCUUGCUGAAGUUACCAAGUUCAGUUAGACGAAGAUUAGAGCAAAUCCAAAGGGACUUCCUUUGGGGUGUUGGCAACUUGGAGCGAAAACCACACUUAGUAAGAUGGAAGGUGGUGUGCUUAAGUAAAAAGAAAGGGGGAUUGGGGGUUAAAUGUCUUUCCAUUCUCAAUAAGGCUCUCCUUUCCAAAUGAAAUUGGCGAUUCGCAAAUAAGAGAGAUGCUUUGUGGAAUCAAGUGAUUAGAAGAAAGUAUGGGGAAGAUAGAUUUGGUGAGCGCUCGAAUCUCUUUUAGAGUUGGCAAUGGGAGGAGGGUGAGCUUUUGGAGGGAUAGAUGGUGUGGGGACCCCCCUGCGUGAGUCUUUUCCUUCCCUCUUUGCCUUGUCUGCUGAAAAGGAAACUUGGGUGGCGGAUGUUUGGGAUCCCUUGGCCGAGGGGGGUUGGAGCCCCUGUUUUUCAAGAGUUCUAAAUGAUUGGGAGGUGGAGGAGGCAGAAAGAUUUUUGGAGCAUCUUCACGGGAAGAGAGUGCUUGGAGAUGUAGAGGAUAUGGUGGUUUGGACCAAAACAAAGAGCAGAAAAUUUUCGGCAAAGUCUCUCUACCUUGCUCUAGAAGCGGACUGCCCUGUUUUGUUUCCUUCUAGUUGUAUUUGGAAUGGGUGGGUACAACCCAAAAUCAGUUUCUUUGCGUGGGAGGCAGCAUGGGGUAAAACCUUAACCCUAGACCUUGUUCAGAAAAGAGGAUGGUCCUUGGCAAAUAGAUGCUUUAUGUGUCUUGAGAAUGAGGAGACCAUGGAUCUUUUGCUUCUUCACUGUUCAAAAACAAAGGCCUUAUGGGAGUUACUCUUUACCUUGGUUGGGGCGUCUUGGGUGUUGCCCUCCUCAGUUAGAGAGACUUUUCUUAGUUGGCAUGGUUCAUUUGUGGGCAAAAAACGUAAGAAGGUGUGGAGAGCUACUCCUCUUCAUAUAUUUUGGACGGUGUGGAAGACUAGAAAUAGAUUGGCAUUUAAGGAUGACUAGUUGUCAAUCCAAAGAUUGAAAUAUUCCUUUCUUUUCUCUCAUUGGUCUGAGGCUAAAUUGUUUAUAGUUGAACGCCCUAUAGCUAUAGUUAAUUUUAUUGAUUGGUUGGGAUCCUCUUAAGGUUGUUUUUGGGCUAGGUGACUUUUUGGGCCUCUUUCUUUUUCUUUAGCCUUUUUGGUGGUGGGUGUUUAGGUUUGUAUAACUUGCAUAGUUUUGUAUUCCUUGAGUUGCUUUUUUGGCGUCUCUUUUUAAUGAAUUAUCUUUACCUAUCAAAAAAAAAAAAUUAUGUUUCUUUUUAUCUUGGAGCUUGUGCCAUCAGUCUGGGUAUCCAUGGAGCUUAAAGCAAGAGUUUUGUGUGUGUUUGGAAUUUCUACAAUGGGAGCACGUUAAGCCUUCUAUCCAUUGCUUUGAAUUUGGGCUAGUGGGAUUAGAUUUAUUGAGUAUUAGAACUUCUUCUUUUCCAGAUGGGUUGGGGCCCGUUUUCAGCCCCUUGGAAGUCACCCCAGCUCCCAUCCUUUCAUCGAAACCAUUCUCCAUCACUGUCUGUCUCACCAUUUCCCGUCAGAUGGAUGCGUAAGCUUGCUUAAUUGUCAGAAAUGGUUGCAUCUAUAACACAGUGCUCCUGCCUUGGUCAAGUCGAUCAUCAAGGCCGUGAGAAACACAUAGACCCUCUCCUCCUAGAGAAUUGUGUUGUAUCGUUGCACAUCCUUAGGGCAUUCCAUGGGGUUUGGUCGUUGAAAAUCUAUUUUCCUCCACAAGCCUUGCAGCUCGUUAUAAAAUUUCUCCAAAGAUCCACCAUUUUGUUGUAGCCUACUCACCCGUUGUUGGAGCUCAUACACUUGAGCAAUGUCACUCUCGUCGAAGAAAAAGACAGUGAUGGCGUCCCAAACUUCUUUCGCAUUGGGAUACCGGAUGAACGUGCUAACAAGGGAUGAAUCCAUGGUGUUGAUGAGCUAGCCUUUGAUGACGUUGUUUUUCGGUUCUCCAUCGUCAGAAUAAUGGAUUAGUUGGAGUAGGUUGGGAUAAAUCACCAUUAAUGUAACCUAAUCUAUCUCUCCUGGAGAUAAACAUCUCCACAACUUGGGACCAUAGUGCAUAAUUCGAUUCAUUGAGUUUUAUGCUGAUCGGGGAAGUAUCCAUUGCUGCAGUUGGGGUUGGGGCCUUGUUCAGCACGUUGGCCAUUUUCAUGGUGAGUUAUGCUAAAAUAGAGGUUGUUGUUGGUGGAGACCCUCCUAUCUGAGAGUCUGAUUUAGGGAUUUUUCUAGGUUGUUGUUAAGUUGUUAGUGUUGGGUAGAAUCAAGGAGUUGAUACCAAAGGGUAGAAACAGACCUGCUGUGAUACCAUGUUGACAAGAAAUGGAAUAAUUCGUAUAAUGAGAUCUGUAUAUUCAAUUGCUCUAUUAAAAUGGUUACAAAGGAGAUCAUUAUAUAUAGCCCAUAUAUGAUCUAAAUUUGUCUAGAAAUGUCUAAAGAAAGUUAACCCUGUAAAGUAGAGGGAUUGUAGUAAUCUGAUCCAUUCGCUUAUGCUUGUAAUGUAGGGAUUAUACAACUCAUGUCGACAUAUUGAUCCCUAGAAAAGAUAGGAAACAAUCCAUAUAAAUCAGGGAUAAUAGAAAACAAUCCUUAUAAAUAAGGGAUAAUAGAAAGCAAUUCCUAUAAAUUAGGGAUAAGGCUAACUAAUUAAAUCAAAUAUUUACAACUUUCCUAACUAAUUAACAAUUCCUAUAAAUUAGGGAUAAAGCUAACUAAUUUCAAUCAUCACAAUUCCAGCCUGGCCUAGUCAACUUUGACACUCCUCCUCAAGAUGGGGGGUGGAUAUCAUCCAUUCCCAACUUGCCAACGAUGGUCUAAAUGAAUGAGCCGCUUAAUCCUUUGGUUAGCACAUUAGUAACUUUAUUGCUAGUAGAUACAAACAGCGUGCAGAUUAGUCCACUAUGUAUCUUCUCUUUUAUGAAAUGUCUGUCAACUUCUAUUUGUUUGGUUAGAUCAUGUUGCACAGCAUUAUGUGCAAUGUUGAUUGCUGACUUGUUAUCACAAUAAAGUUUUAUAGGUCCUUCCCAUACAAUCUUUAGAUCUUCUAAGAUGAUUUUUAGCCAUAGAAGUUCACAAACUCCUAAUGCCAUUGCCCUAAAUUUAACCUCUGCAUUUGACCUUGAAACUACAUUCUAUUUUUUGCUUCUCCAAGUUACAAGGUUUCCACUAAAAAAAGUAUAAUGGCCUGAUGUUGAUCGUUUAUAAUCAAUAGAUCUUGCAUAGUUUGCAUCUAUGUAGGCUUUUAAAGUUAAUUUUUAUCCUUUCUUGAAUAAUAUUCCUUUUCCCAAAGUUCCCUUAAGCUACUGGAAAAUCCGAUGUGUUGCUCGAAGAUGGACCUUCUUGGGAUUAUGCAUAAACUGACUUACCACUUCUAUUGUAUAUGCUAUGUCCGAUUUUGUAUGUGAGAGAUAAAUCAAUCUACCAACUAGUCUCUGAUAGGACUCCUUAUCUAACACUAUGUCUUCAACAACUUCACAAAGUUUGUGAUUUUGCUCAAUAGGAGUUUUUAUUGGUUUACACCCAAGUUUUCUUAUCUCACUUUGCAAAUCCAACACAUGCUUUUGUUAAGAUAUAAAAAUCUCAUGCUGAGAGUGAGCAACUUCAAUGCUUAGAAGGUAUUUCAACCUGCCAAGUUCCUUUAUUUUGAAAUUCUUAUACUAGACAUUUUCUCAAAGCUUCUCUGCCUUCCAAGUCAUAUGUUACAAGUAUAUCAUCUACAUAAACCAACAAGGUAGUAACUCCCCUUGAAGUUGAAUGUUUAACAAACAAUGUGUGAUCACCUUGACUUUGCUUUUAUCCCAUAGUUUUCAUAACUUUGGAAAAUCUACCAAACUAAGCUUUAGGGGAUUGUUCCAAACCAUAAAGUGCAUUUUUCAAUUUACUCAUCUUGUUACUUUUUGACAUAAAACUUGGAGGAAAUUCCAUGUAGAUUUCUUCAUCAAGAUUGCCAUGUAAGAAGGCAUUCUUAACAUCAUAUUGUUGCAUACUCCACCCACGGUUGAUAGCUAGAGACAACAAAAUCCUCAUAGCGUUCAUCUUGACAACUAGUGCAAAGGUUUCAAAAUAAUCUAUUCCAUAGGUUUGAGUAUACCCUUUAGCCACCAACCUAGCCUUAAACUGUUCAAGUGACCCAUCUGCCUUAUACUUCACAACAAAGACCCAUCUACAUCCCACUAGUUUUUUUUUUUCCUUAGGUAGCUUAACCAAUUCCCAUGUUUUAAUUUUUUCAAGAGCCCCAUCUCAACUCUCAUGGUUUCUUUCCACUCUUUAUCGUCCAAUGCCUUAGAAACCGUUUUUGGGAUGGUUAUAGUGUUUAGAUGAGAAAGAAAGCUGUUAUGACUGUCAAAUAACUUCUCAUAAGAGACAAAGUGAGAUAAUGGGUAUAAAGGAUGUUGGGUACACUUUCUCACACCCUUCUUAAUAGUAAUAGGAGGAUCAUAAUCAUCUCCAGGCUUGGGAUCAGAGAUAUCACUUUCAUAAGCUUCCGAGUCAGAAAUUACCUCAAUACUAUCAGCUCUAUCAUCAGCACCAAGGUUUGGUUUUGAUUUUAGGACUUGCAUAGGUUGAAUAGUGGAUUCUCUUCUCCUUGAACAGACCUAUAGUGGGCGAUUAACACUUUGAAUAUGUUUAUCCUUUCCCAUAGAACUUAGAGUGAUUGGAGUUGUUUGAUUAUAAGAUGGUGGCUCAUUUGGUGAUAGUGGUGGUGAAGGCAAAGAAGAUGAUGAAGAUGGGGAGAGUGAAAGAUCAAGUAAAAGCAAAUCUUUGUCAUUAUCUUCCAUGAAGGAUGUCUUCCCUAGAAGAUAAAGUUUGGUAAAAUGACUUUGAUGUUCAACAAAUGUAACAUCAACAGAUACAUGAAAUUUUUUUGUAGGAGGAUGACAGCUUUUAUAUCCUUUUUGUGUAGAUGAAUACCCAACAAAGAUGCACUUAAGAGCUCUUGAAUCAAAUUUACCCUUAUGAUGUGAAUGAAUAUGAAUGAAUGAGACACAACCAAAUAUUCUAGGAGUGAGGUGGUUUAUGGUUUUGAAAUCAGGAAAGAAUUUUGAAAAAAAGGUUCUUAGGUGUUUUGUCAUCAAGGACUCUAGAAGGUAAUUUGUUUAUAAGAUGAGCAACAGUUAAAACAACUUCUCCCCAAUAAUUUUUUGGAACAUUUUUUUGAAAGAGAGGCACAAGUAAUUGCUAGAAGAUGACCAUUCUUCUUUUCUGCCAUCCCAUUUUGUUAUGAUGUGUUAACACAUGAAGACUCAUGAAUUAUUCCUUUUGCUUGAAAAAAUUGUGACAAGGUUUGAUUAAAAUAUUCCCUAGCAUUAUCUGAUUGAACCCUCUUAAGUUUUACUCUUAAUUGAUUUUUAAUCAUGUGAAAAAAUUGUUUGGAAGGUUGAGCUAACAUCAGAUUUUUGUUUUAACAAAAAAACCCAUGACACAUGAGUACAAUCAUCAAUAAACAAAACAAACCAACGAGCUCUAGAAACAUUUGGAAUCGUAGAAGGUCCCCAGACAUUAGUAUGGAUAAGAGCGAAAUGAGAUGACAUUCUUUUAUUACUUAUUGGAAAAGAAGUGCAUUUGUGUUUUUCAAGUUCACAAACAUCAUAAUGAAAUAUCCCCAUAUCACUCCCUUUAAACAAAUCUGGGAAUAUAAUUUUAAGAACAUUGAACAAUAGAUGGCCAAGACGAAGAUGAUACAACCAAAGUUUGUUUUUAUGUGAAAGAGAUGACUUAUAAAGGAAUGAAAAAGGCAAAUUAUUCUUAGUGCUAUUUUUCUCAUUGGAUUCAAGGUAGUAAAGUCCAUUCCUCUCUCUAGCAAGUCCAAUCAUCUUCCUUGUGCCCUAGUCCUGAAAUUCACAAUGUAGAAGACAAUGUUAUAGUACAAUCCAAAUCCUUUGUUAGCUUAUGAACGAGACAAGGUUUAUAGACAACUUAGGCACAUGCAAAACAUUCUUUAAAACAAAUUUCAAAUUGAUAACCACAUCUCCCUGACCAACAACUAUAAUCAAAGUACCGUCUACUGUAGAUAUCUUUUUAUUAAUGGGGUAAGGACUGUAAGAGACAAAAUGAUGGGAAGAUGUAGUUAUAUGAUUUGUGGCCCUGAAAUCAAUUAUCCAAGAUCCUGAUGUGGGCAUAUUCAAGACACUAAGUGGGAAGGAUUGAGAUCUAUUACUUGAAAAAGCCAAGGAACAAGUACCGAAACUUGCAGGUUUUCUAAAGUUCCCAAAAAUGUUCAACUUUUCAAUCUCUUCUCUAUUAAACUAAGCUUGGUCUAGAAAAGAGUUUGUUUCUUCUCCUGGUUGCAUUCUGGUUACAUGUGAUUGUCUUUGUCCCUUUGUCGGUCCAUUCUUUGUCGUUUCUUUUGAUUGUUUAGGGAUUUGAAAGUUUGAGGGCUUACCAUGAAGUUUCCAACAUUUUUCCCUAGUGUGUGGUUUUUUGCAAUAAGUACACACCAUUGGGUCUUUAUUUCCAGCCUUUGACACCUUUGACUAGCCACUUUCAUUUAUCACUCCACUGGAAUGGGUGCUCAACUGGUGAUCUGCUCCACCACUCCUUGCAUUAGCAUUUCUUACCACCAUAGCAGAAUUGUCCAUUGGUUGAGGUUCUAAUAUGACCCCCUCCUAAUUUCCUUUCCUCGGAUUAUGCCAAUGGUUUCAUUCAAUGAUGGAAGGUUUUCUAUUCCAAGAACUUGGACUCUAAUGAGGUCAAGUUUAGGAUUUAGUCCAACAAGAAAAGUAUAAAUUCUGUCUUUCUCCAUAAAUCUCUUAUGAAUAGCAGCAUCUUCAUCACAUUUCAUCUCUAUAAAUUCAUAAUGGUCGAAUUCUUGCCACAAGUUUUGUGCAAGAUAUUGAAGUAUUUAGUAAUAGAGCAAUUACCCUGUUUAGUAGUCAAGAUUCUGGUCUUGAUAUUGUAGAUUUGGGCUGCAUCACAAACCUUUGAAUAUGUUUGUCUAUGGAUGUUCCAAAUAUCCUUUGUUGUCUCCAAGAACAUGCAAGUAUCAAUUACUUCAGGCAUCAUUGAAUUCCAUAGCCAUGGCAUUACCAUAGAAUCAGCUUCAUCCCAAGUGUCAAACUUUGGAUCCCCCGGUUUCGGACCCUUGCCAAGGAGAUGACCCAAUUUGCCCUUUCUUUUAAAAAUGGUUCGGACAAAUUGAGACCACUUCAAGUAGUUUUUCCUAUUCAACUGAUAACUUGGUUGGAUAUUCUGCAAAUGUCCGACUGAAACUAUGCUUGAUGUCCCUGUCACUUGAAUCUCGGACGUAUUGGACAUCUCAAUUGCAUCAGACAUGAUGAUGCUAUAAGGGAAAAGAGAGGAAAGAAAGAAAAAAAAAAAAUAUCUUGGGUAAUAAGGUUAAAGAAAAUAAUGCAAAUAGGAGAGUUUUUGGGCUGAAAUAAAUAGAUAAUAGAUGACUUCAAGGUACUCUGUUUUGGAUAAGAAAACAGAGGAAGAUAAGGUACUUCAGCAGUUUCAAUGAAUGAGACGACAAACACUUAAGAGAAAAAAAAUAUUCAGCAAUGAAGACUGAGAAGAAAAUAUCCUAAGGAGCCAACUUGGCUCUGAUACCAUGUGAAAAUAUGGGAAUAUUUUUUAUUAAUUUACCAACGUACAAGGGAAAAUAUAUAGGCUAAACAAUAGUCAACUAAAUCCUUACAAAAUUGGGAUAUUGAGAUAGAAAACAAUCCCUAUAAAUAAGGGAUAAUAGAAAACAAUUCCUAUAAAUUAGGGAUAAGGCUAACUAAUUAAAUUAAAUAUUUACAGCUUUCUUAUCCUAUAAAUUAGGGAUAAUGUUAACUAAUUUCAAUCAUCACAAUUCUAGCCUGGCCUAGUCAACUUUGAUAAUAAUUCAUUCUUUGAAUCACUAGUAUUGUGCAAUGCACUACACACUCAUUGUCAUGUUUGGUAUCAAUAACACAAUUAAACUUGAGCAAUUAUCAUUAUCAUCAAAAUUCAAAGGAUUAGAGGAACUUAUUUAAUUAAAAUCACUUUAUUUUAGUUAACUAGAUAUGUUUUAUUUAUUUAUUUUUUUUACAAUAUUAUCUUGUUCAUUUUCUUUUGAUAAUCAUUUUUUCACAUAUUUGAGGUCUUCCCCAAGUCAAGACUGCAUUUGGAACUUCAGAAAUUUCUUAAAUUUUCUUGCAAAACUUACUGGUUCAAAAUUGGACAAUUCGUUUUUACGAUUGUUUGCUCCUUUUAGUGGAAUAUAUGUUAUCCCCAAGUGUAAGAAGUGAAUUGUAGUAUAUAAACCCAAGAUUUGGUUGUGGUACCUCGGGAAGACAUGAUUAAGGGUGUAAAGAAGAUCAAGAGGUUCAAAAUUGAAUUGUCUUUCAUGUUGUGCAAAACCACGAUAAAGAAUAAUAAUUGGGAUAAAAUAAUAAGAAAACGAAAACCAAACACAACGAUUUACGUGGUUCGACCUUAAGUCUAUAUCCACGAGCGAAGAUGAAGAACUUUCACUAUUGUUGAAGGAGAUUACAACUCUUCAAGCUCUCAAAUCCCAAACCCCCAAUUUAUACCCAAAAAAGAGACACUCACUAUUUUGGUCAGUCUCUUCCUAUAUUUUUUUCCUAAUUACAAAGUAAGCUUCUAUAUAGGAAACUAAGUGUAUAAUAGUCAAAGAUACCUUUUCCUGAAAAGAAGAUCUCAUAAUAGGAUAUUUCUUAUAAUAAUAGGAAACUUCCUUUCAAGAAUAUCUUCUAUUAGGAAAUUGUCAAUAACUUUCCAAUUGACUCAAAAUACAAUUUGAGACACUUUCCAACAUUCCAAAAUAGAGAGGAGUUUUUGUUUCAUCAUCCCUAUGAUUGAUGAGCUAUCCAAUGGUAAACAAUUAUUCCAUGGGUUGAUGAUUGUAAUUAACCUAUAACUAUUAGCAAAGAUCAAGAAAUGCAAUUUCCUUGGCUACCACAUAAUUUCUCUUAAUAGCUUGACAAAUCAUGCACAUUGUUUUCAUAUAAUAGCCUAUAUACUAUAAAUGAUUAGAAGUGAGCUUGGUAGUGUUUUUAUUAGAAAUUUUUUUGUGAAGUAUUUUCUUUAGAAGUGGUUUUAGAAGCACUAUAAGUAAUUUAUCAACUUUUUAAAAGUGUUUUCUAAAUUUUACCAAACACCUAAUUUUUCCUAAGUGCUUUCUAAAAGCAUCACCAAAUGGACUCUAAUUAUACUUGUGUAUAUAUAGAUAUAGCCAAUAUUUUGUCUUCAAAAUUCUUACGAUAUCAAACCCUUUUUCCAAGCUCGAAAGAGUCUUCUUCCUUUCCAAUCUAAAGAGAUGUACCAAAACUAAAUAUUCAAUCUUUCCAUUAGUGUUCUAUCUUAAUCUCACUCAAGGUAAGUAUGUCAAAUUUUCUCUUGUGGAGUUCCUAAAUACACCCCUUAGGUUGUAGCCUAGGGAUCAUUCAUCAUCUCAUACAUAUUUACGAACCAACAAUAAUAUCUAUAUAUAUAUAUAAAGUAGAAAGUAACAAAAAUAAAGAUGCCAAUGCACAAGAUGAACUUUAGGGUCAACAAUGAUGGCUUUCUUUCCUCAUUGCUUCUCAUAAACAUAAGCGAAGAAGUGUUGAAUGUCAUCCUUGUUGCAAAAACUGCAAGACAGGUUUGGAGUUUUUUAGAAAAACAAUUGUUAUUGGCUAUUCCAAGGAUAAGUAUGUUCAUUAAUUCCUUUUGAAUAUGCCUCUUCUAGUUUUAUUUUUAUAGAACAAAACCAAAGGAUUAUAGCAAUGAGGCAAUAGAAAUGACAACUUAAUGCAGUGGAUGGAUAUUUUCAAUAGAUGUCAAGUGUAAUAAGGAGAGGUGGGGCUUUGUCACACCAAUGUUUGAAAAUAUGAUUUUAUUUAGUAUCCAAAACAAUUCCAUGAUUACUAAAGAGGUAAGUAGAUGAAUGUUGAAAAGUGUAUUUUAUUGUUGUACACUACAACCUUUUAAAUAUACAUAUGAUUUUUCAAAAUAUACAUAAACUAUACAAGGUAUAUGUAUAUUACUCCUAAACUUAAAGUAUUGACCAUUUAAUGCUCUUGAUUUGUGGGUAAGAUUGGUUUUCUCCUAAUAUGCCCUUGUAAGAUGGUGCUUCCAUUAGAAACACAAAUCUUGGACUAAGAGAAUGUAAAACGAGACUUGGGUAGCAGCUUGGUGAGUAAAUAAGCAAGUUGAUUUUGGGUUAACACAUGAGCAACUUGAGAGAGCCUCGUAGUUACUUUUUCCUGCAAAAAAUGGUAAUAAAGAGUAAUAUGCUUUAUUUUUAAUGGAAUACAAGAUUUGCACACAAAUCCAUAACACCAAUGUUGUAGCAAAGUAGACGUGGUGUCUUAGGAAAAGAAGCGUAACUCAAGAAAAAGAUUAAUGGCUUAAGUUAUUUCAACCACCUCUGAGGUAAUACAACGAUACUCAACUUUAGUAUAAGAGUGGGUUCGUUGCUUUUUAAAGCACUAAGAGAUUGGAUUGACUUCAAGGGAGAGGACAUAUGUUAAUAUGGAAGUGCAAUCAUCACAAUUGCUUACCUAAUUAGGUCCAAGUAGGCAGUUAAGUGUAAUGAUUGUGAAUGACGGAGAAUGAGAUCAUAGUCUAGGGUGUGUUUAAGGUACCAUAGAAGAUGUUUGGCAAUUGUGUGCAUCAUUUUUUGAAUGAAAUACAAGAUUUGUAACACCAAUGUUAUUGCAAAGUAGACAUGGAGGCUUAGGAAGAGAAACAUAACUCAAGAAGAAGAUUAAUGACCCAAGUUAAUUCAACCACCACUGACGCAACAAAACCAUACUCAACUUCACUAGAAGAUGGGGCAAUGGUCCAUUGCUUUUUAAAGCACUAAGGGAUUAGAUUACCUCUAAGGAAGAAAACAUAUGCUGAGAUGGAAGUGCAAUCAUCACAAUUGCUUGCCCAAUUAGUGUCUAAGUAGGCAAUUAAGUGUAAUGAUUGUGAAUACGGAGAAAGAGAUCAUAGUCCAAGGUGUGUUUAAGGUACCAUAGAAGAUGUUUGGCUACAAUCUUGUGAGUUUGAUUUGGAGCAUGCAUGUGCUAAGUCAAUUUGUUUAUAGAAUAAGCCACAUUAGGUCUAGAUAUGGAUAGAUAUUGUAGGCUUCCAAUUAGACUGCAGUACUGCGAGUUAUCAACUUGUGAAGACCCAUCAUUCUGAAUAAGCCAAAUAGUGCAACUGAGUGGUGUGACAUAGGAUUUGAUACCUUUCAUAUGAAAUCUUGGAAGGAGGUCUUGAACAUAUUUUUGUUGAGAGAGGAAUUGUCCAUUUGCUUGGGGAAUAACCUCCACACCUAGGCAAAAUUGAAGAUGCCCAAGGUCUUUGAUUGAGAAUCGAUCAUAGAGUGGUAAUAACAUGAUAGAUAAAUAAUAGAGAAUUUUUUGUAAUUAACAAGUCAUCCACAUAGACUAAAAAAUAAACAAGAAUAGAGUUGUGAGAAUGAAUAAAUAGAGAAGAAUCAAAGUGAGAGUUCAAAAAGUUUAAAGAUACAAUGAAGGUCUUAAGCUUGAUGAACCAAGCCUGAAGUGCUUGCUUCAAGCUAUAGAUGGAUUUGUGCAAAUGACAAACAUGAUGGGUCCCAGAUUGAUCAAUGAAGCUAGGUGGCUAGGACAUAAAAACUUCUUCAUGAAGUUGCUUGCGUCGUGGAGGAAUGCAUUGUUGACAUCUAGUUGAUGCACUUAUCAUAUGCGAGAGAGAGAGAGCAGUAGAGGGAAUAGUCUGAAUGGUUGUAGGCUUGAUCGUAUGAUGAGAUCUCUCAUGAUAGUUGAUGCUGAGUUGUUGAUGAAAUUCUUUGGCCAUGAGGCAAGCCUUGUAUUGAGUGAUGCUACCAUUAAGAUUAUGCUUGAUCCUAAAAAUCCACUUACAACCAACAAUAUUUUGUUACGAUUCAUAAGAGACCAGCUCCCAAGUAUCAUGUGAGGCAAGAGCUUGAAGUUCUUCACUCAUGGCAUCUCUUCAUUCUUUGUGUUUUAAGGCUCGAAGGGAUAGGAUGCUUGGUGGCAAUGAGAGUGAAAACUUUCUUGGGUUUAAGGAUGUUGUUUUUGAAUCGAGUUUGCAUAGGAUGGUAGGAAAGUGGAUUGGUCUUAGUGAAGAGAGCACUGGUGAAGGGUUCACUACUCGGGAUGGAGCUUGGUAGUGUUUUGGUGGUGGUCGGUGAGAAAGAGAGGUCAACCAUAAGGGGGAUAGUUAGAUGUUGCAUGGAGUCAUGGGUGACAUGAGAUGAGAAUGGAGAAAUGGGUUGAGGAUGCGAGGGUUGUGGUGUUGAUAGGAGAGAUUCACGAGAUGGAGAUGAUGAAUGGAGAGGCGGGUUUAGUAGGUGAGUAUGAGACAGAGUGACUGGCAGAAUGGGAUGGAUUGAAUGUUAAUGGUGUGAUAAUAGGAAUCCUGACUCGCUAGAAUGAAUGCACAUCUUGUGUGGGGAAUUGAUUUAUGGAAUAAAUAAGGAAUGAAGGUGGCAGUGUCCAGUGUCCAGAGUAGGCAGCAUUGAGUAAAAGAAUGGAGUGUUCAAAAUGGGAACAACAUGUGGUAUGGAGAAGAAUGUGGGAUUAGUUUGCUGUGGCAACAAAAAGGAAGAGUAAGUUGGAGGUAGGUGAGUCUAAAUAGGAACGGAGGGAAUAGGUGUGGUAGUUUCUUUAGUCAACAAUUUUGGGGCGAAUGAUUUGGGUCUGAUUAUGGGAUGAACAUGUGGCAAAUUGAGAGAUGUAGGGUUAGUGAUAUGGGAUGGUGAAAAGGGAUGGUGUGGAGGUGAGAAUAAGUUGACUGAAGUGGGAAUAUUUAGGCUGCAUAAGGAGGGUUCCAUAAUGGGUUGGAAAGGUUGUGUAGAGAGGAGUGUUGAGUUGAUACCUUGUGACACUAAAAAAGGAAGAGAGGAAGCUGUUAGAGGAGUAGGAGAAUUUUCCUAGUUAAUGAGGGUUGGAAUUUUCAAGAUGAGUUGAGGUGGAAAGUGAGUCAAGGGGCUGUGAAAUGGGGGACCAACAAGAGAGAGUAUGGGAAUUAAUUUUAUCGUGCUUGGUAAAUAUAGAUCGAGAUAGAUAUGAUGUCUCAUCAAAUUGAACAUGCCUAGAAAUAUAAAAGUUGUGAUCUAUAAGCUCAAAAUAAAUGUAAGAGUUAUGAAUAUGAGAGUUACCUAAGAAUAGACAAGCUUUUGAACAUUGUUCAAUUUUGUGAGAGGUAUAUGGGCAGAUCCAAGGGUAACAUAAACACCCAAUUAUUUUUAAUUUUGAAUGGUUAGGCUUAGAGUGGAAGAGGCAUUCAAAUGGAGAUUUAUUCUCAAGAUUAGGCAUAGGAAAUCUAAUAAAGAGAUAAAUGGCAAUUUUAAAACUAAGAGACCAAAGUCGUAAAAGCAAGAAUAUCGGAUGAAGGAGGGUAAGUCCUGAUUAGAUAAUAUGUUGAAAACGAUGUUCAAUGAAGGUGAUGUGUUGAGUUGUGUACAAAUGUGAGAUAAGAUUUAGAUCCCAUGAUUUUCGAACACAGAUUUGAAGCCUUGGUCUUCUCUCCCACCAUUAGAGUAAAUGGUAGUAAUAGAAGAUCUAAAGUUUUUUUGACCCAAACUUUACCCAUUGUGGAUGAUAUUUAGUUUGGUAGCAAUAUCAUUACCCUUGAUAAAGAUGAGAGCUACAGUACUGUAGUGUGACCUUAUUUUUGAAAUAAAAGGGAAGCAAAGAAAAUGCCUUUGAUCAAAAUAAUCUUGACCCAAACAAACAAUGAAAACAAGUCUUAAGCUAGUAUCCUAUGGAAAUUUGAAAUGAUACUAGUCAUAUAAUCAAGAUAUGUCUAGAACACACUCACCUUUUGUGAUUAACAAAUCUGGAAGUAUCAAUGACUUUGAAAUAUAUACGUAUUUGUAUGAAAUUUAAUUAUCCACAUGACAUGUACUUGUUAAUAGCAUUAUUGCAUAUUAUUCAAUGACACAUCAAUCUAAUGAUUUCCUAAGAUAUUCAAAGCUUAUCACCUCAAGAGGCUUUGUUAAAAUGCCAGCUAAUUAUUCAAUUGAAUACCAGCUAAUUAUUCAAUUGAAUAAGCUUCUAGAGUUUCUCUAAGUCUCCCCCUCUUCUAUUUUAUCCUAUUACUCAAAAUGAACUGAUGAACAUUUGAUUAUUAGUGUUUAAGAGUCAUAACUAACUCUUACAAGAGCAAUUUAGAGGCAAAACCUUUUCUUUCAAUUGAAGAAAUUCAAACUGCGUCAACCUUGGCCACUGGGAUUACUUGUCCUACUAGCGUAAUCCCAUUGUAUUAGCUGUGCAGGUGUGCCUAAGAAAAUGAAUUCCAUAAUAUAUUGAUGUGCUGGUACCACAGCUUCCAUGACGCGGGUAGGGCAAGGCUAAGACAAAACAAUAGUCUUUAGAAUAAUUUACAUUUGCUAAGUAACACCUAUUGUUUUUGGUGCAUGACUUACUGCUGAAAAAUAGCUUCUUUGGUUGAAGUAGCAUUAGCUGCACACACUUGUGCUGGCUGUGCAAGCUUCACUAGAAGUUACCUCUCUACUUUAUACUAUACUGGUUAUGCGAGUACCCAUGUGGUAGUUACGGUUCUACCAGAAAGCAAUGUUUGAAACUCUUUUUGAACAUAUUAACCUAUGCUCUCUCAACCUAACACAACCCUAUGUUUCUCUAGACUUUAGGAAUCCUACAAUGAUCAUGGAAAACACUUUAUACAGUCUCUAAGGAAAUGCAAUCCAAUAUUCUGUAAGCUUGAGAUAAAACCAUCACCUUCUUUACCUUUGGUGUUUAGUAUGAGCUUGUUCUUCACCAAUCUUGAUCUCACUGCAUGGAUGAUCGACUUUGUGAUUGGUAAAACAUUUUGGUGAAAUACCUUAGCUAUUUAUUACACUAGAAAUGUCAUGAAAUUCACCAAUAUUCAAAUGUUCUGUUUAUGGUUUCUUUUUUUGAUAAUUUUGUGACAAAACAUACAUCACAAAGAAGAAAAAAAAAUGAUUAGGAUGUCAAGAAAUAGAACAAAUCAACCAUAUGCUUCUGAUCAAUAUUGAACCUGGCUACACAUUACCACUCAAAAACACUCAUUAAUAGUUUCAGACAUAUACAAGGCACACCAUUAUGUAAAUGCAAGCUAAGGUGCAUUUCCUCUUUCUGACACUUCUCAAAACAAUUUUUCUGUCCCAUUUUCUGGUAUAACACACAUUCUUCUCCUAUCCAUAUGUGCAUACAUCCCAUGUCAACUAAUGUUAGCAGAUUAGAUUAGAUUUGUUAUAGAAUUUGAAUUGGUCAAGCUAUUUGAAUUUACUUUUAUUUUUUUAUUUUUUUUGUUAUUUCAGAUUAUGUAGGAUUAGGAGUUUUAUGUUUUAAAUUCAAAUAAGGGUAGAUUGUUAUCUGUAACAAUUCUGCCAUGAUCCUAGGAGUAAUUUCAGGACUUUGUUGAUAACCCUUAGUCAUCCUAAGUCUAUUUAAAUGUAUUGCCUUCAAAUAAUAAAAAAUAAUGCAGAUUAGUUUUAGAUCUGGUUUCAUGGUAUUGGACCCAAGAUUAGUCGUCGAUAUCUCUUUCUAAAGACAACCAGGGAUGUAUUGGAUGCUGCCCAACAAACGUACUUCAAUCUUGGCAACGUGUCACAAUUGUUCGAAAUUCAGUCCAAAUUAAAGGAGAUCAAGCAAGACACCCAAUUGAUUACUCAGUAUUUCACUAACCUGGAGGAUAAGUGGCAAGAAUUGGAUUUGUUUUUUGACGAAAACUCAGUGUGUGCAACCUGUAGUGUGAAGUAGAGGCAGAAUCUUCAGAAAGAAUGGGUGUAUGAUUUUCUUAUUAGAUUAAAUCGAGAUCUUGAUGAAGUCCAAGAACGCGUUUUAAGUUGAGUUCCAUUCUGAACAAUUGAUGAAGCCUUUGCUGAAGUUCGUAGACGAGAAAAUCGUGGAAAAGUUAUGUUGUCUGAAGAAGGACCAUUGAGUGCUCCACCAACAGAAGGCUUGACCUUGAUGACCAGAAACAAAUUGCAACCAAGAAAGAACAACAAUGAUUCAAGGACACCACAUCAAGGAGAACAAAUGUGGUGUGAUCACUGCAGCCGCCAUGGACACAUCAGGGACAUAUGCUGGAAGAUUCAUGGAAAACCUGCAAAUUGGGUUCCCCAAAGAUAGACUGAAGGCCGAGGUUUUCAAGCUCAAUAAAACCAAUACAAGCAAGGAAUAGAUUCUUCAACACAACAUCAGUUUACAAAUUCAUUAGUUUCGUUCAGCAAGGAAUAGCUUGGGCAAUUCUAUUGUCUUCUCAAUCCAUCACCAGUCCCAUCUUUGUUAAAUUCUAAUCUAUGGUCAUGUUAUGUAGCACAAUCUGGUAACCACUCAGUCCUAACAUCUUUGGUUCACUCUACGAAACCUUAGAUCAUUGAUUUCGGUGCCUCUGACCAUAUGAUAGGUGGUUCUAAUUUUUUCCUAUCUUAUACUCCAUGUCCUAGUUUUACUAAAAUAAAAAUUGUAGAUGGAUCUUUAUCUUCUGUUGCUAGAAUAGGUUCAAUAAGAGUCUCGAAGGACUUAAUUCUUCACUCAGUCCUUCAUGUUCCUGCCUUAAAAUGCAAUAUGUUAUCCAUUAGUAAAAUCACUCGUGAUAAUAAUUGUUUCAUUCUUCAAUGUGUCAAUUUCAGAACCUAUCAUUGGGGAGGACGAUUAGCAGUGUUAGAAAUCAUGAGGGGCUUUAUUAUCUUGAGAACAUAGAGUAUGAGGGUCGGCAAGCUUUUGCAUCAAGGGUUGCAUCUGUUUUUGUUUCUAGUGAUAGGGAAGCAUCUGUUUCUAUUUCUAGUGAUAGGGAAAUAAUGUUAUGGCAUCAUCGACUUGGCCACCCUAAUUUUUUGUACUUAAAAUGUUUGUUACCUUUAUUGUUUAAAAAUGAAGAUUUUGUUUCUUUCAGUUGUGAUAUAUGCCAAUUUGCAAAACAUACUUGGGUACCAUUUUCUCCAAAACCCUAUAAACCUUCAAUGCCUUUUGCCUUAAUUCACAACGUUAUCUAGGGUUCAUCCAAAGUUACCACAAUGAAUGGAAAACGAUGGUUUGUGACAUUAAUUGAUAAUCAUACAAGACUCAUUUGGGUAUAUCUCCUUCGAGAUAAAUCAGAGACCAAUCAAGUGUUCCAAAAUUUCAACAAUAUGAUCCAAACUCAAUUUGGGAAAAAUAUUUGUCUUAUAGACUAACAAUGGGAGAGAAUAUUUUCAAUCUAUCUUGGGAGAUUAUUUAUUGCAUAAGGAAAUUGUUCACUAAAGCUCGUGCAUUGACACACCACAACAAAAUGGUUUCUUAGAAAGAAAAAAUAAACAUUUAUUGGAAGUGGCUAAUGCUCUUAUGUUUACAAUGAAUGUUCCCAAAUAUCUGUGGGGGGAUGCCAUUUUAACCACUGCAUUUCUGAUUAGCCGCCUACCUAGCCACACCUCGACCUUUAAAUCCCCACUAUCCAUGCUUACAAACAAAUUCCCACUUCUCAAUAUGCUUACAAAUACCCUUCCACUCAAAACAUUCAGACGCAUUGCAUUUGUCCACAUUCACUCUCAACACCGAACCAAACUUGAUCUUCGAGCCAUAGAAACAAUCUUUCUUGGCUAUUCUCCAACCUAAAAAGGGUACCGGUGUAACCGUCCCCAAACAAAGAAAAUGUUUGUCACUCGAAAUGUCACAUUUUUUGAAGAAAUCCCAUAUUAUUCACACACUUCUCUUCAGGGGGGAAUCAAGACAGAUAAGUUUCUGUGUGGGAUUGGGAUACUAUUGUUUUACCUAUAUUUGAGAUUCUAUCGCAACCUAUUGUUAUCCCAUUACUCGAGACUUUGGCUACUUCGGCCGUCAUACUCGAGCUUACCUCAUCUGAAACCUCACAACCAAUUGAAACCUUGUCACAACAUUCACUUGCAUACCAAUCCCAUAAACAAGGGGAUAUCCAACCAUACCAAAUCAAUAAAAGCUAUGGGUUUACUCUUGGAAAAAGAGUUCUCAAGGGAAUAAGCCACUUAUAAGCAAUGUGCAUUAUCCAAAAUCUGAACAUGAGUUAGGAAGUGGUUCCUCAUCCUUAGCUAAUCCUGAAACCAUUUCUGAUAGACUAGAUGAACCUAUUGCACUUAGAAAAGAUGUUAGGUCAUGUACACACCAUCCUAUUUCUAAAUUUGUGUCAUAUAAUAAUCUAUCUCCAUAGUUUCAUGCCUUUACCACAAAUCUUUCUAGAAUUGAUGUUCCUAGGACAAUAGAAGAUGCUCUAGCUAUUCCCGAAUGGAAAAAUGUUGUUCUUAAAGAGAUGCGAGCUCUUGAGAAGAAUGAUACAUGGAGUUUGGUGAAAUUACCACAAGGCAAGAGUGUGGUUGGAUGCAAAUGGGUGUUCACUAUUAAGGUAAAACCAAAUGGCUCAAUCGAGAGUACAAAACAUGAUUGGUUGCAAAAGGUUUCAUACAAACAUAUGGACUUAACUAUACUGAGACAUGUGCUCCCAUUGCAAAGCUCAACACAAUUCAUGUCCUAUUAUCACUAGCAGCAAAUUUAGACUAGCCAUUGUAUUAACUCGACAUGAAGAAUGCAUUCUUAAAUGGAGAACUGGAGGAAGAAGUGUAUAUGAGCCUACAACUCAACUUUGAAGAAGAUAAAAAGGGCCAAAAUGGUAUGCAAACUGAAGAAGUCUUUAUAUGGUCUUAAACAAUCUUUGUGUGCAUGAUUCGAAAGAUUCUCAAAAGUGAUUAAGAGUAACGGAUAUUCACAAGGGCAAAUUGAUAGGACUAAACAUGUGGAGGUUGAUACACAUUUCAUCACGAAAAACUUGAGAAAUGAGUAAUCAGCAUAAAGUACAUUCCUAUAGACCAACGGGUUGUUUACAUACUCACAAAAAGACUUCAUGGACCAGCAUUCAACUUUCUAACAAGCAAGCUUGGACUCAUUGACAUCUACGACCAAGCUUGAGGAGGAGUGUCGGUGGAUUAGAUUAGAUUUGUUAGAGAAUUUGAUUAGUCAAGCUAUUUGAAUUUACUUAUGUUUUUCUUUUUUUCUUUUUUUUUUCUUUUUUUGUUAUUUCAGAUUAUGUAGGAUUAGGAGUUUUAUGUUUCAAAUUCAAAUAAGGGUAAAUUGUUAUCUAUAACAAUUGUGUCGUGAUCCUAGGAGUAAUUACAAGACUUGGUUGAUAACCCUAUGUUGACCUAAGUCUAUUUAAAUGUAUAGCCUUGAAAUAAAAAAAAUAAUGCAUAUUAGUUUUAGAUCUGCUUUCAACUAAUAACCAAGAUCAUGUAAAGUUUCUUUCCCAUUCUUUGGCCUAUUUAGUAUGUGUAGCAUACAAAACUCAUCUCCUUUAAAUUGAACUAAUGCUAGUUAAAACUCUCCCCUUAGCAUCGCUUGUAAUAUUAGUCAUUGGGUGAUUUUUGUUCACUCUUGAUGUAGUCUCUUAGAGAAUUAAAUGUAGAUAAAAAGACUUUAAAAUGGGGUUAAAAAAUAGAGGAAAACAUCAAAAGCAAGAUUACAUCAAAAGAGAAUGGACAUCUACUUUAAUUAAAGCUAAAACAUGAAGAAAUCUAAACCAUAGAAAAGAACAAAGAGGCCUCCCAAAGGAGAAGAGAAAAUCUCCCAACUAUAAAAUGGGGUAUGGUUACCUUAGCUUGGGGGUACAUGACGGCAUCCUAUGGAACCCCCAAAGAUCCAAGUGCUAGGAGGAAAGUGCUAAAAAAAGUGGGCUUGGGCAUCUGGCAAAAAGGGCACCACGCUUGGAUGGCAUGGGCCAUGGGGCCCAACUUGGUGCCCAAAGUCGCCGUAAAAUUUGGGGAGGCUGCCAGAUUGGGCACCAUCCUUUUGUGCACUGUGGGCCAUAGGCCAGAGUCAAAACGAUAGUGUGCAUUCUUCCCCUGUUUCAUGCACUUAGCGUUCCUCUUGCUGUAUUCUUGUGCUUUGGUUGUCUCAGGAGGCUCCAUUAUGUGCACUUAUUCACUCAAAUAGAUGCAACACAUAGAAAACUAGAGGAAAACAUAGGAAAACCAAGGUUAUGCGGGGCAAAGCAAAAAUGGUGAUUGGAGAAUGCACUUUAUGUCAAUAUCACACUUAAAAUGCAAUUUCUAGUCUCAUUUCUGACCAAUAUUUGCAUCAAUCACCUCAUUAUUAUUAUUAUUUUUUAUUUUUUGCUUUAGGUAUACUUUGUUCAAAUCUUUAUUUUGGAUACUCAUUGGUGUAAUUUUAGAAGACAGUAGUGAUAAUUGGAUUUGGUUCCAGACUUCAUCAGACUGACACAUAAAUGUAACCUGUAUGAAUACAUGACCAAAUCUUAUGUUUUAAGUGCUUUUUUUUUAUUUGGUUCCAUAUUUUGAGGAUAUGAAUGUUUAUGCUUUAACUAGUGUGAUUCAGCUAUAUGUUGAGUUCUCCAUGCUGUGAUUAAUUACUACUUUGGCAAACCAUUCUUGCACUAGUGCUGUUAACUUAAUUUACAAUAUUUUGUAACUAAUGAAUCAUAAUUGUUCAUCUGAGUUUCUAUUUUGAACUUUUGUUGAUGUUCUGAGUUGUAUACUGCUGAUAACACAGGAAUGACUGAUCUAGCUGGUGGGGCUGCAGGUGAGAUAUAUAAAGAUGGGAAACGCGUAGCGACUUUUGCCUUUAGCAAUAUUCUUUAUCUGAGGGAUCUGAGCAGAAACUCUAAAAAGUUAACUCAGGAAGCCACGAAUCUCAAGGAAACGAGGAAAUACCUAGAAAUAAGAAGAUUUAAGACACAGUCAGGCAUAAGAGAUUGGAUUGCUACGGCUUCGAUUAUUUUAAGGCAAGUGGAACGCCUAGAAACUAAAUACAACAAUGAAAAGAAGCAUCGAUGGAAAUUGUUUUCCCUUGCAAAUCUUAGCAAAGAGAUGGAAGUGAAGUGCCAAGAAGUUUGUAGUCAUAGGGAAAAGGGAGUCUUCAUGAAAGAAACAGCAGUCAUGGAAUUGCCAGAGCCUGUCCAAAGAAUACCUACACUCAAACUGGAAGAAAACUCGUCAUUGCACAAAGUUUUACAACAUGUACUGAGGUGUCUAGAGGAUAAAGAAGUAAGAAGAAUUGGUAUCUGGGGCAAGCUGGGAACUGGGAAAACCACAGUAUUGAAGAACUUGAAUAAUCAUGCAAAAGUUGCUGAAAUGUUUAAUGUGGUUAUCUAUGUAACUGUCUCAAAAAAGUGGAGUGAAAAAAGGGUACAAGAUGCAAUCCUAAGGCGGCUAAAAUUGGAUGUAGUAGGUAAUGCCAAUGUUAACGAAGCUGCUUGGCUAAUAUCCGAAGAUUUGAAGGAAAGGAAGUGUUUGAUUCUUUUGGAUGAAGUAACGGACAUGAUUGAUCUAAAUAGAAUAAUGGGAAUCGACGAGAACCCAGAUAGCAAGGUAGUGUUGGUGAGUAGAUAUGAUGACUUUUGUAAAUGUGUCAUGAAGGCUGAUGAGCUAGUUAAUGUGAAGCCAUUGUUACGUACUGAAGCUUGGAACAUGUUCCAGAAAAUAGUAGGCCCUUCCAUUUCUAACCCCUUAAUUGAACCACUGGCGAGGGGUGUGGUUAAUGAGUGUUAUGAGUUGCCACUGCUGAUAGACAGAGUGGCAAAAACCUUCAAAAAGAAUGGGGAGGAUUCUGUGCUUUGGGAUUAUGGAUUGGAACAGUUGAAAAGAUGGGACAGUAUCAAAAUCUAUGGCAAGGAUGAAGUGCUGGAACGCUUACAGAUUUGUUAUGAUGAUUUGGAAGAUGAUGAACAGAAGGUUUGCUUUUUGUAUGGUGCAUUGCAUCCCCAAGAAAGUGAGAUAUAUGUAGAUUACUUGUUAGAAUGUUGGAAAGCUGGAGGUUUUAUUAAACAUGCAAAUGAUUUCAGAAGUGCACGCAACAGAGGGCAUACGGUGCUGAAUGAGCUUAUCAAGGUAUCUUUGCUGGAGAGAAGUGCUAACAGGAAAUGUGUUAAGAUGAAUAAAAUGCUUCGGAAAAUGGCGCUUAAGAUCUCAUCAAAAAGAACAGAUUCCAAAUUUUUAGUGAAGCCACACGAGGGGUUAGAAGAUUUCUCAAAGAAGGAAGAAUGGGAACAAGCCCAUCGGAUUUCUUUGAUGAAUGACCAACUACGCACUUUACCAGAAACACUAGAUUGUCGCAAUCUGUUAACGUUGUUGCUUCAAAGAAAUAAGUGCUUGACUUCUAUUCCUGAGUUGUUCUUCAAAUCUAUGUGUCGUCUCCAAAUUCUAGAUCUCCAUGGCACUAACAUUGUAGUACUGCCUUCAUCCUUAUCCAACUUGAUUUACCUCAAAGGGCUCUAUUUAAAUUCCUGCUCUGAGUUGAAAGAAAUCCGAUCUAGUGUAGAAGCACUUGAGCAUCUUGAGGUGUUGGAUAUUCGAAAGACCAAACUUAAGUUACUUCAAAUUGGAAGUUUAGUAUGGUUGAAGUGUUUGCGAUUAUCAUUGUGUAAUUUUGAUGUGGCAAACUAUACUGAAGCACAAGUGUCAAGGUUUGAUUUGUUGGAGGAAUUGACUAUUGAUGUUGGUUCAUUGGAAGAAGGGUGGGACAAGAUUGUAGAUCCAGUAAUAAAGGAGAUAGUUAAGUUGAAAAAAUUGACCUUUCUUAGAUUUUGUUUCCCUCAAGUAGACUGCCUUGGCUUAUUUGUUGAAAAAAGCCCUGUGUGGGAGGAUCCCCGCUUGAUAUUUCAUUUUGCUGUUGGUUACCAUGACUCCGCCGUUGCUCAUGCUCUUGAGUCUAUCGAUAAUCCAAGCUACAAGAUCUUGAAGUUGGCCAAUGGUGAUGGUGUAAAUCCUAUAGUCAUGAAGGUGCUAACGAAAACCAAUGCAUUGGGACUAAUAGACUACAAAGGAGUUUCGAGUCUAUCGGAUUUUGGCAUCGAGAAUAUGAAUAUGAUAUUUGAUUGUUUGAUUGAAGGAUGCAGUGGAAUGAAGACCAUCACCUAUGGUAAUGGAACAUCAAAGGCUGUGCUAGAAUGGUUGAAAAAUUUGCACAUAACCAAUGUCCCAGAAUUGGAAAACAUUUGGCAGGGGCCUGUUCAUGCUGGAAGUUUGGCUCGAUUAACAACUGUGACAUUAAGUAAUUGCCCCAAGUUGAUGAAGAUAUUCUCUAAUGGUAUGAUUCAACAACUUAUUCAACUGACGCACUUGAGAGUUGAAGAAUGCCAUCAAAUUGAAGAGAUUAUCAUGGAAUUUGAGAAUACACAACUAGAAAACCAAGCACUUCCAAAGUUGGAGACCCUAAAACUCAUUCAUCUGCCACAACUAACAAGCAUUUGGGCUAAAGAUUCAUUAGAGUGGCCAUCUUUACAAGAAGUUGAGAUAUCUAAGUGUUUCAAGUUGAAGAGUUUACCUUUCAACAAGGUAAAUGCAACCAAAUUGAGAUCCAUUGAAGGGCAACAAUCAUGGUGGGAAGCACUAGAAUGGAAAGGUGAUGCCAUUAAACAAAGAUUACAACCUCUUUUCAUCCCCAACCAGCUCCUUUGAUUUCAUCUCUUAUGCGUUUUAUUGUAAAGCUAAUCAGGAUAGUUGCUGCUGCUGAGACAAAGUAAGUUUGUGUGCAGGAUUCAAAAACUCUGGCUUGCACUUGCUUGAGAUUUACUAUUUUUUUCUUGUAUUUGUUUGAGAUUUGAUACUUUGGGUUGUGUUUGUUUAAGAUUUGCUACUUCAUAUUGUAUUUGUGUAUGAUUGCUUGUUGUUUGGUUGUUGUAUUUCCAUAUAUCUUAUGUAAGGAUAAUAGAUUGAAAAUCUUAAGCUCUAUUUGGUUCUAGAAAAGUAUUAAAGAAAGAGGAAAAUGAUUUUCUCAUAUUUGGUUUUAAAUAAUUUUCUUUAUAUAGAGGAGAACAAAAAAAGUAAAAUGAGUUUAAAAUAGCAUAUGAAAAUAAUUUAUCGACUUUAAAUCUUUUUUUUUUUUUUUUCAGUUUUCGUCUCCAUUUUCUUUCUCUUCCAUUUUUUUUUCAAAAUUUUCAAGAACCAAAUAUAACCUUAGUCAUAACCGCUAAUAAUGAUUUUUCUUCUCAUAAGGUAGGACUGAACAAUUGUAGUAUUUGAUAUUUGUGGAGAAUUAUUCAUUUGAUACACAUAUUCUUUCUCUUGAUAUCAUAUAUGGUUUCUGAUUUUACUUGUUAUCUUAAUUUUUGGUAUUUGAAUUUGAUUUCUUCAUCUCAUUUAUUUUUAUUUCUUUGGGGAAAUGGUUUAGGAAUAUGAAUAUGAAGAUGUUCAAUUGCUUUACGGAUUUCUGCUAACUGAGUCAUCAUGUGGCCUAAGCCCAGCCCUUUUCAUGCCCAAGCCUGGCCCAAUCAUUGAAAUUUGGGCUUAGACAGAACUCAGACCCGCAAUGAUGGGCUUUUAAAAUAUAAAUGUUAUGCAACACCUUAUCUUUUAAUUACCUUUAUGUCUUAUAAAAAUAAUUAAUUCUAAAUUUCAACUCAAAGUUAAGUUGUCCAAAAAUCAUUAAAAAUAGGAAACAUUUUUUUAGACUUGAAAAAACGUUUGGUAUUAUUUUAUUUUUCGAAAACAGUUCUUUGAAAACUUGUUAUGGAAAUAAAAUAUUUUUUGAGAACAUAUUUUAAUUAUUUUUAAAUAUCUUUCCUUAUUUUUUGGGAUUUAUUUUAAAAAGUAAUUGUACAUAUAUGUAGAAUGGUCGGAAUAAAAUCAUUGGAAACAAAAGUUGUUUUGAAGAAAUUCAAAAACAUAAAAAGUAGUUUGAGAAUAGGUGGCAAGUGUGUUAAAAAAUAGUUCUAAAAAACAAUUUAAAAAAAAAAAAAAUUAUGAUAUUUUUAAAGUAAGUUUAUUUGAAAACCAAAAAUUUUUGUUUUCUAUGUUUUUAAAUAUGUUUUAAAGAUAUUUUUUAUAUGUAGUACUUUAAUUUUAAUUAUUUUUUAUAUUUAUAUAAUUUUAAAAAAAAAAAAUAUUUAGAAAAUAAAUGAAAACAAUUAAAGAUGUUCUCUAAAAAACACUGUUUUCUAUUUUUAAAAAUAAAAAAUAAAGUGUUUUUAGAAAAUAUAUUUUAAUUGUUUUUACUUGUUUAAAAAAUAAUUAUAAAGAAUAAUUAAAAAUAAAGUGUUAUGAAUAAAAAUUAUUUCUAAAAUAUAUUUAAAAACAUAGAAAAAAGGCUCAAAGUAUUUCAAGUUCCAAACAAAUUUUGUUUUGUAAAACAUUAGAAAAUGGUUUUUAAAAACUAUUCUCAAAGCUGCUUUUUAAAACUAUUUUUGAGAAUACUUCCAAAACAGACCUUAUUCUCCCUUCUUUCUUGCCCUAAAACAAGUAUAAAAAACUGUUCUUUUAAAGUUGUUUUUGAAAAUACUUCCCAAACAGACCUUAUCAUUCUCUCUUCUUUCUUGCCCAAAAAUGAGCGGCAGUUCCAUAAUAGCUCAAGCUUACCUUCAAGGAGUCACCAGGCUGACCUGAGCCUGGCACUCAAAACAAAAACCAAAUAUGAGACAACAUACUAAGAAUGCACUUGUGUUAGAAAUUUAGACACAGAUGAUACAAAUGCUGCUGGGAAUUGGUUUUUUGGGCUUUGAAAGUAAAAUGUUUUAAGGAAAAACCAGCCAAAAUGUGCAGCAGGCAUUCUGGACCACCCUCUUCAUUCUGGGGAAUUAAUGAUUCUGUUCAACCGGUUGUUCUUUCUAUUGUGAUUAUUACACAUGACACUUUCAAACAUGUCAAAUUCGUUAAUUUUUCGAUAGCAAUAGGUAGAUAUAUAUCCAUGAUUUUGGUCUUCAAUUUAUGAUUUCAGUCCCUUGAAAAUCAAAUACCUAAAGGUGAUGGAGUUCUCCGACUUUGGGUGCCAACCCAUGAACAAUUCACAACCUCCUAAAAGGAAAUUUGAAGUUGAACCAAUAGAAAGAGAGAUUGUGAUAAAGAUCUUAUUCGAGUAUGAAACAAGUCUAGGAUUUGCAUGACAAACAUUUUAUUGGAAAAAUAAGGGAACAAUUACUCUUAAAUGAUGGUUGUCUUGUUAGAAUAAUACAUUGAAUUUAGGGUGAUUCAGGUUCUUUGGUAACUUGGUAUUAACAAGAUUACAAACCAAGGUCGAAAACUAAUGUUUUUUCCGAACUAAAAAGACUAAAAAAAGCAAGCAACUAUUGGCAUAGUGACUUGGUCGAUCCAUCACCACAUAUAAUGCUUCUAGUUUCAUUGCACCCUUCAACUAAACAAACUAACAUGUUUGCCAUGUUGUGAAUGCCAAAAUCUGAUAGUGUUGAAACACCUUGUGGUUAAUUAAUCAGAAUGCAUAUGUCACCAUAAGUACCUCUGCGAUUACAGGAUGCCUCCCUUCACCAUUGACCAAUUCAAGCAAUUGAAGCUUGGAUAAUCAGUAGACUCUAGAAAGUAAGAGGAGGUUGAGUCCUGGUGACCAACAGAAAAUUGAAAUGAGAAGUGUGAGCUCUUCUUCCUUGCUGGGCUUCCAUGGACAAACAAUACAAGGAAGUCCACCGUAGGGAAGCAAAAUUGAAGGGAAGUUAAUUUUUGCAAGGUAGCCACCUCCUCCGUAACAAUCUUUAAAACUUGACAAGGUUGAAAUAUUUAUAUGCAUCUUCAAACUCAUUUACAUUGCAAGUGGGUUCUGACUGGAAUCCUCUAUUCCAAUAGGAAAUUUUUGAAAUGAGAUAUCCGCUGUUGGGGCCUCUAUUUCCUGCAUGGCUGCAAAGACAAAAGGAUUUGAUGGGUCUAGACAUAUCUAUUGAGGCCUCGCGUCCCUGGUGAUCUACGUAGUUGCCAAAUGGAUGGACGCACGAUCUCAACCAAUAUAGGUUCUUGAUUCAGUCCUUCUACCUGCAAAAGGCGUUCGGACAGGGUGUCCGGACGCACCCUCCGAUGGUUUUGUCAGCCAUGGUUAGAGAGAGAUAAAUCAGUUGGCCUUUUACUAGGUACCUCAAGCUUACCUUCCUCUUUGUGUGAAGGUUCGUAUAUAUAGUAUCAGAAGCUUUGUUCUCCUCUUUAAUGGUGGGGAGAUAUUUUGUGUUGUCAUGAUGACACUAGGUGGUGGCAGGCCAUCAUCACCCUACGGGCGGCUGACAGAGAUCGUGGUAGGUGAUGCAGUUGUCAGAGAUCGUGGUAGGUGAUCGUGGGAAGUGACUUGUUGUCACUUCAUCUUGUCCUUUCACUCUGCAGGUGGCGGAACGUGGGCCAUGACAGGCUGUUGUGAUAACGUGCAAGACUUGCUUACUUCAGUCAAUGAUCUGGGCAACGUAUCCGGAUGGCCUGUGUUUAGUCGUCCGGGUGCAUUUGUGGAAGUCGUCAGGAUGUCAUGCUUAUGAGUGUCGUGUGCUUCUCCUUGAGGUAGUCCGGAUAGGAGAAGCGCGCCACGUGUACUCUUGGGGAAAUCCGGAUGGGGUUGACCCCGGAUGAGAAUGUGUGCCACGUGUUAUCAGGGGGAGGGGUCCCUACAAUAUCCAGAGCAGGAAUCAAAGAUGCCAUCCCAUCUUGGUUCUGGAGUCUGAAUUUUGACUACAUGAAUCUAGCCUACAACCUGAUGUAUGGCACUGUUCCAAGCUUAACAGCUGCAUAUCAGAUCCAUCUUGGUUCAAACAAAUUCAGUGGCCCACUGCCCCGUAUCUCUUCCAAGACAUUUUCAUUAGAUCUUUCCCGUAACUCAUUUAAUGGAUCCCUUUCACCCAUCUUGUGUCAACAGAACAAUGAAGUGAACACUUUGAGGAGAACUUUCCGGAAACAUUCACUCAUUUAAUGGACCUCCCCGGAAACAUUCUAUCAGGAGAACUUCCUGACUGUUGGGCGUCCUGGACACUACUCAUGGUGUUGAGAUCAAGAAAUAAUAAUCUGACUGGACAUCUACCGAGCUCAAUGGGUUCCCUACUUUGGCUAAGAUCAUUGCACUUGCGCAACAACAGUCUCUCUGAUACUUUACCGUGUUCCAUGCAAGGUUGCGAAAGUUUAACAGUUGUAGACCUCAGUGAGAAUGAAUUCUCUAGAAGCAUAACGAUGUGAGUGGGGAAGAAUCUGUCCAGUCUUAUGGUUCUUGUCCUACGAUCAAAUAAAUUUACUGGGAGUAUUCCUAUGGAAUUCUGUCACCUCGAGUCCCUUCAAGUCUUAGACCUUGCAAACAACAUCACUGGUUGUAAAGAGAACAGAAUAUGAGUACAGUGGUUCUCUUCCCCUUCUAACUGGAAUAGGCCUCUCAUGCAACAACUUGUCAGGGGAGAUACCAAAAGAACUUACCAGUCUCCAAGGUUUGAUGUUCUUGAACCUCUCUGUAAAUCAUCUUGAAGGACAACUUCCUAUGGAGAUCAGCGCCAUGACAUCGUUGGGGUCCCUUGAUAUCUCCAGGAACAAACUUUCGGGUGUUAUUCCACAAAUCCUUGCAGGUAUAUCAUUGUUGAGCCAUUUAUAUGUGUCGUACAGCAACUUCUCAGGCAGAAUUCCAUCAGGCACUCAAAUCCAAGGCUUUAAUUCGAGCUGUUUUAUUGGUAAUCUUGAGCUCUGUGGGCCUCCUCUUACAGAGACUUGUGUUGGAGAUGAUCUCCCAGAGGUUCCAAUUCCAGGGCCUGCUGAUGAAGAGGACAAUGAUGAUUGGAUCGAAAUGAAGUGGUUCUAUAUGAGCAUGCCACUGGGGUUUGUGGUUGGUUCUUGGGCUGUUUUGGUUCCAUUGGCAAUCAAAAAGGCAUGGAGGGAUGCCUUUUUCCAGUUCUUGGAUAACAUGAAAUGCAAACUGUUUGGCUGCUCUCAGUAUGGAGAGCAGUAUUUGUGUUCCUUGAAUACAAAUAUAAGCGUCCUUUUGGCUGUAGGCUCAUCACACACGCCUAACCAUUCAUUGAUGUUUCAUGUGAGCUCCUUUUGGUUGCCGAGAAAACCUAGUCCAAUGGGACAAAGUAUGCUGGGAAAGUGCGUUAUUCAUGGUAACUUCAAGGAGAGUCCAGAUCAACCCUUAGGGCCACUAAGAGAAGAGCAGGAGAAUCAAGGGAAUUAAGAAUGAAGUGUUUUUAAGGAAGUAGUAGAUUGAAAGGAAGAUCGAUUAUCUUGCUCUUGGAUUUAUUGACCUAUGUGAAAGAGGGAGAUGACCAUGUAAUAAACACACAAUACCUUCAUAAACUGAAAAAAAUCUGUUUUUCAUAUUUAAAUUCUCAAAGAGAAUUUCAUUCCUAAAAACAAUUAAGAAUUAUUUUUAAAAUUAUUAUAAAAAACUAUUGUUUGAAAAAUAUUUUAGAAAGCAUUGUUAAACAGACCCCUAGUUGUUGAUUUUCUAUAAACACCAAAAGGACAAGCAAUUAUCCACAAACAUUAGACACAAUUCAUCACUUCAAUUAAAUAGCCAAAAAGUAUCAAGGCUGAAGGACUUACAGGGGACAGUUAUAAACGGGAAGAAUACCUAGGACAUGUCCAAACACAAGACUCCUAAAGACUAAGCUAUGAGGAGGAAAAAAAACCCCAAAAUCAUGUCAAUAGAACAGAAGAGCAAAAUUGCAUACUUAAAAUACUUUACACAAUUUAGAGGAGAGAACUCAGUACUCCCAUUUCCUAUUCUCCAUGCCAUCAGGAGGGCUUCCCUCAACCUUCUUCGAUCGAACUUCCUUCCAGUUUGUCCACAGCACUGUCCUGUUUUACUCCACAAGUUAAAAAAUAGCCCCAAGAAAAACAAUGUCACCUUUGAAUCCAUUAAUUUGCUAAUUUCCCUUUUAUAAUCCCAUACUCAAUUAGAAUGAUAUCCUAUGUAACUCCGGUUUUGAAGUCUUACAAAAGAUUUUUGCAUGGCCAUUCUUGUGUCUUCAUCUGCAUCUGGGUAAAUGUCCCGGAAAAAUCUGUUCAGAGCUGCAUCUCCAUCCAGCUUUUCUUCUUUCUCCUGAAAUUCAAACCACCAAAGAGUUGAUCGCCAUAUAAAAUUCCGAUAAUGAAAACCAAAGUAACAGCAUCUAGACUGCAGGCAAACCUCCUUCUUGACUUGUGCUUCCAGCUUAUCCCAAUCUACCAUUUUAGUCUUAGAGGACGGGUAAGUGGGCCUUUGAGAUGCAACACCUGCAACUAGAAAAAGGAAAUAAGCUUAUUAGCAUGAAAAGAAACUUUAUGCUGAAAAAUGGUAAUAGGCUCAUGAUUUUCAAGCAAACAAAUGCUCUGUAGGUAAACAUAUUAAUAAUCGAUCACUCAAUGUCCUCUGUUCUUCCAAAAUGUUACAAUCUUGGAGAAGCAUCAACAGAUUGAUAUGAAAGCAAAAGAAAUACCAAAUCUAUUGUUGAGUUUGCCACGUUGAGUUUUGUCACUGCUGCACAUAUCACACAGCAAUUCUUUUAUGUGCUCUUCUCCAAUUGUAACACUAUAUAAAAACAAAAAUUGUAUUUUGAGGAUGCUGUUUAUUAGUGAUAGCAGUAAGUGAAGACUGCAACCUCAAAACUGCAUUAUGAGGAAGCAGCCUACCCUUGCUAGCAAUCAAGUGAAGACUGAUGAUCCAGAAGUUGUGAAACAGAUGAUCCUGGAUGUGAGCUUAACAAGGAUGGACACACAAGUAUAAGAACAUCCUCACUAAAUGCAUUGGAUAGAUAUCAUGUCCAAUGGGUUUUUAUUUCCAUGUAGAUAUAGAAUAGUAUUUUCAGGCUUAUAUCGAGGAGCAGUAUGACACUGGUAGUGCAAAUAACAGAGAAAGAAAAUAUAAAGUUUUUCUUUUCUUCAAGUAUGGCAUGAUUUGUAUCAUGUAUGAGCUGUGAAUAGAAUAAAUAAAAUUUAGAUCACCUCUACCUUUGAAGAGAAAAAGAAUGAAAAAACAACCUGACUGUUGAGAUGGAUUUCUCUCUUGCUUGGGAGCUAGAAGCUGAUUGCCAAUUUCCACUGAGUCAUCAAAUCAGCAUCUGAUUUAAUGGGGACAAAUAUAGAAUCCAGCUUAUGUGUUAGAACUGAUGUACGCCACUUCAAUGCCCUCCACCAGUCGGCCUCUCCUAUAAUCACCUUCAAAUUAUUACUAGAAACUUCCAUGAUAGAAAGAGCUUCAAUUCUUGGGCAAUUAUAGAAGCUCAUCCAUUCCAAGUCUGGUGCAAUGUGUAGACCACUAGAAAUGCUGCCCAAUUUAGGUAAGUAAUGAAGUGGUAUCUUCUUCAACUUUGGAAGGUAUGUUUUGAGCAGCGUAUGUUCUGCAGGGACUUCACGAGUCACCAAGCUGUUUAUUUUGGGGCAGUUUUCAACCACAAGCUCCUCUAAAAGGUCGAGAUUUUCAAGCAAAGCCAAAGUAAAAGUGGUCUUCAAUUGGGGGCAUGCAUACAAUUCCAGAGACUUGAGACUGGAUAGACAACCCUUCCUGAUGGCCCCUUCCAUAUACUGCCUAAAUUCUUCAUGUAGUGAAGCCUCAAGUAUCAGAGUGAUCCAAGUAUGAUUUCUUGAUGAACGUCUCCAUCGUCUUUCCUUGUCUAUAAGUUUCUGCUCUAUCCACAAGGGUUUGAAUCUUGCUACAUUGCCCCAUUACACAAAAUUAUAGUUUCAUUAUGUGAGUGUUUAGCUAGGUUGAUAAUUCCGGACAAAAUACUUAAGUGUCCCCUAACUCGGCUUUCCAAUUCCUAUUUGGACUACUUGACUUUGAAGACUAAAACUUUGCUAAAAGGCCAAGGUAUGUAGCCGAGUGUGUGGUGAUUGGAUGUGAAUCAACCCAGUUUUUAAUCUUUAAAUGUGUUAGAAAGUUGGGAGAAAUGGUUUUUGGUGAAAGGCUUUCAUUCCCCUGUUUCUGGAUCGAUCCAAGUAUAGGGGUGGAUUGAUCCAACUAAUUUUUUUUUAGAUCAAAUCUCAACCAUUAGAUUAAGGGUUUCUUUUUACACUUUAAAAAGCAAUCUUCUCUCAUUUUUCUGAGAUGUGACUGUAGAAAAUGUGGAGAGAGCAGCCACACUCCUUGCAUUCUUCAUUUUCUCAUUUUGUUUUCCUAAUUUGGGGUUUUUGAUUGCAAAGAAAAUCCACUUCUCUUAAUGUUUUCCAAACUAGUUUUUAAUGGAUUUUCUUGAGCAAUAAAUGGGUUGAUUCAUUCCUUCAUUCACAUCUCAAUCUCUCAUUCUACUUGGGUUUGGGUACAUGCCCAUUUUCUUUUUGUGUGGAUUCAAGAAGAGGCCGGGAUUGAGCUUGGUGCGGACUCCAAGUGUGCUCCGAAAGAAGAAGGUGAGAAGCUGAAAAUGAAGGUACUAGUCAAGUAGUCCGGGAAGGAUUGGUUGGCUUGAUUUAGGUAAAACCUUGUACUCAGUUUUUAUUCUUCAUAGUGGAGUUUUUCAAUCGAUGAUAGGCCUGUGGUUUUUGAUAUUCGGAGGUUUUCCAUGUUAAAAAUCUGAUGUUCAUUGUCUCUUUCUCUCACUCUACAUUUUGAUUUAUUUUCUGUUUUUGAUAUCAUUGAUUACUUAGGCAUACUUGUUGAAUGGAAGAAAUAUGAAGUGAUUUAAGUGUGAUUAUCCAUUGAAUGUCUUUAAUAAUUCUUCUGUUCACUUUGUUUAAUGAGAUCAUGGAAUCAAUUGUUAUGAGUUGAGGAGAUAAUUGUUCUUUUGAUUUAUUUUUGAGGAGUGUUGAAGCAUUUGCAUGUGUUUUGCAUUGAUAAAUUGUUGAGAGAGUGUUGAUGCAUAUAUUCUUACUUGUGGAUGUUAUGCUUUGUUGAAAAAUUGUUGGAAGAAAAGUUUCUUGACAUUGAGAUAGUCUAAAUGUUUGUUGGGAGAAUUUUUAAAUUGUUCUAGAACACCUAUUCACCCCCCCCCCCCCUCCUCUAGGUGUAGUCCAUUAUUGAGAUUCACAUUUUCGCAUUAUAUUUUCAAUCCCAAAGACAGCUUGGUAAGAGUUAAAUGGCGUUCCAAAAGCAGACCGGUAGCAUGCUGGAGUACCUUCUCAAUUUCCGUUGGGACACUAUUACCAUUGACAUACUUCAAGCCUUUUUUUUGCUGUUCAAAUUUAUUUGCAAUUUCUGGUGGUAGUCGAGAUACAAAGUGUUUGUGAUGCCUGCCAAUAGUAAACCUGAAAUUCAUCAAUAAGAGGUUUAUCACUGAUGUUCCACUCCUCAUGAACUCAUUCACAAGUAUAACCUCUGGCAAGUACAGUUUAAGAGUCUCAAUGUGUUUGAAGCUGUGAACUUCCUUAACAAUAUCUUCCACGAUCACAUCCCAUCACUGAUCAUCUGGAUUCACAUGUAUGCCUAAUUCUUCCAAUUGAGUGAGUUCUGAUAUUGUGUUCGGGGGAAUCACUGUGUCCAACGACUGGUCAUUUUGUCCAGUGUGGUUACUGUACCCAUAGAAGGACACUUUCAGGCACUUGAGGUUGGUCAGUCUUCUGAUAUUCACAGGUAGGUUUAUAAUUUCGGUCCCUUCAAGAUCGAGCACCUCAAGAUUUCUAAGUUCUCCAACAUCAAGUGGUAACUCCAUGAGAAGUUGACAUCCUCUUGGAAGGAAAAUUCUGAGUUGGACCAAUUUAAAAAGAGAUGGUGGUAACAAUCUGAUUCCAGUGUUGGACAAGUCUAAGAUUUGUAGGACAGGCAUGCCUUCAAAGAACAUCGGAUGAAUAACUCUCAGACCAUUAUUGGCUUAUAAGAACAGUGCCCUGAGUUGAGGGCAAUCUGGACUUUUUGGUAGCUCAGAUAGUUUAUUGUUCAUCAAGUGCACCUCACUGGCUUUUUCCCAUUCCUCAUCUCUUGGUGGCUCGGUUAAUCCCUUUCCACCUAGCCAAAGAUAUAGUGACUCUCUUUCAAGUUCUAACAAAUUUAGCAAGACCUCAUGGAUUUCAUCCCGCAUUUUGACAAGAACAGAAUGUUCAUUCCAAGAACUCUCGAACAAGAAGGCGUCAAGAAGAUCCCGAACCAUCUCUUCUCCUUCAUCCACUUUUCUAAUUACGCUGCCUGUAAUCCACCUGCCAAUCAAAUCUACUUUCUCUAACUCUGUCCAGCGUCCCAUGUGUACAAAGAACUUCAAACAAUACAUUGCUGAGCCCAAACGCCCACAGAUGAAUGCUAAGGAAUUAAAUAAGACAUCGUUGUCUCUCAGCCAAGAAGUGGGUUGCAAGGCCAGUGCAUGAGAUGCAUAUUCCCAUGUGUGAACCUCAUUGACAUCUCUCAAGGCUCUAGCCAUUAGAACAAUGGCAAGCAAAUGACCCUCGCACUCUUUGACCGCACUCAUUGCUAGGCAUUGGAUGCCUGAAGAAUGCACAACAUUGCCAACAUCCAAGUUAACAGAUGAUCCUCCAACCUAAUCUCCAAAUCCACUUCUGUGUGAUUAAUUCUCCUUCCCAUAGAGCUAAUUGUACAAACCAUCUUUUGAAACGUCUGAGUUCCACGAAUUGGUCCCCACUUCGUUCGGAUUCGUUGAUGAAGCGACGUCAACACCAUCAAGAAGGAUCAAAAAGUUUUUGAUUUUCAGCAAUCCAUCCACUUCCUGUCUGCUGGAUGUUGAGAGACCCAGUUCUGUUGCAAUGCCAUCUUCAAUAUCUCCAGUAGUCUUACAAGACGAAGCCUUAACGUGAAUGACAAGAUCAAACAUUCCCUUUUCUUGCUGUGGAUUCUUCAAUCUUGACAUGAGGAACGCUGCAUUAUCUAUGCCGAAGAUAUAAAUCCUCUGAAAUUCUGGAGUUUCUAUAUCUUGUAUAAUUUGGCGAAUAGCAAAAUCAAUAGCCAAACUGUACACUUUUUGUAGUAGGUGUUCUACCCCAUAUAGUCGUCCUUUGCAUCUCCUCAAUGAUGUGUGGUGGAACAUAAGCUUCAAUAUCGUGGAUUGAAUGAGCAAGCAGUAGACUGAUUCUAGAAAGAGCUCUGAAACAUUGAUUACUUUCUCCCUGUAAACUGCUUCUCUUAGUUUCUGAUUAAUCGCCAAAACAUCAAGAAUCCAACCUGUGACUUUCUUGUAAGCAAUUCAUAAUGCAUAUAAACAAUCUUAAUUUGUAACUUAUGCCAUACUUACCUCCAGCCAUUGUUGGGUUGCAAGUCUUUGGUUUCCAAAACUCUAUCUCUCCUUAUGGAUGGUGUAGUUUCUGAAGAUUUUCAGCAGCAUGAGAGAGGAGCUCGGGACCAAGACCGAUAUUUAAAAUACAAAGAAAACGUGGCUUCCCAUCAAAGCCACGUUUCUCUGAUUUGCCACACGAUGAGCAGUUGAGAGAAACGUGCUCCUUAACAGCAGCUACAUGAUGAAGGACGUGGCCAAGUGUUGGACCACUUCAGGGCAGCGGAACGUGGGUGAUUUGAUAACAUUCUCCCACUUGGUCCACACUUUUAACCUCAUGUCCUAUCUUAGAUCAUCAUUUUUCCGCAUUAAGUAACAAAUAUAUGAAUCAUGGCGAUAAGUCCUCUAUAUAACGAGUGUUAUCUUCCAUGUAUUACAAUGUAUUCAUUUCUUAACAUUUUACUUUAUGUGGCAAUAUUGCUUAAUGAAUAAACCCUAUGUUCAUUCUUGGUCCAAUGAAGUUGAAUUUUCUCAAAAUUAAAUAAAGGUGCACAUCAAUAUGAGAAAACAUCAUAAUAAGAGUUUGUACAAUAAAACUACAUAAGGGAACUAAGUCCCAUGUUCAUUACAUGAUCCUUGAAUUUCAACGGUGGCAUGCCCUUAGUCAAAGGAUCAGCAAUCAUCAAUUCAGUGCUAAUGUGCUCAAUAACCACUUUCUUUUCUUUAACACGUUCGCUUAUGGCUAGAUACUUAAUGUCGAUGUGUUUGCUUCGACUUCCACUUUUAUUGUUCUUUGCCAUAAAGACUGCAGCUGAAUUGUCGCAAUAUAUACUCAAUGGCCUAGAUAUUGAAUCCAUAACUCUAAGCCCGGAAAUGAAACUCUUAAGCCAUACACCAUGUGAAGUAGCCUCAAAACAAGAAAUGAACUCAGCUUCCAUAGUAGAAGUAGCAGUCAUGGUCUGCUUAACGCUCCUCCAAGAUAUAGCUCCACCGGCCAAUAUAAAAAUGUAUCCAGAUGUUGAUUUACGUGAAUCAACACAGCCAGCAAAGUCUGAAUCUGAGUAGCCAACUACCUCUAAAUUGCUUGUUCGUCUGUACAUAAACUUGUAAUAUUUGGUUCCUUGAAGAUAUGUCAUCACUUUCUUUGCAGCUUUCCAGUGGUCUAUACCUGGGUUACUCUGAUAUCGUCCUAACAUUCCAACAGCAAAUGCAAUGUCAGGCCUUGUGCAGACCUGAGCAUACAUCAAACUUCCGACUGCAGAAGCAUAUGGAAUGUUCUUCAUUUGUUCCCUCUCAAGAUCGUUUUUCGGGCAUUGGUUCAGAUUGAACCUAUCACCCUUCACUAUAGGAGAAACACUAGGUGAACAAUUCUUCAUCCGAAAUCUCUCUAAAACUUUAUUGAUAUAGGUUUCUUGAGACAAACCUAAGAUACCUUUAAAUCUGUCUCUAUCGAUCUUAAUGCCAAUGACAUAAGAUGCCUCACCCAUAUCCUUCAUGUCGAAAUUUUUAGAGAGGAAUUGUUUCACCUCAUGAAGUAAACCCUUAUCAUUGGUUGCAAGUAAGAUGUCAUCCACGUAUAAAACAAGAAAACAAACUUUACUCCCACUGACCUUAAGGUAUAUGCAUUGAUCCAUAACAUUUUCAACAAAACCAAAUGAAGAAAUUAUGUUAUGGAAUUUUAAAUACCAUUGGCGGGAUGCUUGUUUUAAACCGUAUAUGGAUUUCUUAAGCUUACAAACCAAUUGCUCACCAUCACUAGAGGGGAAUCCUUCAGGUGUUUCAUGUAANNNNNNNNNNNNNNNNNNNNNNNNNNNNNNNNNNNNNNNNNNNNNNNNNNNNNNNNNNNNNNNNNNNNNNNNNNNNNNNNNNNNNNNNNNNNNNNNNNNNGAAGACAACUUCAUUUGUUUGUUUGGAUAACAUGAUGAUGGGAAAGAAAUUAAAGACCCUUUAGUGAAGGUAUUUGCAUUGUCUUCCAUUGGUCCUUGAUAGGCUUUAUUGAAUGAUUAAGCUUUAGAUAAGGAAAGAAUAAAAAGAAGAAGGAGACAAGUAGUGGUUGUGGCAAUCAAGAUGAGACCCAAAAAUGAAUGGUCUACAUGUGAUGUUCCCGAAACUAGGGAAAAUGCAAGGAAGAGAAAAAGCAAAAGAAAAAAUAAAGAAAAAUAAAAAAUAGAUUAAGAGUUGAUAAAUUAUUUUAUUUGCUAAUUCAAACUCAUUUUACUUAUUUUGACUAAUCAAUAUAAAGAUUAAAUAAUUUUAAAAUGCAUAAGUUGUAAGCAAUUCAUAAUGCAUAUAAACAAUCUUAAUUUGUAACUUAUGCCAUACUUACCUCCAGCCAUUGUUGGGUUGCAAGUCUUUGGUUUCCAAAACUCUAUCUCUCCUUAUGGAUGGUGUAGUUUCUGAAGAUUUUCAGCAGCAUGAGAGAGGAGCUUGGGACCAAGACCGAUAUUUAAAAUACAAAGAAAACGUGGCUUCCCAUCAAAGCCACGUUUCUCUGAUUUGCCACACGAUGAGCAGUUGAAAGAAACGUGCUCCUUAACAGCAGCUACAUGAUGAAGGACGUGGCCAAAUGUUGGACCACUUCAGGGCAGCGGAACGUGGGUGAUUUGAUAACAUUCUCCCACUUGGUCCACACUUUUAACCUCAUGUCCUAUCUUAGAUCAUCAUUUUUCCGCAUUAAGUAACAAAUAUAUGAAUCAUGGCGAUAAGUCCUCUAUAUAACGAGUGUUAUCUUCCAUGUAUUACAAUGUAUUCAUUUCUUAACAUUUUACUUUAUGUGGCAAUAUUGCUUAAUGAAUAAACCCUAUGUUCAUUCUUGGUCCAAUGAAGUUGAAUUUUCUCAAAAUUAAAUAAAGGUGCACAUCAAUAUGAGAAAACAUCAUAAUAAGAGUUUGUACAAUAAAACUACAUAAGGGAACUNNNNNNNNNNNNNNNNNNNNNNNNNNNNNNNNNNNNNNNNNNNNNNNNNNNNNNNNNNNNNNNNNNNNNNNNNNNNNNNNNNNNNNNNNNNNNNNNNNNNNNNNNNNNNNNNNNNNNNNNNNNNNNNNNNNNNNNNNNNNNNNNNNNNNNNNNNNNNNNNNNNNNNNNNNNNNNNNNNNNNNNNNNNNNNNNNNNNNNNNNNNNNNNNNNNNNNNNNNNNNNNNNNNNNNNNNNNNNNNNNNNNNNNNNNNNNNNNNNNNNNNNNNNNNNNNNNNNNNNNNNNNNNNNNNNNNNNNNNNNNNNNNNNNNNNNNNNNNNNNNNNNNNNNNNNNNNNNNNNNNNNNNNNNNNNNNNNNNNNNNNNNNNNNNNNNNNNNNNNNNNNNNNNNNNNNNNNNNNNNNNNNNNNNNNNNNNNNNNNNNNNNNNNNNNNNNNNNNNNNNNNNNNNNNNNNNNNNNNNNNNNNNNNNNNNNNNNNNNNNNNNNNNNNNNNNNNNNNNNNNNNNNNNNNNNNNNNNNNNNNNNNNNNNNNNNNNNNNNNNNNNNNNNNNNNNNNNNNNNNNNNNNNNNNNNNNNNNNNNNNNNNNNNNNNNNNNNNNNNNNNNNNNNNNNNNNNNNNNNNNNNNNNNNNNGCAGAAGCAUAUGGAAUGUUCUUCAUUUGUUCCUUCCAGAUCGUUUUUCGGGCAUGGUUCAGAUUGAACCUAUCACCUUCACUAUAGGAGAAACACUAGGUGAACAAUUCUUCAUCCGAAAUCUCUCUAAAACUUUAUUGAUAUAGGUUCUUGAGACAAACUAAGAUACCUUUAAAUCUGUCUCUAUCGAUCUUAAUGCCAAUGACAUAAGAUGCCUCACCCAUAUCCUUCAUGUCGAAAUUUUUAGAGAGGAAUUGUUUCACCUCAUGAAGUAAACCCUUAUCAUUGGUUGCAAGUAAGAUGUCAUCCACGUAUAAAACAAGAAAACAAACUUUACUCCCACUGACCUUAAGGUAUAUGCAUUGAUCCAUAACAUUUUCAACAAAACCAAAUGAAGAAAUUAUGUUAUGGAAUUUUAAAUACCAUUGGCGGGAUGCUUGUUUUAAACCGUAUAUGGAUUUCUUAAGCUUACAAACCAAUUGCUCACCAUCACUAGAGGGGAAUCCUUCAGGUUGUUUCAUGUAAACCUCCUCCUCUAGCUCUCCAUUAAGAAAUGCAGUUUUCACAUCCAUUUGUUGCAAUUCUAAAUCAAAGUGGGCUACUAAUGCCAAUAUAAUGCGCAAGGAAUCUUUCUUAGAUACAGGAGAAAAGGUUUCCGUGUAAUCGAUUCCUUCUUUCUGAGUGAACCCCUUUGCAACAAGUCUGGCCUUGUAUCUCUCAAUGUUGCCUAAUGAGUCUUUCUUUGUCUUAAAAACCCAUUUACAACCAAUGUUUUUCACACCAUUAGGCAACUCAACAAGGUCCCAAACACCGUUGCACUUCAUGGAACUCAUCUCAUCCUUCAUGGCAUUGUACCACAAUUCAGAUUCUUUGCAACUCAUGGCUUGUGAAAAUGAUUCGGGAUCAUUUUCGGCUCCUAUAUUAUAGUCAGAUUCUUGUAGAUACACUACAUAAUCACUAGGAAUUGCUGACCUCUUAGUUCGAGCAGACCUUCUUAAGGUUGUACCAAUAUCUUCCGAGGAAGUAUGAGGUUCAACUUGUUGUUCAGAAGUGUUAGGCAACUCCUGAUCAACUUGGUCUACUGGAAUGUUGUCAACAACUUGUGGAACUUCAAUGACUGGUUGAACUUCAUCGAUUGUUCGUUCAACACCCGUUUGUACUUGAGGGGUGUUAUGAACAAUAAACAAUCUAUCGCUUGAAGUGGAAGGUUGAGACUCUGUAUGAUCAAUAUCAGAAACUAUGUUCCUAAAUUGAUCGCUCCCACUGACCAAGUCAUAUUCAAGAAAUUUAGCAUUUCUUGAUUCCACAAUCCUAAUGCUGUGAGAUGGACAGUAAAAUCUGUAUCCCUUAGACUUUUCAGCAUAUCCAAUGAAAUACCCACUAAUAGUCCUUGGGUCCAGUUUCUUCUCCUGUGGAUUAUAAAUUCUCACUUCAGACGAGCAUCCCCAAACGCGCAUAUGUCGCAAACUCGGUUUCCAACCUUUCAAUAACUCAAAUGGCGUCUUUGGGACAGCCUUGGUUGGAACUCGGUUUAAUAUAUACACAGCUGUCUUAAGUGCUUCAGUCCACAAGAAUUUAGGAAGUUUUGAGCUGCUAAGCAUACUCCUCACCAUGUCCAAUAAAGUUCGGUUUCUUCUUUCUGCUACACCAUUUUGGUCUGGAGAACCAGGCAUGGUGUAUUGGGCAACAAUCCCAUGCUCUUGAAGAAACUUCGCAAAUGGCCCAGGUGAUUGUCCAUCUUCCAAGUAUCUACCAUAAUAUUCUCUACCUCUAUCUGAUCUCACAAUCUUAAUUUGUUUACCAUAUUGUUUCUCUACUUCUGCCUUGAAGACUUUAAAGGCAUCUAAAGCUUCAUUUUUAUUAUGAAGUAUGUAGAGAUACANNNNNNNNNNNNNNNNNNNNNNNNNNNNNNNNNNNNNNNNNNNNNNNNNNNNNNNNNNNNNNNNNNNNNNNNNNNNNNNNNNNNNNNNNNNNNNNNNNNNUGAGAAACUUGGUACAUAAAAAGUCUUUUGCAAUUCUAAAACAAAACCACUAUUUAAAGUUAAAUAACAUAUCCCUAUUGCUUCCACAUGCGAGCCCAUCUUGUUUCCGGAUAAGAUGAAUUGCUCACUUGUCACUGGCUUCCUUAGGUUUUGCAUACCCUGCAAGGAAUUUGAAAUGUGGAUUGUAGAUCCAGAAUCAAUCCACCAUGUGUUGGUGUUUACAUUAACCAUAUUAGAUUCAUAGCAAACAAAUGAGGUAGGGUUACCUUUCUUCUCAAGCCAAUUCUGAAAUUUCAGACAUUUCUUCUUCAUGUGUCCUUUCUUUUUACAGAAAAAACACUUUUCGUCUUUCUUAAUGUCAGAUUUGGGAGGAAUUUGUUUCUUCCCUUUCUGACUAGCUUGAGAUUUUCCUUUCUUUCCUUUCCUUUGCGUCACCAGCAUGGCACUUUCUCCUUGUUCCAUCAAUAACCUUCCUUCCUCUUGAACACACAUGGUCAUCAAUUCAUUGAUAGACCACUUAUCCUUAUGUGUGUUGUAAGAGAUUUUGAAAGGUCCAUACUGAGGUGGAAGAGUGUUAAGAAUAAAGUGCACCAAGAAAGAUUCAGACAUUUCUACCUCGAGUUUCUUCAAUUGAGCCACAAUGUCCCUCAUCUCCAUGAUAUGUUCACGCACACCUCUUACACCGGUGAGCUUCAGGGAUGUGAACUUCAUAAUUAGGGUGCUUGCCAAGGCUUUAUCUGAAGUGACGAAUUGCUCGUCAAUAGCCUUUAGCAAUUCACGGACAUUCUCAUGUUGCUCGAUUGAACCACGUAUACCAGCACUGAUUUUUGUCUUAAUAUACAUCACGCUAAGGCGAUUAGAUUUCUCCCAGCGUUCGUACAAUAAAAUUUGUUCAGGUGUGCUGGUAUCUGUGAUCUUAUGCGGUUCAUCUUUCCUUAUAGCAUAAUCUAUGUCCAUGCACCCUAAUUGAAGAAGAAUUCUCUCCUUCCAUAUCUUAAAGUUAUCUCCUCUAAGUUCGGGAACCUCACAACGAAUAUCAGAUAUGCUAGGUAAAACUGCACAAAAGGAUUAGAAGCUUAUUAAAAAUUUGAGGCUUUAAUAUAAAUUCAUGCUUUACCAAUGUAGAACAUGCUUAAAAUUGAAUCUAAUUUUACUAAAAAUUGCCUGUGGGCUAAAUCUUUAAUUCAAUAAGAUUCAUUAUCUUUAUGAUAGACUUUAUCAAACUAUUUUAUUAAAUCAUGAAAUUUAUUCUAAAUAUAGUUUGAUAUUUUCUGUCUAUAAUCUUUAUGAUAAACUUAUUAAAUUAAUUCUUCCUAACUCCUGUGGGUAAAUUAGAAAAAAUUAAUUUUAAUAUUUUAUCCUAAUUAAUUAUAUAAACAUAAUGAAAACCCUGUGGGGUAAAACAUCAUAUUUAUAUAGUUAAUUACAAUUAAUGUCCAUAAUGCGAUCCUUAUUAAUAUAUAAUUUUUUAUAUAAUUAAGGAUGCUGUGGCUAUUCCUUAAUUAUUUAAAAAAUCAUAUGGAUUCACUAGACAUUAAAAUCAUAUGAUAUAAUUUUAAUAUAUCUAACUAAAUUUUAGGCAACAUUUGCAUGCAUACUAUAUGAUAUAAUCUUAAUAUAUCUAACUAAAUUUAGUCAACAAUGUCAACAAUUGCAUGCAUACUAUAUGAUAUAAUCUUAAUAUAUCUAACUAACUUUAGUCAACAAUGUCAACAAUUAGGCUAUAUUUUUACACAUACAAACAUAUAAAUUAAAAUAAAUAAUUUAAUUUGCAUGUAUAAAAAUCACACAUAAUUUAGAAUAAUUUAAAAGGAAUUCAUAUUAUGAAAGGGUGCCUAAAUCCAUAUAAAAACAAUUAAUUCAAAACCAAUAAAAUAAUUUAUCAGAUUUAACCCAUGGCCCAAUACACAAAGACCUUUAAUAAUUUUAUUGGUCACUAAUAAGCCUAAUGGGUCCAAAAGUAAAAACCCAAUAUCUCUCUAGUUUUUAUUUAUUUAUUAAUUUAUGUGUUCCAACAUUCAGCACGUUGGCAUCAUAACCACCCUAGUCUCCUGCAGCCGCAUCAUCCGCGGCACCAAAACAACACCUCAAAUGGCGCUUCUAGAACGCCCGAAAAUGGUGCCUGCAGCGGCGCUUGACUAGCUCCUGAAUGGCGCUUGCAGUGGUGCCUGAAUGGCACUCGGAACAGGCACCUGCAUUGGCGCUUGAACAGCGCCUGAAUGGCGCUCGUAACGGGGGCUUGCAGCGGCGAAGAUCAGCGCUUGAAUGGCACUGAAAUGAGUGCCUGAAUGAUGCUGGAAUGAGUGCCUGAAUGGCGCUCAGAAUUGGGGCUGAAUGAUGCUCAGAAUUGGCGCCUAAAUGGCGUUUGGAAAUGGCACUUGCAGCCCCUUUGACCAGCACCAGCAGCAGCGCUUUAAUGUCGCUUGAAUGUGGGGCCUGUAGUGGCUGAAACUGCAGCCCCAAAAGCACCGAAAAUGGCUCUUUUGGAACGCCUUAAAUGGUGCCUGCAGCGACGCUUUGAAUAGCACCUGCAGUGGUGCUUAAUGGUGCUCUAAAUGGGGCUCGAAAUGGCGCAUGCAGUGAAUAUAUAUAUAUAAUAUAUGUAUGUAGAUAGAGAAAGAAAUGGGUUUUUAUGGUGAAGAAAAAAUCUAGAUCAAAGACGUUGUAGUUGAAUGGGUGGCAUGGCUGUAGGUGGAAGUAAACCACAAAAGCUGAACCAUUUCACCCAAUUUCUUGUUCUAUUUGAUUUUAUUUCCAGAAAGGAAACAAUUAUCUAAGCAACUAACACCAAGGCAGAGGCAAGAUUGCAAGGCUCUGAUACCAAAUGUAAGCAAUUCAUAAUGCAUAUAAACAAUCUUAAUUUGUAACUUAUGCCAUACUUACCUCCAGCCAUUGUUGGGUUGCAAGUCUUUGGUUUCCAAAACUCUAUCUCUCCUUAUGGAUGGUGUAGUUUCUGAAGAUUUUCAGCAGCAUGAGAGAGGAGCUCGGGACCAAGACCGAUAUUUAAAAUACAAAGAAAACGUGGCUUCCCAUCAAAGCCACGUUUCUCUGAUUUGCCACACGAUGAGCAGUUGAGAGAAACGUGCUCCUUAACAGCAGCUACAUGAUGAAGGACGUGGCCAAGUGUUGGACCACUUCAGGGCAGCGGAACGUGGGUGAUUUGAUAAAUCUUUGAUGACAAAAUAAGGCGUAUGAUAUCUUUCUUCCUGUUCAGUUCCAAAGUUUUGUCCGUGAUUCUGUGUGUGGCAGAAACAAAGCAAAAUCAUCGUCAGAGGAUUAGUUUAGACCUGUAAAAGUUAGCCACUUAUCAUAAGUAUAUAUAGAAACACAAAGACAAGAAUCUCUUCAGAAUCCAUAAAGAACUAAAAAUUUAUUGUAUUCCAACACUCUUUAUGAAUAUUCACAGUUAAUAAAAUAAAAACUCUUAAUAAUGAAUAUGUAAACCUUAUAAGAUUUGACAACUCAAAAAUAAAAACUAAAAUAAUCACUCAAAAUCAAAAAGAAAAACCCUACCAAAACGAGAAAACCAACUGUAAAACUGCCUCCACAUUGCUUCAUACCAGAAAUUAUCAAAGACCUAUUUCUAGAAAAAAGCAAAAACAUACCUCCAAACUCUCAAAUUCAACAAACAGAGGGCACUGACUGCGAUCCCAAGAGACCCACUUCAGAAAAAUGGAAAAAGAACGCCCUCAAAGCUUCAGACAAGCAAGAACUCAACUACUGCAACAGAAAAGAUUAAAGUAGCAGGUUUUUUUUAUCUUUUUUGUUUGGUUUCAGAGAAAAAACUCAGAAAAGUGAGAAUGCGAGUGGGACAGAUGUUGAAGAUGGGUAGAAAAAAUUUCUCAGAAUUUUCCAUAAAUAAGAAAGGGAAUCGGAUUAUUAUGGAAGAGAUCCAUCUCAUAAAGUGCUCUUUAUUAAGCAUUCUAAGAGUUUGUUUCUUUAGCAAAUCUAUAAAAAAGAAUAAAUAAAUAAAUAAUAAAUAUAUUUUCAUGCCUUUUAAAAAAUAUUAUAAAUAAAUAAUUUUGAUCCAUGGGUUAAUUAUUCUUUAGAAGUAUUUUUUUCCUUAGAAAAUAAAAAAUAAAUAAAAAUAUUAAAUUUGUUUUUUAAGAAAGUAGUAUAAAUAAAUAAAUAAAAAGUUACUUAAUUGUUUGCAAUUUUCUUUUUUUUUUUUUAAUUAAAAUUGUUUUUUAAGAUAUUGUUUUAUAAAGUGAUAAGUAUUUUUAAAUAAAAUUUUUGUUUCUAAUUUAUGAUAGUAAUUUUUUUUAAUUUAAAAAAUUAAAUAAUAUCCAAACUUUUUGUAAGUUUUCAUGUUGUAGAGUGGAUUUUGAAAAAAAAUUAGAGAAUAUAAAGUAAAAGAGAAUUUAUGUACUUUUAAAAUAAAUAGUAUAAAUAUUGUGUAUCAAUUUAAAUAGGAAGGAAUUUAAGGAUUAAAAUAAAAUGAACAUUUUUAUGUUAAAUUCUUUAAAAAUUCUACUUUUCUUAUUGGAAGAGUGAGUUUUUGGGGUAUGGAAAUGGAUGGAAAAUUUUCAUUUUGAUGAAAAAAAAAAAGACACCUUUAAAUGACAUAUCUUGCAUCAACCCAAGUGACAUUUAGAAGGAUAAUAGGAAGAACUUUUUUCGGUACCUAUUCCAUUCCUCCCCUAAUAGGAAGAGUUUGGAAUAAAGAUAAAUCAGUUGGGGAGUGGUGUUUGGAAAGUUUUUAAAAACGCAAGACAUGUUUGGAUGAGUUUGAGUAUUAUUUUGUCUAGUUUUGUCUUGAAUAUAUGUAAUUUUAAAUAAAAAUUUAAAUGGAACGUGGUGAGGUUGGUAUGAGAGUUUUUCAUAUUUGUUCCACCCCAUCCCUUUUUAUUUAAUAUUUUUUUAUAUUUAAUGAAUUUCCGAUGGGGAAGAAAAAUGAGAUGCUUGAAAGAGGAAAAAAAUUAAGCGACAAAGGGAAGAAAAGAAUAAGGUAGAGGAAAAGAAAGUGACAAAAAAAAAAAAAAAACACUAAGGGAAUGACUUUUGGGUUAGUGUGAGAAAAAGAGAAAUAUUAGAGUUAUGUUUGGUUUUUAAAAAUGUUAAGAAAAGAAAAAUAUUGUUACAGAAAAUAUUUUCUCUUAUUUGAUCAUAUUUUGAAAAAUACCAAAAAAAUAAAAUAUAAUUAAAAUUAAUAACAAACUUAUGUAUUUUUAAAUAUUUCAUCUUUAUAUCCAAAAGUUAAAAUAAGUUUAAAGUAGCAUAUAAAAAAAAUUAUUGAUUUUAAAUUUAUUUUAUUUUUUAUUUACUUUUCCUUUUUUUUUUUCCCCUUUGUAUUUUUCCUUAAAUUUCUUAGGAGCCAAACAUAACCUAGAGAUUUAACAUAGUUUGAUGUGUUUAUAUUAUAUUAUUAAAAAAAUAUUUAAAAAAUAAUACAAAAUUAUAUAUUUGGAAGGGAAAAAGGUGAGGUUGAAAUAAACCCCCACCUAUUUGUCUUACUCAAUAUGUCUUUAUUUACUUUUCAAAGUCUUACUGUUUUUUUUUAUAUAAUUAUUAAGUAUAGUGCUUAUAUGCAAUAUUUCUUUUAAUUAUUGUUGUAAGAAUAAUAUAUAUAUUUUUAGUAGAUAAUAUUAAGCCCUAAUCACUAUUUUCAAAUCAUUUCUUUUAUCUUGCUUUUAGAUUAGUUGUUUCACUUUGAUUUAGUGUCAUAAAUCAAGUCGAUGCAAAGGUAAUGAAUGGAUUUCCAUAUUAUCUAUUUAAUCAACAUGAUGAAAUAGAUAAGAUAUAAAUGAUUGAUGUCAUAUAAUUUAUUCUAUUGAAUCUGACAUAAUUUGGGGUUAAUGAUAGACAUAAUUUGAGGUUAAUGAUAGAAAAGAUUUUUUUUUUCAAAUGAAAGACCUUAUAUUUUGUAUAUGGGGUUUGCCCUUGUGGUUUAAUAACGAUAUGAUUUAGGUUUUGGUAAAAAGAUUCUCUUGAAGCAAACUAACUCGUAUAUUUUACACAAGGCUUAUACUAUUGUUGGAAUGAACAUGAAUUUGGUUAGAGGAGAGUUAUGCCUCGGACAAACAAAAUUUAGAAAAUAAAAUUUGGAUACUUUGUAUAUGAGGUUUGCCCUUAUGGUUUAAAGAACGAUUUUUGAUAAAAAGAUUCUCUUGAAGCAAAUUAACUCAUAUAUUUUACAUGAGGUUUAUACUAUGGUUGGAAUGAACAUGAAUUUGGUUAGAGGAGAGUUAGAAAUGCCUCGAACAAACAAAACUUAGAAGAUAAAAUUUGGCAGAAGCAUGGUGUACUAAAAUUAUGUUGCAUCAUAUUAUAAAUGACUAAUAAUAUUUCAUUGUCUCCUACAAUUCAAUUCAAUUUUUAUUGGUGAAAGAAAACAAGAAAAUUCUUUCAAAUAACUUAUGAAUUUCAUUGAAUUGCAUGUACUAUAUAGAAGUCAUCAAACACUUUCUUUGGAUCUCUUGUUUAAGAAAGAAUUGCCAAAUUUUACUUAUGAUAAUGUUAUGUUUGGUUUUCAAACGUUUGAGGGGAGAAAAAUUUUUAGUUGUUCAUGAAAAAGUCGAAAAAAGCAACUUAUAUUUAUGAAAAUGCAUUUUUCCUAAUUUUAUUUUCAAAUUUGAUCAAUUAUCAUUUUAAUAUUAAAUGAAUUUUCAAAUACCAACUAUUAUAAAAUGUUACAUAUUAUAUCAUUCAUAUAUUAUAAUAUAUAAUAUGUGUAUUAUUAUUUCUUAUAUCAUUUUUAGGAAGUUUCCAAUAUUUUCAUAAAAUUUGAUUAGUUUUUAUUCUAUCGAUAUUUUGUGUUAAAAUAUCCACCAAUAUUUCCCAAUAUAUCCGUAAAAUUAAGUUAUCGAUAGAUUCCACCGAUAUUUUGUGUUAAAAUUAAGUAAAACACUUUUGGUAAUGGAUUAUGCAAAUUCUCCAUUUUUAGCCUUAGAAUUCUUUUGGUAAUGGAUUAUGCAAAUUCUACCUUCUUAGUUUUUUAAUAAUUCCUUUUAUAAGGAAGUCUAGACUAGAACUCUGGACUUCAAACCUUCUAAUAAUUACUUAAUAAUUUUAUAAGUUACAAUUUUAUUUUUGCACAGAAUCGUUAAACUUUAGCAAGAAUCUUGUUUAGCUUUUGUAGGGAAUCUUGUUAAAACUUUUUAGGGUUUUUUGUUCAACUUUUGUAAGGAAUCUUGUUAAAACUUUUCAGGGUUUAAUUUUGUUCAGCUUUUAUAGCGAAUAAAAUUUUACAAUGUAUUAAGCUUUUGCAAGGAAUCUUUUAGCUUUUGUAAGGAAUCUUUCAACUUUUGUAAGAAAUCUUAUUCAAUUUUUCAUUCAAAUUAUAGGCUUGUUAUUUGGUCCUCUACACAAUCUUCCUAGUAAUCCAAGUUAUCAAAAUCUUCAUUGUCUUAAUACAAAUGAGUGCAUCCUAUCCAUGGUUGAAUAAGUACUCUAUAGAUAUACCUUAUUAACCAAAAUUCAUUUUUUAUUUAAUCUAAAAACUAUAAAUUUUCAUAAGCUUCCUCUUGAUAGUUUUGCAUGUGAUAUGUAUGGGUUGAAAAUAACUGUUCAAUGGAUAGGGCUAUGCCUUGUUCUCCUCUAUGGCUAUGAUUGCAUAAGGGAAUAAGGAUAGGGGUCUUGCCCUAUAAUUCAUUAAGCCUCAAGAUGAGGAUGACCUCUCAAACAAUCCUAUGGCUUGUAAUAAUUUUCCUUCUAUGAUGGAAAAAACUACUUUAAGCAACCCUUUUUUUCUAUUGCUUUAUGCUAUUAUUGACCUUAAUUAAGAUUUCCAUGGGGAAGAAUAUUAUGAUGUACCAUGCUACUAUGUAUAUAAAUAGAUUUGCUUCUUUUUGUUGUGAAAAUGUGGAGUGUUUCCCAUGGAUGUUCUAGGUUUGGAUUAAGAGAAAUGCCCUUGUCCAAGAUGGUCGUGUAUACUCUAAAAAGUGUAUUUCUAAGGAUGAGAAUGAGAUAGGUUUUUUCAAGUACCCACCCCACCUCUAGUGAGAUGGGUUUGAAUUUAAAUAAAUGAAUUUAGGAUGAGAUUGAGAUUUUUUAAAAACCCAAGACAAGUUCAGGUAUUGUCUUGUCCCGCCUCAAUUAUAUAUAAAAUUUAAUUUCAAAAAUUAAAUUAAUUUCAUUUUUAUUUUCCUAUUUUUAAUAUAUAUAAUAAAAUACUUUUAAAAUAAGUCAUGGAAAAAUAUAAUAUUUUAAUUAUUCAUAAAUAUGUUUAUUUUAAUGUAAUUUAAAAAUUUUAAAAUAUUUAAUUUUUUUUAUAAAAAAAGGACAAACAAUUUAAACGAGGCGACUAUGAAAAUUUCUCAUACCCACCGCGCUUUGUUUAAUUUUUUAAAUGGGAUGGAGAUGAGAAAUAUUUUGAAUAAAUAGGACGGGUUGGGGAUAGGGGGAACCUGUCUAGAACUCGCACUAUUGUCAUCCCUAAGUAUUUUCUAUAAUAUGAUGGAACUUUGGAAUAGGAAAAUGGCUUCACUCCUACUAAAAUGUCUUGAAAGUACUUCAUUUGGUCUUAUCAUAAGAUAUCACCAAACCUGAUAUUCAAACUAUCCCAUGUACAUAUAGGGUUGAAUACCUGAAAAUGAGCACUCUACAUAUAGUCUAUCCCAAUUUCACAUUUCUCGAGUUAUUUCAGAUACUUCAAAGCAAAUGUGUUAUUCCAUAGAUUUACCAUGCAAUGAUCAACUUAGGAUGACAUGUUGACAUAUACAUUCUUAUAUUUCUUCUUUAUAUAAGAAUAAUCAUCUACCUCUUACAAAAAUAUUAUUGAGGAACAAGGAAGGCUGAAGGUUGAUUUCCUUUGGGAAUUAAUACUUGUUUCCUACAAGGUCAACCUAAUAUAUAAACAAAAGUUUACUCAUAAUACUCAUAAAAUAAAACUCAUAUUAAUCAUGGAUGGUCAACUAUAAAAGAAUAAGCAUAGAAAGACAAGCUAUUAAGGUGUCAUUUGGAUACACUAUCUUUUUUCUAUUUUUAAAAAAAUUUAAAGUAAUAAUAACUUAUAUAUAAAACAUAAUAUAUCUUAUGCAAAAUAUAUAAACUAAUGUUAUUUUCUUAAAAAUUAAUUUCAAAAUUCUUGAAAUUCGAGGUAGUAUUUUCUUUUAAAAAUCUAGUAUAUCCAAAUCAUGACUAAAUUAAAACAAAAGAGCUAGAAAUUAUUCAUAAGAUAGAUGGUACCAAUUCAUAAAUAUGCCCUUUCACAAUUUGUUAACAUUAAAAAGGGUUUUCUUAAUAAUUGAUUAUUUUUUCUCCUAAAACAAGAAUUCUAACUAUAGGCUAUGAUUUUCUAAUGACUAGGUCAUUUUUUUUUGUUCAAUUGCUUCCAAAGAACUUUUCAUGCAGACUUAUACAAAGAUAGAGAAAAUUAGAAGCUUUGCAACUUAUAUGAAGUAAAGGAGAUUUUUAUUAAUUUAAUGUAUUUUACAUUUAUUAACUCCAUAAAACCAGAGUAAUCAUUUUACCUCAAAACUUAAUCAAUCUUAUUGAUUCCCAAAACAAGUAUUUUUGAUAAAUAUAGAAUAUGAUAUUAUAAUCAAUAUUUGCUUUAAUAUCUUUUCAAUUUGGUUACUCAAUGCCCUUUUUCAAGAUUAUACUCGUACACUUUCGUUAAUUAUAUCAUGCUUUGAAUUUUUUUUUUUUGUGGAGAAAAUUUAUAUUUAGACAAUACGUUUAAUUCACUAAUUAUGAAGUAUCUAAUUAUCAAGUGCAUCAAUAGAAAUAUUUGUUUUUUUUUUUAUUUGAACCAAAAUUUAUUUUUUGGACCCUUGUCAUCAACAAGAAAUUCCAUUACUUUCUAAAUUAUCAUUUGGGUGUUCCUUAGGCCCAUCGAUAACACCACCUAAGAGGAUUGUUUGAUAUUUGAAUGAUCUCCUACAUUCCAAACUAAGGAAUAAAAUAUUGGAAAAAAAAUUCUAGAGAAACUUUUAAUGGAAUAAAAAUUGAUCAAAACGUGUAAAAAUAUUGAAAAAACUAAAAAUAAUGAUAUGUGCUUCAUAAUUUUUUUCAUAUUUUUAAGACAUAAAUCAUAAGAAAAGUAUCAAUUUUCUUGAAGAAAAACAUCAAAAGAAAUGAAGACAUACCCAUCAUUAUUUUUAAUUUGUAUUUUUAACACAAGAACCAUAACAAAAGUUACCAUUCUUCUCUGCCAUUUGUCCAUGAGUUGUUCAUCUUCCUUGCUACAUCUUUGGAAAAUCAACCAAAUAUGGUGGAGGAUUCCUCUCCAUAACCCAUAUUUGGUUGAAAAGAAAAAACAAAACAAGAAAAACGGAAAACUUUAUUGAAACUAAGAAUGACGAUGUUAUCUCCUAAAAUGCAUAUGAAUCCUCUCCCAAUGGUAAACAAAAGGUUAAUAAAUAACUUUCAUGCCUAACCCGAAUUGGAAAACACAAAAACAUCGCAAAAAAUGGCAAAGAAACCUUAAAAAAAAAAAUCAAGUGUCAUAAUAAAAUUGACAAAGUUAAUUUAACUUUAAUUUAAAAAAAUUAUAAAAAAAUGGUGUUUAAUUUAAUUUACCCUUUUGACUUAUGGGGUCCGAAAACAGUACUAUUGGUGGGGAAGGUUGAUGAAGAGUUGACUUUUGAAAAGACCCAUAAGAACAAAUUUUCAUAUGAUGAGAGCAUAGAUAUUAAUGAGGGUUAAAAUGGAUAUAUAAACAAUAAAAAGGAGGCAUACAACAAAUAAUAUGAACUACCUGUAUUAGGCUCCACCCACAGCUUGUCAACUUCCUAUAAGAGUAAGGCAUGAUUGAGAAGCGAAAAACAACCAUUGGGAUUUCAGUGGAGAAUGCCAGUGAUUUCGACACUAAUGAUCUCAAGGCAAAUCCAAUCCUAGGGAGAUCAAUGUGGUUACCGGCCCAUGUCAGUAUAUAUUUAGCUUGAAUAGUUAAAAUUUUGAAAAAUGUACAAACCUCAAUUUAUUAUUAUUAUUAUUAUUUUUUAAAUCUUUUGAGUUAUAAUUUUAAAUUUUUAUAAUUUGAAGAGUAAAAAAUUUCAAUUUUAAGCAUUAAAAUCUUAUCAGACCAAUCUAACUAGCUUUGAACCAUUGCAUGUGACUCAAUUUAAGUUCCUUUGAUUAGAAAAGCAUCAUGUUAUUUUGAAAGAAAACCUAAAAAUAUCUAGAUUUCAUGUUCGGAUCUUAUUACUAUAUAACCCAAACGAGUUAUAAUCAAGCUUCAAGCUCUAAAGUUAUGCUAAUACAUAAUUAAAUUUAUGUUAUAAUUAAAACUACAACUUGGACGGAUUAAUGACUAACCCAAAUCCAACCUGAAUUAAGAAACAAUUAAUCUGAACUCAACCCAACUUGAAAUCUAACCCGAGAUACUCAAUCUAAGCCCAACCUAACUUCAAUUUUUUGAGUUCGGGUUGUUCAAGUUAGACUUGGGGUUGAUCGGGUUAGAUUCAGGUUGAUCAAAUUGAAUAAUUUAAAACCCAUUUAAAAUAUUUUUAAAAAAACUUUUAUGUUAUUUUAUUUAAUUUAAAUGGAGAAUUGUGUAUAUUUUACAAUAUUAUUAACAAUUGAGAAAGGAUUAUUUAAUUGUAAGUGCCAAAAAAUUAUUCUUACGUCAAAGAAAACAUCUUCAAGGUUUAUAAACUUUAAACUUGACCUUAUUUGAUAAACAACUUUUAUCAAUAUUUGUUCAUUGAAGUCACAUCUAAAAUAUUUAAGAAAGUGAAGUUUACUUUUUAUUUGAAAAUUAUAUUAUCUUUUUUGACAAAUAUUUUUGAAAUAACUCAACUACUUGAUCAUUCAAUUCAUGAUAUUGAAGCUUAUAUUCUACCUUAUGUGAUUAAGGAGAUGCAAAAGGAGACUCUUGAGAGUAGAACUCCUAAAAAGGAAGUGUAUAAUUUGGCUAUUAAUUUUGCUACUCCCCAAAUUUUAGAAUAUAUAAAAAUUCUCAAAUUUCGGAGAAAUGAGAUUUUAGGAGUGCUAGAUGACACAAGACCAUUGUCGAAAUUGAAGAUAGUAUCAUAAGAGAAUUGGGACUCGCAAAAUGGAGCACACAAUAAGGAAUGGAUAAAUUAUUGCAAAAUAAAAGCUUUUUAAUCCUUCUAAGUAACGUUGAUUUUUGAUGAUUUAAAAGAUACUUUCUACAUAUACACUUCAUACAGGCUGUGACAAACGAUUGGAUUUGGAGAUUAGGUUGAAGGUUCCUCCCUUUGGGGUCUAAAAACAAUACAACUGGUUGGAAAGGUAGAUGAAGAGUUGACUUCUAAAAAGACCCAUAUGCCCCUUGAAAAAAUUCUCAUAUGAUGAGAGCAUAGAAAUUUAUGAGGGUUCAAAUGGAGAUAUAAACAACAAAACGGAGGUAUGCAAUAAAUAAUAUGAACUACCUAUAUUAGGCUAGGCUCCACACAAAGCUUCUUGUAGAGGUGAGGCAUGAAUAGCAUGAAUAGGAAGCGAAAAACGACUCUUGUUUCAGUGGAGGAUGCCAGCCACCGUAAAGCCGAAGUCAAUCCUGACCCGACCAUGUAAGCAUAUAUUUAGCUUGUAUGGUUAAAAUUUUGAAAAAUGUAUAAAUUUUUUUUUUUUUUUUUUUAAGUCUUUUGAGUUGUAAUUCUAAAUUCAUGUAAUUUUAAGGAUCGAUUUGUUCAAUUUUAAGUAUUAAAAUCUAAUUGAACCAAUCUAAUUGAUUUGUAACCAUUGCAUGUGACUAGGUUUAAGUUCCUCUAAUUAGAAAAUUGACUAUUUUAUGUUAUUUUGAAAUAUAACCUAAAAUAGCUAGAUUUUAUGUUAGAAUAAUUUAUACACAAACAUAAAAAGUAUUGUAUCUUGUUUGGCAUCUAAUACAAUGAGUUUGAGAAAAAUAUAAACAAGUUUGUAAAUCUUUUUAUCAAAGGAGGAUUUGAGUUUGAUUUUAUCUCGUCCUGAUUAUAUAAAUAAAAAAUUAUUUUAAUUUUUUUUCAUUUUAAUUUUUUAAAAAUAUAUUAAAUAUUACUUUUCAUAAAAAUAAAUUAUGAAUAUUUAUUAAUUUUAUUUUUUUUAAUAUAAUUUAAAAUGAAAAACAAAACUAAGAGUUUUGAAAAAAAAUAUAAAAAGCUAAAUGGGGCAAGAGAAUUCUCCCACCUUACAUGUUUAAAUUCAGUUUUUUGGAUAGAGAUGAGAAUGUAUAUAAAUAAAAAAAAGGUUGGGAUGGGGUGACCCGUCUUUCGCCUCUUAUCAUCCAUAAAAAAUUAUUUUUGAAAGGAAAUAAUAUAUACAAGACACUCGUGUCCAUAUUUCUAUAUGAAUAAUCAUCAGGUUGAUUUUAUUUUAUUUUAUUUUAUUUAGUUUUUAUAAUGGAAUACCACAAAUAUGAUAUUUUACACUUUAAAUUGAAGAGUUGUAUUUUACAAUAUUAUUAACAAGUUUAUGUCUUUGAGAAAGGAGUAUUUAAUUGAAAGUGACAAAAAAUUAUUCCUACAUUAAAAAAACAUCCCCUAGGUUUAUGAACUUUAGAUUUGACCUUAUUUGAUAAACAACUUUUGUCAAUUUUUGUUCAUUGAAGUCACAUCUAAAAUAUUUAGGAAAGUGAAAUUUACUUUUUAGUUUUUAUUUGAAAAUUAUAUUAUCUCUUCUAAGAAAUAAUUUUUAGAAAGCAUUUCCCAAGAGUAAUAUAUAUAUAUAUAUAUAUAUAUAUAUAUAUAUAUAUAUAUAUAUAUAUAUAUAUAUAUAUNNNNNNNNNNNNNNNNNNNNNNNNNNNNNNNNNNNNNNNNNNNNNNNNNNNNNNNNNNNNNNNNNNNNNNNNNNNNNNNNNNNNNNNNNNNNNNNNNNNNUAUAUAUAUAUAUAUAUAUAUAUAUAUAUAUAUAUAUAUAUAUAUAUAUAUAUAUAUAUAUAUAUAUAUAUAUAUAUAUAUAUAUAUAUAUAUAUAUAUAUAUCGCCACUACUAUCUAGUUGAUUAAUAUCAUCUUCAUUAUCUGAAUCAGUCCUUGAUUCAGAAUCUGAGGAGCUUAACAUUACCUUACAAAGCAUAUUUUUUAGGUCAUCUGAGACACUUAAGUUAUUAAUCUUUUGCUUAACUCUACAAUCUUUCUUAUAAUGGCCAACUUUGCCACAUUUAAAACAGAUCAUUGGCUUAACAUCUAAAGGAGUUUCUACCUUUUUCUGGGCAUCCUUGCUUAUUCUCCUUUGGACGUGUCUUGAAUGCUUGGUUUCAUUCAUCCUAUAAUUACCAUGAGUACCUCUUUUACUAUGGUAAAAUUUAUCUUUGCUAGGUUUCCUGUUGGUUUGUUGCUUAGAGGGAGGCUUAGUUUCCUUUUGGCUGAAACCAAACUGGCUACAGAAUGAUCCAAAUUCAUUCUUGUAGAUUUUCUGUUCAUUCUUCAUUUGUUGCUUGAGCUUGAAGUCAUUGCACAACUUAAUCCCUUCAGCUGUGACAAUGCUUAUAAUCUCACCAUAGGUUAGCUUAUCAUAAGGGAUUUGUCCAUUAUACUGUUCCCUUAUCUUGAUCCUAAUUCUCUCAGAGAUGAAUUUUUCUGAGAUGAAUUUUUCUUUCCAAAAAGACUGGUUACAGUCUGACCUUAGCAUGACUUUGGUUAGGAAGACUUCCUUAUACCACCUAAAAUCAUGAAGCUUGGGACACUUAAGGUUGGUUAAGAGAUCUGCAGUUUUAUCCUUAAUUUUUGCACGAUCUCCAAUGAAGUGCUUGGAUAUUGAGUAGAUAAGAGUAGCCACUGCAUCCUCUAUAUCUUGGCCAUCUUCGUCCUUAACAACUUCAUUAUUUUCAUUAAUCUUAUAGGCUUUUAGGAUACUAUUUCUAUCCUCAAAAGUGAGAUAAUUAUCCCACCAACCCUUAAGCUGACCCGUAAACCCAGCAACAAUGGUCUGAGCUACAGCAUGAUCUGGCAGUCUAUUGUUUAACUUAUAGGCUGUACUUACCAUGGUCAUUUCUUGAAGCUUAGUGAGUAUGUUAUACUCGGUCAUACCGUCUAUGUUCCAUUCAUAGAUAGUACCACUGGUGUAUGAGGCUUGAGUAUACUGAUUUCUUUCCUCAAACUGCAUGUUAGGAAAAGUAGGCCUAGGAUAGUAAUUCCUAGUCUUAAAGGCUUCCAAGUUGUUAAUAAUUUGAUUAUGGGGUUCCUCAAACAUCUUAAUUAGUUCAUCAGCUUCUUCUUCUGAACUAAUAUCACCUUUAACCAUAUUGAUUCUCUUAUCAGGUUGAACAGUCAAAAGGGCAACAAGAUUAUCCUUAAUCUUCUGAUUAAUCCUAUCAACAAAAGCCUGGUUGAUUUGGGGAUUUUCCUCGAAUUCCUUAGAAAAUUCAAAGGACUUAGUUUUAUCAGUGCUCUUAGUGUUGUUAAUACGCUUACAAGGAUAAUAUGGAUAUUCCUCUUGUUUGAAGAGUUCAAACCAAAUCCAAAACUUAAUAUUUUUCUUUUCUUGUCUUAAGUAAGCAUAGAAUUCUUCUUGGUAAAUGGUUCUAAUGACCUUAGGGACAGUGCUAAAGAACCAAUCAUUUCUUUGCUUAUUGAUUUCAGAAUAGAAGUCCUUUCUUAAGAGAUCCUUGUUGAUCUCAAAGUCCUCAUCGCUUAGGCUUAUUGUGUUAAUCAUCUGGGAAUAGGUAGGAGACAUAACAGGGGACUCAUCCUGUUGGGAUUCCUGAGUAGACUCAUUUUCUUCACUGUAAAAUGGUCUAGCCACGUUGAUGUGACUUCUAACACCUGUUAGCUUAAUGUUCUUAGGGUUUCCUGAGCUGGAUCCUUCUUCUUCCCUAGUGGUUCUAACUGGGAUGGAAGAGCUUGAAGCUCUAGAGGGUUCAUAAACAGAAACUCUAGGGCUGCUUGAGUGUCUGAAAGAUUUGGAGAAGACCAGUUCUCCUCCUCCAUCUGGAUAUUGAACUAUUUGUUCAAUACUUUCAGAACGCUGUGCUAUGGCUGGAACAACAUUAGCAAAAUGCCAAUUUUCAGGGAAAUCAACAUCUUUCCACAAGAUCUUCUUGGGGAUGAUGAAAUCUGACUUAUCUAGCAUAUCUGAGUGAAAAUAGGUGGUCUCACCUUUAGGACUGGUACAAAGAGCCCCAGAUCCAACGCUUGUGUUCAUGCUCUUAUAGGCAAACCUGGUUAUGAUAGAAACAGGAUUGUUUCCUAGUUUGAUCUUAAAGCCAUGAGUCUUAAUAUGCAGGACAACGGAAUCUAAGAUGUCUGCAUCUCUUAUUCUAACUGUGAAGUUAGGAUAGCACUGGAAAUAAACCGGGCCAUCAUUCAGUCCAGCUUCGACUGCGCCUAUAAUAGAAUCUCGAUAUUUCAGAUGCCUAUUAUCCCUUAAACACAUGGCAAUAGAGGUGUUUAAACCUAAUCUUGUCAAAGGCUUAGCUGCUACUUGAAUCAUACCAAAGUGUAUGAAAUUAUAGCCAUCUUUCUUAUGCUUAUCAAUGGAUCUGUUAUCUAGAAGUCUUAUGACUUGGUCAUCUUGUUCUAAGCUGACUGACAUUUCAGAGGUCUUAAUGGUAUAAUCUGUGAAGAACUUAAAGGUUCAUUUCUUAUAAAUUUCUUGAUUAGACACCUUGGGUAACUUCCAAUCAUCUAAAUCAUUUUGAAUCUUAGGAUAAUUGAUCUCUUCACUGUUUACAACAGUAUCUUGAGAAUCGCUGGAUCUCUUAGACAUGGUUCUGAAAAUUGAACUCAUUUUAGGGUUUUUGAAAUAGGGCCUAAUAGCAGAUUGACAGACCUUAUGAGACGUCACCCCAACCCUCUUACAGCCUAACAAACGCCUAUCCACGGCUAACAACGGCUCAACCGGCAGGGCUCGCGCUCCUAGGCACACUGCUACCUAUCCUAGGAUAGGCCAAGAACACCCAAAACAAGACCCAACUUCCCUCCCACAUGGCUCUGAUACCAUAGACACCCAGGACAAGGUCAUAUGCAAUGAAAACAGGAAUUAUGCCAUGAUUCAAAACAAAGAAGAGGGUUAGAAAAUACAAAAGAUAUCCAACAAUGAAAUUUAAAGAGAAGAAACCAAAAACUUGUUAGUUCAUAAUAAGCUUAAAACCGACCAUGUAGGCGGUAUAAAAUAAAAACAUAAACUUAAAAACAAAGCUUAAUUAAAACCGACCAUGUAGGCGGUACAAGAUGAAAACAUAAAAUUAAAAUAAAAGCUUAAUUAAAACCAUCCAUAUAGGAGGUAAUCAAAACAUACUUAUAUUAUACAUAAGGAGAAAUAUGUUACAAUGGACAAAGGUAGGAAAGCUUGAAGAAAGCUUGAAAACUUGAAGGGCUCACAUGAUGAGAGAGAAAGAAGAGAGAAGGGAGAGCAUAAGCUUGGGAGAGAAACAGAACUAAAAUUAAGCGUGCUUACAAAUGGGGACCGAGCCUCCUUAAAUAGGCAAAAAAGGAAUGUUGAAUAGUAACCAUGAAUAGUAGACCCGUGCUUGAAUAGUGAAUAGUGAAUAUUGAAUAGUAAGAUUCACUUUUAUACCGAAAUCCCCCGAAAAACCAUCUUUCGGCUGAAAAGACCUCUGGCAGGCUGCUUUAAACUGUGUAUACAUAUGCUUGCUGCUUUUUGGAAUAGAAACUGCAAAGCUUGAAAUAUUCUUGUUGACCGGCCAUCAUGAGUAAUCCUUACGAUGUUCUUCAAGAAGCUUGAUAUCUUCAGUAAUAGUCAUAGCUGGAAGAGGGUCUAACUUCUUGCCACAGAAAAUUUGAUGACAAGAAUCUGCAGCAAUGAGAUAUCCCAUAUUUCUUGGAAAAGCCUCAAAAUCUCUGCAAAUAAUUCUGGCUCUCCAGUGAUUGAUUUGCUUAAUAAUGGGUUCAGCACAAAUAUCAGAAAAUAGCAGAGGGUUAGACAGACGAGUAGGUCUCCUAUUCUGAUAGUGAAGAGAAACAAUGUGCUGAGCUGGAAUAAGCUUGCCACUAGAAACCCACUCAGGAGCUUUGCUGAUGAUGAUGGCGUUCGCGAAUUUCUUGUUUAUUUUAAAUCCUUGGGUUAGGCCAAGAGCAAUUUUUCUUCCAAACUGGGAAACUUAGUUGAGAUCAGAACAGAUGAUUUGAUGAACCAGACCAUGGUCCAAAAGCUUUUCUGGAGUUAAUAGUAAAUCUUCACCCUUGAAUUUGAUGCUGAUUGGCGAAUAGUAUUGCAAGUCCAAGCAAACACGACUGAUUGUGAAAUUUCUGUUGCAGUUGCAAAUCAUUUUCUUAAUGCCUUUUUGGUACUGGAAAUGAUCUUCAAUCAUUCUGCAAAUUUUUGAAUCAUCAACUUCCUUAUCAGUAACCAAGCUUAAACCUGGGACCUUAAGACCAAUAUUGGUAGAAAGAUAGAGAUGAAGAUCCUGAAAGUAUGAAGAGAUGAAGCUCUGUCUUUCUUCUGCUGAGGACUUAGCCUUUUCCAAAAUUAGGAGACGUAGAUCUGGCUUAAGAGAGUAUAGAUUCUCUGUCUUAUGAUGAUACAUUCUUAGCAUACGGUAACCCAACUCUUCCUCACUCAAUUUAUCAUUCACCAGUGGGGUAGAAUGCUUAUUCUCACCAUUUUCCAGUGGGGAAAAUGAGGCUUGAGCUUUUAACAUGAGCUUAUGAAAGUCAACUAAUUCAAGUUUUCUUUCAAGAGUCUCAUACCUUCCCUGCCAUUCAAAAAUGCAAUUGAUAUAAUCAGAUAAAGUGUUAGUAUUGUUAAAAGAUGGAUUUGUGGGGAAGGAAUCUUCCACAAAAGGUAGAGAUUCCGAGCUUGAAUCUAUAUCCCUGCUAGGGGAUGCUGAAGGAAUGUGAUGAUUGAAGUGGCUGGAAGAACCUGCUACUUCAAAAUGGUCAUAAUAAGAUGGCAUGAAUUUCUCAGAAAGAGCUGAAUGGGGAUUCUUAGAAUCUGUAGGUUUAAUGGACCUAAAAGGUUGUUUGUCUUUCUUGGGUGCCAUGUUCAUGUGAAUCCUGCAAAUUCCAUGAGUUGAGUGAUUAGGAAUGGAACUUUCUCCUUUAAUAAGCUUAAUUUGAAAAUUAGGGUUUAAAAUAAUCCAAUCAAUUAAAUUAUGCUUAAAAGCUAUAUACUUAAUUGUUUUCUCAGAUGUGAAAACAACUUUUAAAAUUCCUUGAUUCAAAAUAUCAGUUUGAUAUUUUGAAAUACAUAAAUGAAUGCUUAAAAUAUCAUUUAUAAUGAGCUUAUGAAUGCAUUGGGUACCUAACAUCUUAGGUGGAUCAUCAAUCUUAACAAGAUUAAUUUCUUGAUCACAAGGAGUGAUGCUUUCAACAGGAUUAACAAAUUCAAAAAGAAUUUCCUUAUCAAAAAGCUUAGUUCUUAUACCUUGGUUAUCUACCCACAAUGGAUAAAUAGAACUUAAGAAGGGUAUUCCUAGAAGGGCUUUUUCCUUAAGAUCCUUAACAAGGAUAAAGGUUUGCUUAAUACAGACGUCAUGGUUAUGGAUAUGAACAUCUGUUAAUUUAUACUUAAUGGCAAGUCUUUUGCCAUUGGCUCCAAAUAGAGACAUACUAGUCUCUUCGCAUAAAGGAAUAGGUACAAGACCUUCUUGAAGGCAAUUUUCAGUUGCGCCUGAAUCAAUCAGAGCAAUAAUAUCAAAGACAAAUUUAUCUUUGACUACUAUAGUAAGGGAGACUUCCCACCUCUGGAAGAUAACCCUACUCACAGUAUUCAAAAAAGUAUCUGUCUCAUUAUCAUUAACAUGAGAAGAUUCUGGAAUAUCCAUAUGGAUUUCUUGGUUGCCAAUUCUAUUGAUUUGAUCUUGGAGAUCGGAGAGACCUAGACUUAUGAAUUGUCUUAACUCCUUAAUCUCCUUUUUAUGCUGUUUAACUUUUUCAUGAAGUUCCUUAAUGCUGACUUCCUUGGGAGACUGUUGGUCAAACCUGUUUAAGAUAUCAUUAAGGUUGUAAGGAUUAACAGUCUUCUUGGCUUCUACUUUAACAACAGAUUUCUUAAAAACUUCAUAAAGAUUUUGCUUAGUCUUUUCAUCUUCAACUUUUCUUAAAGUAUCUAGGAUAAAUUCCUGAUCUUGGCUUAUGACAUUUAUAGUAUUAGGACGACAAUUACAAUUACCUUUAAUACAUUCUGCUUGGUCACUAGAAGAUUGGCUAGAAACUUCACCACUACUGUCUAGUUGAUUAAUGUCAUCUUCAUUAUCUGAAUCAGUCCUUGAUUCAGAAUCUGAGUUUAACAUUACCUUACAAAGCAUAUUUUUUAGGUCAUCUGAGACACUUAAGUUAUUAAUUUUUUGCUUAACUCUACAAUCUUUUUUAUAAUGGCCAACUUUGCCACAUUUAAAACAAAUAAUUGGCUUGACGUCUAAAGGAGUUUCUAUCUUUUUCUGGGUAUCUUUGUUGACCCUUCUUUGGACGUGCCUUGACUGCUUAGUAUCAUUCAUCCUAUAGUUGUCAUAGGUACCUCUCUUACUAUGGUAAAACUUAUCUUUGCUAGGCUUCCUGCUUGGUUUUUGCUUAGAGGGAGGCAUAGUUUCUUUUUGGCUGAAACCAAACUGGCUACAGAAUGAUCCAAAUUCAUUCUUGUAGAUUUUCUGUUCAUUCUUCAUUUGUUGCUUAAGCUUGAAGUCAUUGCACAACUUAAUCCCUUCAGCUGUGACAAUGCUUAUAAUCUCACCAUAGGUUAGCUUAUCAUAAGGAAUUUGACCAUUAUACUGUUCCCUUAUCUUGAUCCUAAUUCUCUCAGAGAAAAGCUUGGGUAAUCCUGAGAUGAACUUUUCUUUCCAAAAAGACUGGUUACAAUCUGAUCUUAACAUGACUUUGGUUAGGAAGACUUCCUUAUACCACCUAAAAUCAUGAAGCUUGGGACACUUAAGGUUGGUUAAGAGAUCUGCAGUUUUAUCCUUAAUUUUUGCACGAUCUCCAAUGAAGUGCUUGGAUAUUGAGUAGAUUAAAGUAGCCACUGCAUCCUCAAUAUCUUGGCCAUCUUCGUCCUUAACAACUUCAUUACUUUCAUUAAUCCUAUAGGCUUUAAGGAUACUAUUCCUAUCAUCAAAAGUGAGAUAAUUAUCCCACCAACCCUUAAGCUGACCUGUAAACCCAGCAACAAUGGUCUGAGCUACAGCAUGAUCUGGCAGUCUAUUGUUUAAUUUAUAGGCUAUACUUACCAUGGUCAUCUCUUGAAGCUUAGUGAGUAUGUUAUACUCGGUCAUACCAUCUAUGUUCCAUUCAUAGAUAGUACCACUGGUGUAUGAGGCUUGAGUAUACUGAUUUCUUUCCUCAAACUGCAUGUCAGGAAAAGUAGGUCUAGGAUAGUAAUUCCUAGUCUUAAAAGCUUCCAAGUUGUUAAUAAUUUGAUUAUGGGAUUCCUCAAACAUCUUAAUUAGUUCAUCAGCUUCUUCUUCUGAACUAAUAUCACCUUUAACCAUAUUGAUUCUCUUAUCAGGCUAAACAAUCAAAGGGUCAACAAGAUUAUCCUUAAUCUUAUGAUUAAUCCUAUCAACAAAAGCCUGGUUGAUUUGGGGAUUUUCCUGGAAUUCCUUAGAAAAUUCAAAGGUCUUAGUUUUAUCAGUGCUCUUAGUGUGGUUAAUACGCUUACAAGGAUAAUAUGGAUAUUCCUCUUGUUUGAAGAGUUCAAACCAAAUCCAAAACUUAAUAUUUUUCUUUUCUUGUCUUAAGUAAGCAUAGAAUUCUUCUUGGUAAAUGGAUCUAAUGACCUUAGGGAUAGUGCUAAAGAACCAAUCAUUUCUUUGCUUAUUGACUUUAGAAUAGAAGUCCUUUCUUAAGAGAUCCUUGUUGAUCUCAAAGUCCUCAUCACUUAGGCUUAUAGUGUCAAUCAUCUGGGAAUAGGUAGGAGACAUAACAGGGGACUCAUCCUGUUAGGAUUCCUGAGUAGACUCAUUUUCUUCACUGUAAAAUGGUCUAGCCACGUUGAUGUGACUUCCAACACCUGUUAGCUUAAUGUUCUUAGGGUUUCCUGAGCUGGAUCCUUCUUCUUCCCUAGUGGUUCUAACUGGGAUGGAAGAGCUUGAAGCUCUAGAGGGUUCAUAAACAGAAACUCUAGGGCUGCUGGAGUGUCUGAAAGAUUUGGAGAAGACCAGUUCUCCUCCUCCAUCUGGAUAUUGAACUAUUUGUUCAAUACUUUCAGAACGCUGUGCUAUGGCAGGAACAACAUUAGCAAAAUGCCAAUUUUCAGGGAAAUCAACAUCUUUCCACAAGAUCUUCUUGGGAAUGAUGAAAUCUAACUUAUCUAGCAUAUCUGAGUGAAAAUAGGUGGUCUCACCUUUAGGACUGGUACAAAGAGCCCCAGAUCCAACGCUUGUGUUCAUGGUCUUAUAGGCAAACCUGGUUAUGAUAGAAACAGGACUGUUUCCUGGUUUGAUCUUAAAGCCAUGAGUCUUAAUAUGCAGAACAACGGAAUCUAAGAUGUCUGCAUCUCUUAUUCUAACUGUGAAGUUAGGAUAGCACUGGAAAUAAACUGGGUCAUCAUUCAGUCCAGCUUGGACUGCGCCUAUAAUAGAAUCUCGAUAUUCGAGAUGCCUAUUAUCCCUUAAACACAUGACAAUAGAGGUGUUUAAACCUAAUCUUGUUAAAGGCUUAGCUGCUACUUGAAUCAUACCAAAGUGUAUGAAAUUAUAGCCAUCUUUCUUAUGCUUAUCAAUGGAUCUGUUAUCUAGAAGUCUUAUGACUUGGUCAUCUUGUUCUAAGCUGACUGACAUUUCAGAGGUCUUAAUGGUAUAAUCUGUGAAGAACUUAAAGGUUCCUUUCUUAUAAAUUUCUUGAUUAGACACCUUGGGUAACUUCCAAUCAUCUAAAUCAUUUUGAAUCUUAGGAUAAUUGAUCUCUUCACUGUUUACAACAGUAUCUUGAGAAUCGCUGGAUCUCCUAGACAUGGUUCUGAAAAUUGAACUCAUUUUAGGGUUUUUGAACUAGAGCCUAAUUGUAGAUUGACAGACCUUAUGAGACGUCACCCCAACCCUCUUACAGCCUAACAAACGCCUAUCCACAGCUAACAACGGCUCAACCGGCAGGGCUCACGCUCCCAGGCACACUGCUACCUAUCCUAGGAUAGGCCAAGAACACCCAAAACAAGACCCAACUUCCCUCCCACAUGGCUCUGAUACCAUAGACACCCAAUAAGAAAAUCUAAGUAAUCAUCAGCCUUUUGUCUUCCAUCAAGAAUAUUUUACAAGCUUUGCAGUUUCUACACCAAAAGCAGCAAGCAUGUGUCUACUCAGUAUAAAGCAUCAUGCAAGAAGUCUUCUCAGCCGAAAAAGGGUUUUUCGGGGGAUUUCGGUAUAAAAGUGAAUCUUACUAUUCACUAUUCACUAUUCAAGCACGGGUCUACUAUUCAUGGUUACUAUUCAAGAUUCCUUUUUUGCCUAUUUAAGGAGGCUCGGUCCUCAUUUGUAAGCACGCUUAAUUUUAGUUCUGUUUCUCUCCCAAGCUUAUGCUCUCCCUUCUCUCUUCUUUCUCUCUCAUCAUGUAAGCCCUUCAAGCUUUCAAGCUUUCUUCAAGCUUUCCUACCCCUGUCCAUUGUAAAGAUAUUUCUCCUUAUGUAUAAUACAAGUAUGUUUUGAUUACCUCCUAUAUGGAUGGUUUUUAUUUAAAUUUUGUUUUUCAUUUUAUUUUAUGUUCUUGUACCGCCUACAUGGUCGGUUUUAAUUAAGUUUUAUUUCUAAGUUUAUGUUUUUUAUUUUGUACCGCCUACAUGGUCGGUUUUAAGCUUAUUAUGAACUAACAAGUUUUUGGUUCCUUCUCUUUAAAUUUCAUUGUUGGAUAUCUUUUGUAUUUUCUAACCCUCUUCUUUGUUUUGAAUCAUGGCAUAAUUCUUGUUUUCAUUGCAUAUGACCUUGUCCUGGGUGUCUAUGGUAUCAGAGCCAUGUGGGAGGGAAGUUGGGUCUUGUUUUGGGUGUUCUUGGCCUAUCCUAGGAUAGGUAGCAGUGUGCCUAGGAGCGCAAGCCCUGCCGGUUGAGCCGUUGUUAGCCGUGGAUAGGCGUUUGUUAGGCUGUAAGAGGGUUGGGGUGACGUCUCAUAAGGUCUGUCAAUCUGCUAUUAGGCCCUAUUUCAAAAACCCUAAAAUGAGUUCAAUUUUCAGAACCAUGUCUAGGAGAUCCAGUGAUUCUCAAGAUACUGUUGUAAACAGUGAAGAGAUCAAUUAUCCUAAGAUUCAAAAUGAUUUAGAUGAUUGGAAGUUACCCAAGGUGUCUAAUCAAGAAAUUUAUAAGAAAAGAACCUUUAAGUUCUUCAUAGAUUAUACCAUUAAGACCUCUGAAAUGUCAGUCAGCUUAGAACAAGAUGACCAAGUCAUAAGACUUCUAGAUAACAGAUCCAUUGAUAAGCAUAAGAAAGAUGGCUAUAAUUUCAUACACUUUGGUAUGAUUUAAGUAGCAGCUAAGCCUUUGACAAGAUUAGGUUUAAACACCUCUAUUGUCAUGUGUUUAAGGGAUAAUAGGUACCUCGAAUAUCGAGAUUCUAUUAUAGGCGCAGUCCAAGCUGGACUGAAUGAUGGCCCAGUUUAUUUCCAGUGCUAUCCUAACUUCACAGUUAGAAUAAAGUCACCAUGAUGUAAUUUUAAGUUAGUUAUACUUUAAUUUAGAUGGUUUGUUUUUUAAUUGAAUAAAAAAAUCAAAAUAUUUGACUUUUUUUCUAUUCAGAUAAAAAUAAUCUAUUAAUAUUAAUUAAUAUAAUUAAAAGUGAACUUGUUAUUAAUAGAUUCAGUUUAGUUAUAUUAGUUGAUAUAAAUAAGUUAUUUUUAUCUGAAUAGAAAAAGCUCAUAUCCAAAUAACAAACACCACUUUAGUCUCUCAAUUUUUAUUUUUUUUUAAACAAUGUUACCUUGAAAUUAUGCCUAAAUAUUAAAUAUGUAAUUUUGUUAAAAAAAAAAAAAAACCAUAUGAGAAGCACAUAUAUAUUGUUAUUGGUUUUAUGUGGUAUGUUUGGAUAAACUUAAUCUAUCCAUAUGUUUGUUAGGUGUAUACACAAUUGAGUCUAAUUUUGAGUAUUAAAAUUACUAUUGAACCAUCUAAUUGAUUUUCAUCUAGUCAGAACUAAGCAAACUAGAAUUACGAAACCCGGUGGUCCAACAAUCAUAAUAACUUGUCUAAAUUGGUGUACUUCACUUUGAUUUGGUAUAAUUUGAUUUAAUAUUAAGAACUAUUUUUUUUUUAUUAAUUUGGGUGAAAACCCAAUAGCUUACAAUUCAAUAUCAUGGGUUAAAGAACUUAAAUAAUACUACUAUAAGAAGUUGUCUUAAGAACUAUUCAAAUCAUAUCAUUAGAUUCAUUACAACUCAUACUAGUAAUUUUUUUUUAAUAUCUCAAAAUUUUAAAUAAUUUGUAAAAUUAUUACUUUUUUCUAUAAGAGUUUUUAUGUCUUAUAUAAAAGUUAUUGCUAUUAUCUAAUUUUAAAAUUAAAAAACAAAAAACAUAUACAAAUUCAAUAAAAAUAUAUUUAUUGAGUUCUAUGUUUUAAAAAAAAAAAUUCUUUUACUUUUCCUUCUUCAAUUUUUAUCCUUAUUUUCUCUCCAUUGUACAUUCUCUUAAACAUAUUUAAAUUCGAACAAAGUUUUAAUCUUCCUCCAUCUUCAUCUCAUUUUAUGUUAAGUAGUGAUUUGUGGUUGGUGACAAAGCUACUUCAGAGAUCCCUCUUGAAACAUUUUUCAAAUACAAAAAUUCAGUAUCUUUUCCCGAAUUUGUGAAUUAGCCAAGAUUCUUUUAUACACGAUAAUAAGUAGCACAUAAAUUUUAUUAUAAAUGCGAAAUACUUAUCAAGUAAAAAUGCAAGGUCAUUUCUCUGCUUGGCUAGUGAAGCAUGGGCUAGUUCAUAGAUCUUUGGGCUUUGAUUAUCAGUAUAAAAAUGGUUUUACCUUAACACUUCUAUCGAUUGCAUUUCUAUUAGAUCAUAUACAUAAAAAAAAAUAGUUAGUGUUUAAAUGUAAAUAAAAAACUAUUUUCAAAGUGUCAUUGAUACUAAAAAAAACAAACUAAAAUAAAUAUAUGAAGUGCAAAUCUAAGAAUUGGGUGAUUCUUUAGGUUUUUACUAAUUUUAAUCAUAUUUGAUUUUAUUUACUAUUUUUCAUAGUAAGAUUAAAUAGAAGAAAAUUAUUUUCCUUCAUAAUACAUAUAUAUUUUUUUUACUUUUUUUUAGUACAUUUUAGGAACCAAAUAUAGCAUUAAUGGGGUAUUUGUAAUUUCAUCUUCUCAAAUAUUUUUUUACCACUUUUAGGAGGUUUUGGCAGCAAGCUUUAAGAUGGUGGGCUGGAGCAGUGAUCUUCUCUUAAAGCAAGCAGCAUGUGACGACAGGUGGCAUCGGAUACUUUUCUUGAAGCAACCCGCAUGUGACAGGUGGUAUGGGAUUCAGAGGCCGUUGGGAGUAAGCUUGGGCAGUAAGAAAUCUGAGCCGGAGGGUGAGAAAAACAGAGAGGAGCGGAUGCAUUGUUUUUUUUACAGAGAACAGGGUGAGAGGUAAGGAUUCUGGACAGAAAACCAUGGUAAGCUGAGCUUAGACCAUGGGUGAGCUGUAAGAGUGAGAGAGAACGGAGGAGAAGGGUUUUCUAGAGAGAGCUAAAACAGAGGAAGAAAAAUGAAGUGAGAGCAAGGAGGAGAGAGUGAGCUGGGGAAGACAUCUGAAACAAGAGGAGCUAUAGGGAGGUGAUUUUGAGCUGAGCAGGGGAGUGAGUUGGAUUUUGAGAGGGUUUGAGGCUGUGAAAAUGAGCUGAACAGUGAGAGGGGCAGAGGAGAGAAAGGGAGUGGGUUUGCUGCGGUUUUGAUGUAAGCUUAGGAGAAGAAGCAGAGCAGCUUGAAGCCCAGUUAGUUCCGCUGGAGGGGAGCAUUUCCAGGUACGUUUGCUAGACCACGUAUUGAUUGCAGUUGAUUUUCUUUGGGUUGCUGUGACUGUGUUAUAAUAAAUCCAUGCUUGGUUCUUUAUGUGAAAUUUGUUUAAGAGUGAUCUAGCUCAUUUUUAGCUUUCCUUUGAGCGUCCGAGUCAUAUUUUCGAUCUUAUUUUCUCCUGGUUUUUCCCACCCACACAUAAGCCCAUCGACUUCAAUAUGAGAAGGGGCUCGGUUUAAUGUCUUCUUUGGCUCAUUUGAUGCUCUGUUUUUCCCUGAAAAUUUACCAUGAGUGGGUUCUACAUUUCAUGUGCACCAAAAAGGUGCUUAUGUUUUUCUCUAGUUUCUGAGUUUCUGAGCGCCCAAACAGUAAAAAUGCAGAAUUAGUUCUAUCGUUUUUGGUGUUUUUUUCACUUUAUUCAUGAAAUUUCUGAUUGUAUAUUGAAAUUGUAUAUUAUUACAUUGUUUUUGGUUGGAUGCUUCCUUUAAAUGCUUGAAAUCUUCAUUUUUUUUAUUGCCCGGAAUGGAAUUUUUGGUCAUAUUUGAUGAUAUAUGAGUGCAUAACAAAUGUUUGCAUGUCCAAAUUUACAAUAUUUUAUAAAUUUACACCUGCAACUUAGGUUGUGCCUCAUUUUUCUUUGGUGCUCCUUGGGUGUUGUCCCUUGCAGUUUAGUCACUAGGAGUCUUCUGCACCUUGUGCCUUUCAUAUUUCAUUGCAAUCCUAUUUAGGGAAAAUAACACUAACUUGCCUUGAGGUUUGUUGUUAGAAUUAUAGUGACCUCCCCUCACAUUUGAAAAAAGAUGCUAUUCUCACUCAAGGUUUGAUAUAACUAAAGCAGUGAUAAACACAACAGACAUGUAAUGUGGUCCGGUUCCUUUUUUACAAUCGUAAUUCUCAGAGGAUUUCUUCACCAAUGAGGGGUUUUUCUUUGAUUAUGUAGGAGUUUAGCUUUAAGUAUUCCUACAGUGGAUGAGUCUUUUUAAUUGGUCUUGUGGCUGAGAUAUGCAUCUGUUAUUUCCUUAGAUUACUUUUUCCAUUCGGUUGAUUGGGAGGAACGUUUCCAAAUGUGUCCUAGUGCAUUUUUCUUAGACCACUUUCUGAUCAUUUCUUUUUACUGUGGUGGGGCUAGGAUUUGGAGAUGGAGAUGUUCUUUCAGGUUGGAGAACAUGAGGCUUCGAGUGCAUACAGUGCAUGAGUUUGGAGUUGUUAAAAAUUGGUAGUUUACCUAUCAGUUUACGGGUCUCUCCAGUUUUGUCCUUUGCUAGAAAGUUGAAGGCUCUGAAAGAUGAUCUGAAACAUGGACUAGAGAGGUAUUUGACACUGUUCCCUUUCAUAAAGUUUGUGUCUUGGAGUGAAUUAGCUUUUAGGAUUGUAAGGGUGGGUAUAAGCUUUAUUUGGAUGAUAACCACUUAGCAGUGUGGGAAGAGAGGUCUGAGUGAUGGAAGUCAAGAGGUGUUCUGUGCAUGCUAUUCAUUAACAUGCACAUUUGUCCCAACCACUAAAACAUAUUAAACUACAUGUUCAAUAUCCACUUCUACCCAAUGCUGAAACCUGUGUUCCAACACAAGUAGCCCUGUACUCUGUUCACAGUCCAUGGCUAUGCCUGAUCAAGGGACGUUGGUGUCUUUUUGUGCCAAAAUGUUUUGACAUCGUGAAAUUCAUAAUCAUUAUUUCAAAGUUAAAAAUAUAAUUAUAAAAAAUUAAUGAAGGAAACAAAAUAUUUUGUAGUUAUACUUGAUUGUACUUGAGAUGCAAACCAUCAAGACCAAAUGACUCUUAUAUUAAAAUAUGUGGACAUUUGAACAGCUCUUCUACACGUAGAUUAAUAUUUUUAGAAUUUUUAAAAGUUGAUGAUGCAUAUACUAAGUGGUUGUCAUAACCUCAAUCUGAUUUUUUUUUUUUUUUUGAUUAAGUAAUAAGAUUUAUAUAAUAAUAAUAUUAAAAGUAAAAGAAUAUUUUCAGAAUUUUUAAAAGUUGAUGCAUAUACCAAGGGAUUGUCAUAAACUCAAUCUGAAAAAUAAAUAAACAAAUUUUAGAUUAAAUUAUAUUUGCAUAAGUAAUAAGAGGUCUUAUUUAUAUCUUCAUUUAUUUAUUUAUUGCCUUAGGCCACAUUUCUUGUUGAGCCUCCCUUUGUGUCUUUUGUUUUGUUUUCUUCCCUCCCCUGCCCCCUUUUUUAAGCAUUUGAUCCCCAUUAUCGUUCAUCUAAGUUAUUGUUUUGAAUUUGAAUUCUUUUUUUUUUCAAUUGAUAUUCUGACUUCAAUGUUGUUGGUACCAGAAGGAUGGCCUUAGAAGCAGCAGCAGUGGAAGCAGCAGUGACUGAUGUAUAUAGAGAUGGGCGAAGCUUAUUAAGUUGGUAUGGUCGUAAAUUUGGUUAUUGGAAGAAUCUAAAAAGAAACAAUGAAGAUUUAAUGCAGAAAGCUAGAGAGCUUUGGGAACUGAGAAAUGGCAUAAGGGAAGGAAUAAGCCAAAAUAGAAUCAGGCCAGACACAACAGCAUGGCUGAGAUGAAUGAAAGUGAAGCGAUAGAACUAGACACCAAAUACAAUGAUAGAAAAAACCACCCAUGGAAAUUGUUUCGUUUUUGGAAGGGUGCUAGUCUUAGCAAAGACAUGGCUGAGAAGUGCAAGCAAGUUCUUAGUCUUUGGGAAGAGGGAAAACGUAAAAGAGGAGUGUUGGAUGCGGAGCUGCCAAAGCGUGUCGUGGGAAUACGUCCAGCCAAAAUAGAAUAUAAUUGAAAACUUGAACACUCAUGACAAUAUUAACAAAAUGUUUGAUAUUGUCACCGGGUAACUGUCCCAAAGGAGUGGAGCGAGGUAGGGUUGCAACAGAGUAGGCUAAAUUUGAAUAUGGGAGGCCCUACAGACAUUGAGGAAAAUACACAGAUAAUAUUCGAAGAGUUGAAGGAAAUGAAGUGUUUGAUNNNNNNNNNNNNNNNNNNNNNNNNNNNNNNNNNNNNNNNNNNNNNNNNNNNNNNNNNNNNNNNNNNNNNNNNNNNNNNNNNNNNNNNNNNNNNNNNNNNNAUAUCAAACAUUUUGUUAAUAUUGAUCAUGAGUGUUCAAGUUUUCAAUUAUUGUGGUCUUCCCGGUUCCCACCAUUCCCCAGAUUCCUAUUCUUUUUAUUUCCGGAUCCUCUAGAAAAAGCACUAGAAUAUCUUUUUAUUUCAAUUAUUGUUGACUUAUUCUUAUAUGUUUAUCAUAAGUUCUAUAUAUAUACUAAGAAUUGCAAAGUCUUUAGAAUAUCUUAUUUCUCAACUCGGUACUAGAGCAGCUCAGUCACGACAAUGGCUACCUCUUUUCAAAGUAAUCAAUGAUCAAGCUUGGUAUGUCGAUAGUAGAGCCACUGAUCACAUCACAACCAAUCUGAGCACACUUUCUCAAAAGACAGUGUACAAAGGUAAAGAGAAGCUGGUUGUAGGAAAUGGUCAACAAUUUUAAACCAUUAUUCAUGAAUCAUGUUCUACAUGCCCCUUACAGUUUACUAAAACAAUAAUGUUUGCUGAAAUUUACAAUAAUCCAUCAAAGAAAUUUAGUAUUUGGCAUAGCUAACUUGGCCACCCAUGUGUACCAAUUCUAAAAUAUGUUAUGAAUACAAUUGGUAUUUCGAAUAAUUUUGAACUUGAUUUUUGCACUACUUGUUAACUUGGAAAGUCUCACCAAAUUUCUUUUUCAAAGUCGACAAAUGUAUCAUCUUAUCCUCUUGAACUAAUUCACUUAGACAUAUGGGGUCCAACACCCGGCAGCUCAAAGGAAGGAUACAAAUAUUACAUACAUUUCAUAGAUUACUACACAAAAUACACUCACUACAAAAAACCACCCUUUUGAUGUUUUCAAUAAUGCAAAAUAUUUAUGCUACAACAAUUUGUCAUCACAACAAAUAUGCAUUUGCUAAAAAUAUUUCUAUAAUAAAUUUAUUAUUUUAGUUAUAAUAAUGUUAUGAUUAAAGAUUUAUUUUUAAUUACAAUUAUAUAUCAUGAAAUAAAAAUUUAUUUUUGAUUAUUGCAUUUAUAUGUAUUUAUAUAGUCAAACUAAACUUUAACUAUAAUUACAUAUCACCAGGAAAAUUUUAUAAAUCUUCAAUGGUCUUGAACAAGUGCAUUUUAUUGGUGGUACAUGAUUAUCCCCAAAAAGUAUAAAAAUGUAUUUUUUAUAUAAUUAUUACAUAAGAAAUAGAUAAAGUAAAUGUUAUCACCAAAAAGAAUAAAAGUGUAUCUUUUAUAUAAUUAUUACACAUUACAAUAAAAAUAGAUAUAAGAAAUAUAUAAAAGUAAUUAUAGAUGGAAUGUCGCCUGCCACCAACUGCAAGAAAACAAAUAAAAUAAUAAUUAAAUUAUUAUUGCAAAAAGAAACACACAGCACACACAAAAAUAAAUAAUAUUAAAAAUUAAGAAAAAAGAAAUCAUAAAUAUUUAAGAUUAGCUUCUAUUCAUUCGUAUAUAUUCAAUAGGAUUAAAAAAAAUGAAGAGCAUUAUUUAAAAAAAAAGAAGAAAUAUUAAAUAAAAUUUUUGCAUAAAAACAGAAAUCCAAGUGAAGGAAAAAUUUAAAUACCGAUUGUUUUUUCAACCGUAGUCUUUCAAAGAGAACUCUCCCUUGAACACUUUGAAAGAAAAAGAAAUGAAGAAAACUUCAGCAAAUAAAAAAAAUCAAAUAACUCUGUUGAAAAAAAAAAGUUUUUUCUAAAUGGAAAUAAAUAAUAGUAGGAUAAAAUCUCUCUAAAAUAAUAUUUAUAUAGAAAGUCUUUUUAUUCAUCUUUGACAUGGCAAAAUUUUAAAAUAAGCCUAUGAGUUGACAUGGUGCCCCAAUUAAGAGUAGUACAUAUAGUGGGACUAUUAAAAUUCACCAAAGAUAAGCUGGGACCAAUGUUUUCAAAAUCGGAUCGGUCAUCGAAUCGGAAAAGUCAUCGAUUCACAGUUUAUUGAUUGGACUGGUGGUUGAAUCGUUUUCAGAAUUGGACCGGUCAUAGAAUCAGAAAAGUUAUCGAUUUACGGUUCAUUGGUUGGACUGGUGGUUGAACAACGAUCGAACCGGUGACGUCAUAAAUAUGUAAUUUAUAUAUUAUUAAAAUUAAAAAUAAUUAUAAAAAUUUUAAAAUAUAUAUGAAUAAAUUAAAAAUCAAUAAUAUUAUUUUAUAUCUUUAAUAUUAUCAAAUUAAAUCAUAUUAAUAUUUUAAAUUUUAUUAAAUGAAAUAUGUAUAAAAUUUAAAUGUAAAUAUAUUAAAAAAUGAAAAUUUAAAAUAAUUUUGCAAUUUUUAAAAAUAUUAUAUGAUUUUUAUUUAAUAUUACAAAAAAUUUUAAAAUCCAAUAUAUAUUGUUUUGUUUGAAAUAUUAGAUAACAAAAGGCAUGUAGCUGAGUGGUGUCCUAGGUUGGUUACAGAACCUGAGGUUCAGGCUUCAAGCCUUGGAUUUCCUCAUUAGGGUCAAGGCGUCACCACGUGGGCUCAAGACUCAGCCUACAAAAUGGUUGGGGGUGGGUGUGGGCUUUGUCAUUAUAAGACAGGGCCAGCAUGGGCUUUUAACAAAAAAUUUUAUACAAUGGAGCCUUCCAUGCUUACAAAAUGAGGGGGCAACUUCAACCGUUCGGUUCGUUUAAAGCAGUGGCUAGGACAAGCAAAAAUAAAGCAAAAAUAGGAGUGAGGCGGAAGCAAAGAGUGCAGAUAUCAAGCUGAGAUGCCGGAGUAGUGCAACAGCAAGGCCUCUACUGCCUAUAGUUCGACUCCUCAUCAUGAGCACUGCAGUCUGGCCUGCAACAUAGACGCUUAGAAAUCCCAUAAACACCCACAUAGCUAGUCGGUUUGCUUCGAAAACAGAAACGGGGCCUUGCAUAUACUUCACUCCAAGUACAUAAAUCAGGAGGGGAAUGAAAAACCCUAAAGCAGCAUCGAGUUGAACUGGGAAGCCUUGUCCACUAUAGCUGCACACAUGCACCACCAAAUCAUUAAAGUCAAGUGCCAAGCAAAAGGAAGAGCAUAUGUAGCUCCGCAGUCCAGGAAGACCAAAAAAACAAAGUGAAAAGUAGUUAAGAGUUAAGACAAGCUCCAACUAGCAAAAAAACAAAAGAAAAGAUGUUGUUAUAGCUAAAACUUUAAUGAAAAUAAUAUUAGUUAAUAGUUCAAGAACAUAAAGGUAAAACCAUCUAGACGGAUUAAGAUAUAUAAGAUUUAAAAAUGAUUUGACCAAUCAAUUAUUUUUCUGACUCUUUCUAUAAAUGUUUUCCAACUCUUUCUAUCUAAACACUGAAUUACUUCACUCUUUCUGGUGUCUCCCCUUUUUUCUUCCAUCUCCAUCCAUCAUGCGUAAUCUUGGAACAUCCAUCUUCAUCUCAUAACCUACUAAUUAGAAUUUGAGACACUUUCUACGAAAGAGAAGAAAAAAAGGUUACAGAAAGAGGUCAUGGGAACAAGGGGACAAAUUAACUCAACAAGUUCCGAACAAGAAAAACUGUACUGUCAUAUCUUCUUUCAACGGAAAGUUGGAAACUGAUAUGGCAACCAUGCAGAGAUGAUUUCAUUGUGGAUGCAUGAUCAGAGGAAGACUGAGAAUGAGAAUGAGAAUAAGAAUAAGAAAACUGGGGAGAAAACGAAGACCAUCAGCAAGCUAGAAUGAAAAUUUUAAAAAUUUGAUAAAAUAAUUUAAAGAUUUGAUAAAAUUUCUUAAUAUAAUAAAAUGUUUGGUUUUGCUUGCUUUUUCUAGAACUAAACUUCUUAAACAAUAAUAAAGAAAUAUGGUAAGAUCUUUUUAAUAAAAGUUUUUUUUCUCUCUUUUGUUAACAUUUGUCUUGACUACAACAUAAUUACUUUUCCCCUCGUAGUUGUAGAAUACAUGAGAAUGAGAAAUUAAAUUAAAUUUUAUAAUUAUUAAAUAAAUAUAUAGUUUAUUUAAUAUAUUAUUUUAUAAACUCCACAUAAAACUAUAUGCAAUAUAUAACAUUAAAAAAAAAUCAACCUUUAUUUUAGUGUUUUUAAAAAUAAAUUUUAAAAUCUUAAAACUUUGAUAAAUAUUUUACCAAAAAAAUGAUUUUAAAAUAUGGCAGACAUAAAAAAAAUGAAGAUAAUUUAUUUAUUUGUCUCAAAUUUUAAUAAAUGAAUUAACUUAAAUUUUAUAAUAAUUUUUAAAAAUUAUCCUAAAUAUAAUAUUUAUAUAGGAAUGUUUUUACAAAUUCAAGUAUGAGAUGAAGUGUAAACUUGCAUAUGCAUUAUUUUCAUCUUUAAUAAAUUUUUAUAAGAAUUGUAUGAUUUUAUUCUAAAUAUAAAUUUUUUGAUAUAUUCUAUUACUAAUUUAAUUUAUACAUAAAUAUAGAUAUAAUAUAUAUUGUUGCUUCACUCAUAUUAUAUUGUCAUUAAAUGCAAUCAUUAAAAAUCUUUAGAGGCAAUAAUAUAUUUGUGUCAUGAAAAAUAGGGUUUUAGUGACUACAUUUCAAACAUAGCUAAAAUUGUUGUCACUAAAAGUCAUUUUUCUUGUAGUGACUUGGAUCCAUCCCUUACGGUUGAAAUCAAAAUCCAAAACCAAAAUUCUAAAUCCUAGUUGAAAGACACUUUGAUAGGAAAAUCAAAAUACUACAAACUAAUUUCCCGUAGGGGGGGUGUUGGGGGGAGGGGGGGUGUGUGAAUACCGCAAUCUUAAACAAUUUCUUGAACAAUAUGCAUACAAUUCAGACAUCCAUGCAUAUACACACACCAACUGUGCCCUUAUCUUUCUUGUGGAAAGCCUUUAGCACAACAAGCUUUCUCAUAAACCACCUACCGACUCUUGCCUUUCGCCUAUCUUUCUCCAAUUGAGGCCUUAUUCUAUCAAAAACUAGACUUUCAAUUUUUAAAAACUUUCAGUUGUGCUUGCUAUCCUCACUUAAGACCAUAUAAUAAUAAGAAGCCACAAUUUAGAUCCUCUAAGUGUGUAUUUUUAGGUUAUAGUACUUAUCACAAAGGUUACAAGUGCCUACAUCCCUCUAGAAGAAUUUACAUUGCUUGUAGUGUCUGCUUUGAUGAAAAUGAUUUCCAUUGUAUUUGGUUUUCCAUGUUCCAACUCACAUCCAGAUUACUCUUCCACUGAAAAUUCAUUUUCUCCUUGUCAUCAGUGGAUUCCUAAGUUUGAUUGUCCAAGUCCAAUUAAUGUUGGCAUGACAGUUUCUGGUGCACUUCAGAUCUUAGAAUCCACUACAUCCUCACCAAGCUCUUUUGGUUCAAGUCAAAACAAUAAUCAAGGUAAUAGUUCUGGUCUUUCUCUUACCAAUAAUAUUGAAAUUCCUUCCAUUGAUUUGUCUGAAGAACUCUUUUUUAAACCUAUUGAGCAACAUCAAGAUCACAUACAAAAACAACCCGAAAUAGUCCAUCCUAUACCUUGUCAAACCUCAACUCACCUUAUAACCACUAGAUCCAAAUCAGGCAUUUCUAAACCCAAGCUCUACCUUACUAACACAAAACCCAAAUCAGCAUUUGUCUUAAUUGAGAACUUAGAAGCAAGCCAUGGAUUAGGGAUAUGAGGCCUUAAUGAAAAAUAACACUUGGGUUUUGGUACCAUAUGAGGUUGGUAUGAACAUUGUUGACAAUAAGUAGGUAUUCAAGGUUAAGAGAAAUUCAGAUGGUACAAUUCAAAGAUAUAAAGCCCAACUGGUUACCAAGGGCUUUCAACAAACACCGAGAGUUGACUACUUUGAAACAUUCAGUCUAGAAGUGAAGGCUUCAACAAUCUAGGUUGUUUUGACUUUGGCAGUAACAAAAAACAGGGAUAUACAACAACUUAAUGUAAAUAAUACUUUUCUGAAUGGAGAAUUACAAGAGGAAGUGUAUAUGCACCAACCGGUAGGCUAUAUCAAUCCAUUCAAAGUAGAAUUUGUUUGUAAACUCAAAAAGGCUCUCUAUGGAUUAAAACAGGCACCCUGAGCCUAGUUUGACAAGCUUAAGGUAGCAUUAAUCAGUCUUGGUUUUGUGAACUCCAAAUCAAACAACUUUUUAUUUGUGUUCAAGUCUACAAACGCAAUUCUCCUAUUGUUGGUAUAUGUUGAUGAUAUCUUGAUAACUGGGAAUGAUCAAGUGAAGAUGAAAAAGAUUAUUGAAAGCUUGAAUGCACAAUUUGCCUUGAAGAAUUUGGGAUCAUUGAGCUAUAUCCUAGGUUUUAAAGCACAUUGAACAAAGUCUAGAAUCUAUCUCUGAAGAAAUAUAUGAUUGAUCCAUUGUACAACGCUAACAUGUUGAAUGUUGAAAGCAACCCAACACCUAUGUGCCAAGGAACAAAAAUUCACCUUACUGAUAGUGAUUUAUUUGAACAACCAACUCUAUAUUGGAGCAUCGUUGGAGCUUUGCAAUACCUAACUCUAACCAGGCUAGACAUAUCAUUUGUUGUAAACAAACUGAGUCAAUAUUUGCAGACACCAACAGUUAAUCACUGGAAAGCUUGCAAAUGCAUCCUUAGAUACUUAAAUGACCCUUUUGACUAUGGGCCUCUCUUCUCGCCAACAACAUAAGUGACACUAGAAGGGUAUGUUGAUGCAAAUUGGGCUAGUUCCUUGGAUGAUAGAAAAUCUACAAUAGGUUAUUCUAUUUAUCUUGGUGGAAACUUAGUUGCAUAGAACUCCAGAAAAUAAAAGGCAGUAUCUCGCUCAAGCACUGAACCACAAUAUUGUGCCCUUACUUAAGCUAUAACUGAACUUGUUUGGUUGCAAUCUCUAUUAUUUAAAUUAGGAAUUGAGAUAAAUAGGUGCCUUACACUCUGGUGUAACAAUACUGGAGCUAAACAACUUUCUUCUAACUCAAUCUUCUACUCAAGAACAAAACACAUUGAGAUUGAUGUUCAUUUUAUCGAAGAUAAGGUAAUUGCAAAAGAACUGGAGAUAAAAUAUGUGCCAACAGAAGAUCAAACUGCUAAUAUCUUUACAAAGUUAUUAUCCAUAUCUCAAUUCCACUUUCAUAAAGGCAAGCUUGUUGUUGUUCAAUCCCCACGGUCUCGUUUGAGGGAGCAUGUUGAAGACUUUUUUGUAUGUGGAAAAUGACCUAUCUUAUCAAAAUUAGUUAUAGAGUCCCUCCAAACUCAAACUCUAUCAGAGCUCUCUCGGACUCUUUCUCUUUCUGAGAAGCUCCAUUCUCAUCCUUAUCUAUUGGUUAUGAUAGGCUUUCCCUUAUUCUUAUCUGUUAUCAUAAGUUUUAUAUUCUAUAAAACCACUCAAGUAAAGUUAAAAUAGACUAAGAAUUGCAAAGUCUUUCAAAGCUCCAGAAUCUCCUAUUUCUCAACUAUAUGAUAUCCAAAAACCUUUUUAAUGUAGCAGUAGAAUGAGCUAUAUAUAAAUUCAAUUAUUAUAAAGUCAAACAAAUAAAAUAAAACUAGAAGAUAAGACUUCAUUUAAAAUAAAACUAGAAGAUAAGACUUGAUUGAGUCUUAUUAUUCUGGGUUGUUUAGUUUGGAAAAGUCCUAGAUUUUGAGGAGUUUGAAUUUAAAAUAACAUCAGAAGAUAAGGCUUGAUAGAGUUCUAUUAUUCUAGGUUGUUUAUUUUGGAUGAGUCUUAGUGUAUUUAAAUUUGAUUUUAUUUCUAAUUUGAAUUAGAGAGAAUAUUUGAGUAUGUUGGUUAGUUGCUAAAUUUAGGGAUUGCUUUGUUUAUUUAAGUUCUUGAUGUAAACCAAAAUUUUUAAUAAAGUGUUAUCUAGUUUCUCUUCCAAAUUCAAUAUGGUCUUAGAUCUUUAGUGACUUUGCCUAUAGAGAGCAGGUUACACGUAGGCAAGCAAUCUAAAGCUAUUCUGAAGAAUGGAAUAAUGGCACUCCCUUUACCGGCCAUUGGAAGAAUGGAAUAAUGACACUCCUUUUACCGGCCACUGGUGAGAAAAAGCUAUCAACAAUUUUAAUUUUAUUACUCUCAAAACAAGGUUGAUAAGAGUGAAAGAGAGUUAUAUCAAAGGUCAUGUGAUCAGAUGCACCGAAGUUGAUAAUCCAUGGGUUUGACUUCGAGAAAGCAUUCAAGGCUCUAGAACAUAUACCUUUCUAGGCAAUGGAACCAGAUCCUAUAGUGGAGGUACUUGAAGGAUCACAUGUGAGGAGUUUCUAAAGUAGCUCCAUCCUUUCUCGGUUGAAAGGAGUUUUGUUGGCUGACUUAUUGGAUUGUGGUGGUUCAUCAUUGGUAGCACGAUAACCUCAAGGUCCAUUUUCAUAUGUUUUGUUACUUUUCCAAUUGGGCAGCUUCCCAUGAAUUUUCCAACAAGUUUCUCAAGUGUUACCAACUCAAUUACAAUGAUCACAUCAUGACCUAUUGGAUCUUCUUCAUGAAUCAAAGUGUUGAGAAUUUGGUCCCUUGGUGGCUAGACUGAUCCAUCCUUGCUUAGAAAGGACAAUGAUGAGGUGUGAUCCUUCAUCAUGACCUUCUUUUGUCUCUCUUCUUACCAAACAUCAAAACACACUUCUUGAAGUAAUGGGUGUGGUUUGGUGUUAAGAACCCUUUAUUGGACUUCAUUGAGAUUCUUGUUGAGUCCAACCACCAAGAAUGUGAAGAUCCUUUAUUUUGCCACAAUUUUCUAAUAUUUGAGGCUAUCACUAGUGCAAUCUCAUUCCAAUUAUUUGAACACGUUUAGUUUUUGACAAUAUUGGAAGAGAAUGCUAAAGUAUUAGGUCACACUAAGGUCCCUUUUCCAUAAUUCUAGAAGUUGGCGUUUGAUUUUGAACAUCUUUGCUAUUCGAAAAAAUCUCCUUGGUUGCAUCCUAGAUUUCUUUUGCUAUCUUAUAGAAUAGGAAUGUCUGGCCUACUUUCGUCUCCAUGGAAUUAGUAAGUCAAGACAAAAUCAUAUUGUUCUCAAAAAACCAAGUUUUAUAAGAUGCAUCGUUCUUUGUCAAGGUUGUCUUCAAGCCUGUGAAGUAAUCAUCUUUGUCUCUCCCACAUAUAUACAUUAUUACUAAUUGAGACCGUUGGAGAUAAUUUUUGCCAUUUAAUUUGUAGUGAACAAAAUUCUCAAAACCACCAUUACUACCCAAAUUGACAAGAGUAGAAUCAGAGAUCACCUCCAAAAAUCUUGUUGGAUGUUCGCCAACCAUUGUAGUUUUCACCAUAUUUAAGUUUAGAUCUUAGGCUUUGAUACCAAAAUUUAGGUAACAUAAUAAUUGAUACUAAUUUGACUAUAUUAAAUGACUUGGAUGUUCCUAUUGCAUUUUGGAAAGGGGUUAGAUUGUGUACCACACAUCCCAUUGUUGAUUUUGUUUCCUCUCAAAGAUUAUCUCCACAAUUUCGAGCAUUUACUACUAAUCUUUCUAAAGGUGAUAUACCCAAGGAUGUUCAUGAGGCAUUACAACAACUAAAUUGGAAGACAGCUACACAUGAUGAGAUUAAAGCUCUUAGGAAAAAUGGAACCUAGGAAUAGACCAAAUUGCCUUUGGGAAAAUCUAUUGUAGGAUGCAAGUGGAUUUUCAAUGUGAAAUAUAAAUCUGAUGGGAAUAUUGAUAGAGACAAGGCAAGAUUGGUGGCUUUCAAUGUGAAAUAUAUGUCAAGGCAAGAUUGGUGGCUAAGGGGUUUGCGUGGGAUUUACGCAAAAGUAUGGAAUAGAUUAUUAGGAAACAUUUGCUCCAAUUGUGAAACUUAACAUUCUCUAAGUUCUACUCUCCAUUGCAAUCAACAAUGAUUGACCUCUUCAUCAAUUAGAUAUAAAAAAUGCAUUUCUAAAUGGUGAUCUCAAUGAAGAAGUUUACAUGGAAAUUCCACCAAGAUUCAAAGACGUUAAAAAAAGGAUCAAGUGUGCAAACAAUCACCUAGGGUUUGGUUUGAAUGUUUUAAUUCAAUUGUUAAGAAAGUUAGGUACAGUUAGGAACAAUCAGACCAGAUGAUGUUUUUUAAACAUUCAUUAGAUAGGAAGAUCAUCAUUCUUAUCAUCUAUGUUGAUAACAUAAUUCUUACAAUUGAUGAUGAAACAAAAAUGAUAAAUUUGAAAAACACCUUCUCUCGAGAAUUUGAAAUCAAGGACUUGGGAGCUCUUAGGUACUUCCUUGGCAUUGAGGUGGCUCGAAUUUCAAAGUGGAAUAUUAGUCUCUCAAUGGAAACAUGUCCUUGAUCUUCUGAAGGAAACUAGUAUGGUCAGAUGUAGACUAGUGGAAACACCUGCGGAGCAUAAUGGCAAGCUUAAUGAUGAAGAAGAAAGCCCUUUUAUUGACAAAGGUCAAUACCAGAGACCUGUUGGGAAGUUGAUCAUCUAUUUAUCCCAUAAUAGGCUAGACAUAGACUUUCCUAUUCAUGUGGUUAUUCAGUUCAUGCACAGUCCCAUUGAAGAACAUCUUAGUGUAGUUCACAUAAUUCUUCGAUACUUGAAAAUGACACUUGGAAAGGGGUUAUUUUUCUGGCUAAAGUAUUAGGAAAGGAAUCAAAGUAUAUUCUAACAUAAAUUGAGUAGAUUCCGUGAAUGAUAGAAGGUCCACCUCAAACUACUAUACCUACGUAUGGGAACUUGGUCACUUAGAGAUGUAAAAAGCAAUCCAUAGUAGCUCGAAGUAGUGGAGAAGCUAAGUUUCAGGCUAUUGCACUUGGUGUAUGUGAAGGACUAUGGCUAAAAUGUGUGAUGGAGGAGUUGAAGAUUUCAAAUGAGUUUUUGAUGAAAUUGUUUUGUGAUAAUCAAGUAGCCAUCAACAUCUCCCAUAAUCAGGUUCAUCAUGACAAAACCAAGCAUGUGGAAAUAAACUAACAUUCCAUUAAGAAGAAAGUUGACAAUGGAGAGUUUUUACUGUAGUACAUGCCUACCACUGCAAACAUUCUUACAAGAGCUCUACCAAGAUAACAUUUCAAUUCUCUUAUAAGCAAACUGGAAAUGAUCAAUAUUUAUUCCUUAGUUUGAGGAAUGUUGAAAUCGUGAGUUUUUUAGGAGUAUGAAUUUAAAACAAAACCAGAAGAUAAGGUUUGAUUGAGUCCUAUUAUUCUGGGUUGUCAAGUUUAGAUAAGUCUUAAUGUGUUUAAAUUUGAUUUUAUUUCUAGUUUGAAUUAGAGAGAUUAUCGAAUGAUAUUUUGCAGGUUGGUUAGUUGAUAAAUUUAGGGAUUCCUUCAUUUAUUUAAGCUUUGGAUGUAAACUAAAUUUUUUAAUAAAGUAUUAUCCAGUUUCUCUUCCAAAUUCACCUAUUGCAAGUGGAGACACCUACUCUAUUGGAUGUUAAAUAUUACCUACUUGUUUUCUCAUUAUUAGAUUCAUAUAAUUUGUUACUGCUUUUAUAAUGAUGAUAAUCACACAAACAUAUUUUUAGAUAUAUAGUUAAUAUGAUUCCACAUAAAUUAUGAUUCCACAUCCAUUUAUGAUAUACUUGUCGACUAUUUUAUGUUUACCUAUUAUUUUAAUUUUUUUAGAUGAAGAUGUUGGAUUAAAAGACCUCAAGUGGAGAGGUUUUGUAGUCACCUUAAAAAGACAAUAAGCAUGUCAGUUCAAGGCUCUGGCUAAUCAAUGUGUCAACUACUGCUAGAACAAUUUUUUAUUUUUUUUUAGUCCAUCUUUUGCUUAGAAUUUUCUACUAUUUACAAUUGAUAUUGUGGCUUUAGUUGUAUUCAAGGGGUUUUUUUUUUAAAUUUUUUUUUAUUUAUUUUUUAAAAAGUUAUGUUUGAUUUCUAGAAAGCAUUGAGAAAAGGAAAAGAAAUAUUGAAAAAAAAUUAUCAAAAAUGUUUGGAUUCUAUAAAAAGAGAUAAGGUUGCAAUUUGACCAAAUUGGGUGAAUUGGUCAGAACAAAAAGCCUAUAAUGGAAUCGGCAAGUUAUGUUUGAUUCCCAAAAUGUUUGAGGGAAAGAAAAUAGACAACAAAAUAUAAUGAAAGAGUUUAGGAAAAUUUAUAAUAUUUUUUUUUCUCGUUUGAAUGUUCAUGUUUUAUUAAAAAAAAAAUUAAAUUCUGAAGUAUCUAGAUCAUCAUGGUUGUAGCUUUGGUUAGAUGUAAAAUAUAUCAAAUAUCAAUAAAUGAGAACACUUACAUUUCCAUUUUCUUUAAGGCAGUUGUGGCCACAAAUGCAAGGGCCUUCAUGAAGCCACCAGAACCUGUCACUCAUAGACAAACAGCCAACAAAACAAACCAAAUAUUAGACAGUGAAUUUCGAAGGGCACAUGGAGUUGGAAAUUAGUAUUUCCCCACCCUGUUUUUAAGUAUGCAAAUGAGUUAGAAUACCCAUCUUAAGUGUUAGAAAUUGGAAUCUAAUGUCCAUAUGAGAAUACCUGAUCCAAACCUUAGGGGAGUCGGAUAAAUGAGUUAUACAUUCAGUGAUAUAUAUAGAUACACAAACAUCCCAAUAGAUGGCAGUAUAUCACCGCUAGUGCAAGUGUGCAUAUACCUUUUCCAGCAAAAGAGUAAAUAUUUUUUUAACAAAAACCAGCAACAUGUGCACAUGCUUUUUUCGAUUCAACCUGAAAAUCUGUGUAUCCUACUGGAUCAUUUAUGUCAAAGAAUAGAUCCAAAAUGCAAUGAAUUAGGCAAUGUACAUACCAGUUAUAAAUAAAGUGAAUAAAAUGGAGAUCACAUCUAUCUAUGGAAAGGAAAAAAAGACAUGAAAAAUAACCUAACCUGACUGUUGAGAAGGCUUUCUUUCUUGCCUCUCAGCUUCACCUGACUGUUGAGAAGGCUUUCUCUCUUGCCUCUCAGCUUCACCUGACUGUUGAGAAGGCUUUCUUUCUUGCCUCUCAGCAAGAAGCUGAUUCUCAAUUUCUUCUAUCUGAGUCGCCAAAUCUGCAUCACUUUUAAUGGGGACAAAUACAUUAUGCCACUGAGCAAGUCCAAAAUAUGAACUCAUCUUCAAUGUACUCCACCAGUCUUCCUCUCCUAUGAUCACCUUUAUACCAUGACAACAGACUUCCAUAUCAGACAGAGUUUCAAGGCGUGGACAGUUAUAGAAGCUCAUCCAUUCUAAUUUUGGUGCAAUGCGUAAACCACUUGAAAUGUUGACCAAUUUAGGCAUGUAAUGAAGUGAUAUCUUCCUCAAAUUAGGGAGAUAUGUUCUCAAGGGGAAUGGUCUAUGUUCAGCAGGAUCUUCAAGGGUCACUAUGCUGUUGAUUUCAGGGCACCAUUCAGCCACAAGCUCCUCUAAGCUGUUGAGAUUUUCAAGCAAACCCAAAGUAAAAAUGGUAGUCAGCUGUGGGCAUUCAUGCAAUGCCAAGGACUUUAGACUAGAUAGACAACCCCUCCAAACUGGUCCCUUCCAGAUGCUCACUAAAUUCUUCAUAUAAUGAAGCCUUAAGAAUUGUAGAGACCCAAGUAUAUUUUCUCCAUAAACAUCUCCAUCAUCUUCUUGUUGUUUACAAUUUUCUGCUUCAUCCACAAUGGUUUCAAUCUUGUAACAUUCCCCCAAUACACAAAAUUCUAGCUUCUUCAUAUUUCCAAUCCCAAAUUCAGAUAGCUUGGUGAGAGUUAAAUGGCGAUCCAGGAACAAAGCAGUGCAAUGCUGGAGUAACUCCUUGAUUUGACUUGGAAUGCCUUCACCAUUCACAUACUUCAGGCUCUUUUCCUGGAGUUCAAAUUUAACUGCAAGUUCAUGUGGCAGUCGAGAUAUAAUGCGGCUGUGAUGGCUGCCAACAACAAAUCUAAAGUGGACCAAUGACAGGUAUACCGACGAAGUUCCAUCCUUCAUAAAGUGAUCAAGUGGUGCAACACGUGGCACGUAAAGUUUUAGAGCCUCCAACUGUUCUAAGCUGCACACUUCCUGUACAAUAUCUUCAAUGGCCGCAUUCCAUCGUUCGUCAUCAGGGUUCACAUCUAUGCUUAAAUCUUGCAAUUGAAACAAUUCUUGUAUCACAUUCAGAGGAAUCGGUGUAGAUGACUGACUUUUUCUGUAUCCAUGAAAGGACAAUUUCAAGAAUUUUAACUUUUUUAGUCUUGAAACUUCUACAGGUAGUUUUAUAAUUUUAGUGCCUUCAAGAUUGAGCACCUCAAGAUUCCCGAGUUUUCCAACUUCAGGUGGCAGCUCCAUUAAAAGUUCACAGCCUCUUAAAAAGAAAAUUCGAAGUUCGAAUAACUUAAAGAGAGAUUGUGGUAAAGAUCUGAUUCUAGUGUAGGACAAGUCUAGAAUUUGGAGGACAGGCAAGCCUUCAAAGAACAUUGGAGGAAUAGCUCUCAAAUGGUGAUUGGACUGCAAAAACAACACUUUGAGUUGUGAGCCAUGAGGACUCGUUGGUAGCUCUGAAAGUUUAUUAUUCAUCAAAUGCAUCUCACUGGCCUUUUCCCAUGCCUCAUCUUUUGGUGGUUCAGUUAGUCCCCAUCCACCCAGCCUAAGAAAGGGUGAACAUGAUUCAAAUCUUAAGAAGUUUAAUAACUCCUCAUGAAUUUCGCUUCGCAUUCGGACAAAAUUAGAAUCUCCAUACUGAAAACUCUCUAACAAGAAGGCAUUGACAAGAUCCCCCACAAUCUGUUCACCUUCAUCAAAUGUUCCUACCAAGCCGCUUGUGAUCCACUCUUCAAUCAAAUGCACUUUAUCCAUCUGUCCCCAAUUCUCCAUGUCUACACAGUAUUGUAAAUACUUGUUUGUCGAACCUGAACGGCCCCACAUGAAUGCCAAUGCAUUAAAUAAGACUCUAUCUUUUGUCUGAGAUCUGUGCUGCAAUCCUAGUGUAUAAGAUGCAUAUUCCCAGAUCAAAACAUCAGUCACGUCUUUCAAAGCUCUUGCCAUUAUAACAACAGCGAGUAAAUGGCCACAACACUUUUCAACCACAUUUAUGGCGAGGCGUUGGAUCCCUGAAGAGUGCACAACUUCCCCAACAUUCACACAGAACAAUUCCCAUGAUAACAGAUGAUUCUCCAUCCUGAUCUCUACACCCACUGCUGUUACGUCAUCAACAUGCUGAGAAUUAGUUGUAUAAACUAUUUUUUGAAUUUUCUUUGAGUUCCACCAGUUGGUCCCCAUGUCAUAAAGAUUUACCCUUUCACCAACCUCAUGAAGAAGGAUGAAGAAGUUUGUGCCUUUCAGUGUUUCAUCUAAUUUCCGUUCUCCUGAUGUGGAGGGAAACAACUCCCCUUCAAUUGAAAAUCUAAUCUCUUCAAUGGUGGAACAUCUUGAGACAUCAACAUCAAUGACAUGAUCAAAUAUACAACAUUCCUGUAGUUCGCCCCACAAUUCUGAAAUAACUGUUUCUCCAUGGCUUCCUGAAAUCCCAAUCUUCCGAAUUUUAGGGUAUUCUAUGUGUUGUAAAAUUUCACGAAUAGCAAAGUCUACUGCCAAAUCAUAUAUUCUUUUUGGCGUAGGCAUUAUUUGGCCAUGCCUUUCUACAUAAAUCCCGCUGAAGCUCUUCGCAAUCACAACUUGGGGAAAUAGAGGUUCAAUUUCAUCCAUGUAACGAGUCAUCAGUGUACUGAUUCGAUUCUCUAACUUAAAAGCAUCAAUCUCUUUCUUUUUUGAAGGUGCUUCCAUUUCUCUCACCACAUCAUUGAUCUUCAAAAUGUCCUGAACCCACUUAUAUUGAUUCCGCUUGUAGCUUUCUUCGUUCACCAAGCUCAUAGGAGGAUAAGAUAUAAUAAGGCACACAAUAUCCUUCAUCCUGUUCAAUAUCUCAGCACUCUGCUUGAUUCUUUCGUGGACACUCCUGUCAUCUUCUAACCGUGUGGAAGGCCCAGUUAUAUUGAUUUUGCUUCUGCAGAAAUGGAAGGAAAAAACAUUAGAGUGAGUUCAACUAGAAAGCAAUUUCAGAGGACUAUUUGUAGUUAACCUCUUAUGAGUUGUGACAAGUAUGCACAAAUACAAGAUUGUUGAGAAAAAUCUCGAGCAAAACAUAGUGGUAAAAGAAAUAUAGAAGCCAUUUGCAGAUAAAAUGAUACCCUUAAGUGAUUUUUAUAAGAAUUGCUUUCAAAAAUUGACUUUCUCAUACGCCUCCAAGAUGAAUUCUUAAUCCAAUGUUUGCUUGGUGUAGGGCGCCUUGGUGAGAAGGACCUCAAAUCCUAGAGUAUACUAAAAAGAAGUGGGGCCAUUUAUUUUUUAACAGAAAAUUUCUUUAUAUUUUUGUUUCCAAAAGCUUGCUUUUGAGAAGAGAAAGUUUUGGUUUAUUUUGAGUGUUGUAUCAUAAUAAAUAUUAGGAAGUGGUGGUUGAUUAUAUUUUUUCGAGUUUCAAAAAGGAAUUAAGUGUUUAGGAAGCCUCACGGUUCAUUGGUUUUCUCAUAGGUUACAAGUUGUUGGGUCACUCAAAAAAUCUAUGAAAAUUGUUGAGUUAGUGGAAGCUUUAAUGCAAAUAAUAUUAGUUCAAGAACACAAAGAUAAAAAUAAUUGACAUAAAGAAACACAAGGUUUUAAUAUAGUUCGAACAAUCAUGCCUAUAUUUAGGGAUGAUAGAAUAAGAUACAAAUAUUGGGUUCCCAAAACAUCCCAUGUUUCCCCAUUCCUUGUAUCAAUAUCCUAAACCAUGAGUGAGUCUCUCACUCCAUUGAGUGUCAUCUAUUCUUCUUUACAUUUCUAUCCUCCUAUGGUUUUUACAAGCUCAUCUUCAUCUCAUGAUUUUUCUCCUCAUGACUUGAGAUAUUUAUAGAGAUAUUCCUAAUAGUUUUCCUUGUUCUAUAAGAAAAUCUAAUUUUUAAAGAAGAAAAAAAGUAGGUUUUGACUCACUAAUUUGAAAAAAAUAUAGAAAAAAACCUCAACUUUAUAAAUAAGUUUUAUAGUCAUUUAUUUAAAAAUAUUUUAAAAUACAUGCACUUUUUCAUAUCUUAAAUAAUUAUAUCCUAAAAUGACCCUAUUACUUGUGAUGUUAAUAACACCUAUUAACAAUUUUUUUAUUGUAAGAAUCAAUUUGACAUUAAUAAAAUAAGAAAUUUUAAAAAUUAAAAAUACAAUUAAAACUAAAAAAAUAAAAUUUAAAGCUAAAAAUAUGAAAAUAAAAUAUUAUGCAUCUUUAAUUUUUUUUUUGUUUUUAAUUGUAUUUAAUUAUUAUAUAUUUUAGUUUUAAUUAUUGAUGUCAACUAACAAAAUUUUUAUUCAAUUUUAUUAAAAAAAAUAUGAGAGGAUGAGAGGAUUUAUAUAAUAUAGGACAUAAAAUCAUUAUUAAUUAGGGGACUGGAAAGAUUAGAAAAAUUUUAUUUAUCACGAGGAUGUUGGAGAAUUUUUCCACAAUGAUUUGUAUCUCAUAUUAUAUAAUAAAAAAUUUAUAAUAUGUUUCAUUGUAAAACAUUUUUAUCAAAUUAAAAUGAUAAAUCAAUUUUGGAUAAUUUUAUUUAAUAUUAUCAAGUAAAAGGGUAUUUUAGGAAAUAAUUAUUUAACUUAUGAAAAAGUACAUGCAUUUUAAAAUAUUUUUAAUUGGAUGAAAAUAAAAUUGAUUUAAAAAAUUUGAGUUUCUUUUUUCUAUAUAUAUUUAAAUCAGUGAGUCAAAACCUAUUUUUUUCUCUAAAUAAUAUAUCAACUUAGAAAAUAUAUUAUACAAUAUUUUUUACGAAAUUGAAUAUAUACUAAUUAGGAAUCUGGGACACUUUCCAACAAUCUACAUACCUUGGAUCAAAUUUUAUUAAGUCAAUCUAUCAUCUUUUUAUGAUAGACACUUUUUUGUUUGUAUCACAUCCCGAUAUUUAAUCAACUCCACUUUCAACUAAAAUUCUUUUUGCCAUCAUGUUUUGUACUCUAUUCUCUUUGCCUUCUCCAAAAAUCUUCAACCCAAAACUCUUAUACCAAUUUAUUAUGUUAAUAAAGUUUUAAUGCAAACAAUGUUAGUCCAAAAAUAAAAUUGAUUUAAAAAAUUUGAGUUUCUUAUAUAUAUAUAUAUAUAAAUCGGUGAGUCAAAACCUAUUGUUUUUCUCUAAAUAAUAUAUCAACUUAGAAAAUAUACUAUACAAUAUUUUUUACGAAAUUGAAUAUAUACUAAUUAGGAAUUUGGGACACUUUCCAACCAUCUACACACCUUGGAUCAAAUUUCGUUAAGUCAAUCGAUCAUCUUUUUAUGAUAGACGCUUUUUUGUUUGUAUCACAUCCUGAUAUCUAAUCGACUCCACUUUCAACUAAAAUUCUUUUUGCCGUCAUGUUCUGUACUCUAUUCUCUUUGCCUUCUCCAAAAAUCUUCAACCCAAAACUCUUAUACCAAUUUAUUAUGUUAGUAAAAGUUUUAAUGCAAACAAUGUUAGUUAAAGAACACAAAGAUAAAAGCAAUAUCCCACACAAAGGAACACGAGGUUUUGAUGUGGUUCGGCCAACCAUACCUACAUUUAUGGAUAAAAAAGAAUCAUUCUACUGCAACAUAGAAAAUAUUACAAAGGAUAGAACCAUUCUACUACAUCAUAGAGAACAUUACAAAGGGCAUAACUAGAUACAAAUAUGAGGUUCUAAAACAUUUUAUGUUUCCUCACUUCUUGUAUCAAUACCCUAAACCAUAAGUCUCUCAUUCCAUUGGGUGUCUCUUAUUCUUUUUCACAUCCCUGUCCGCCUUCCUCACUCCAUUGAGUGUUUGUUAUUUUUCCUUAUAUCUCUAUCCACCUUAUAUAGUCUUUAAAAGCUCAUCUUCAUCUCAUAAUUUUUUCCCUCAUAACCUAGAAUAUUUAUAAAGUCAUUCCUAACAACUUUCUUUAUUUUAUAAGGAAAUUUAAUAUCACAAUAAUAUAUCAACUUAGAAAAUAUUCUAUAUAAUAUUCUUUACAAAAAGGAAUCAAUAUUAAUUAGGGACUUGAGACACUUUCUAACAAAAAUCAAUGUAAUGGUGUGAGUAUUUAUCCAAAUAAGCUAGUGUUAUUUUUACAACGCAUGGGAUCGAAUGGAGACUAAGUGUGUUUGGGAGUGUGUCUAUUUGAACUCUUUUUAGUUAAAAUACUUUUACUAAAAUGUUUUUAAGAUAAUUACUUAUCAAGUGCUUCUUUUAAAAACACAAUAAGUGAUUUUUCAACUUUUAAAAUUUUUUCAAACAACAGAUUUUUUUUCCAAAAGUACUUUUUAUGCUAGAAGUAUUCUAAAAAAGACAAGGAAUAAAAUAUUAAUGAAAAGUGGAGGAAAAUAUUAAAAGAUUUUAGUUUCCAUGUAUGUAUAUUUUUUAACAAUUUAAUUUUCUUUUCCUCAUUUUUUUCCGUGGAUAACAAAAAAAAAAAGAGGUUAUUUGAUUAAAAGGGAUCAAAUUAUCCACACUUUGUAAAACUAACCCUUCACCUUUUUUUCAACCUAAAAAUACUUAUUUUGGACAAAAAUACCCUCAUUUUUUUCUUACAAAAAUAACAUUUUUUAAAAACACACAUGUAAAUAAUAGAAGCAUUGAAGCACAUUUAUAUCAAAAUUGGGUUACAAUUCAAGUUAAAAAAAUGGGAGAAGUUAGUUUUAUUUUAUUUUUUUCUCUUUUUUUUUUUUUUUUCCCAACCGACCCUUUUUUUCCUAUAUUUUUAUCUUCAUUUUCAUCUCUACCCACCCAACCCCCCAUCCCACCUAAACUUUGUUUUUUUUUUCUUUUCAUUUCUUUUAUUUUUUUCACACUCAAUUGUUUUUCAUAUUCUUCUUAUAUGUUAAAACAAAAUAAUUUCUUUACAUAAUAAAUUAUAAAAUGAUUUUUUCACCAAAAGUAUAUUAUGUAAAAUGAUUUUAUUAUAUUCAAUGAUUUAAAUAUAUAUAUUUCUUUAUUAAAAAAAAUGAAAGUUAUAAAUCUUACCUGAAAAUUGUCAUCAAAUGAUUGAAUUUCAUUAUUCAUUGUAUUUUGUAUGUGAUUCACAGCCUUAAUCAACCAGAAUUUAGGUUCAAUAUGUUGAGAGGAGAUUAGAAAGAGUUCUUUAUUAAAAAGGGUAUAUGUGGAAAAAAUAUAUGAUAAAAAAGUGUUACGUUUAGCAAAAGGGAUGUUGCGAAUAGCAACCCCUAAAAAAUUAUAACUUUUCUUUCUUUCCUUUUUUUCCUCCCUAUUCUCUUUCAAUCUGUUUCCAACCAUCAAACAUAGCCCAAUGAUUCUAUAUUUUGUCAAUACUCUUGUUCACGUUUUCUUAAUAGUUUUGUUAUUACUAAAUACCACCUUGCUUCAAAAUUUAUGAUUUUAUAUAUGUUUACGUCUAUAUGAGUUCCCUUAUAAAGAAAAGAAACUCUUAUUGUUAAUUCAUGCCAAUUUUACCUUCAUCCAAUGCACCAAUUUAUUAUUCUAUCUUUACAUGUUUCAUAUCAUUUAUUAAUAAAGAAAAAAAUAUAUUUAAAUUAUGAAAAAAAAAUAAAAAAUAAAAAAAUAAAUAAGCAAAGAAAAAUAAUCAUAUUGAAUGGGAAAAAAAAAUCAAGGAAUGAAAACAAGUUUAUUUAAUAAAAAAUAAAAUAAUUAAAAAUGUUUUUUUUUUUUUUUUUAACUUCAAUUUCCUCCAACAUAUCCUAAAAAUGAAGGUAAAAAAUUAGGGAAAAAUGAGUUUUGACUCACCAAUUUGAAAAAUAUAGAAAAAGAAGCCAACUUUUAUAAAUCAAUUUUAUCUUCAUCUAUUUAAAAUUAUUUUAAAAUACAUGCACUUUUUGACAUAAUUAUUUCCUAAAAUUUUACUUAUGGGAUAAUUGUGUUUUGGGCCCAAUUGGAUCCAAAAAUUAAGGUUUGGUCCAUAUAACUUACACAAUUGAUGGAAAUGAUAUAAGAUAUCAAAAGACCAAAAUAUCCAUUGACCUUUCACAUAAGCUUUUUUGGUCUUUAUUGCACCACUAUUCAUACAACCAUAAUAAUUAUAUUUUAACCAUUUGAAAUUUUCAUUGUUUUUUAAAACUUUUUUUUAUAUAAAUAAUUGAAAAUCAACAUUAUUUUCUAUUUUAAAUUAUAAAUAAAGAAAAAUUAUGUUCAAAAACUAUUUUAAAAAAUGCUUUCUAAAAAAAUGGUAAUAUGAUUUAUAUUUUUUAUAUUUUCUUUUUGAAAAAACAUUUAAUUAAAAAAUGAAAACUAUUUUUAAAAAUAAAAAUUGAAAACCUUGUUUAGUACUAAUUUUUAUAUGAAAAUAAUAAAAAGAAUUAAAUUUCAUUCAUUGAUUAUCUAUUAAAUUUUGUAUGAAAUUUUUUUAUCCUUGCUUAUAAUAAGAGUAAAAAGAUUCAAUAUCUUUAAAAAAGAAAAAAAAAAUUAGAAAUAAGUAAUACUUAAUAGGGAAUGGAAAAGGGAAAAAACACAAAAAAAAAAAAAAAAAAAAUAGAAAUUUACACUUACUAUAUGCCUAUAUAGGGGUUAAGGGUAUUUUAGAGAUUAAUGAAAGAUAAUAUCUUUCAACUUAAUUUUUACACUUUAGUUGGGUCUUGGGCUUAAAUAUGCAUGAUAUAUGGAUUUUUGGUCAAUUUUGAGCCUCAUCUCACCUCAAAACACAAUUCUCUCUUUACUUAUUAGGUUAAUCCAAUUAACAAUUUUUUUUUUACUGUGAAAAUUGAUUUGAGGUUUAUAAAAUAAGAAAUUUUAAAAAAUUAAAAAUACAAUUAAAACUAAAAAAAACUUUAAAGAUAAAAAUGUAAAAAUAAAAUAUUAACUUUCACUUCAUUAAAUCACAUUAGUAAAAAAAUAUAGAUUUCACAAAAGAGUUGAGAAUAUUUUAUUGUUGAUGUCAACUAUUAAUAAGAGAAUUAAAAAGAUUUUAUUUAUCACUUUAUGAUCCUAGAGAUUUUUUUCAAAAUGACUUGUAUUUUAUAUUAUAUUAUAAAAAAAUUAUAAUAUAUUUAUUUGUAAGAUGUUCUUAUUAAAUUAAAAUGAUAAAUUUUUUUUUUUGAUAAUUUUAUUUAAUAUUAUCAAGUAAAAAGGUAUUUCAGAAAAUAAUUAUGACUUAUGAAAAAAUACAUGUAUUUUAAAAUAUUUUUAAAUGAAUAAAGAUAAAAACUGAUUUAUAAAAGUUAGAGGUUACUUUUUCUAUAUUUUUUCAAAUUAUACCCUAAAAAAUUUGUUGAUAAUAAGAAUAUUUUUUUAAAAAAAAAAGAAAAUUAAAAUAAAAGAAAUCUUUAAAGGUAAAGAAAUCUUGGAAAGAAAAAAAAAAUGCACUUCAAGUAAUUUAAAUGACACUUUAAAAAAAUAAAAGAAAGAAGAAAAGAAAUAAAAUUUAUUUAAACAUACUUCUUAUUGAUGGAUGAUGAAAGUAGAUGAAAAUUUUUUAUUAUUCUACCCAAACACAAUAAAAAAAAGAAGUGAUGAGUACCUAAGAAAAUAUGACAAAAUGAAAAUAAUUUUCAUUUUUCUCUAACAUGAUAAAAGAUAUAAAUAGAUUAGUUAAUUUUGGAUGGUUAACACUCCCUCACUAAUCUCCAACUAAAAAGGAUAGUAAUAAUAAUAAUAAGAAAAAUAUUAUUAUUAUUGUUGAGAAAACAAAAACUAUGCCUAGUUAAGAAAAACACCCAAAAGGGGGGGGGGGGAGGGGGUGAAUUGGGUUUUUAAAAUCUUUUCAAUCACAACAAAUUCAAACACAAUAUAAGCAAAGUAAAGAGAUAGAGUUUAGAGAAAUCAAACUCGGGUUUAUAGUGGUUCAACAUUUCCUUGCCUACGUCCACUCUCUUCAACCUCUUAACCGAGUGAGGGUUCCACUAACUUGAAACUUCAACCAAGCUUCCAAUCUUCUUACACUUGGAUUCCGACUCCAAUGGGCUCUUACACAACCUCUUCAAGAUUCAAACCUCUUGAAGACUUUAAUACUCAGAUUUUUACAAGAUAUAAUCCCUCAACCUAGCUUAAGGAUAGCUCAAAUACAAGACAAAGUUAGGAUGACACAUAAGAGUGCACUAAAGGAUAUGCAAGUGGUGAUUUAAUGCACUAAGAAAGAAAUGAGAGCUUUUUGAUUAAGAAUAGGUAGGCAGACUAUUGAAUGCAAGUGUUCUCUUCUUAAUAAAUGAAGUGGAGCUCUCAAUUUAUAGGUUUCUAAGCUCGGGAGUCAAAAACAACAAAAGGUAACCUCGUUCGGUCGAGCUAGGGGUUGACCGGUUCACUAGCCGUUGGAGCAUUUAAUGCAUGACAGGGUACCCGUUGCCUCAAUCGGACCUCGAUCGGUCCUCGACCGGUAAGAGAAUCACCUCGAUCGGGAAGAGAAGGCUACUGGGGGAGAGAGAAAGUUUUUGGCCUCCCUUGACCGGUCCUCAAUCGGACGAGCACAACCGGUCGACCGGUUCCUCAACCGAUUGAGCCGGUUGGCCAUAACCUCGACCGGUUGAGCCUUUUUAGCCUCGAAAACCUAUUUUUUGAUUCUUUUCUUUUCUAACACUUAGGCAAGGUCUUUAAGUAAAUUAUUAAGCCAAUUAUAGAACAUUUUUCCUAAGGUACAUUAGUUAAAAACUCGGGUUUUAAUGAAAUCUAAGUUUUAAAGAAUAAACCGAGUUUUCUAAGAUGCAUGAAACGUGUGAAAAUCCUAUGUGCACUCAUGCAUUCAUCUUACAUUAAUUUCCUAUGAUCACAAGUCUUCCAAGCGUCUCGAUCUUGUAUCCAUUUGGUCAUUUGAUGAAUUUUCGAGUUUAUACCUAAGAUUCUUAAUCAUUAAACCAAUUAGUCACUUAACCAUGGUUUGUUAUCAUCAAAACCUGAUUAGGAGAACCCUUGGGCUAACAAUUAUUAUUAUCUUAUUGGUAAAACCUUCAAAAGAAGAAAAGUUGCUAAAAUCAAGGAACUAAAUCCUUUGAAUUAAGCAACUAAAAUUCAGAAUUCAAAAUUCAAAUAUUUUAUCUUGUGACUUCUUUCAACAAAAGGGAUGGGAAGAAAUUCAAAAAUAAGAAAAAAUUGGAGAAAAAGUUUUAGCUUUCUAACUAUUUAAAAUUAUUACAUUUAUAAAUUUUAAAUUGAUUAACUAGGUUAUAAUUAUAAUAACAAGUUUAAUACAUUAAAAUUGUGUUAAUCGAUUGAAAUCAUGUUAACAACUAAAUGGAUUAGAAUCGUGUUAAUGAGUUUAUGAGUUAUUCAUGUCAAUUCAUACAUAAUCCAUAUUUGACUUAUUUGUUAAAUGGAUAGUGUUUUGUUGCAUGUAAAAAAAAUUGAUCAUGUUCGUGUCAAGUCAUUCAGAUAUGAUUUAUGUGGUAUCCAAAUUAAAUAAAUUUUUGCUAUUUUUUUAGUUUAGUACAACAUGAAUUUUGACUCAUUCGCCCAUAAGAGACUCUCUCUCUCACAGAGUUAUUUAAUUAAAAUGGAUGAAAUAAUCCUCAUUUGAAAUAGACUUAAAAAUAUAUAUUUAUAAAAAUACCCACAUAUUUUUCUUAUAAAAAUAAUAUUUUCUUUUAAAAUUUACAUAUAAAUAACUAAAAUAUGGAAUGAGAUUUAUGUCAAAAAUGGAUUGAUUAAGGAGAGGGGGUUAAUAUAUGUAAAGUUAUUUGAUUAAACGUUUGUGUUUUUUAAAAUAGAGAAUACUUUAGAAAAAAAAACAUGGAAAACAUGUUUCACAAUCAGAAAAAUAGAAAACAAUUUCUUAUUCUACAAAAAAAAAUUCAUAGAAUAUCUUUUAAUUGUUUGUAUUUAUUUUGGCUUACUUUUUUAAGGUUAUUUUAAAAAAUAAUUAUACAAAUAUGAAAAAUAAAAAACUGCAUAUAAAAUUAUUUUUAAAACAUAUUUAAAAAAAAAAAACAUGUUAAAAAUAUUUUAAAUUCUUAAACAAAAAUUUGUUCUACAAAACAUUUGGGAAUUGUAUUCAAAAACUAUUUUGAAAAACAAUUACCAACGUAACAUUAACUCUUCAUUUUUUUUAAUUUUUUUUGACAAAAAUAACCUCACUUUUAUUUUUAUAAUAUAUUAAAGAUGAAAUUAAUUUAGAUGAAAUACUUUUCAAUUAAAAACAUAUUAAAAACAUUGGAUGAGUAGAGGAAAAUUCUUACCGAAUCAAAUUUUGAGAGUGGGCAAACAAUGCUCUCAAUGCCUUUGCCUUCCUACCAAAUUGAGCCUUCUUAUCCAACUCCUUCAACCACUUCAUCACCCUCUUCCGAUGUUUCAUACUGAGUCACAGUUUACAAAUGAAUUUACAUGUGAAUAAAUUUGAAAAGGAAAAAUUUUAAGUUUUUGAUUUUUGAGCUUUUUGUAGAAAACAACUUAUAUUCAAAUUUCAAAAUGUUUAUUUAUUUUAUUUUUUACAUCUCACUUUAAAUAUAUAUAUAUAUAUAUAUAUAUAUAUAUAUAUAUAUAUAUAUUUAAAGUCUAUAUCUAGAUACUUAUAAUGGUGAAGACAUUUAUGUUAAAGAUGAAUUACUUUUCAAUAAAAAAAAACAUCAAUAAAAAACAUUGAAUGAGUAAAGGAGAAUUCUUACUAAAUCAAAAUUUGAGAGUGAGCACAUGAUGCUCCUGAUGCCUCAGCCUUCACAUCAAAUUGAGCCUUCUUAUCCAACCGCUUCAUCACCCUCUUCCAAAGAUUCAUUCUGAGUCAUAGUUUUCAAAUGAAUUUACAUGUGAAUAAAUUUGAAAAAAUAAAAUAUUUAAGUGUUUGUUUUUUUUUUUUUUUAAAACUUUUUAUUGAAAAUAAUUUACUUUCAAAUUUCAAAUAUUUGAUUUUUUUGUUUUUUUAUCAACUUAUUACUUAGUUUUUACAUUCUUGAUUGAAAAUUAAAAACCAAAUUAUUUGACUUGUUUGAGUACUAAAAAUAACUUGUUGGUUUUUUUUUUUUUUAAUUUCUUAGUACUUAAUAAAAAUAAAAUACUAAAAAUAAAAAACAACUUAAUAUCUCACAUUAUUAAAUAUUAUUUAGUUUUAAAUUUCAUUUAGAAUUAAGUAAAAAAAAAAAAAAAACCAAACACAACCUUAGACUAUGUUCGAUUGAUGAAGGAAAAUGCGGGAAGAAAAAAAAAAAAAGUGAAAGAGAACAAAAAAUAAUAUACUUCUACCUAAUUUAACUUGCUUUAACCGAUUAAAUUAUCUAAGUUACAAACCUAUUUUAAUUACAUGAUAAAAUCAUUAUUUUUUAACAUUUUUUUUUUCUAAGGAACCAAACCUACGUGGCCUCAGAACAGGGAAUCACUUACGGAUCGGGGUCCCCUUCGGAAGACAACGGCCACCGCCGUAGGAACCUCUGCGAGUCCUCACCCAGAUCAUUUCUAAAUCUCACACUAUGUGAAGACAACGGCCGCCUCCAAGGCAACUUCAGCCACUUCCAACGCUGAUGAAGCUGCUCCUCCGGAUCGUUACUAAAUCCCAGAGUGUCGGAAUGGGAAUGGGAAUCCGAAUCUGAAUUCAUAUCCCAUUCCCAAUCCGAAUCUGAAUCUGGAUCUAUAGCUUUUCCCAGUUGACUCGUACCCUCCACUGCCAAGUUUUGGCUGCUGCUCUGCUUCGGCUCCAUCCCUCAGUCGGUUAGGUAGCUAUGAAUUUCCAUCACCACGUUUAGCUGAUUUUUCACCUGCAUCAACUGAAAAACUGGUUGGUCUUUGAAGGCACAUUUGGUUCCGUAGAAGUCAACACCGGACGCCUUCCUCCUCUACUCUAGAGAGGGUCCAAAUUAUAUAAUAUAAUAUCAGGGUGAUUUGAUUACAACCAUGUUUUUACUCUUUCUACCCGCCUAUUGAACAAAAAGUGUGGAGCCGUUUCCUAAUAUUCCCUUUUUAUUUAUGAAAAUUUAAUUUUUUUUAAAAGUUAAGAGUUAGUUUAUUUUUAAAAGAAAAAAUAAAAUAAAAAAUAAAUCUAACGCGACUCCUUAUGUAUUCAAAAGACAUGUUUACAAAAACCAACUCCAUUCGAGAUUGGAUUAUCUAUCGGAAAAGUACGAUGAUAUACACCCCUCUUCUAUAACUAUGAUCUCUACUAAAUGAAUGAAAGGAAAUAUGAAAUUUAAUAAUUAAUUAAUCAUAGAUACCGAGAAUGAUACAUACAAGUCAUGGUAAAAAUAAAAUUACAAAAAUAGAUAAAAUAAAUAAGAAAAAAGAAAGACACAAAUUGAUUUAUUAGGUUAAUUAGAAAAAAUAUUUUAUUAUUUCAAAUGGUACGACAUGAUUUUAAGAAAAAUUGAAAGAAUUUAUUUGCAUUCAAAAUUUUUUUUUGAGUUGAUGAUGUCAAUUUAUUUAUUUAGGAAAAUUUUCAAUUUAUUUUCAAUAAGUGAUUUGAUUUAAUUUAAUUUAUAUUCAAUUCUCACGAAAGUUAUUUACACAUAUUUUAUCAAAAGAAUUAAGAAAAUUCAAUUUGACAAUAAAGAUAAUUUUUACUUGCUUUUACUGGAAAAAAAAAUCAAUAAGAGAUUUUGAUCUAUGGGUGAGACCCUAAAGUGAUUAUAUAUUCUUAUGAAUUAGGUUACUAUUGAUGGAGAUUGGUGAUAAUAAGUAUUCUUAAUAGAGACACCAUAAUAUCCCAUGGGUUGAGACAAUAUGUCUCUUUUGGUGAUCCAAAGGACAUGUGAUCAUGAAAUUUGUAGCUACAAUAAUUCCUUUAGUGAAAUUUGACAUAUGCUCCUUAGAGCUAAAGCAUGUUAGUUGAUCACAUAAUAAGCGAGAUCUGUAACUCAAGAAUUUGAGAUAUAAUCUUAAUAGGUGAUAACAUUACCUUGUUAGAUUAUAAACAUUAAUUCAUAAGGAGUUUGCAUGUAAUGGAUAGUACGUUAUGGACCCGAGCUUCAUUUUGUUAUUAUUUAGAUAGGGUACUGGAGUAUAGUUGAUUCUCUUUAAUGAAAUGCUUAAUUAACUUCAUAAUUGGAUUCUCAGGGAGUCAGUACUCCUAUGGGUUCUAAUAGACCCCCACUCUGAGCUCAUAUACCAUAAUGACAUAGGAGAAAAUGAACAAAGUCUCUGAAUUGGGCUAAUUGAUUAAUUAGAUGAUCUUAUGUAGUUAAUUAAUUAGUUACGACUCAUUUUAGGCUAGAUUAAGUGACACAAGCCUUGAUGGGCUCAAAUCAAUUAAGCCUAGUGGACAACCCUAUAAAUCAACCCCUUAAAGGUUUAGUUUCCUAAUGACUUCAGUUAAUUGUCUUCUACUUCCAGAGAGAGAGAGAGCCAAAGCUUCUUCCCUUCCAUUGCCCACACUUUAUAGUGCUAAGAUCAUGGUUCGAGUCAUCGGGAGGAAGAUCUUGGGUAUGCAAGAUCUCCUGACUAUUUAGACAUGUUCUUCAUCACAAGGAAUUAAUAUGGGAACAUCUAGAUCCCAGUAUGAGGUUCAUAUCUCUAGAUCUUUAUUCUAAAAUGGUUUUAAAUCCAUUUUAUUCCAUUGCGAUAGAUUUAGAGAUGCCUAGGGAUAGCUGCAUGCAUCUUACUAGAUCCAAGGCAUCAAAACGGAGUAAUCCAAGGUUCUUAACAGUAUGGUCUUGUGAUGCAAAAUCUGGAUGUAUGAUAGAAACUCUAGAGUUAUAAAGGUGUCCAUUGUGAGAUGACUACAAAUGGGACUAAAGAAUUUCUAUUAAUAAUCUAGAAAAUGAAAGAGGUGUGAAGAAUGACACUAUCACACGAUCAAUAUUCCAUCUUUAACUAGAUAUGAUGAAAAAAACCUGGAUCUCUCUCUAUUUCCCAAUCAUAAAUCAAGUUAGGAACAUGCAAAACUAUCCUAGACUUUUCUAAAUCCUAUCGAUAACUGAAAAAAAAAAAAAAUUUUUAAACUUUAUACAAAGUUAGAAUAUGCUAAUGAAAACCAUAGCUAAGAUUUAGAUGUUUCCAAAUUGAUUCAACCCAAUAAAGACAAUGAACGAAGUCAUUGGAAGUCUCGUAAACAUGAAGUCCUCUGCCCAAUGACUUGAAUCUUGAUUUUGACACACUUCUAGUGAGGAUGGAAGCUAUGGCCCUUUAGAAAAAACCUAUCGAAACUCUAACCCUAAGGAGGUAUUUAUAGGGUUCCCCACUAGGCUUAAGUGACUUAAGCUCACUAAGAAUUUAGGUCACUUAAUCUAGCCUAAAAAGAGUCUUAAUUGAUUAAUUAACCCAAUAAGGCCUACUAAUUAAUCAAUUAGCUCAAUCUAGAUACUUUAUUCACUUAUCCCUAUGCAACUUUAUAUAAUUACCAAAAUGCCUUUAUGUACAAAAAUGAAUCUAGAAUUAAUGCGACCCCUAUUUAACUUUGUAAUCUCAUGAGAAAUAAUGAAGACGUUGUGUCUACAUUGUUAGAUGAUUUGAUUGUAAUAUCUCAUACAGAAUAGGAAACGGAAAUUUUGGUACUAUAUAUAUAUUGGACUCCUUUUAACUAUGUAGAUGACUUUUAACUUGAAGACUCAUUGGGUUUAAUAUAAACAACAUUUAUAUAGUAAAAAUAUGAUAAAUGAAUGUUCGAUAAAUUAAUAACCUCACUUAAAUAAUAAAAUCUUCUUCUGAUCCCAACUCGAGUCAUAUACCAAAUUAAUUAAUAACCUUGCUAAAUACAUAAGGUAAUAAUAUUUUUAGAAAUCCUUAAAAGCCCAAAAAUCUCAUGUUACAUAAUUUAUUGCUAACUCUCAAAUUUCUAUUCCAAGACUUUGGUCUUUUAUUUAUUUAUUUUGGGAUAGAUAAGAUAUAACAAGGUAAAAAUAUUUUAAAAAAAUUAUGAUUAAGUUCUACUUUAUUUAUUUUUAAUGCAAAAGGCCAAAAUACAUUUUAUUUAAUAUAAGGAGAUUAGUUACCAAAAAUUACAUUUAUAAUCUUUUAUUAAAUAAUUAAAAACGAUUUUAUAAAAAUAAAAUGCCACAUAAACAAAUAAAUUAUCAAGAAUUAAUUAAUCUACCGAUAUUAUUUAUAAAGUCCUCUCCCCAUCCUCUUCUCAAAAACUAUAUGCCAUUGAUGUGUCUUCACAAAACCAUAUUCUAUUGAUAUGUCUUCAUCCUAAUUUCCAAUUUCCAAUCUUCAAACCUACCUUCACUUUUAUAACAUUUCUUUAUCUCUUUUGAGUAACAUUUUUACAUCAAAAUCAACUAAUUUUUGCUAUUUUAUGAAUGUUACUUUUGUGGGUACUUUAAUUCAUAUAUUUUUAAAAGUAUUUAUUUAUUUUUAUUUGAUUUGGUUUCUGAUCGUGACUAGUGUUGAAAAACUAAAAUGAUGUGGGGAGCUCUUUCUUGUCCACAUGCAUAUGGAUUAGAAUUGUGUAGUGACAUCCUCAACCAUAAUAACUUUGGGCAAAAAGAAAAGGUAUUGGUACUCACAUGUAUUUUCUAAAUGAUAAUUUAGUGCCAAAAGGGUAAUGGUGAUGCAUGUGAUUAGAAUUGUGUAGUGACAUCCUCAACCAUAAUAACUUUGGGCAAAAAGAAAAGGUAUUGGUACUCACAUGUAUUUUCUAAAUGAUAAUUUAGUGCCAAAAGGGUAAUGGUGGUCAUUAUACAUAUGCAUAUGAUAUUUUAAGGUAGUAUAUCUAAUGAGAUAUAUUAUAUUAUAUUAUAUUUUUAUUUAAUUUGUGAAAUGAAUAAAAAAAAUAUAUAUAUUAUUUUUAAUAUUUAAAAUAAAAAUUAUAUUUCAUUCCAAUAUUUUCUGUUUAAAAAUAAAUAAAAUUUCUCUUAUAUUUAACAAUAUUCAUGUAUAAAAUAUUUAAAUUUUAUAAAUAAUUUUUUUAUAUUAUGUUAUCUAAUAUAUAAAAAUAAUUUAUAGAUCAAAUAUUAAUAUUAUUUUAUUUUAUAAAUAAUUUUUAGUUUUUUUUUAAUCAUAAAUUUAAUUUAUAAUAAAAAAAAUUAUCUUGGAAAAUGAGUAUAUGAAAAAAAAAAAAAACAUUGAUAAAAAAAAAUAUUUAUGAUAUAUGAGACAUGCAUAUCUCAUAUCUUAGCAUGAGAUGAGAUUAUCAUAUUCCAUGUAGAAAGAAUAAUAAUAAAAAAAAAUGGAUAAUAUAUCUCAUUAUUUAUCAUAUCCUAUAUUUAGUUAAACAUAUGAUAAGAUAAGUAAGAAAAUAACUUAUCUUAUCUCAUCACCAACCAAAUAUGAGAAAUGAUAUAAUAUCUAUCUUUUAUCCUAUCAAUGCAUCCAACCAAACAUGGUCUAAACAAAAAUAAAAUAAAACGACAAAAAUAUCAAUAAAUAAAAAAUAAAAAAUAUAAUAUUACUAGCCCUAUAUCAUUAAUUCAUAUAAAAAAAUUCACACUUGACAAGUUCCCACCUUGGUUUUUGAGAUGGGGGAAAUUACCCCACCAAUUCAAAAAAUAAAAAAUAAAACUCAAAACAAAAGUUACACGAAUGAGUUUUAUGCGUACAACAAUAGACAAUUUUUUUUUAAUUUAUAAAAGUAUUAAGAUAAGAUUAUUUUAAAAGAAUAAUAAUUAGAGGGUAUUUAAUAAAUCAAUUUAAUGACUUAAUAUAAUUUAAAGAUUUAAUAUAAAUAAUUAAUGGAUUAAAAAUAUUUGGUAAAAUAACUUAAUAUUAAAACUUGAAUAACUUCGAGUAUUAAAUUGAAAUAAUUAAGUUAUUAUGAAGCCUAUUUUUUUUUUGGUCAUUGUUUUAAAUACCACAUUUAUAACCCAUUUUUUAAAGUAAAUAUUUUGCAAUUAUUUUGUACAUUUAUAAGAGUUUUAAUAUGAAUGUUUAAUAAACAAGUUCAUUGCUAUAUAUCAAUGAUAUUAAAUAUUAGUAAAAGUUAAUAAUAAUUAGUUAAAUUAGUGAGAAUUAGUAUGAUCUAUUGGUUUCUUAUUUUUCUUCAAUACUCUCUCAAUCUUUUUUAAGAAUGGAAUGUAUUUUAAUUUUUUGAAUUAAAAAAAAAAAAGUAGUGACAUUUCUAUUACAUUGUAUUUGUAUCUCGGUUUUUCUCUUUUAUUCGUCCACGUGUUAUCUUGUUGUAUUUGAAGAAAUUUUUUUUCCUUUUUAUUCCUAUUGUUUGUGCCAUUUGUCCAUGUGUAUCCUAUUUGAUGAUUUUUUAUUUUAUUUUUAUUGUGCCGUUCUAUGUGGGCGAUCUUGUCCUUUGAUGAUUUUAUUUUAUUUUUAUUGUGUCAUUCUAUGUGUGCAAUCUUAUCGUAUUUAAUGAUUUAUUUUAUUUUAUUUUUAUUGUGUUGUCUUAUGUAUACAAUCUUGUCCUAUUUAACAAUUUAUCGUGUCAUGUUGUGUGUGCAAUCUUAUUGUAUUUGAUGAUUUAUUUUAUUUUUAUAAUGCCGUCCCAAUCUUGUCCUACUUGAUAAUUUUAUUUUAUUUUUAUUAUGUCAUUUUAUGUGUGCAAUAUUAUCGUAUUUGAUGAUUUAUUUUAUUUUAUUUUUAUUAUGCCAUUCAAUCUUGUCCUAUAUGAUGAUUUUAGUUUAUUUUUAUUGUGUCAUUCUAUGUGUUCAAUCUUAUCACAUUUGAUGAUUUAUUUUAUUUUUAUUGUGCCGUCCUAUGUACGCAAUCUUGUCCGAUUUGAUGAUUCUUUUUAAAUUUAUUUUUAUUGUGUUGUCCUAUUUAAUAAUUUUAUUUUUAUUUUUUAUUUUGAUUGUGCAGUUCUAUGUGUGCAAUCUUGUCCUAUUUGAUGAUUCUUUUUCGUUUUUUCAACCUUCUAUUACUUAUAAAACCCACAUGUUCCACUAGAUGAUUUGAUCCUAUCUCUUAAAGUUUAUUAUUGUUUUAUAUAUAUACACCUAAGCCUGUUGCUACGGCUGGAUGGUGUUCAAACUUCACACCCUACAUGUAUGAUAUAUGGAUGAUUCCUUUCACACCCAAUAACAGAUUUUAAUAUACAACUAUGCCUGUUGCUACAGCUGGAUGGUGUUCACACCCUAUAUACGACAUAUGGAUUCUGGCCCACUUGAUUAUCUCUCCAACUCUCACAUUAUCAUUUAAGAGUUGGUGCUGCUAUGACUGGGUAAUAUAUGUAAAAUAUGGUUUUUUAAUCCCACAAAUGAAUGGGUGCUGCUAUAGUGGAUGGUUGUUUCCACCCUAACCCACAUGCAUGGCUUGUUUGAUGAUGUGUUACCCACUCUCAAAUUUUAUUUAUUUUUCUAAUUGUUUUCUUCAUUUUGUUUAAGGCAACAUAUGGAUUAUGGCUGUUUGUUCGGCUGGAUUGUUGUUAUCACACACAAAAAUAUAAUAAAUAAUGAUUCAUUAUUAUUAAAUUUUGAGAGAUUCACCUAGCCCUUUUGUUGUCUCGGUCAGAUCUCCCUUCCAACCUUUGACCGCCAUGGAAUGGAACUAAUUUGAGACACUCUCUUCACACCAUGGAAGUCAACUCAAGCCUCAAUUAAUCGUCAAGCUCUUCUUUCUUGGUGAUCUGAACAGCAGGAUCAAUAUAGGAAUCUGAUGUUUUUCCCAAGCCUCUUUCCCUGAAUUUGGAUUCUCAUCAGCAUCUCAUCUCUCUCCGUCUCCGUUUCUUCAAUCAGGUUCAUUCUAUUACUUCAACAUGAUUUUUUCCCUCUCUAUAAGUAGUUUGCUUGUUUGAAUAUUUCCAAUCGAAAGGUUUAUUUGUUUGAUAAGAUAGUGUUGGUAAAGGUUACUUUCUAAGUAGGAAGCUGACAUGUUAAGGAAUAUGCUUUACAAAAUUUUUGGGAUUAUUAGACAUCGAAUUAAUAUACGAGUAUUGCUUGCAAACUUGUGGUAACCUAAGGGAUACCAAUGUAGUCCUAGCACAUGAAGAUAAUUAUUCUUUGGGCGAUUCCUACUUUUUUAGAUAUCUUACUCUUUCUUCUAAACUAUGUUUGCUUCUUAGAAAAUUUAAGAAAAAAUAUAAGAAAAGAAAAUAGAGAAAAAAAUAAAAAAUAAAUUUAAAGUCAAUAAAUUAUCUUUAUAUGCUACUUAAAAUUCAUGUAACUUAUUUUAAGUUUUUAAUAUAAGAAUUAAAUAAUUUUAAAAUACAUAAGUUUCUAACUAGUUUUAAUUAUAUUUAAUAUUUUUUUGUAUUUUUCAUAGCACAAUCAAAUAUGAGAAAAUAAUUUUUCUUAACAUUUUUUUCCUUUCUUAGUACUUUUUGGAAAAUUAACAUAAUCUUAAUUAACUUUAUUUAGGUAUCUCAUCCUAAGGUAAUUAAAUCAAUUAUGAUUACAAUUCUUAUAUUGUUAUUUAUAGGAGUAUGAGUUCUAUAAUACAUAAGGAAGUUUUUCUUUUUAUUCUUGGUAAAUGAAAUUAGUUGUUUUAGAAUUUCUGUUUGAGAAAUCUACCAAAAGAAGACAUUGUUCUUCUUGUAGAGAAUAUGGAAACUGAAGGUAGUUGUGAUUAGGAUGGUUUCCUAGAUUAGUAUUCUCUAUUGAUAUAUGAUGAGUAUGCUAAUAGUAAUAAUUUAGGAGGUAGUGGUUGGAACCUACUUAGAGUUCGUUUGGUAGUGAUUUUAGGAAGCGUUUUUAAUAUUUUUAAUAUUUGAAAGUUUUCAUCAUUCAAGUGUUAGAAAUGUUAGAAACGCUUUCUAGAAUCACUCCCAAAUGGUUGGGAACUCUUGCCGGUACUUGAUGAAUUUAAAAAAAAGAGAAAAAUUUAGACAUGAUUAAUGUUUCUUCAGUGCAAGGAGAGCUCUAUUAUAUUAAGAAGGUAAAGUUAGAUAACACGAUGGAAAGUUUUAUAAUGAUGCACAUGGAGUUAUACUAAACUCACUAUUGCUCUUAUAGAGAAUUGAAGAAGAAAAACUUUACUUAUGGUUUUUGUGGUUGAUAGCGUUGGAUUGUGAAGCCUAAAUUAGUUUUAUUGCUCUUCACUCGGCAUGCUAGGGGUUGACCUAGAAAGGGGUAAUGCCCUCUAGAGAUUUUUUUUAAUGUGAUGAAUGACAAGUUUGUCUUUAUUAUAUAUUUAACCCUUUUUUGUUUUAAGGUUUUGUUUUUUAGAGAGUGUGGCCAUAAUUGAGAGGUAUUUUUUGAGAGCAUCACCAUUGUAACCCUUUUUGUUCCUUUUGAUUACUGGAUUCUUAAGUAUUGGUGCACUCUGUGGAUGUAUGAAUCACAUUGAUUGUUAAACCACGUUAAAAAUAUUGUCUUUUUCUUUAUUUUUUGCUUGUGUGUGUGCAUGGUUUGGUUAACAACCAGUAUCAAAGCGCCAAGGUUUGCAAAUUCUCUACUUAACGUGUUUGACUAGUCACCGUUUGAGUAGAAGUAAUGAGAUUAGAGAAAGAUUCAUACAAAAUCAAGAAAUUCGAUGGUAUGAAUUUAGGUUUCUAGAAGAUGCAGAUGGAGGAUUAUCUGUACCAAAAAUAUUUUUAUUUGCUAUUAGGAGAGAAGACAGAUUUGAAGAAUUAAAAUGAAUGAAAUUUAUUAGAUCACAAAGCCCUUGGUGAGAUUAGGUCGGUUGCUUUCAACAUAAAAAACAAGAACAUAACAACGUCUCUCAUGGCUAUCUUAACUAGAUGUACGAACAACUCUUUGUAGGAAAUAAGGUAUACCUAAUUAAAAAGUUAUUUAAUUUGAAGAUGCUUGGGAAUGAGAAUUUUAAGCAACACUUGAAUGAAUUUAAUGAGAUCAGGAAUCAAUUAAAUUUAGUUGACAUUAAAUUUGAUGAUGUGAUUUAAACCCUAUUAAUCCUCAAUCAAUUGCUUGAGAAUUAGAAAGGCACAGUCACCUCAAUCAGUGGUUUAUAUGGGAAAUCGAAAUUGGUGUUUUCGGAGGUAGUAGACAUGAUUAUGAACGAGGAGAUCAGUAAGCAUGAAGAAGGCUUUUCCAAUUUAGGAUCAUCAUUAAACAUGGAGAGCAAAGGUAGAAACCAAAAUAAAGGUAAUGGGCAUAGUAAAUACAAAUCGAGGAAUGAAUAGGUCAAAAUCCAAAAAUUCCAUAAAUUCCCAACAUCAAAUGAGUAAAAAAGAUAUCGAAUGUUGGAAUUGUGAAAAGAAGGGACACUAUAAGAAUGAGUGCAAGGCUGCUAAGAAGGAUAAGGACAGUGACAAUAAGACUAGUACAAACGUUGUGUUAGAAGAAUCAAAUGAUGCUCUUAUCUGCUCUUUGGAGAGUAAGACAAAAUCAUGGGUGUUGAAUUUAAGGGCAUCGUUCCAUGCUACCUCAAGUAGAGAAUUAUUUCAAAAUUAUGUCUCAGGUAAUUUGGGGAAGGUGUAUUUAGGUUAUGACCAAGCGUGUGAUGUUAUUGGCAAAGGUGAAGUGUAGAUCAAACUGAAUGGGUUUGUAUGGAAUUUGGAUAAUGUAAGACACAUUCCAAACUUGAAGAAGAAUCUUAUUUCUAUUAGGCAAUUGGAGAAAGAUGGCUGUGUGACAACUUUUAUAGGUAACACAUGAAAAAUCUCAAGGAGAGCGAUAAUUGUUGCUUGUGGCAAAAAGAGUGGUACUUUUUACUUGACAAUAGAUGGUUAUGGGUCUAUUGUAGUUGCUGCGAGCAAAGAAGAUUCGAAUAUGUGGCAUUAAAGGCUUGGUCACAUGAAUAGUAAGAAGUUGGAAAUUAUGCACUCGAAUAGAAAGCUAUCAGGUUUGAAGUCAAUUGACAUUGAUAUGUGUAAAAGUUGCAUACUUGGGAAAUAGAGAAGGGUUAGCUUCAAGAAAGUUGGAAGAACUCUAAAAGAAGCAAAGUUGGAGUUAGUUCAUACAGAUGUUUGGGGACCCACUUCAGUUUCAUCUAUUGGUAGAAGAUUUUAUUUUGUGAUCUUCAUUAAUGAUCAUUUGAGGAAAGUAUGGGUAUACUUUAUGAGGCACAAAUCAAAAGUGUUUGAUGUAUUCAAGAGAUGGAAAGCAAUAAUGGAGAAUAAGACAGGUAUGAGAGUCAAGAAGUUGCGGUUUGAUAAUGGUAGGGAGUAUGAAGACUCUGAGUUCAAGAAGUUCUAUUAUGAAAAUGGAAUUAGAGAAGAUGCUAGGACACCCUAGUAGAAUGGUAUAGUAAUACGAAUGAACAUAACAUUGAUUAAGAGAACUAGAAGCAUGCUUAUAUAGACAGGGUUGCCAAAACAGUACUGAGUAGAGGCAAUCAACAUAACAACUUACUUGAUCAAUUGGGGACCAAUAAACACCAUUGGAACACAAAAUACCAGAAGAAGUGUGGACUAGAAAAGAGGUAAAGCUUUCUCAUUUGAGGGUAUUUGAUUGUGUCUCAUAUGCAUAUGUUAGUGAUCAUGGCAGAAACAAACUUGAUGCUAAAUCACUAAAAUGUACUUUCAUUGGUUAUGGUGUUGAUGAUUUUAGUUAUAAGUUUUGAGAUGACCAAAAUAAGAAAGUGAUUAGAAGCAGGGAUGUCAUAUUCAAUGAGAAAGUUUUGUAUAAGGACAAAGAUGCAACAUAGUCUACUAGUUCGAUACAAUCCAAACCUAUGUAUUUUGAGCUAGAUGAUGUUCUAGAGUGUAGUAUGGUAGAUAAGACAGGUUAAAAUCAUCAAAUUGAGGAAAACACUGCAUAAAUAUUGACACACCAUAGGAUUUGGUUUCAGUUCCUACAUUGAGGAGAUCCAACAAUCCAUAUGUACCAAAUAAGAAGUAUUUGAAUUAUUUGCUACUGAUAUAUGGUGGUGAACAUGAAUGUUAUGAUGAGGCAUGUCGAGUGGAAGAUAAUAGAAAGUGGGAGCUUGCGAUGAAAGAUGAAAUGAAGUCUCUUAUUUUUAAUCGGACUUAGAAGCUAGCCAAGUUACUAGUGGGUAAGAAAGCUCUUUAUAAUAAGUGAGUGUAUCAAGUUAAGUAGGAGCAUGAUGGUUCUAAGAGAAAUAAGGUUAGAUUAGUGGUCACUGGGUUUCACAAAAAGAAAUGAUUAACUACACAGACAUCUUCCCUCUAGUUGUGAAAUUGACUGUUAUUCAGUCUGUUUUGAGUAUUGUAGCAACAUAGUGUUUACAUCUUGAGCAGUUAGAUGUGAAGACAACUUUCCUUCAUGAUGAUUUGGAGGAGGAAAUAUAUAUGCAACAACUAGAGGGUUUUGUAAAGAAUGGUAAAAAGAAUCUGGUGUGUAGAUUGACUAAAAGCUUGCAUGGUUUAAAACAAGUCUCAAGAUAGUGGUAUAAAAGGUUUGACAAUUUCAUGUAAAAGAAUGGGUAUCUCAAGGGCAACACAAACCAUUGGUGUUAUUUCAAGAAGUUUGGUUCUAAUUAUAUCAUUUUUCUACUUUAUGUUGAUGACAUGUUAAUAUUUGGUGCAGAUUUAGAUGAAAUCAACAUGUUGAAGAAACAACUAUCUAGUAAGUUUGAGAUGAAGGACUUGGGUAUAACAAAGCAGAUAAUUAGAAUGAGGAUUAUUAGAGAUAAACAAACAAGCACCUUGUGGUUAUCUUAAUCUGGACUUGGGCAUAACAAAGAAGAUACUCAGGAUGAGAAUAAGUAGAGAUAUUACAAAUAUUCAACAUGAGUGAUGCUAAGGUAGUUAGAACACUACUAAAAAAUCAUUUCUAGUUGUCUAAGGAACAUUGCCAAAGAUAGAUGAGGAAAAAGACUUCGUGGCUUAGGUCUCAUAUGCCCAAACCAUUGGAAGUUUGAUGUAUACUAUGGUGUGCACAAAACUAGACAUUGCCUAUGUGGUGGGAGUUGUGAGCAGAUUUAUGUCAAAUCCAGGCAAGCAACACUAGGAAGUAGUGAAAUGGAUUCUUAGGUACUUGUGGGGCAUUACAAAAAAAUGUCUAUGCUUUAGAAGAGAUGAGUUGAAAUUGUAGGAAUAUAUGGUUGUUGAUUUUUUUGGUGAGAUAGAUCGUAGGAGGAACACUACAAGGUAUGUGUUCACUUUAAGUACUGCUACUAUCAGUUGGAUUUUCCAAUUGUAGAAUAUUGUUGCUUUAUCUACAAAUAAAGUAGAGUAUGUGGCUAUGAUAGAAACUAGCAAAGAGAUGACUAGGUUGCAUAGUUUGUUGGUAGAGCUGGGAUUCAAAUAGGUGAUGAAUGUUUUGCAUAGCGAUAGCUAAAAUACGAUACAUUUGCUAAGAAUUUAGUAUUUCAUUCAAGGAUUAAACAUAUAGCACUUCAUUAUCACUUCAUCAAGUCUUUGCCUAAAGAUGAGGUGUUAACGCUUGUGAAGAUACAAGGUAGCAAGAAUCUAGUUAACAUGUUAACCAAAACAAUUAUAGCAGAAAAAUUGAAGCUGUGUGCAACUUCAAUGAGUCAAGGGUGACGAUAGGUUGUUUGAGUGCACAAUACCCAUUAAUUAUUGAAGGAGGAUGUUUACUUGUGUUUUAGUCUUCAAGUGGGAGAUUGUUGGAUUGUGAAGCUUGAAUAAGUUUUGUUGCACUUCGCUGAGGAUGCGGGGGUCAACUUAAAAGAGGGCAAUGCUCCUUGGAGAAAUAUAUAUAUAUAUAUAUAUAUAUAUUUAUUUAUUUAUGUGAUGAAUGAUGUAUUUGCCCUUACCAUAUAUUUAACUCUUUUAUAUUUUGAGGUUUUGUUUUUAGAGAGUGUGACCAAAAUUAAGAGGUGUUUCUCAAGAGCUUUAUCAUUGUAACCCUUCUCGUUUCUUUUGAUUAGUGGAUUCUUGAGUGUUGGUGCACUCCGUGGAUGUAGGGAUCACAUUAAUUGCCAAACCACAUUAAAAAUCUCGUCUUUUUCUUUAUUUUUUGCUUAAGUGUGUGCGUGGUUUGGUUAAUAGAUAGUCUUUCAUCGAGUCCUAGAUUGCAUCACUUUAAGGUUAUGUUUGAUUUUUAGAAAGUACUAAGGGUUAAAAAAAAAACAUUAAGGAAAAUGAUUUUCUCAUUUUUGGUUUCACCAUGGAAAAUAUAAAAGAAAAUCAAAUAUAAUUAAAAUUUGUUAGAAAUUUUUAUAUUUUAAAAUUAUUUAAUAUUUAUAUAAUGAAGGAAAAUAAGUUAAAUGAAUUUGAAGAAACAUAUAAAAAUAAUUUAUUGACUUUGGAUGUAUUUUUUAUUUCCUUUACUUUUUCUUUUCUUCCACUUUUCCUUUUUCUGUUUUCUUUCCCUCAAAUCUCCCAAGAACUAAACAUAAACUAAAUCUAUAAUAACUUGGUAAGUAUCGAGUGUCAAACCCAAGAGAUAAUUGAAAAGGCUUAAGAGGAGUGUGAAAAUGGUGUUAGAGGUUUAAGUAAUGAAUUGAGGUGGAAUGGAUGAGUGAUUAUGAGGAGGAAAAUGUAGAGAAUUGCUAAAAAUAGGGGAGAAGGAUAAUUAAAAACUUUUAUUAAGAUAAUGUAAAAUAUGUUAGAAAGUGAUCAUGUUUUUAAACCUCCCCCUCACGGUCUUUUGCAACAAACAAUUUACACAAUCUAAGCAUCAUAGUGAAAGAAAUUAGGUUAGAGAAUAUAGCUUUAAAACUAAUAAGAUAUUUUUAAAAACAUGAUAUUUACAAAAUGGUCUUGCUUUUCACAAUAAAUGAAUAUACACACUCUAAAAUCUCAACUCCAAUCCUAAACUUACUAAAUCAAGUAGUGACAAAUGUAGGUUAAGAGUUAAAACACAAGCACUUUGAGAAAAUAAAGACUAUGCUUAAAUGAGAAAAACACCCAAGAGGGGGGUGAAUUGGGUUUUUCAAAAACUUUUUCAACACAAGAAAUACGAGCACAAUAUAAUAAAAAAUAAGGAGAUAGAGUUAGAGAAUUCAAACUCGGAUUUUAUAGUGGCUCGACUUUUCGUUGCCUAUGUCCACUCUCCUCAAUCUCCUAACUGAGUGAGGGUUCCACUAGCUUGAAGCUUCAACCAAGCUUCCAAUCCUUUACACUUGGAUUCCAGUUCCAAUGGGCUCUUACACAAUCUCUUCAAGAUUCAAACCUCUUAAAGGCUUUAACACUCAAGUUUUACAAGAAAGAAACCCUCAACCUAGCUCAAAGAUAGCUCAAAUACAAAACAAAGCUAGGAUGACUCACAAGGGUGCACUAAAAGAUAUGCAAGUGAUGAUUUAAUGCACUAAGAAAGAAAUGAGAGGAACUUUUAGGCCAAAAAUAGGUAGGUAGACAAUUGAUUGCAAGUGUUCUCUAUCUCAUAAAUGAAGUGGAGUUCUCAAUUUAUAGGUUUCUAAGCUCGAGUGCCAAGAAACGUAAAAGGUAGCCUCGACUGGUCGAGCUGGGGGUCGACCGGUUCACUAGCCGUUGGAGCAUUUAAUGCUUUGGCAGGUUACCGUUGCGUCGACUGGAUCUCGAUCGGAGGUCGGCUGGGAAGGAGGAAACCUCAACCAGGAAGAGGAAGCCACUGGAAAAGAGAUAGUGUUUUUGGCACUCCUCAACCGGACCUUGAUCGGACAAGGGCAACUGGUUGACCGGUUCAGCAUUUUGGCCCCGAAAACCUAUCUUUUUUAAUUCUUUUAUUUUCUAACACUUAGGCAAGGUCUUUAGGUAAAUUAAUAUGCCAAUUUUGAAACGUUUUGCCUAAGGUACAUUUGAUAAAACUCGGGUUUUAAUGAAAUUGGAAUUUUAAAGAAUAAGUCGAGUUUUUCAAAGAUGCAUGAAAAGGUAUGAAAAACCUAAGUGCACCAAUGCAUUCAUCUUACAUUCAUUUCCUAUGAUCAAAAGUCUUCCAAUAGUCUCGAUGUUGUAUCCAUUUGGUCCUUUGAUUAAUUUCCGAAUUUAUACCUGAGAUUUUUUACCAUUCAAACCAAUUAGUCACUUAACCAUGUUUUGUUAUCAUCAAAACCCGAUUAGGAGAACCCUUGGGCUAACAAUCUUCCCUUUUUUUAUGAUGAAAAACCUUGGUUAUUUAGGAGAAAAAGAAAUCUUUCCCUUAAACCAAUCAUGGAUCAAUCAGUUCAAAGUUUAUUAAUUUAAAACAAGAUAAUCAGGACAUGUGGAUUUUCAAUAGGAAACAAUGUAAAUCAUGAAAAUAGCAUAUCAUAUAAAUAUAGUGAAGUCAAAUGUACACGAAGAAUAAACAUAUGAAACAGAUAUGACAAUGAUAUGCAUGUAGUUCUCUUAGAUCCUAAAUUUCUCUCCCCCUUUGGUAACAUCAAAACGAAAUGAAUGGGGUCUCGAUAAAAUCAAGGCGGAUGAAGUGGAGGUGGAAACAAGGAGUGGAGGUGCAACCAUCAUCUCCUCAUGCUGACUCUCCUGGCGACUCUCAAUGCGCUCAAUCCUCUGCUGGAUAUGCUCAAAUGUAGCCUGUUGCUGAUCCAUACGAUCCUCUAUAUGCUCAAAUCUCUGCUGUAGAUGCUCAAACUGAGAGGUGAAACCAAUCUGAUACUGAUCCAUGCGAUCCUCCAUAGAGUAGAAUCGAGUAUCCUAGACUACUGCGAGUUCCUCCACACUAGUCUUGAGAGAGCUAACCUGGCAGAUAGAUCCAUCCAAGGUGCAUGAUCAGGAGCGCGAGGUGCCUGAUGAGAUGGUAGCUCUAUGUGAGGAAACUCGGUGAAUGAUGGCUGAGAGGAUGGUCCCGCUAUGUAAGUCAGCUCAUACAUCAUCGACUCUGAGAAUAUGGCCUCAAACUGAACACCCUCUGACUGGGGUAGAGGAGGAAUGUCAAGCUCAGGCUCUCUAUGCUCAAAGCCUCUCUGAGGGUCUAACCCACCCACCAUCUCUCAAAUCUUGGCCUCCUCCUCUACUCCAGGGUGCACCUGUCCCUGUCCCUGGGCUUGUGCUGGUGGUCGCUCUACUCUCCUAAUCUAGGAGCCAUCGGGGGCCUUCUCAAACUUCAUCCGCCCCAAGGACUGCUCAUCAUAUGUAUCAUAAAUACUCGGGGCCUCGAAAUCUAUCUCCUUACUUAAAUCAACCCCUGCAUCCUUGAAUAAUCUGGUGAGGAAACUACCGUAGGAGAGUACUCGGGUCGUGCUCUCGCAGCAUGAUAUCAUGUGCAUCAUCAUCAGAUACCCCACGUGAAUCCGUCUCCCUGUCAGAAUGGAGUCUACAAGGAAUGCCUCAAGAUAGGAGACCUCAUCUCGGUGUCCGCCUUGUGGCAGCAAGAUGGAGUAGAUCAUGUGAUGAAGGACUCGGCUGAUCAUUGUUAGGCUAUGUGCCGAUGAUUUGCCCAUCUCCUGGGCGUUUGCAAGGCCGCACAUCCUCUGAAUAGCCUCUCUAGGCUUGAAACCCAACACAGUAGGCCAAGCCUUGGACUCAUACACCCUAAGUCCAACUGGAGGAAUGUCGAAAAUACGGCAGAUACUCUCCGGGUCUAGCUGGAUCUCAACACCUAUAACGGUGGAAAUGAUUAGUCCACCAAGUCCAUAUGUCACUCGUGAAUAGAAUGCCCUCACUAAUAUCAGAAAAAUCAGCUAAAAAAUAGUCACGACGGGCAGCCACCCCAUUCGUCCAAAAAGUCCCCUAAACCCGAAAUGCUGUAGUUGGGAGAAAUUGAUACUUCUCCCUGAAACUACUUUCCUCUUAGCGAACUUCUGCUUGUACCUCUGAUAGUCAUCCACGAUGCUGAAGAGGGUCGUGUCAAACUUUGCCUUUCGACGAGCCUCCAUCUAAGCAAGCUGAGAUGACUUAGCAGGGCGCUUGCCUUGAGCCUUAGAGGCUGUCGUCUCCCUCCUAGGAGCCAUUAGAAGAACAGAAAAGAAGGAAAUGAGGCUGGUAGAAAGAGAAAUGAGCACAACCAAGAGAAAAUGAACCCAAUCCAAAGCCCUUGGCGCACAAAAAUGGAGCUGAAGCUAGCUGUGGCGCAUGCGACAGCCCGACGAACCGGUUGACCGCUUAGUCAACAGUUAAUGGUCAAUGCGGUCAACGCUCUAAUUUUUGUGCAUUUUCUCGUCUCGUGAUCUUCUCCUUGCCAUUUUUAGUUGAAAUCCCCUAUUUUUUAUGUCCUAUGCCAAGAGAUUUUUUAUUUUUUGUCAAAAUUUGACCAUUUACCUAAGUAUAUGUCUAUAUGAUGCAUAAGACAUGAAAUUCAUGCAAUCAUAAGGUAUAUUCAACAAGAAUUCAUUAAACAAUCAUUAGAUCAUAAAGAAAUCACCCCUAGUUGUCUUCUAAUAUCAACAAAUUGUUAUUCACUUAGAGGUUUUGUAAAUAUAUCGGCAAGUUGAUCUUUUGUGCUUACAAACUCAAGUGUAGUGUCACCCUUUUGUGCUCUCUAAGAAAAAAAUGUCUAAUUUCUAUAUGCUUAGUUCUAGAGUGUUGCACGGGAUUUUUUGAAAUAUUUAUGGCACUAGUGUUAUCACAUUUAAUAGGAAUAUGCUCAAAAGGCAAAUUGAAAUCACUAAGUGUUUGUUUCAUCCAAAGAAUUUGUGCACAACAUAAAUCGGCUGCUAUGUAUUUGACUUCUGUCGUCGACAAAGCUACCGAAUUUUGCUUCUUACUAUGCCAUGAAACAAGUGAGUGUCCUAGGAAAUGACAAGUGCCACUGGUGUUUUUUUUUGCAACUCUACAACCGGCAAAAUCGGCAUCCGAGAAUCCAAUUAAUUCAAAUUUAUCACCCUUAGGAUACCAUAAGCCUAUGUCCAUUGUCCUUUUCAAAUAUCUAAGAAUUCGUUUUACUACACUUAAGUGAGAUUCUUUAGGACAAUAUUGAAAUCUAGCACACAAGCAUGCACUAUACAUGAUGUCGGGUCUACUAGCGGUCAAAUAUAGCAAAGAACCUAUCAUGCCUCUGUACAUAGUUGAGUCAAUGGAUUUACCUUUCUCAUCCUUAUCAAGCUUGAUAGAUGAGCUCAUUAGAGUCUUCAUUGUUUUGGCUUCUUCCAUGUUGAACCUUUUGAGAAGAUCUCUUAUAUAUUUUGCUUGAUUGAUGAAGGUUCCUUCCUUUAGUUGUUUUAUUUGAAGUCCAAGGAAGAAGUUGAGUUCUCCCAUCAUGCUCAUUUCAAACUCACUAUGCAUGCACUUAGAAAAUUCUUCACAAAGAGAGACAUUAGUAGUUCCAAAAAUAAUAUCAUCAACAUAUAUUUGAACUAAGAGCAUGUCAUUUUCUUUGGUCUUUAUGAAAAAAGUUGUGUCAAUUUUUCCCAUUUUAAAACCCUUUUUCAAAAGAAAUUUACUCAAUCUUUCAUACCAUGCUCUAGGUGCUUGUUUCAAACCAUAAAGUGCCUUUUUAAGUUCAAAAACAUGGUUAGGAAAGUUAAAACUUUGAAAACCGGGUGGUUGUUCAACAUAUACUUCUUCAUUUAUAAAGUCAUUUAAGAAAGCACUUUUCACAUCCAUUUAAUAUAAAACAAAGUCUUUAAAACAUGCAAAGGAAAGUAGCAUCCUAAUGACUUACAAUCUAGCUACGGGGGCAAAAUUUUCUUCAUAAUCUAUCCAUUCUUCUUGAUUAAAAUCUUGGGCUACCAAUCUUGCUUUAUUUACAACAAUUAUGCCAUUUUCAUCCAUUUUAUUUCUAAAGACCCAUCUAGUUCCAAUAACACUUUGAUUUGAAGGUCUUGACACUAAUUCCCAUACUUCACUUAUUUCAAAUUGGUUUAACUCUUCUUGCAUAGCAAUCAUCUAAUUUUCAUCAAUUAAAACAUCAUUUAUAUUUUUAAAUUCAAUUUGAGAGAUAAAAGCAAGAUUAUUGCAAAUAUUUCUAAGAGAUGAUCUAGUUCUUACCCCACUAGAUGGAUUAUCUAUAAUUUGAUCUUAUGUGUGGUUGAUGACAAACUUCCAAUAUUUAGGAAGGUCUUAGCUUGAUUCACCUUGCACUUGUUGAGGAAGGGGUAGUGCCAAUGGUGAUUCUUCUUUCUUCGGAUCCUUUCCAAUUUCUUCUUGUUGCCUUCUAUCUUCUAUUUUCAAUUUUUCCAUGGAGGUUUCCAAGCCUAAAUCAUCAUCAAAACUCUCUCUUUCUUGGAGAGAAUUGUUAGAUUCAUAAAAAAUAACAUGGAUGGACUCCUCUACAACCAUGGUUCUUUUGUUAAAAACUCUAAAGGCUUUACUUGAAGUUGAGUAACCAAGGAAAAUUCCAACAUCUGAUUUUGCAUCAAAAUUUCCAAGAUUGUCUUUGGUGUUUAAUAUAAAACAUUUGCACCCAAAGACUUUGAAAUAGCUAAUGUUGGGUUUCUUGUUUUUCCAAAGCUCAUAGGGAGUUUUCUUAAGGAUAGACCUCAAUAAUAUUCUAUUUAAAACAUAAUGAGAGGUGUUAACCACUUCGACCCAAAAAUAUUUUGGUAAAUUGUUUUCAUUUAGCAUGGUUCUAGCCAUUUCUUGAAGAGUUCUAUUUUUCCUUUUAACUGCCCUAUUUUGUUGAGGAGUUCUAGGAGCCAAAAAAUUGUGGUUAAUACCAUGCUUAUUGCAAUAUUCUUCAAAAUCAAUAUUUUCAAAUUCUUUCCCAUGAUCACUUAUUAUACAAGUAAUUGUAAAAUCUUUUUCAUUUUGAAUCUUAUUGCAAGACUUUGAAAACUCAUAAAAGGCUUCAUUCUUUUGACUUAAAAACAAGACACAUGUGUAUCUAGAGAAGUCAUCCACAAUAACAUAUGCAUAAGAUUUUCCUCCAAGACUUGGUGUCCUAGAGGGACCAAAUAAAUCCAUAUGCAACAAUUUAAGAGGCCUAGAUGUUGAAAUGAAAUUUUUGUUUUUGAAAGAGUUUUUUAUUUGCUUUCCCAUUUGACAAGCUUCACAAACUUUGUUUUUUUGAAAAUUUAUUUUGGGAAGGCAUCUAACAUGUUCAUCUUUGUUGAGUUAGGAAAUGAGGUCCAUGUUAGCAUGUCCCAACCUCUUAUGCCACAACCAACUUUGAUCAUGCAUGCUUGAAAAGCAUUUAUCAUGACCAUCAUAUUUUUAAAUAUUUAUAGCGUAAACAUUAUCACAUCUAUGGCCCAUGAAGAUGGUUUUAUCAUUUUGAAUAUCCUUGAUGAUGGAAUGAGAUGCUUCAAAAAUCACUUUAAAACCUUUGUCACAAAGUUGACUAAGGCUUAAAAGGUUAUGUUUUAAACCAUCCACUAAUAAAACACUUUCAAUAAGAGAGGAUGUGCCAUUACCAAUGUUGCCUUGACCAAUGAUUCUUCCUUUUGCAUUGUCUUCAAAGGUAACGUAUCCUCCUUUUCUCUUUGUAAGGAAAGCAAACUUGGAUUCAUCCCCGGUCAUGUGCCUUGAGCAUCCACUAUCCAAACUUAUCCUUCUUUGAACCCUAUAAAAUAAAAUUCAAGUUGAUUUAAGUAUCCAUAUCUUUUUAAGUCCUUGAGGGUUAGUGACCUUGGAUUUCUCAAUCCAAACCUUUUUAACUUUAGCAUUUGAAUUCUUUUGAGAACCAUUUCUUAAGGGACAUGUGCUACUAAUGUGCCCUCCUCUUCCAUAAAAGUUGCAAGUAGUAAAAGGACUUGCACUUGAGGAUUCUUUUACAAAAUAGUUUUUAAAAUACUUUUGAUUUUUUGAGGAUUUGAAUCCUAACCCUUGUUUGUCAAAAACACAUUUUUGGCUAGCUAAGUUCAUUUCAAAAGAUUUUUGUCCACAAGAGAAAAUUGAAAGAGAGGAGGUCAACCAUUCAUUUUUCUUUUUCAAAAUCUCAUUUUCUUUUUCAAGAUGAGUUUUAGAAAUUUCAACAAUUGAAAAAUUUUCUUUCACUUCUUCAAGUUCUUGAAUUUUCUUUUUAAGAGAAUUAUUUUUCAAACUAAGCUUUUCAAAAUCCUCAUAUAAUUCUUGAAAAACAUCAUGCAUAUCUUCAUUACUAAAGUUAGAGUUUACCUCAUCAAGUUAAUCUAUUGCCAUGAAGCACAUGUUUGCCACUUCUUUCUCCUUUUCCUCUUCGAAGGAUUCUUCACUUUCACUCCAAGUGGCCAUCAUUACCUUCUUCAUUCUUCUCUUGGCUUCACUUUUGUAGAGAGGACAAUCAUAUUUAAUGUGUCCCGGUUUUUUGCAUUUGAAGCACACCAAAUCUCUUUUCUUUUCCCAUUUCUCCUUGUUACCAUGAGAUGAAGAUUCCUUUUUGGGAAGGUCUCUUCUAGAGGUGAACUUUCUUCCUCUAAACCUUUCAACCCUCAUGUAUUUGUUGAGCUUUCUUGUGAUGAGGGCUAAAUCAUCAUCUUCUUAAUUGGUUUUUCUUCUUCAACAUCUUCUUCUUCCUUGGUUGUAGCUUUGAAAGCUAUGCUCUUCUUAUUUUGUUUUCACUUUCUUGUAGCUUCUUUGUGAAAUUAAUCUCAUAUAUCAUUAAUGACCAUAUAAGCUCUUCCAUAGGUAGCUGGGUCAAGUAUUUUGCUUCUUGAAUUGCGGUGACCUUUGUAUGCCACUUUGAUGGAGUAACUACAAUAUCUUCAUCACCUUUUUAGAUUCCUUGUAGGUCUUUCCCAAUGCUUCAAGACCAUUGACAAUGUCGGUGAACCUAGUAAUCAUCUCAACAAUAGUCUCAUUUUCUUUCAUAAAAAACAAUUCAUAGCUAUGUAUAAGUAAAUUAAUUUUUGACUCUUUUAAUUGAUUUGUUCCUUCAUGAGUUAUCUCAAGCAAUCUCCAAAUUUCUUUAGCCGAUUUGCAUUGACAUAUUCUAUUAUAUUUAUUUCUAUCCAUAGCACAUUGCAAAGUAAAAACGACCUUAGCAUUUAAUUGAAAAUUUCUUCUAUCAAGCUCAUUCCAUUCUUUCUUGGGUUUUGGAACCAUGACUCCAUCAUCUAAUUUUGUAGGAAAAGUUGGGCCAUCUUCAAUGACGUCUCAUAAGUCUAAAUCGGUUGAUUGUAAAUACCAAGUCAUUUUAGUUUUCCAAUAAGGAUAGUUGGUUCUCGUAAAAAAUGGAGCUCUAUGCUUUGCAAAAAUUUCAUUGUGAGAUGAGCUUGAUGGAAUAGCCAUUUCCUAUUAGACUAUUAGGUCUUAAACAAGAGGUCUAGCUCUGAUACCGAUUGAGAAAUAAAGACUAUGCUUAAAUGAGAAAAACACCCAAGAGGGGGGUGAAUUAGAUUUUUUAAAAACUUUUUCAACACAACAAAUACAAGCACAAUAUAAUAAAAAAAUAAGGAGAUAGAGUUAGAGAAUUCAAACUUGGAUUUUAUAGUUCGGCACUUCCUUGCCUACGUCCACUCUCUUCAAUCUCCUAACCGAGUGAGAGUCCCACUAGCUUGAAGCUUAAACCAAGCUUCCAAUACUUUACACUUGGAUUCCGGCUCCAAUGGGGUCUUACACAAUCUCUUCAAGAUUCAAACCUCUUGAAGGCUUUAACACUCAAGUUUUACAAGAAAAAAACCCUUAACCUACCUCAAAGAUAGCUCAAAUAAAAAACAAACCUAGGAUGACUCACAAGGGUGCACUAAAAGAUAUGCAAGUGAUGAUUUAAUGCAUUAAGAAAGAAAUGAGAGCUUUUAGGCCAAGAACAGGUAGGUAAACAAUUAAUUGCAAGUGUUCUCUAUCUCAUAAAUGAAAUGGAGCUCUCAAUUUAUAGGUUUCUAAGCUCGAGAACCAAGAAAAGAAAAAUGCAGCCUCGACCAGUCGAGCUGGGGGUCAACUGGUUUACUAGCCGUUGGAGCAUUUAAUGCUUUGGCAGGUUACCGUUGCCUUGACCGGAGGUCGACCGAGAAGGAAGAAACCUCAAUCGGGAAGAGGAAGCCACUGGAAGAGAGAGAGUGUUUUUGGCACUCCUUGACCGGACCUCGACCGGACAAGGGCAAUCGGUCGACCGGUUCCCCAACCGGUUGAACCAGUUGGCCAGAGCCUCGACUGGUUUAGCCUUUUGGCCCCGAAGACCUAUCUUUUUCAAUUCCUUUACUUUCUAACACUUAGGCAAGGUCUUUAGGUAAAUUAAUAUGCCAAUUUUGAAACGUUUUGCCUAAGGUACAUUUGAUAAAACUCAGGUUUUAAUGAAAUUGGAAUUUUAAAGAAUAAGCCAAGUUUUUCAAAGAUGGAUGAAAAUGUAUGAAAAAUCUAAGUUCACCGAUGCAUUCAUCUUACAUCCGUUUCCUAUGAUCAAAAGUCUUCCAAUAGUCUCGAUCUUGUAUCCAUUUGGUCAUUUGAUGAAUUUCCGAAUUUAUACCUAAGAUUCUUUACCAUUCAAACCAAUUAGUCACUUAAACAUGGUUUGUUAUCAUCAAAACCCGAUUAGGAGAACCCUUGGGCUAACACACUUAAAAAGUCAACACAAACAUUUCAUAAUUUAAAGAUAAGUUACAAUGAAGGAUAAAUACAAUACAUUAAAUCCUAUAAUUACAAAAUCAAGUAGAGAUAAGUCAAAAACAUAUAAAAUACAAGCUCUAAAACCGUCCCAUAAACAUUCUAUAAUAUAAGAAGAUAUUGAAAGAUAUAUGAGAUGAACAAAAUAUAAAAACUCAAAAUAUAAGAUUUAUACAUUAAACACGAAAAGCUUGUUAGAAAAUUACCAUGGGAGUUUACCCCUUAUAAAGAGCUCUCUUCCUAAUAUAAGAAACUAGAUUUUCAAAAAAAGAUUUAUUGCCUACAUGUAUAAAGGUCAAAAACCAAAAUACAUAAGAUAAAUAUAAAGAAAUACUUACCAAAAUAGAGUUCAAUAAUAAAUGCAAGUAACCAAAGCACUAAAAUAAAUUAAAUCCUAAACUACCUAAAACGUGAAGAAAAUGAGUGCAAAGGGUCUUGGCAAAGAUGAUGGACAAAAGACCCAUUUACUACUCUAAAAGGACCUUUUAGAGCUGAAAGUUUGCAUCUUGUUGGGGAGGGUGAGGGGGCGGUUUAGCCUAAAUUUUUAUUUUUAAAAUGUCUUCUUAAAAAUUAAAGAUGAAAUAGAGAAGUUUAAUCGUAUAGGAGAUGAUGAUUUAUGCAGAAAACCACCCAUAAUGUCUCCUAAAGACUUUGCAAAUGCAAAAACUAUGGGAUCAAAGACCAUAAAGUUAUAAUCCACUAAAUAUGUAGAAAAAGUACAUACAUUUACUUAGAGGUUACUAUUCCCUUAGACUUACACCCCAACACCUACACCUAAUCCCACAUUUGUGAUCUAGCACUAUGAGUACUCCUUGGUGGACUCCUCAAUGCCUUGAGGGAAUGCAAGUAUCUCUAACAAACCCAAGAAAAUGAACCAUGUGAGAAAUUUAAGAGUCUUGAGUUAAGUGCAAAGAAUACUAACUUAAAGCUUAGGCACUUGAGUUCUUAAGUGAACUCUUCCUAUAGACAUAUAUACUAGAGAAAACCUAGUUGAGUUAGAAUCAAUUUAGAAACCAUAUUUUACCAAAAAAAUAAUUUAGGAAACUUAAGAAUCUUAACAAGAUUUCAUAUUUUACAAAAAAAAUUUAGGAAACUUAAGACUCUUAGAAAGAUUUGGAAAGAUUUUUUUUUUUUUAUGUUAAAAUUAUUCAGAAACAUUUUCAUUUCUAAAUUUGUGAAUUAAAUUCCUUUUCAUCUUUCUUGAAAGAUUUGAAAAGAUUUUUCUUUUCAAAUCGUUAAUUUAAAAAUCCUUUUUCAAAUUGUCAAUUUAAAGAUAAUUUUCAAAUUAUAUAUUUUGUUUAUUUGGAAAGAUUUUUUCUUGUCAAAUUCUUGAUUUAAAAUUGUUUCUAAAUUAAUUUUAUUCCUAAUAUCCAUAAUUCCAAUCUAUGCCUUUUAUAUCAUUAUUCUUAAUUAACUAAACCAUACUAGUUUAAUCCUGGGUUGAUUUUGCAAUGACCUGAAGGAGUGUAAAUCAUAGAAAAGUACAAAGUAAAAGUUUACAUCUUGCUUAAGGAAUAUCGGAGGAAAGAGGGUGGGGGUGGGGGUUAUGUGAAUAGGUAGUUAUUUAUUUUGUAGCCUAAGAGACAAUGGUUUACAUGGAAAACGACCUAAAAAGUCUCCCAAAAACUAUGCAGAUUUAAAAACAACAUUAGAAAUCCUAUAGCUAUAAUCCACUAAAUAUGAAGGAGAGGUACAUAAAUUUACUUGACUGUUGCCACACCCUAAGACAUGCACCUUAGAACUUACUCUUAAUAUCACGUUUGUGAUGCAACACCACACAUGCUCCUUAGUGGACUCCUCAAGUCCUUGAGGGGAAGCGAAUCUCGUUCAUAAGCCUAAGAAAAAAAAGAAUGACAUGAACAAUUGAGAGUUUUGGAUAAGUGCAAAAAAUAAUUACUUAAAGCUUAAGCUCAUGAAUUCUUGAGACAACUCUUCCAAUAUACAUAUAUUAGAGAAAAUAUAAUGGAUUUUGAAUGAAUUUAGAAAUCAUAUUUUACCAAAACAAGUAAUUUUAAAAAUUUUAGAAUCUUAAAAAGAUUUCAUAUUUUACCAAAAAAACAAUUUAGGAAACUUAAGACUAAAAAAGAUUAGGAAAGAUUUAGAAACAUUUUCCUUUUUAUAUCUUUAAAUUAAUUUCCUUUCCAAAAUUUUUAAAUGAUUUGAAAAGAAUUGUCUUUUUAAAUUCUCAAUUUAAUUUUUUUCAAUUUUUUUAUUAUUUUGAAAGAUUUUUUUUUUUGUUAAAUUCUUAUUUAAAAUUCUUUCCUAAUUAAUUUUAUUCUUAAUUUCCAUAAGUCAACUCUAUGCCUUUUAUGUCACUAUUCUUAAUUAACUCAAUUAUAUUUGCUUGUUUAAUCUCAAGUUGAUUCUACAAAAAUUUUAAAUAUUUAAAAGCAAUGUAAAUCACACGAAAAUAUGUGAAGUAGAAAUUUAGAUCACUUUAGGGAGGUGGGGGUGAAUAGGUAGUUAUUUGUUUUUAGUGUAAAUUAUUAUUUUUAAAAUGUCUCUUUUAGAACAAAAGAUGAGGUAGAGCGAUUCAAUCACACCAAUAGACAAUAAUUUACAUGGCAAACCACCCAUAAAGCCUCCUAAUGACUUUAUAGACAUAAAACCCACGAGCUUAGAGACCAUGUAGCUAUAAUCCACUAAAUAUAAAAAAUAGGUGCAAGGAUUUAUUUGACGAUUGCUACUUCCUGAGACUUGUAUCCCAAAACCUACUGUGAUCUCAUGUUCGUGAUGUAGCACCAAAUGUGCUCCUUAGUGGACUCCUCAACCCCUAGAGGGGAUGCGAAUCUUGUUCAUGAACCAAAGAAAAAGAAUCACACAAACAAUCUAAGAGUUUUGAGUUAGAUGCGAAAAAUAUUGACUUAAAGCUUAGGCGCAUAAGUUCUUGAGAGAACUCUUCCAAUAAGCAUAUAUUAGAGAAAACCUAGUGAACUUCAAAUCAAUUUAAAAACCAUAUUUUACCAAAACAAAAUUAGAAAACUUAAUAAUCUUAAAAAGAUUUUAUAUUUUACCAAAAACAAUUUAGCGAACUUAUGACUCUUAAAAGGCUUUUGAAAUAUUUUCUUUUUCUAAGUUCAAAAAGAUUUAGAAAUAUUUUCCUUUUUAGAUUUUUAAAUUAAUUUUUUUUCCAAAUUUCUUCAAAGAUUUGGAAAUAUUUUCCUUUUUAAAAUCUGAAUUUAAAAAUUCUUUUUUCAAGUUUUUUAAUUAUUUUGAAAGAUUUUUUUUGUUAAAUUCAAGAUUCAAAAUUCUUUCCAAAUUAGUUUUAUCCCUAAUUUUCAUAAGUCAACUUUAUGCCUUUUUCUAUGUCAUUUUUCUCAAUAAACUCAACCUUAGUUACUCAUUUAAUUCUAGAUUGAUUCUAUAAGUCUUCAAAGGAGUGUAAAUAAUAGGAAAGUAUGCAGAGUAAAAGUUUAGAUCUUGCUUAUGGAAGACCUAGGAAAUAGGUAGUUAUUUCUUUUUAGCCCCAAUUUUUAAUUUGAAAUGCCCUUUAAGAAAUUCAAUUGCACCAAGAGACAAUGAUUUACAUGGAAAACCACCCAUAAAGCCUCUCAAUGGUUUUGCGGAUACAAAAACCAUGGGGUCAAAGAUUCUAUAGGUAUAAUCUACUAAAUAUGAAGAAAAGGUAUAAAUAUUUACCUAACAGUUGCUAUUACCUAACGAUUUACAUGGAAAACCACUCCUAAAGCCUCCUAAUAACUUUUGCCAAUGCAAAACCAAGGGGUCAGAGAGCAUUUAGUUACUAUUCUCUGAUACUGUUAAACCCAAAAUCCACCCCUAAUCUUACAUCUGUGAUGCAACACUAGGUGUGCUCCUUAGUAAACUCCUCAAGCCCUUAAGGGGAUGUGAAAUUCGUUCACGAACCAAAUAAAAAGAAUCAUGUCAACAAUAUGAGAGUUUUAAAUUUAGCGCAAAGAAUAAUGACUUAAAGCUUAGGUGCAUGAGUUCUUGAGAGAACACUUCCAAUAGGCAUAUAUUAGAGAAUACCUAUUGGACUAGGAAUAAACUUAAAAACCAUAUUUUACUGAAAAAAUAAUUUGGAGAACUUAAGAAUUUUAAAAAGAUUUCACAUUUUAUGGAAAAACAAUUUGGGGAACUUAAGACUCUUAAAAAGAUAUGGAAAAAUUUUCCUUUUUCAAGUUAAAAAAGAUUUAGAAACAUUUUUCUUUUUAAAUCCUUAAAUUAAUUCCUUCCCAAAUUUCUUCAAAGGUUUGGAAAGUUUUUCUUUUUUAAUCUCCAAUUUAAUUUUUAUUUGCUUUUAUUAUUUGGAAAGAUUUUUCUUAUAAAAUUAUCGAUUUAAAAUUCAUACUAAAUUAAUUUUAUUCCCAAUUUCCUUAAGUCAGCUCUGUCUUUUAUGUCAUGAUUUUCGAUUAACUCCAGCAUACCUACUUGUAUAAUCCUAGGUUGUUUCUCCAACAAUAUUGAGUCUAUAAAAGGAGUGUAAAUCACAUGAAACUACGUAGAGUGAAAGUUCAUAUAUUGUUCAUAGAAUACCUGGAGAAGAAAGGGUGUAUAGUUUGUUAUUUGUUCUUUGCCCAAAAUUUUAUUUUCACAAUGUCUCUUUAAGAAUUAAUGAUGAAAUGGAGAAGUUUGAUUGCACCAAGGGAUAGCGAUUUACAUGGAAAACCACUCAUAAAGCCUUCCAAUAACAUUUAUGGAUGUAAAACCAUGGGGUCAGAGGCCGUAUAGCUAUAAUCUACUAAAUACGAAAAAGAGGUACAAUGAUUUACGUGAUAGCUACUAUUCAUUGCGACUUAAAACCAAAAUCCACCCCUAAUCUCACCUCUGUGAUGUAAGACUAGUCGUGCUUCUUAGUAAACUCCUCAAACCCUUAAGGGGGUGUGAAAUUCGUUCACAAACUAAAGAAAAAGAAUCAUAUGAACAAUAUAAGGGUUAUACAUUUAACAAAAAAUAUUAUGACUUAAACUUUAAGUGCAUCAGUUCUUGAGAGAACUCUUCCAAUAAGCAUAUAUUAGAGAAUACUUUGUAGACUUGGAAUAAAUUUAGAAAUGAUAUUUUAGUAAAAAAAUAAUAAUUGAAAGAACUUAAAAAUCUUAAAAAUAUUUCAUAUUUUUACAACAAAACAAUUUGGGGAACUAAAGACUCUUAAAAAGAUUUGGAUUUUUUUUUCAAGUUAAAAAUGAUUUAGAAACAUUUUUCUUCUUAAAUCCUAAAAGUAAAUUCCUUCCCAAAUUUCUUCAAAGGUUUAGAAAGAUUUUCUUUUUUAAAUUUCAACAUAAUUUUUAUAUUAUUUUUAUUAUUUGGAAAGAGGUUUUUUAUUUUUUUUUAUUUUUGGUGAAAUUCUCGAUUUAAAAUUGAUGCUAAAUUAACUUUAUUCUUAAUUUCCUUAAGUUAACUCUAUGUCUUUUAUGUCAUUAUUCUCAAUUAACUCUACCAUGCUUUAUUGUUUAAUCCCAAGUUGUUUUUGUAACAAUCUUGAGUCCAUAAAAGGAGUGUAAAUCAAAUGAAAGUACACAAAAGGAAAGUUUAGAUAUUGUUCAUAGAAUACCUAGAGGGGAAAGGGUGAAUAGUUCUUUAUUUGUUUUUAGCCAAACUUUUAUUUUUAAAAUGUCUCUUUAAGACUUAAUGAUGAAGUGGAGAAGUUUAAUUGCACCAAGAGACAAUGAUUUACAUGGAAAACAACUCAUAAUGCCUCCAAAUAACUUAUGCAAAUAUAGAACCAUAGGAUUAGAAACCAUAUUGCUAUAAUCCACUAAAUAUGAAGAAGUACAAAGAUUUACAUGCUAGUUACUAUUCCCUUAGACAAAAACCCAAAAUCCACCCCUAAUCUCACAUCUGUGAUGCAACACUAGGCAUGCUCCUUAGUAAACUCCUCAAACCCUUAAAGGUAAGUGAAAUUCAUUCAUGAACCAAAGAAAAAGAAUCACUUGAACAAUACGAGAGUUUUAAGUUUAACGCAAAAAAUAAUGACUUAAAUCUUAGGUGCAUGAGUUCUUCUAAGAAUACUUUCAAUAGGCAUAUAUUAAAGAAUACCUAGUGGACUAAGAAUAAACUUAGAAACCAUAUUUUACUAAAAAAAAAUAAAAAUUAGAGAACCUAAGAAUGUUAAAAAAGAUUUCAUAUUUUGUGAAAAAACAAUUUGGGAAGUGUAAAACUCUUAAAAAGAUUUGGAAAUUUUUUCUUUUUUUAGGUCAAAAAAGAUUUAAAAACAUUUUCCUUUUUAAAUCCUUAAAUGAAAUUCCUUCCCAAAUUUCUUCAAAGGUUUGCCAAGUUUUUCUUUUUCUUUUUUAAUUUUUAAUUACUUUUAUUAUUUGGAAAGAAUUUUCUUGUGAAAUUCUCUAUUUAAAGUUCAUGCCAAAUUAAUUUUAUUCCCAAUUUCCUUAAUUCAACUUUAUGCCUUUUAUGUCAUGAUUCUCAAUUAACUCCAUCGUACUUGUUUAAUCCCAAGAUGUUUCUACAACAAUAUUGAGUCUACAAAAGAAGUGUAAAUCACAUGAAAGUUCAUUGAGUGAAAGUUUAGAUGUUGUUCAUAGAAUACUUGGAGGGGAAAGAGUGAAUAGUUCGUUAUUGAUUUUUAGCCCAAAUUUUUUAUUUUUACAAUGUCUCUUUAAGAAUUAAUGAUGAAGUGGAGAAGUAUGAUAGUACCAGGGACAAUGAUUUACAUGGAAAACCACUCAUAAAGCCUCCCAAUAACAUUUAUGGAUGUAAAACCAUGGCCUUAGAGACCGUAUAGCUAUAAUUUACUAAAUAUGAAAAAGAGGUACAAUGAUUUUUGUGAUAGUUACUAUUCAUUAAGAUUUAAAACCCAAAAUCCAUCCCUAAUCUCAUCUCUAUGAUGUAGCACUAGGCAUGCUCCUUAGUAAGCUCCUCAAACCCUUAAGGGGAUGUGAAAUUCUUGCACAAACCAGAGAAAAAGAAUUACGUGACCAAUAUGAGGGUUUUAUGUUUAGCAAAAGAAAAUUACGACUUAAAAUUUAGGUGCAUAAGUUCUUGAGAGAACUCUUCCUAUAUGCAUAUAUUAGAGAAUACCUUGUAGCCUUGGAAUAAACUUUGAAACCAUAUUUUACUAAAAGAAAUAAUUGAAAGAACUUAAACGUCUUAAAAAGAUUUCACAUGUUACCACAAAAUAAGUCUUCAAAGUCGUGUAAAUCUAAGGAAAGUAUGGAGGGUUCUAAAUGAGGAUGGAUGGAACAAAAUUGUUAAUUUAGUCUAAUUAGCCUAAUGUACUAUCUUUCCAUUUGGGAAUUUUAUGACAAAAUUAUAAUGAUUACAAAAAUCUCCAAUACUCAAACAAAGUUUACAAAUCUCUCAAUGUCACUCUUCCUAGACCACACAUCCUAUAAACUAAUUUUCAAUAUCUCUAACUCGUUUUGAAAAAUCUUGAAGUUUAGAUCCUAUGAUUCAAUAUACACUUAAACAACAAUACCUGUGAAAACGUGUGGGAAAAUGAAAAACCAUUAUAGUCUAAUCACAAUCCAUUAAUCUAGAAAAAAAAUAAAACAAAUAGAUAUCAUCUCAAAUUAAUAUUAAUCCCAAAGUAUAUAUCGGAUAUAAAAACAAUCAUAUGAAUUUCUCUCCCUUUUUUUGUCAAAAAAACGAUGAAGACAAAUAAAUAUAAUAAGAAAAACCAAUAUGUCUAAAAGGAGGUCAAAAAAAAUAAAAAGGAUGUUAAUUCACAUACUUAUAGCUUUCAAAAUAAUAUUAGAACUUAAUAUAUUAUAAUAAUCACAAAUAAUAUGAAUAAUCUAAUAAAAAAGAACUCAAAUCAUGCAAAUUCUUCAUGAAAUUAUCAAGAGAAUCACGUCAAUUACAUUUUAGACUCUAAACCGUUUCAAGAGCGAAUAAGCUAUAACAAGUAUACAAUCAUCUAAAGAACUUAAUCCCAAGCCCAUCAACUUAUUUCUUUAUUAUUAAAGUUAUAUAAUUUACAAAUCUAGUUGGUUCAUUAGAUCAUGUCUAACUUUUAAUCAAUUCAAAACUCAUUCAAUUUGAAAAUAGUUUUUCAAAAUUCUGUUUAUGAUGACAAAUCGUUGAUCUUUAAAGAACAACUUUAUUUACUCCCUUGAAUUGAUGAUUUUUCAAUUUCUCAUUUUUUUUCUUCUUUUUCUUUUAUUUUUUUCAUGGUGGACUCAAUUUACCAGAAAUAGAGAAAUCAUACUUUCAUCAUGGGUAACCUUUUGACUAUGGGGUGUUUCCAAAUUUUGCAAGUGAUGACAUAUUUUUGAAUUGGCUCAACCAAGGUUGUCAUAGUGCACUUCAAGAGACAUAUAUGUGAUUUAAUUCAAACAUGAUAUUUCAAAUUAAUUUGAAAUAGACAUAAUGUUAAUGAAUUCUCUGAAUUUGAAUCUUUACACAAUAGUUAAAUUUAAGAAUAUUUAUUUCUAAAUAGAAACAAUAGAAGAUCUUAUAAAGUAGUCAUAUCAAAUUCUUCAUUUGCUUUGUUAUCAAAUCCUAGAAUGAAAUUGACGUGAUACUUAUGAUAAUAUAUAGAAGAAUAAAUACUUCAAAGAAUAACAAAAUUGAAAGAAGACUCAAACCCUAAAAUAAUAAUGAACCAAGUAACAACAAAUUUUAUCAAACCAUAUGUACAUAAAUUAAUUGACCUAGGAUCUUAAAAAAAAUGAUUCCCCCUAAAACAAUGAUUGUUAGUCCUAAACUCAUUAACACAAAUAAUUCCCUAAAUAUGACACACUCCCCCUAAAACCAAGACAAACAUUAUAGCACACUAAGAAUGAAAAUAUAAAUUGAAAUAUCAUAAAGAGAAUCUAAAGGAGUAGAACAAGAGCAAAAUUGACCUUUACUUUGAAGUUCAACAAGGGCAUCUUUCAUAAUCCAAAUUUGUCGAGUCUUAGGAACUCUAAAAAAUGAAUUUGAAGUACCAAUGUGGGAAUCAUAAUGAAUAUUCAUUGUGGGUUUAGCUUGGGUGGAAGCUUUUGAACCUAUUGAGUAUUUUUUUUCUUUUUCUAUUAAAAAAAGGAUUUUAUCUUUUAAUUCCUUAGAUUCAACCACAAGCUUGUUAAUUUGCCUAUGAAAUUCUUUAAACUUUCUAAUAUGACAUUUAUCACUAGUACAACCAUAUCUAUGACAAAAUGAAUAUGUGGACAUGGUCCUAUUAGAUGUUUGGACAGCAGAAAAUACUUUUUUAGCCUUAACAAAAUUAGUCUUUCCACUCAUACGAGUAGAAGACUCAUUGACAUAUCCUAGGUCUCUCUUAUCUCCAGUGGGCUUCCCUUUACCAAUGAUCUCAAUGACGACCUUAGCCCCUGAAUGGAAGACUUCAUCUUUAGAGAGCACAUCUUUCCUCUAUUGUUCAAUUUGUAGCGAUAGAACAAUGUUUAUCUCAAGUACAAAUUUCUGUUAGUCCUCUAGAUAUCGAAUUUUCUCAAGAUAGUUCUCUUUUUUUAUUCUUUUAACACCACAUUCUCAUUUUUUAGAGAUUCAUAUGCAGUAGUUAUCUUAAUGCAUCUAUUCAACAACAGUUGAUAUUCUUUACUCUAAUCCUCAAUAAUGGAAGCCUUUUCAUCAAGGCCACUAUAUCUAACUCAUCAUUGUCAGAUGCACCAGAUGCAAUCUUCUGGUAUAUAACUCUCAAGUGCAGCAAAAUCUAUAUGCAAGUGUGCAAAUGCUCCCUCCUGAAUGUACCAUACCGGUGCUAACCUCUAAUUUUUUGUCUCUCUUACUCACUUUUACUGUAUUUUGCAAGAUAAGCCUCUCUAAAGCAUUCUUAUAACUAGAGAACCACCCAGCAUCUAAUUACAUAAAUUCCAGGUCACAUAGUAUGCCACAACUGAAUGAAAAAGUAAAAUCUUUAACUGGAUGCUUAUCAAUCUGCAUUGCAACACCAGCCAGCAUCUCUAUCAAGUCAUUGUCCUCUUGCAGGGUUCCCUAAGAAAAAGCAAGGCUGUGAUAUCUUCAUUUCACUUGGGUAAGUGAUCCACCACUUUUGUGAGACACUAUGCAAUCUGUACUUCAUGAACCUUAACCCCAGCUGCUGUAUAUUGACCCAAUAAUAUGACUUUUAACAUGGUAGCGUCUUGGUUUUUGGGUUCACUACUAAGGUCAUCGGUUCAUAUCAAGUCCAUACCCAACAUGAAUCCAUGACUAUCAGAUAAACAGUAAAUGAGAGCUACACUAUCAACUAAACCAUCAAAUACUCACACUAAAAAAAGUGAUUGUAAUAGUUGACAACCAAUACUACAACUCAAUAGUUUGGGAGCACGAGGAAAGCAAUUUUCAAAACCAUGUGUCUAAUGAUCCAUAACUACAACUCAAUAGUACUAGAGUACAAGUACAUAAAUAUACAAUAAAAGAUAACUUCUAAAGAUAGGGCUAUAUAUGUCCACAACAACCCAAUCUAGAUAGAUAACUAUGCCAUUCCUCAUAGCUCCCCACUGCCAAAAGCCUCUUAUGGUUACCUGUCCUUGGCCUUGACCUCAUCACCAAAAAAAAUGAAUAAGAUGUACAUGAUCUAAAGCUUAAUAAGCAAGCUAUUACCAACAAGGUUUGGGAUUGCUGGCCCAAUACAAUCAUUUUGCAAUAUACCUAUGAUAGUACUAUAUAUCCAAAAUGAUAUCAAUACACAAUAUAUCAAAGUUGUCCAAAUCUAAGUAAAAUUCCAUUAACGGGUCCCUGAAAUGUGAAUUUAACACAAUGAUGCAGUAUGGGGUAUAUGAAUCAAACAUUAAAAGAUCUGUUCUAACAACAGGGAAGGUAUUUGUAUCACUUACACAUGCAAAUUAUUUGAAAAUGUGAUCACAACUCAAUUGUAAAUUAUUAUUGCAUGUACUGAAAACUAAUCAAGUAAUUACCUAUGAAGUUACAAAAUAAUCAACCAUUCAGAACUUGAUUCACUUAAUCUAAUUAAUCCAACUCAUCAUUAACUUCAUUUGAGUAUCUGUUUAUAGUUAUGCUAUAGAUGCUGAAAAUGAAAAAUAAAAGAAUAAUCGAAUACUAAGCAUUUAUGUUGAAAAUCUUUCUUGAGGUUAAAAAUCAUAUUAAUCUUCGUGGCUUGCAAAAUACACUUUUAAAUGGUCAGGUGGUUUUUGCAAAUGGCCAAACAUGCCUUAUUACCACGCUUCCGCUUCGCACCUCACUUUCGGGAAUGGAAGUCACAGAGCUACAGGGGAAGAAAGGAUAAGGCUUUUUCUCAUGCCUGGCCGGGCUCUCACCUCGGGCUGUCUCUGCAUAUUUUGAAAUGAAGAGCAGUUUUUACUGUGCAAAAAUUUUAGCUCCCUAAACAAAACCAUUCACACAUCACUUGCAGUCCAAAAUUUUAGGCGUUUUGCUUAUGGUCCCAACUGCUUUCAAAGAGCAGAAAACCACUGGGUGAUUUUGCACAUUGCAACACAAAAGUGUGAUGAUCUAAGUGCCUCUUCCCAGGCAGAAAAAUCAUUGGGCAUAUUCAACUGGAUUUUCAACAUAUGUAAGCUUUCUUUUGGACUUCAAUAUGAACCCUAAGUUUGGUUACCUUUCAGGAGAAAUUAGAUAUGCCGAAAAGCCUAUCCUAAUGACUCAAAAGAUAUCUAAAUGCAAUUUAUAUUAACUCACACCAUUCUGUGAAGGUUUGACAUAAAGUGAAUGUCAAAUAGGCCAUUGUCUUCAUUGUAUGAAUAUGAACUUGAUUUUCACCCAAGAGCCUCACUAGCUUCACUAAACUCGAUUCCUUUAGCUUGAUAUCGUUGAGAUUGAUUGAUCUUAGGAACUCAAGAUGGUGAAACCUAAGCUAAUACCUUAUAAUUGGAAUCAUCAUUCAAUUUCUAACAUACAGUCUAUAAAUUUAUGGUCUCUUUUUGGGCAUUCCAUGACUAAACAUUACAUCAUACAAAAUGUAAAUCUUUUCAUGCAUAUGCUUGAAUUUCCAUGUUAUUACUCAACAAACACAUUAGUUGUUCAAAUAAUAUGUAUGGAUAUACUUUCCCCCCUUUCUAGCUCAACAAAGCAUUCUCUCCCCCUUUGUACCAUUCUCUUCUUUUAUGAUAGGAAUUGACAAAGAAAGAACCUAAUAUAUCAAAUCCUUGACCAAAAGAGGUAAAACACAUCAACAUUACAAUGCUAGAUCAUGUCAACAAUAAUAGGAGAUAUUUUCAAGAUGAUACUCAUCUUAUUGACUAAUAUGAAACAUAGAGAUAUUGAUCUUCCAAAACCAAUAAUGGAUUUUGUCAAAGUCAAUCAUAAGCUUGAUCAUGUAUGAAAAACAUCUCUUUGAACAUAUAAAGUGUAGGAAGAGUGUAAAUAAUUUCUAUUUUUAUUUUUGGAAAUUAAUUUUAAUUAAUUUUAUUUUAUUCUAUGAAUCUUACAUUUUUGGGAAGUGUCCUAUUGAAAAUUAUUUUUUAUUUCAUUUUAUUUUAUUCUAUUCUAUUAGUGUUAUAUUUUUGGGAAGAGUCCUAUUGGGAUUGUACUAGUGGAGUCUCAUUCCUUUUAUAAGUAGAAUCACUUUCCACUUUGUAUCAUCUUCUAAUUACAAGUAGAUUCCCAUUGGGACUGUGUUAGUGGCCUAUAAAUGCAGGUCACCUCUCUCUCUAUAGAUAUAUACUAAUUUUUCCCUAGAAUUUUUUAGAGAGUUUUUUCAUACAUCAUUUUGGAGGAAUUUAUUCAAAACUCGAGCUGUAUACAUCUCGCUUUCAGAGUGCACCCAAGGCGAGAUCUGACUGUUGAAUCCUGGAGGUAGACCAUUGGUACUCUAGUGCACCGAGUUUGUCUUUGAGGAGGGCGUUGCUUGUCGCGCCUCAGCCAAUAAGUUUUUCUUCUUAUUAAUUAUGUUCUUUAUUUGUGUCUUUUGGGUUAGUCCUUUGUUUCCAUACCCUUAACUCCAACAUAAAGAGAAUCAACUCAACAAUUUAAGGAUUCCUAUUCAAUAGAAGUUUUGAACAUGUUUAUUCAAAUGUUAAUACAAGAUAAUCAAUGUAAACUAAUUGUACAUCCAAUACUAUAUAAAGAAUCACUACUGCUUGAUACCUUUUUAGAUCAACAACUUCAACUUAAGAAGUUCUUAUCUUUGACCACAACCUUGAUGUCAAUUGCACCACUUUUAUUUCUUUUUGAGUCACAAGGUAGAUUUUUUUUAUUCCUUUUUUACUCCAUGGAGCAAAAACUUUCUAAUUGACCCAAUGAGUUCUUGUUUAAUGACUCGAAAUUAGUUGGGCUUUGGAAAUUAGGUUAGCCCUUUUGAACUUGAACUUGACUAAAAAAUGCUACAACCUUGGAACCAUUGCACAUACAAGUCACACCUCCUUCAUGAUGUGAAUCUCAACACUUAGGAGAAGAAAUCCAACUAAUUUUUAUUUUUUUUAUUUUUAUCAAAACCAAAAUAUGCAUUGAUAUGAAUAAAGAAUACAUGUGAAGGAUGAGGAAUCAUCCCCAAAUUUAUAUAUAAAAAAAUAAUCAAAAAAUAGAUGAUUGAACCUCCUCCAAUAAACAAAGGAGACCUAUAUAUCGGAGUAGUACUAUAUGGGGAUACACUAUAUAAAGCAAUAAUCAAUCCAUGACGUUUAAUACAUCUCCAUAAAAUAAAAAUUAAAAAAUUAUAAAAAAACUAAAUCGAUACUCAUCUCCUUACUAUCGAAACCCUUUUUUUUUUCUACACAUUGCAUGCUAAUUGAGCUGAACAAAACAGAGAGAAGUGCCUUUAAAGGAUAUGGAAUAAGAGGCCCAAGAAAAGGAAUGGAAAUGAAUUAGAUCCCAUAUUUUAUUUGAAGUCCUCCAUUUGUCCUAAAAAGUCCUUACAUUUCUUUCUUGCCACACAAUAUAAAAUCAUUAUGAGAUAGACAAUUUGCCAUAGGACUUUGCCUCUAGUGGUUCUCCCUAAAUCCCUUUAAAAAAAUGGUUAUCAUAUCACAUACUCCUAAAGAAACCCAAUCUUAGCUUGUUAGUUUAAAUAGCCUAUGCUAUAGCCUAAGAGUCAACAAACACUGUAAAAAUAGAUGAUCAACUAACUAUUUACUCCCUAUAUAAAAAUAUAUCAGUUAGGACUAAAGGCUUUGUAAGGUCUUCCUGAAGAGUGUAAAAUCAUGAGAGCCAAAGUGAUUUUGGGCUUCUCUAAGAUGUUUGUUGCGGAGAGCCUUUAAAGAGUUCUUCAUUUAUUUAAGUAAUCAUACAACAACUUUAUUGUAAUCACAUAACUAAACCUUGACAAGUUUUUCUAAUUGCACAAAUUAUUAUAACAAGAUAAAAACAGAAUGCUAAGUUAUAUUCUAACCUUCCUCCAUAAGCUAAAGGUCUUGGAAGAACUAUGAACUUGGAAUGAAGACUUAAAAACCAUGGAGUAUGAAGAGGAUGAAUCAUAGCAUUUAUUAAUUGGUGAUUAGAGUUUAUAAAUUUGAUAUCCAACAAUUUCUAAAGCAUCUUAUCACGCACAAAAGUGGAAGUCAAUCUUUAUAUGUUUAAUUUAUAGAAUGCAAAAUAAGAUUCACUAGAAAGUAGGUUGUACUUAAAUUGUCACGCAAUAAAGUAGGUCUAUGGAGUAAAGGAAUCUUAAGCUCAUGAAACUAGAAUUGAAUCCAAACCAAUUUAGAAGUAGCAUGUGCUUCAACAUGGUAUUUAGACUCAAUGCUAGACCAAGAGACCACCUUCUAAUUAAUUGCAAACCAAGAGAUUAACUUAUUACCAAAGAAGGCAUGAUAGCCACUAAUACUUUUGUGAUUAUUAGGCCAAUUGGCCGAAUCUACAUUAGAAUAGGCAAAAAGAUCUAAAGAGGAGGCUGCAUGAAGUGUCAAGCUAUAAAAUAACAUUGAAUAAAUCUUUUAACUACCUAUCAAUGAGAGUAAAUGAGAGCAUGCAUGAAUUUGGUGCAACUUGUUGAUGACAAAAGAAAUGUUAAGAUGAGUAAUGGUGUAGUAUUGUAAAGCCCUAACGAGACUUCUAUAUGGAGUAGGAUUUGAGAGAGGAGUACCAUCUCUAAUAGAGAGCAAUAGUCCAAAGGCCAUAGGUGUGGCACAAGGUUUGUAAUUAGUUAGCUAAGCUCUAGUUAGCAAGUUUACAGUGUACUUAUGUUGACAAAUAUGAAGUUAAGAUCCAAACUUUUUAACUUCAAGUCCCAAGAAGUAACUCAAAUCACCCAAAUCCUUUAAACCAAAGUAUGAAUCAAGAUAGGAAAUAAGUUGAUGGAUUUGAGAUGAAUUACUGUUAGUAACUUUGAUGUCAUCUACCUAUGCUAAAAUAACAAUCAUAUAUCUACCAUUGACAUAUACAAACAUAGAAGAAUUAGCCUUAGAGGAGUUGAAACCCUAAUGCAAUAAAACAUUACUUAGCUCGUGAAACCACUCAUGAGUUGCCUGCUUAAGUCCAUAGAAAGCCUUAUUGAGCUUGCAAACAUGCUUAGGAAAUUUAUAACUCACAAAACCAGGAGGUUGGGACAUACGCAUAACCUCAUCAAGUUUUAAAAAGGCAUUGUGAACAUCUAAUUAUUUUAAAACUCGUCCUCUACUAAGUGCCAAUGUUAGAAUAAUUUGCACACUGGUAGAUUCAACAAUAAAGCUAAAUGUCUUGAAAUAAUCAAGACCAUAGGUUUGAUGAAAGCUCUUUACAACAAGGCAAGCUCUGUACCUAUUAAUAGAAACAUCUAGAUGAAGUUUAAGUUGAUAAACCCAUAUAUAACCAAUUAUCUUAACAUUUGGAGGUAAGGAGAUCAACAUCCAUGCAUCAUUCUUCAAAAGAGCUUGAAACUCACUAUUCAUAGCCUCUUGCCACUGCGUAGUUUAGGACAAAGGUUCAAAUAUAAUAGAAGAAUUAGCCAAAAAUACUAUUGGUUUAGAGUGACCAAUCUUAGAAUGUGUAAGCAUAGGAUGAGUAUUGGUUGUGGGAGGUUGUAGUGAAGCUGUAAUAGUUGGUACCUUAAGAGAUAUAUUGAUAGAAGAUGAUAUUUUUGAAGCGCUUGGAGUAUUUUUAGAUGAAGAUGGCUUAGCAGAUACAUGACAAGAAGGAAAAUUGGAUGAAAAGGUUAAUGGUAAAGUAGAAUAUAUAAAAGAUUGAAUUGGAUAAUGACGAAAAUGAGGCAAAAGGACAAUUAGAUUCAUGAAAUGUUACAUGACGAGAGAUAUAUAUUUGACUAGGUUGAAGUUGAGACAAAUCAAACCUUUGUGUUUAGGAAUUAAGCCAAUAAAGACACAAUGACUAGAACAUAUUUAUAGUUUAUGGGAAUUAAAACGUUUGAUAAAAGGAAAACAUGGGAACCAAAAACAUGAAUAGUAGAAUAAUUUGGUAAUCUAUGAUAUAGACAUUCAAAAGGAGAUUUGUGAAACAAAAGAGGUGUAGGUAAGUGAUUUAUGAGAUACAUAGAGAAUCGGAAGGCAUGAGACCAAUACUUUAGAGGCAUAGAAGCAUGAGUAAGGAGGGUAAGACCAACCUCAAUUACAUGUCUAUUUUUAUGCUCUGUGAUUUUAUUAAAGAGUAGAAGGGCAAGAGAGAUGAUGAAGAAUUCCUAAUUAAGACAAAAGAGCAAAGAUAGGAUGGUAUUCCCCUCACUAGUUAGAUUGGAUAGUGAGAAUUUUAGUGCUAAAUUGAAUUUCAACCAUUGAUUUGAAUUGAAGGUAUUUGAUAGUCUCAUCAUUGGAAUUUAAAAGAUACAUCCAAGAAAAAUGAGUACAAUCAUCAAUGAAUAAGAAAAAAUAUUUAACAACAUUCACAGAGAUAACAAGGGAAGGUCCCCAAAGAUCAAAGUGCACCAAUUCAAAUGGUUUUGUUGUAUGAGUAAUGGAUUGAACAAAAAGAAGUUGAUAUUCAUACAACGAUUUAUGGUGAAAAUUAAAGAAAACGAAAAGAAAAACAUACAUAUUUAACAUGGUUUAGUAGAUUGCCUACGUCCACAGGAACAAGGAAGAAGACUUUUACUAUAUCUAAAAUUAGGGUUAUAUAAAAAGGUAUUUAUAUUAACCCUCAGUACAAAAUUCCAAAAAUACUCCUGAACAGUAUCGGGGGGGGGGGGGAGGGGGGAACCCCCCACCCAUCAUUUCCCCCCAAAAAAAAAAAAACAAGCUUGGAAAGCCAAAGUCAAAACUCCCCCAAUUGCCCCUUUUUCCCCCAAAGGCUUUUCCCCCAAAAGAACCGGAUACUACAACAAAAGUCCGUCUCUUAGUUAAUUUACAUGGAACCCCAAAAAUUUAUGACCCGGGGGAAAGNNNNNNNNNNNNNNNNNNNNNNNNNNNNNNNNNNNNNNNNNNNNNNNNNNNNNNNNNNNNNNNNNNNNNNNNNNNNNNNNNNNNNNNNNNNNNNNNNNNNUACAACAAAAGUCAGUCUCUUAGUUAAUGACAUGAAACACAAAAAUUAUAUGACCAGGGAGAAUGUUAGAUUCUUACCUAGUUACAUGAAAAGUUGUAUUUUUGAGAUCCAAUUCACCAUAGUGAUCAAUUACUAGGGAAAGUCAAAUUUAAGAGUUUUUCAUUUGUAGUUAUUUCAUUUGAACUCGUGUUCUUAAUUUGAUUUUGAAAAAAAUUCAUGCUUAAAAUUUUUCAUCAAUUGAAUUGGUAAAUUUCCUUGAUUUGAUCAUCACCGCAUCAACUUGUACCAUUUUCUUCUUAAUCCACCUCAACUUUACCCAUCCUUGUGGAUGAUAUUUAGUUUAGUAUACUAUGGUAGCAAUAUCAUUACCCUUGAUCAAGAUGAGAGCUACAUUUAUGUAGUGCGACCUUAUUUUUGAAAGAAAAGGCAAGCAAAGAAAAUGCCUUUGAUCAAGAUAAUCUUGACCUGAACAAACAAUGAAAACAAGUCUUAAGCUAGUAUCCUAUAGAAAUUUGAAAUGAUACUAGUCAUAUAAUCAAGAUAUGUCUAAAACACACUCACCUUUUGUGAUUAACAAAUCUGGAAGUAUCAAUGACUUCAAAAUAUAUAUGUAUUUGUAUGAAAUUUAAUAAUCUACAUGACAUGUACUUGUUAAUAACACCAUGACAUAUUAUUCAAUGACACAUCAGUCUAAUAUUUCCUAAGAUAUUCAAAGCUUAUCACCUCAAGAGGCUUUGUUAAAAUACCAGCUGCUUAUUCAAUUGAAUAAGCUUCUAGAGUUUCUCUAGGUCUCUCCCUCUUCUAUUUUUUCCUAUUACUCAAAAUAAACUGAUGAUAAGAAUAGAGGAAAAGAACAUGAAGAAAUCUAAACCCUAGAAAAGAACAAAGAGGCCUCCCAAAGGAGGAGAGAAAAUCUCCAACUAUAGAAUGGGGUGUUUAUAACCCUUCCAAGGUUACCUUAGCAUGGGGAUACAUGACGGCAUCCUAUGGAAACACCAAAGACCCAAUUGCUAGGAGGAAAGUGCCAAAAAAAGUGGGCUUGGGCAUCUGGCGAAGAGGGCACCACGCUUGGGUGGCAUGGGCCAUGGGGCCCAACUUGGUGCCCAAAGUUGCAGUAAACAAUGGGGAGGCUGCCAGAUUGGGCACCAUCCUUUUGGGCAAAGUGGGCCAUAGGCCAGAGUCAAAACGAUAGUGUGCAUUCUUCACCUGUUUCAUGCACUUGCGCUCCUCUUGCUGUAUUCUUGUGCUUUGGUUGCCUCAGGUGGGUCCAUUAUGUGCACUUAUUCACUCAAAUAGAUGCAAGACAUAGAAAACUAGAGGAAAAUACAAUUGAUGUCAAUAUCACACUAAGAAUGCAAUUUCUAUUCUAAUUUCUAACCAAUAUUUGCAUCAAUCACCUCUUUUUUUUUCUUUUCUCUUUUUUCUUUUUGUUUUGCUUUGGGCAUACUUUGUUCAAAUCUUUAUUUUGGAUACUCAUUGGUGUACUUUUAGAAAACAGUAGUGAUAAUUGGAUUUGGUUCCAGACUUCAUCAGACCGAUAUGUUCAUGUAACCUGUAAGUGGCCUAAUUGAAUACAUGACCAAAUCUUAUGUCUUAAGUGCUUUUUUUUCUUUGGUUCCAUAUCUUGAACAUAUGAAUGUUUAUGCUUUAACCAGUGUGAUUCAGCUAUUUGUUGAGUUCUCCAUGGUGUGAUUAAUUACUACUUCGGCACACCAUUCUUGUACUAGUACUGUUAACUUAAUCGACAAUAUUUUGUAACUAAUGAAUCCUCAUUGUUCAUCUGAGUUUCUAUUUUGAAUUUUUGUUGAUGUUCUGAGUUGUAUACUGCUGAUAAUACAGGAAUGGUUGAUCCAGUUAUUGGUGGGGCAGGAGGGGAGAUAUAUAAAGAUGGGAAACGCGUAGCGACUUUUGCCAUUAGCAAUAUUCUUUAUCUGAAGGAUCUGAACAGAAACUAUAAAAAGUUAAUGCAGGAAGCCAUGAAGCUCAAGGCAAUGAGGAUAGACCUAGAAAUAAGAAGAUUUAAGACAAAGUCAUGCAUAAGAGAUUGGAUUGCUAGGGCUUCGAUUAUUGAAAGACAAGUGGAACACCUAGAAACUAAAUACAACAAUGAAAAGAAGCAUCGAUGGAAAUUGUUUUCCCUUGCAAAUCUUAGCAAAGAGAUGGAAGUGAAGUGCCAAGAAGUUUGUAGUCAUAGGGAAGAGGGAGACUUUAUGAAAGAAACAGCAGUCAUGGAAUUGCCAGAGCCUGUCCAAAGAAUACCUACACUCAAACUGGAAGAAAACUCAUCAUUGCACAAAGUUUUACAACAUGUACUGAGGUUUCUAGAGAAUAAAGAAGUAAGAAGAAUUGGUAUCUGGGGCGAGAUGGGAACUGGGAAAACCACAGUAUUGAAGAACUUGAAUAAUCAUGAAAAAGUUGCUGAAAUGUUUAAUAUGGUCAUCUAUGUAACUGUCUCAAAAAAGUGGAGUGAAAAAAGGGUACAAGAUGCAAUCCUAAGGCGGCUAAAAUUGGAUGGAGAAGGUAAUGCUGAUGUUAACGAAGCUGCUUCGAUAAUAUCUGAAGAUUUGAAGCAAAAGAAGUGUUUGAUUCUUUUGGAUGAAGUAACGAACAUGAUUGAUCUAAAUAGAAUAAUGGGAAUCGACGAGAACCCAGAUAGCAAGGUAGUGUUGGUGAGUAGAUAUGAAGAGUUUUGUAAAUGUGACAUGAAGGCUGAUGAGCUAGUUAAUGUGAAGCGAUUGCUACCUACUGAAGCUUGGAACAUGUUCCAGAAAAUAGUAGGCCCUUCCAUUUCUAACCCCUUAAUUGAACCACCGGCGAGGCGUGUGGUUGAAGAGUGUUAUGGGUUGCCACUGCUGAUAGACAGAGUAGCAAUAACCUUCAAAAAGAAGGGGGAAAAUGAAGUGCUUUGGAGGGAUGGAUUGGAACGGUUGAAAAGAUGGGAAAGUGUCAAACUCGUUGGCAUGGAUGAAGUGCUGGAACGCUUACAGAUUUGUUAUGAUGAUUUGGAAGAUGAUGAACAGAAGUUUUGCUUUUUGUAUGGUGCAUUGUAUCCCGAAGAAAGUGAGAUAUAUGUAGAUUACUUGUUAGAAUGUUGGAAAGCUGAAGGUUUUAUUAAACGUGCAAAUGAUUUCAGAACUGCACGCAGCAGAGGGCAUUCGGUGCUGAAUGAGCUUAUCAAGGUAUCUUUGCUGGAGAGAAGUGAUAAAAGGAAAUGUGUUAAGAUGAAUAAAGUGCUUCGGAAAAUGGCGCUUAAGAUCUCAUCGAAAAGAACAGAUUCCAAAUUUUUAGUGAAGCCACCUGGGGGGCUAGAAGAUUUCUCAAAGAAGGAAGAAUGGGAACAAGCCCAUCGGAUUUCUUUGAUGAAUAACCAACUACGCACUUUACCAGAAACACUAGAUUGUCGGAAUCUGUUAACGUUGUUGCUUCAAAGAAAUAGGUACUUGACUUCUAUUCCUGAGUUGUUCUUCACAUCUAUGUGUCGUCUGAAAGUUCUAGAUCUCCAUGGCAGUAAGAUUGUAGUACUGCCUUCAUCCUUAUCCAACUUGAUUUACCUCAAAGGGCUCUAUUUAAAUUCUUGCUCUGAGUUGAAAGAAAUCCCAUCUAGUGUAGAAGCACUUGAGCAUCUUGAGGUGUUGGAUAUUCGAAAGACCAAACUUAAGUUACUUCGAAUUGGAAGUUUAGUAUGGUUGAAGUGUUUGCGAUUAUCAUUGUGUAAUUUUGAUGUGGCAAACUAUACUGAAGCACAAGUGUCAAGGUUUGAUUUGUUGGAGGAAUUGACUAUUGAUGUUGGUUCAUUGGAAGAAGGGUGGGACAAGAUUGUAGAUCCAGUAAUAGAGGAGAUAGUUAAGUUGAAAAAAUUGACCUCUCUUAGAUUUUGUUUCCCUCAGGUAGACUGCCUUGGCUUAUUUGUUGAAAAAAGCCCUGUGUGGGAGGAGGAUCGCCGCUUGACAUUUCAUUUUGCUGUUGGUUACCAUGACUCCGCCGUUGCUCAUGUUCUUGAGUCUAUCGAUAAUCCAAGCUACAACAUCUUGAAGUUGGCCAAUGGUGAUGGUGUAAAUCCUAUAAUCAUGAAGGUGCUAACGAAAACCAAUGCAUUGGGACUAAUAGACUACAAAGGAGUUUUGAGUCUAUCGGAUUUUGGCAUCGAGAAUAUGAAUAUGAUAUUUGAUUGUUUGAUUGAAGGAUGCAGUGGAAUUAAGACCAUCAUCUAUGGUAAUGGAACAUCAAAGGCUGUGCUAGAAUGUUUGAAAAAUUUGCACAUAACCAAUGUCCCAGAAUUGGAAAACAUUUGGCAGGGGCCUGUUCAUGCUGGAAGUUUGGCUCGAUUAACAACUGUGACAUUAAGUAAUUGCCCCAAGUUGAUGAAGAUAUUCUCUAAUGGUAUGAUUCAACAACUUAUUCAACUGAUGCACUUGAGAGUUGAAGAAUGCCAUCGAAUUGAAGAGAUUAUCAUGGAAUCUGAGAAUACACAACUAGAAAACCAAGCACUUCCAAAGUUGGAGACCCUAGAACUCAUUCAUCUGCAACAACUAACAAGCAUUUGGGUUAAAGAUUCAUUAGAGUGGCCAUCUUUACAAGAAGUUAAAAUAUCUAACUGUUGCAUGUUGAAGAGUUUACCUUUCAAUGAGGUCAAUGCAACCAAAUUGAGAUCCAUUGAAGGGCAACAAUCAUGGUGGGAAGCACUAGAAUGGAAAGGUGAUGCCAUUAAACAAAGAUUACAGCCUCUUUGCAUCCUCAACUAGCUCCUUUGAUUUCAUCUCUUCUGCAUUUUAUUGUAAAGCUAAUCAGGAUAGUUGCUGCUGCUGAGACAAAGUAAGUUUGUGUGCAGGAUUCAAAAACUCUGGCUUGCACUUGCUUGAGAUUUACUAUCUUUUUCUUGUAUUUGUUUGAGAUUUGAUACUUUGGGUUGUGUUUGUUUAAGAUUUGCUACUUCAUAUUGUAUUUGUGUAUGAUUGCUUGUUGUUUGGUUGUUAUAUUUCCAUAUAUCUUACGUAAGGAUAAUAGAUUGAAAAUCUUAAGCUCUAUUUGGUUCUAGAAAAGUAUUAAAGAAAGAGGAAAAUAAUUUUCUCAUGUUUGGUUUUAAAUUAUUUUCUUUAUAUAGAGGAGAGAAAAAAAAAAGUAAAAUGAGAUCAAAAUAGCAAAUGAAAAUAAUUUAUCGACUUUAAAUCUUUUUUUUUUUUUCACUUUUCGUCUCCAUUUUCUUUCUCUUCCAUCUUUUUUCAAAAUUUUCAAGAACCAAAUAUAACCUUAGUCAUGACCGCUAAUAAUGAUUUUUCUUCUCAUAAGGUAGGACUGAACAAUUGUAGUAUCUGAUAUUUGUGGUGAAUUAUUCAUUUGAUACACAUUCUUUCUCUUGAUAUCAUAUAUGGUUUCUGAUUUUAGUUGUUAUCUUAUUUUUUGGUAUUUGAAUUUGAUUUAUUCAUCUCAUUUAUUUUUAUUUCUUUGGGGAAAUGGUUUAGGAAUAUGAAUAUGAAGAUGUUCAAUUGCUUUACGGAUUUCUGCUAACUGAGUCAUCAUGUGGCCUAAGCCCAGCCCUUUUCAUGCCCAAGCCUGGCCCAAUCAUUGAAAUUUGGGCUUAGACAGAACUCAGACCCGCAAUGAUGGGCUUUUAAAAUAUAAAUGUUAUGCAACACCUUAUCUUUUAAUCACCUUUAUGUUUUAUAAAAAUAAUUAAUUCUAAAUUUCAACUCAAAGUUAAGUUGUCCAAAAAUCAUUAAAAAUAGGAAACUUUUUUUUAGACUUGAAAAUACGUUUGGUAUUUUUUUAUUUUUUAUUUUAUUUUUAGAAAACAGUUCUUUGAAAACUCGUUAUGGAAAUAAGAUAUUUUCUGAGAACAUAUUUUAAUUAUUUUUAAAUAUUUUUCCUUAUUUUUUGGGAUUUAUUUUAAAAACUAAUUGUACAUAUAUGUAGAAUGGUCAGAAUAAAAUCAUUGGAAACAAAAGUUGUUUUGAAGAAAUUCAAAAACAUAAAAAGUAGUUUGGGAAUAGGUGGGAAGAGUGUUAAAAAAUAGUUCUAAAAAACAAUUUUAAAAAAAAAUUGUUUUUAUGAUAUUUUUAAAGUAAGUUUAUUUGAGAACCAAAAAUGUUGUUUUUAAUGUUUUUAAAUAUGUUUUAAAAAUAUUUUUUUAUAUGUAGUACUUUAUUUUAAUUAUUUUUUAUAUUUAUAUAAUUUUUUUUAAAAAUAAUCCUUAGAAAAUAAGUGAAAACAAUUAAAGAUGUUCUCUAAAAAACACUGUUUUCUAUUUUUAAAAAUAAAAAAUAAAGUGCUUUCAGAAAAUAUAUUUUAAUUGUUUUCACUUGUUUAAAAAAUAAUUAUAAAGAAUAAUUAAAAAUAAAGUGUUAUGAAUAAAAAUUAUUUCUAAAAUAUAUUUAAAAACAUAGAAAAAAGGUUCAAAGUAUUUCAAGUUCCAAACAAAUUUUGUUUUGUAAAACAUUAGAAAAUGGUUUUUAAAAACUAUUCUCAAAGCUGCUUUUUAAAACUAUUUUUGAGAAUACUUCCAAAACAGACCUUAUUCUCUCUUCUUUCUUGCCCUAAAACAAGUAUAAAAAACUGUUCUUUUAAAGUUGUUUUUGAAAAUACUUCCCAAACAGACCUUAUCAUUCUCUCUUCUUUCUUGCCCAAAAAUGAGCGGCAGUUCCAUAAUAGCUCAAGCUUACCUUCAAGGAGUCACCAGGCUGACCUGGGCCUGGCACUCAUGGAUAAACAACUAACAAAACAAAAACCAAAUAUGAGACAACAUACUAAGAAUGCACUUGUGUUAGAAAUUUAGACAAGCAUUCAUUGAAUCUAUUUGGCAUCGCUGAAUCUUUAUCAAAAGGGACUUAAAAAGAAAUAUUCUAUCUGACGAGAAUGAGAUCCACGAAUCUAGGAAUAGGGACAGAGAUUACAUUGAAGAGAUGCAACUUGGCCUUUAUCUUCACCUUGGAACAGGCCCCUGCCAAAUGCUUCUCAAUUUGGGACGUUGUUGAUGUACAGAAUUCCCAAGUUCUCUAGCAUACUAUUUGUCAUUCCAUCACCACAUAUAAUGCUUCUAGUGUUGAAACACGCUUGUGGUCAAUUAAUCAGAAUGCAUAUGUCAGCAUAAGUACCUCUGCGAUUACAGGAUGCCUCCCUUCACCAUUGACCAAUUCAAGCAAUUGAAGCUUGGAUAAUCAGUAGACUCUAGAAAGUAAGAGGUGGUUGGGCAGAAAAAUCAUUGGGCAUAUUCAACUGGAUUUUCAACAUAUGUAAGCUUUCUUUGGGACUUCAAUAUGAACCCUAAUCUUGGUUACCUUUCAGGAGAAAUUAGAUAUGCCGAAAAGCCUAUCCUAAUGACUCAAAAGAUAUCUAAAUGCAACUUAUAUUAACUCACACCAUUCUUGUGAAAGAUUGACAUAAAGUGAAUGUCAAAUAGGCCAUUGUCUUCAUUGUAUGAAUAUGAACUUGAUUUUCACCCAAGAGCCUCACUAGCUUCACUAAACUCGAUUCCUUUAGCUUGAUAUCGUUGAGAUUAAUUGAUCUUAGGCACUGAAGAUGGUGAAACCUAAGCUAAUACCUUAUAAUUGGAAUCAUCAUUCAAUUUCUAACAUACAGUCUAUAAAUUAAUGGUCUCUUUUUGGGCAUUCCAUGACUAAACAUUACAUCAUACAAAAUGUAAAUCUUUUCAUGCAUAUGCUUGAAUUUCCAUGUUAUUACUCAACAAACACAUUAGUUGUUCAAAUAAUAUGUAUGGAUAUACUUUCCCCCCUUUCUAGCUCAACAAAGCAUUCUCUCCCCCUUUGUACCAUUCUCUUCUUUUAUGAUAGGAAUUGACAAAGAAAGAACCUAAUAUAUCAAAUCCCUGACCAAAAGAGGUAAAACACAUCAACAUUACAAUGCUAGGUCAUGUCAACAAUAAUAGGAGAUAUUUUCAAGAUGAUACUCAUCUUAUUGACUAAUAUGAAACAUAGAGAUAUUGAUCUUCCAAAACCAAUAAUGGAUUUUGUCAAAGUCAAUCAUAAGCUUGAUCAUGUAUGAAAAACAUCUCUUUGAACAUAUAAAGAGAAUCAACUCAACAAUUUAAGGAUUCCUGUUCAAUAGAAGUUCUGAACAUGUUUAUUCAAAUGUUAAUACAAGACAAUCAAUGCAAACUAAUUGUACUUCCAAUACUAUAUAAAGAAUCACUACUGCUUGAUACCUUUUUAGACCAACAACUGUAACUCAAGAAGUUCUUAUCUUUGACCACAACCUUGAUGUCAAUUGCACCACUUUUAUUUCUUUUUGAGUCACAAGGUAGAUUUUUUUUUAUUCAUUUUUACUCCAUGGAGCAAAAAUUUCUAAUUGACCCAAUGAGUUCUUGUUUAAUGACGCCAAAUUAGUUGAGCUUUGGAAAUUAGGUUAGCCCUUUUGAACUUGAACUUGACUAAUAAAUGCUACAACCUCCGAACCAUCACACAUGCAAGUCACACCUCCUUCAUGAUGUGAAUCUCAACACUUAGGAGAAGAGAUCCAGUUUUUUUUUUCUUUCUUUUUAUCAAAACCAAAAUAUGCAUUGAUAUGAAUAAAGAAUACAUGAGAAGGAUGAGGAAUCAUCCCCAAAUUUACAAAAAAAAGAAAAAAAAUGAUCAAAAAAUAGAUGAUUGAAUCUCCUCUAAUAAACAAAGGAGACCUAUAUAUCGGAGUAGUACUAUAUGGGGAUACACUAUAUAAAGCAAUAAUCAUUCCAUGACGUUUAACACAUCUCCAUAAAAUAAAAAUUAAAAAAUUAAAUAAAAAAAAACUAAAUUGAUACUCCUCUCCUUACUAUCAAAACCCUUUUUUUUUUCUAGACAUUGCAUGGUAAUUGAGCUGAACAAAACUGAGAGAAGUGCCUUUAAAGGUUAUGGAAUAAGAGGCGCAAGAAAAGGAAUUGAAAUGAAUUAGAUCCAUAUUUUCUGUGAAGUCCUCCAUUUGUCCUAAAAAGUCCUUACAUUUAUUUUUUACCACACAAUAUAAAAUCACUAUGAGACAGACAAUUUGCCAUAGGACUUUGCCUCUAGUGGUUCUCCCUAAAUCCCUUUGAAAAAAUGGUUAUCAUAUCACAUACUCCUAAAGAAACCCAAUAUUAGCUUGUUAGUUUAAAUAGCCUAUGCUAUAGCCUAAGAGUCAACAAACACUGUAAAAAUAGAUGAUCAACUAACUCGUUACUCCCUAUAUAAAAAUAUACCAAUUAGGACUAAAGGCUUUGCAAGGUCUUCCUGAAGAGAGUGUAAAAUAAUGAGAGCCAAAGUGAUUUUGGGCUUCUCUAAGAUGUUUGUUGUGGAGAGCCUUUAAAGAGUUCUUCAUUUAUUUAAGUAAUCAUACAACAACUUUAUUAUAAUCACAUAACUAAACCCUGACAUGUUUUUCUACUUGCACAAAUUAUUAUAACAAGAUAAAAACAGAAUGCUAAGUUAUAUUCUAACCUUCCUCCAUAAGCUAAAGGUCUUGGAAGAACUAUGAACUUGGAAUGAAGACUUAAAAACCACUGAGUAUGAAGAGGCUGAGUCAUAGAAUUUAGUAAUUGGUGAUUAGAGGUUAUAAAUUUGACAUCCAACAAUUACUAAAGCAUCUUAUUUUGCACAAAAGUGGAAGUCAAUCUUUAUAUGUUUAAUUUAUAGAAUGCAAAAUAAGAUUCACUAGCAAGUAGGCUGUAUGAUUCGUUCCCAAUUGGUGUCUCAGCUGAUUCAUGUCCAGUUGGUGCUCCUUGACUGAGGGAGUGAUCAACAAAAUUUAUAACCUAUAUCACCAUGCAUUAGGAUAGCUUUAGCUAAUAUAGCAUAGUGGCUCUAGGAUCGUUCAUUGGGAAGGGUUUUCAACUCUCAACUGAUACCAAUUCAAAGUUAAAUUGGUGCUUUUUCAUUUCAAAGUUAGCUUAAGAAAUAAAACUCAAACUUUGUUUAAAUGAGGUUUUGUUUAAAGCUAACUAAAAAGAAAGUAAUGGAAAUUACUUAUGAAGAAAAACAUUCCUUGGAGGUUUAGGUUCACAGGGGAGGUUCCUUAUGCAAAAACAGAGCUCUGGUCAUUUGGUUCAUUUCCUCGCAUUAGAGAAUUAACAUAUAGUCAAUUCUCUAACCGGUGUUGUACAGAUGUAACCUUUAAAUGGAUUUCAGCUCUAAUUCCCUCUCACUGAUGCAACUUGCAAUGGCUCGUGCCUCUCACCUAGCAUUUACCAUUCAAGGUGAUCUUUAACUUUGGACUUCCCUUCUCAAGCUCGCAAGAGAUAACUAAUGGAUGUCUCCUUGGAGUCCAAAAGCUUACCAAGUGUUGGCAAUUCUAGAAAAUCCUACCUCCAAGUCACUUCCCAAAAGCUCGCAAGAGAUAAACACUUGCAUCUCCAUGGACGGAGAUCAUGUGCCUUACCAAGUGUUGGCUCAAGUGACUUGAAGGUGUUUUAAGUUAACUAAAAACAUAGAAAUCAUUAAAGGAUCACACUUUCUCUUCAUUAAUGGCUGAAACCACACAACUACUAAUUCUUGCACUUGGAACCCUUCCCGGCAACCUUAAUUCCAAGGAACUAAAAGUCUAGCCACUCAUUCUCUGAGGAAACUUCCUCAGAGCUUUUUUGGCUAGUAAGAAAACUAACGAGAAAACAAUUAUAUGAAGGAAAAACAGAGCAAGUGCUCUGUGAAAUAUAUUUAUUUCUUCCGUCGAUUACAUAAUAGAUAUCUUUAUAAAGAAAAUUACAAACUAUAUAUAUGAGGUUAUUCACCCUUUGUACUUACUUAAAGACUAAGGAAUCCUAUGAUAGGUGGGUUACAAGGAGACUUUGGGGAUUUAGACAACAAAUAUCUAAAGUAAAAUAUCUCAGGAUGUCGGUCGGAAAUAUCAGGAAGCUUCAGGAGAACACUAUGGCACUGUAUACUGAGAGAAAAACUCUCCUGGUAAGCGCUAUCAAAGGAUCCAGAUAAGUCUGACCGGAGAAGUUGAAACGUCCUCCUCUCCCAUCUGGCUGUGAGAUAUCCGGAUGUAAAAUGUCGGCGCACGGAAUUCCAGAUAUGAAAUGUUGGCGCACGGAAUUCCGGAUAUGAAAUAUCAGCGCACUCCCUUAUCCGGACUCCCUCAAGGAGAAGCACAUGACACUUGUGAACAUCAUACCCGGACGAUAGCAUAUCCUAUCCGGAUAUGUUGUCCAGAUCAUUGACUAAAGUGAGCAAACCUUGCUACAGCCCAUGUUCCGCCGCCAUCCUGUCCAGACAUCUUUUACUCCUUGCAUUCCGGAUUUGCUUAUAGCAAAGGACUUCAAAGCUUCUACUCUUCAUGUUUCCGAGCUUUCCAUUGCUUUGCCAUAGAUUCCAAAGAACUCUCCUCAAUCUCUGAUUGCUUUGGUGAUCAAAAAGCUAUCAAAACACCAAAACUUAACACAAUUUGAUUAGAAUUGAUUGCAAGGGUCCUUAAUAUGUUAAUUGGGUUAAAAGGUGAUAACUACUACUCAAAAGUGUUUAAAAGAGUUUAUUACAAGCUAUGAAAUAACACUUUUUGAGUAGGAAUCACUGUACUUAAAUUUUCACACAAUAAAGUAGGUCUAUGGAAUAAAGGAAUCUUAAGCUCAUGAAACUAUAAUUGAAUCCAAACCAAGUUAGAAGUAGCAUUUGCAACAACACGGUAUUCAGACUCAAUGCUAGACCAAGAGACCACCUUCUGAUUAAUUGCAAACCAAGAGACUAACUUAUUACCAAAGAAGGCAAAAUAGCCACUAAUACUUUUGUGAUUAUUAGGCCAAUUGGCCGAAUCUACAUUAGAAUAGGCAAAAAGAUCUAAAGAGGAGGCUGCAUGAAGUGUCAAACUAUAAAAUAACAUUGAAGAAAUCUUUUAACUACCUAUCAAUGAGAGCCAAUGAGAGCAUGCAUGAAUUUGGCACAACUUGUUAAUGACAAAAGAAAUGUUAAGAUGUGUAAUGGUGUAGUAUUGUAAAGCCCUAAUGAGACUUCUAUAUGGAGAAGGAUUUGAGAGAGGAGUACCAUCUCUAAUAGAGAGCAAUAGUCCAAAGGCCAUAGGUGUGGCACAAGGUUUGUAAUUAGUUAGCUAAGCUCUAGUUAGCAAGUUUACAAUAUACUUAUGCUGACAAAGAUGAAGUUAAGAUCCAAACUUUUUAACUUCAAAUCCCAAGAAGUAACUCAAAUCACCCAAAUCCUUUAAACCAAAGUAUGAAUCAAGAUGGGAAAUAAGUUGACGGAUUUGAGACGAAUUACUGUUAGUAACUUUGAUGUCAUCUACCUAUGCUAAAAUAACAGUCAUAUAUCUACCAUUGACAUAUACAAACAUAGAAGAAUUAGCCUUAGAGGAGUUGAAACCCUAAUACAAUAAAGCAUUACUUAGCUUGUGAAACCACUCAUGAGUUGCCUGCUUAAGUCCACAGAAAGCCUUAUUGAGCUUGCAAACAUGCUUAGGAAAUUUAUAACUCACAAAACCAGGAGGUUGGGGACAUACGCACAACCUCAUCAAGUUUUAGAAAGGCAUUGCGAACAUCUAAUUAUUUUAAAACUCAUCCUCUACUUAGUGCCAAUGUUAGAAUAAUUUGCACAGUGGUAGAUUCAACAAUAAAGCUAAAUGUCUUGAAAUAAUCAAGACCAUAGGUUUGAUGAAAGCUCUUUACAACAAGGCAAGCUCUGUACCUAUUAAUAGAAACAUCUAGAUGAAGUUUAAGUUGAUAAACCCAUGUAUAGCCAAUCAUUUUAACAGUUGGAAGUAAGGAGAUCAACAUCCAUGCAUCAUUCUUCAAAAGAGCUUGAAACUCACUAUUCAUAGCCUCUUGCCACUGAGUAGUUUUAGCAGCUUAUAGGACAAAGGUUCAAAUAUAAUAGAAGAAUUAGCCAAAAAUACUAUUGGUUUAGAGUGGCCAAUCUUAGAAUGUGUAAGCAUAGGAUAAGUAUUGGUUGUGGGAGGUUGUAGUGAAGCUGUAACAGUUGGUACCUUAAGAGAUAUAUUGAUAGAAGAUGAUAUUUUUGAAGCGCUUGGAGUAUUUUUAGAUGAAUAUGGCUUAGUAGAUACAUGACAAGAAGAAAAAUUGGAUGAAAAGGUUAAUGGUAAAGUAGAAUAUAUAAAAGAUUGAAUUGGAUAAUGACGAAAAUGAGGCAAAAGGACAAUUAGAUUCAUGAAAUGUUACAUGAUGAGAGAUAUAUAUUUGACUAGGUUGAAGUUGAGACAAAUCAAACCUUUGUUUUUAGGAAUCAAGCCAAUAAAGACACAAUGACUAGAACAUAUUUGCAGUUUAUGGGAAUUAAAACAUUUGAUAAAAGGAAAACAUGGGAACCAAAAACAUGAAUAGUAGAAUAAUUUGGUAAUCUAUGAUAUAGACAUUCAAAAGGAGAUUUGUGAAACAAAAGAGGUGUAGGUAAGUGAUUUAUGAGAUACAUAGAGAAUCGGAAGGCAUGAGACCAAUACUUUAGAGGCAUAGAAGCAUGAGUAAGGAGGGUAAGACCAACCUCAAUUACAUGUCUAUUUUUACGCUCUGUGAUUUUAUUAAAGAGUAGAAGGGCAAGAAAGAUGAUGAAGAAUUCCUAAUUAAGACAAAAGAGCAAAGAUAGGAUGGUAUUCCCCUCACUAGUUAGAUUGGAUAGUGAGAAUUUUAGUGCUAAAUUGAAUUUCAACCAUUGAUUUGAAUUGAAGGUAUUUGAUAGUCUCAUCAUUGGAAUUUAAAAGAUACAUCCAAGAAAGUUGAGUACAAUCAUCAAUGAAUAACAAAAAAUAUUUAACAACAUUCACAAAGUUAACAAGGGAAGGUCCCCAAAGAUCAAAGUGCACCAAUUCAAAUGGUUUUGUUGUAUGAGUAAUGGAUUGAACAAAAAGAAGUUGUUGAUAUUCAUGCAACGAUUUAUGGUGAAAAUUAGAGAAAACGAAAAGAAAAAUGCACAGAUUUAAUGUGGUUUAGUAGAUUGCCUACGUCCACGGGAACAGGGAAGAAGACUUUCCCUAUAUCUAAAAUUAGGGUUACAUAAAAGGGUAUUUAUAUUAAUCCUCAGGUAAUGAAAUUCCAAAAAUACCCUUGAACUGUACCCUCAACAAUAAAAAUACAAGCUUGAAUAGCAAAUGUCAUCGCUCCCGCAUUUGCCCCUUUUUCUCCAUAUGUCUUUCACUCAUAUAUGAGCUGCAUACUACAACAAAAGUCUAUGUCUCUUAGUUAAUUGACAUGAAACACAAAAAUUAUAUGAUUAGGGAGAAUGUUAGAUUCUUACCUAGUUAGAUGUAAAGUUGUAUUUUUGAGAUCUAACUCACCAUAGUGAUCAAUUACUAGGGAAAGUGAAAUUUAAGAGUUUUGCAAAAAAAUCAUUCUUAAAAUUUUUCAUCAAUUGAAUUGGAAAAUUUCCUUGAUUUGAUCAUCACCGCAUCAACUUGUACCAUUUUCUCCUUGAUCCACCUCAACUUUACCCAUCCUUGUGGAUGAUAUUUAGUUUAGUAUACUAUGGUAGCAAUAUCAUUACCCUUGAUCAAGACGAGAGCUACAUUUCUAUAGUGCGGCCUUAUUUUUGAAAGAAAAGGCAAGCAAAGAAAAUGCCUUUGAUCAAGAUAAUCUUGACCUGAACAAACAAUGAAAACAAGUCUUAAGCUAGUAUCCUAUAGAAAUUUGAAAUGAUACUAGUCAUAUAAUCAAGAUAUGUCUAAAACACACUCACCUUUUGUGAUUAACAAAUCUGGAAGUAUCAAUAACUUCGAAAUAUAUAUGUAUUUGUAUGAAAUUUAAUAAUCUACAUGAUAUGUACUUGUUAAUAACACCAUGACAUAUUAUUCAAUGACACAUCAGUCUAAUAGUUCCUAAGAUAUUCAAAGCUUAUCACCUCAAGAGGCUUUGUUAAAAUGCCAGCUACUUAUUCAAUUGAAUAAGCUUCUAGAGUUUCUUUAGGUCUCUUCCUCUUCUAUUUUUUCCUAUUACUCAAAAUGAACUGAUGAUAAGAAUAGAGGAAAAGAACAUGAAGAAAUCUAAACCCUAGAAAAGAACAAAGAGGCCUCCCAAAGGAGAGAAAAUCUCCAACUAUAGAAUGGGGUGUUUAUAACCCUUCCAAGGUUACCUUAGCUUGGGGAUACAUGACGACAUCCUAUGGAAACACCAAAGAUUCAAUUGCUAGGAGGAAAGUGCCAAAAAAAGUGGGCUUGGGCAUCUGGCGAAGAGGGCACCACGCUUGGGUGGCAUGGGCCAUGGGGCCCAACUUGGUGCCCAAAGUUGCAGUAAACAAUGGGGAGGCUGCCAGAUUGGCCACCAUCCUUUUGGGCAAUGUGGGUCAUAGGCCAGAGUCAAAACGAUAGUGUGCAUUCUUCCCCUGUUUCAUGCACUUGCGCUCCUCUUGCUGUAUUCUUGUGCUUUGGUUGUCUCAGGAGGCUCCAUUAUGUGCACUUAUUCACUCAAAUAGAUGCAAGACAUAGAAAACUAGAGGAAAACAUAGGAAAACCAAGGUUAUGCGGGGCAAGGCAAAAAUGGGUGAUUGGAGAAUGCAAUUUAUGUCAAUAUCACACUUAGAAUGCAAUUUCUAGUCUCAUUUCUGACCAAUAUUUGCAUCAAUCACCUCAUUAUUAUUAUUAUUAUUAUUAUUAUUAUUUUUGCUUUAGGUAUACUUUGUUCAAAUCUUUAUUUUGGAUACUCAUUGGUGUAACUUUAGAAGACAGUAGUGAUAAUUGGAUUUGGUUCCAGACUUCAUCAGACUGACACAUAAAUGUAACCUGUAAGUGGCCUAAUUGAAUACAUGACCAAAUCUUAUGUCUUAAGUGCUUUUUUUUUUUUUUAUUUGGUUCCAUAUUUUGAGGAUAUGAAUGUUUAUGCUUUAACUAGUGUGAUUCAGCUAUUUGUUGAGUUCUCCAUGCUGUGAAUAAUUACUACUUUGGCAAACCAUUCUUGCACUAGUGCUGUUAACUUAAUUUACAAUAUUUGGUAACUAAUGAAUCCUAAUUGUUCAUCUGAGUUUCUAUUUUGAACUUUUGUUGAUGUUCUGAGUUGUAUACCGCUGAUAACACAGGAAUGGCUGAUCUAACUACUGGGGUUGCAGGUGAGAUAUAUAAAGAUGGGAAAUGCGUAGCGACUUUUGCCUUUAGCAAUAUUCCUUAUCUGUGGAAUCUGAACAGAAACUAUAAAAAGUUAAUGCAGGAAGCCACGAAUCUCAAGGCAACGAGGAAAUACCUAGAAAUAAGAAGAUUUAAGACAAAGCCAUGCAUAAGAGAUUGGAUUGCUAGGGCUUCGAUUAUUGAAAGGCAAGUGGAACGCCUAGAAACUAAAUACAACAAUGAAAAGAAGCAUCGAUGGAAAUUGUUUUUCCUUGCAAAUCUUAGGCUUAGCAAAGAGAUGGAAGUGAAGUGCCAAGAAGUUUGUGUUGGGCUUUGUGGAGCCUAGUUUUGUUUGAUCCGGUUUGACGACCCGACCCGAAUAAUAUUGCAUGACUUUUUUAAUGGAAGAUUUAUUGAGGCCUGUUGGGCCCGUUUAGCCCAUUGUGGAACCACCUUUUGUAAUUAGGGUUUUUUAGUAUGGUAGGGUUGCCGUGCUAUAUAUAUAUAGAGAAUAUUGUAGCCGCCAUGCAGUACUCUGUAUUCUUCCUUGAUAAUAGUGAUAUCCCUGCAACUCCGUGGACGUAGGCAAAUUGCCGAACCACGUAAAUACUGUCUUGUGCAUGUGAUUGUUUUUCUUUGGCGUGUGUUUUUUCUCUAAUUUUUUGUUUCUCACGGGUGGGGAAUUCGGUUUAAUUCCCUACAAUUGGUAUCAGAGCCUAGGGUUAGGUUUGAGUGGGAGCAAUGGCAGAGGAAGCAGGAAAGGCGUCUGGAAUAGAAAAGUUUGAUGGCACAGACUUUGCGUAUUGGAGGAUGCAGAUUGAAGAUUAUCUCUAUGGGAGGAAAUUGCAUCUACCUCUUUUAGGGACAAAACCUGAGAGUAUGAAGGCUGAGGAAUAGGCGCUUCUUGACAGACAGGUUCUAGGAGUUAUUAGGUUAACUCUGUCUAGGUCUGUUGCACACAAUGUUGUAAAGGAGAAGACCACAAUAGAUCUGAUGAAGGCUUUGUCCGGUAUGUAUGAAAAGCCGUCCGCAAACAAUAAGGUGCAUCUGAUGAAGAAAUUGUUCAAUUUGAAGAUGACAGAGAAUGCAUCAGUAGCACAGCAUCUGAAUGAAUUUAAUACAAUCACAAAUCAAUUGUCGUUUGUAGAAAUUGAUUUUGAUGAUGAGAUUCGUGCUCUGAUCGUCUUGGCUUCUUUGCCAAACAGUUGGGAGGCAAUGAGGAUGGCAGUAAGCAAUUCUACGGGAAAGGAAAAGCUCAAGUACAAUGAUAUACGAGAUUUAAUUCUGGCUGAGGAGAUUCGCUGAAGAGAUGCUGGUGAAACCUCAGGAUAUAGUUCUGCCCUAAACCUGGAGACAAGAGGCAGAGGUAAUAACAAAAAUUCAAAUCAGGGUAGAUCAAAUUCCAGAAAUUCUAAUCAGAACAGAAGCAAAUCUAGAUCAGGCCAACAAGUACAAUGCUGGAAUUGUGGGAAAACAGGUCACUUUAAAAGGCAAUGCAAAAGCCCUAAGAAGAAGAAUGAAGAUGAUUCUGCUAAUGCUGUAACAGAAGAAGUACAGGAUGCAUUACUUCUUGCAGUAGACAGUCCACUUGAUGAUUGGGUUUUGGAUCCAGGAGCUUCGUUUCAUACCACUCCACACCGAGAAAUCAUACAGAAUUAUGUUGCAGGUGAUUUUGGUAAGGUGUAUUUGGCUGAUGGUUCAGCCUUGGAUGUUGUGGGUCUGGGAGAUGUCCGGAUAUCGUUGCCCAAUGGGUCUGUUUGGUUACUGGAGAAGGUUCGACAUAUUCCUGACCUGAGGAGGAAUCUGAUCUCUGUUGGACAACUUGAUGAUGAAGGACAUGCAAUACUAUUUGUUGGUGGUACUUGGAAGGUUACAAAGGGAGCUAGGGUAUUGGCUCGUGGAAAGAAGACUGGCACUCUGUAUAUGACCUCAUGUCCAAGAGACACAAUUGCAGUUGCUGAUGCAAGUACUGAUACAAGCCUAUGGCACUGCAGACUUGGUCACAUGAGUGAGAAAGGGAUGAAGAUGUUGCUGUCAAAAGGAAAACUACCAGAAUUGAAGUCCAUUGAUUUUAACAUGUGUGAAAGUUGCAUCUUAGGAAAGCAAAAAAAGGUGAGCUUCUUGAAAACUGGCAGGACACCGAAGGCUGAAAAAUUGGAACUAGUACACACUGAUUUGUGGGGGCCUUCUCCGGUUGCAUCCCUAGGAGGUUCAAGGUACUACAUCACCUUUAUUGAUGACUCAAGUAGAAAGGUAUGGGUUUAUUUUCUGAAAAAUAAAUCUGAUGUAUUUGUAACUUUUUAAGAAGUGGAAGGUCAUGGUUGAGACAGAAACAGGUUUGAAAGUAAAAUGUUUGAGGUCAGAUAAUGGAGAAGAGUACAUAGAUGGAGGAUUCAGUGAGUAUUGUGCUGCACAUGGAAUUAGGAUGGAGAAGACCAUUCUUGGGACACCACAGCAGAAUGGUGUGGCUGAGCGCAUGAACAGAACUCUCAAUGAGCAUGCUAGAAGUAUGAGGUUGCAUGUUGGACUACCAAAAACUUUUUGGGCUGAUGCUGUUAGCACUGCAGCUUACCUGAUUAACCGAGGACCAUCAGUUCCCAUGGAGUUCAGACUUCCUGAGGAGGUUUGGAGCGGUAAAGAGGUGAAUUUUUCACAUUUAAAAGUUUUUGGUUGUAUUUCUUAUGUUCAUAUUGAUUCUGAUGCUCGUAGUAAACUUGAUGCAAAGUCAAAAAUAUGUUUUUUCAUUGGCUAUGGUGAUGAGAAAUUUGGCUAUAGGUUUUGGGAUGAACAAAACAGGAAAAUCAUCAGAAGUAGAAAUGUGAUAUUUAAUGAACAGGUUAUGUACAAAGACAGGUCAUCUGUAGUGUCAGAUGUUACAGAGAUAGAUCAAAAGAAAUCUGAGUUUGUCAACUUAGAUGAAUUGACUGAAAGUACUGUCCAAAAAGGGGGUGAAGAAGAUAAGGAGAAUGUAAAUUCAUAGGUAGAUCUGAGUACACCUGUAGUUGAAGUUCGCAGAUCUUCUAGGAACAUUAGACCUCCGCAGCGUUAUUCACCUGUUUUAAAUUAUCUCCUGUUAACUGAUGGUGGUGAGCCAGAGUGUUAUGAUGAAGCCUUGCAAGAUGAGAAUUCAAGCAAGUGGGAGUUAGCCAUGAAGGAUGAGAUGGAUUCCCUAUUGGGGAAUCAGACAUGGGAACUGACUGAAUUGCCAGUAGGAAAGAAGGCUUUGCACAACAAGUGGGUAUACAGAAUAAAGAAUGAGCAUGAUGGUAGCAAACGUUACAAGGCCAGAUUAGUUGUUAAAGGGUUCCAGCAGAAGGAGGGCAUUGACUACACAGAGAUAUUUUCUCCAGUUGUGAAGAUGUCAACAAUUAGACUUGUACUUGGAAUGGUGGCUGCAGAAAACUUACAUCUUGAGCAGUUAGAUGUGAAAACAGCAUUCCUUCAUGGUGACUUGGAGGAAGACCUUUACAUGAUUCAGCCAGAAGGGUUCAUUGUUCAGGGACAAGAGAAUCUAGUCUGCAAACUGAGAAAGAGCUUGUAUGGCCUUAAACAAGCUCCUAAACAGUGGUACAAGAAGUUGGACAAUUUUAUGCAUAGAAUUGAGUUCAAGAGAUAUGAAGCUGAUCAUUGUUGCUAUGUUAAGUCCUUUGACAACUCUUACAUCAUAUUACUGUUGUAUGUGGAUGAUAUGCUUAUUGUAGGGUCUGACAUUGAGAAGAUUAAUAAUCUGAAGAAGCAAUUGUCCAAACAGUUUGCAAUGAAGGAUUUGGGAGCUGCAAAGCAAAUCCUUGGUAUGAGAAUCAUUAGAGACAAGGCUAAUGGUACAUUGAAGCUUUCACAGUCAGAGUAUGUGAAGAAAAUUCUCAGCAGGUUCAACAUGAAUGAAGCUAAACCAGUGAGCACACCUUUGGGUAGUCAUUUCAAACUAAGCAAAGAACAGUCACCAAAGACAGAAGAAGAAAGGGACCAUAUGAGCAAGGUGCCCUAUGCCUCAGCUAUUGGCAGCUUGAUGUAUGCUAUGGUGUGUACAAGACCAGACAUUGCACAUGCAGUGGGAGUUGUGAGCAGAUUCAUGAGUAGGCCUGGAAAGCAGCAUUGGGAGGCAGUCAAGUGGAUUUUAAGAUAUCUGAAGGGUUCAUUAGAUACAUGUCUUUGCUUCACAGGUGCAAGUUUGAAAUUGCAGGGUUAUGUAGAUGCUGAUUUUGCUGGUGAUAUUGAUAGUAGAAAGAGUACUACUGGGUUUGUUUUUACUCUAGGUGGUACAACUAUAUCAUGGGCUUCAAAUCUACAGAAGAUUGUUACUUUGUCUACCACAGAAGCUGAGUAUGUUGCAGCAACUGAGUAUGUUGCAGCAACUGAAGCUGGAAAGGAGAUGAUUUGGCUACAUGGUUUCUUAGAUGAAUUGGGUAAGAAGCAGGAGAUGGGCAUUCUACACAGUGACAGUUAGAGUGCAAUUUUUCUUGCCAAAAAUUCGGCUUUUCAUUCAAAGUCAAAGCAUAUACAAACAAAAUACCACUUUAUCCAUUAUCUUGUUGAAGAUAAACUGGUAAUACUUGAGAAGAUUUGUGGAUCUAAGAACCCUGCAGACAUGUUGACUAAGGGUGUCACUAUUGAGAAGUUGAAGCUGUGCGCAACUUCAAUUGGUCUUCUAGCUUGAGGACAUGAGGAUGAGUUGUAGGGAUGAGGGAUUGUUUCUUGGAGGAUAGCGGUUUGAUGUUGGUGAUUGGACUAGUCUCCAAGUGGGAGAUUUGUUGGGCUUUGUCGAGCCUAGUUUUUUUUUAUCCGGUUUGAUGACCCGACCCGAAUAAUAUUGCAUGGCUUUUUUAAUGGGAGAUUUAUUGAGGCCUGUUGGGCCCGUUUAGCCCAUUGUGGAACCACCUUUUGUAAUUAGGGUUUUUUAGUAUGGUAGGGUUGUCGUGCUAUAUAUAUAUAGAGAAUAUUGUAGCCGCCAUGCAGUACUCUGUAUUCUUCCCUGAUAAUAGUGAUAUCCCUGCAACUCCGUGGACGUAGGCAAAUUGCCGAACCACGUAAAUAUUGUCUUGUGCGUGUGAUUGUUUUUCUUUGGCGUGUGUUUUUUCUCUAAUUUUUUGUUUCUCACGGGCUGGGAAAUCGGUUUAAUUCCCUACAGUUUGUAGUCAUCGGGAAGAGGGAGACUUUAUGAAAGAAACAACAGUCAUGGAAUUGCCUGAGCCUGUCCAAAGAAUACCUACACUCAAACUGGAAGAAAACUCAUCAUUGCAUAAUGUUGUAAAACAUGUAGUGAGGUGUCUAGAGGAUAAAGAAGUAAGAAGAAUUGGUAUCUAGGGCAAGGUGGGAACUGGGAAAACCACAGUAUUGAAGAACUUGAAUAAUCAUGAAAAAGUUGUUGAAAUGUUUAAUAUGGUCAUCUAUGUAACUGUCUCAAAAAAGUGGAGUGAAAAAAGGGUACAAGAUGCAAUCCUAAUGCGGCUAAAAUUGGAUGUAGAAGGUAAUGUCGAUGUUAACGAAACUGCAUUGAUAAUAUCUGAAGAAUUGAGGGGAAAGAAGUGUUUGAUUCUUUUGGAUGAAGUAACGGACAAGAUUGAUCUAAAUAGAAUAAUGGGAAUCGACGAGAACCCAAAUAGCAAGGUAGUGUUGGCGAGUAGAUAUGAUGACUUUUGUAAAUGUGUCAUGAAGGCUGAUGAGCUAGUUAAUGUGAAGCCAUUGUUACCUACUGAAGCUUGGAAUAUGUUCCAGAAAAUAGUAGGCCCUUCCAUUUCUAACCCCUUAAUUGAACCACUGGCGAGGGGUGUGGUUAAAGAGUGUUAUGGGUUGCCACUGCUGAUAGACAGAGUAGCAAUAACCUUCAAAAUGAAGGGGGAACAUGAUGUGGGUUGGGAUGAUGGAUUGGAACAGUUGAAAAGAUGGGAAAGUGUCAAACUCGUUGGCAUGGAUGAAGUGCUGGAACGCUUAUAGAUUUGUUAUGAUGAUUUGGAAGAUGAUGAACAGAAGGUUUGCUUUUUGUAUGGUGCAUUAUAUCCUAAAGAAAGUGAGAUAUAUGUAGAUUACUUGUUAGAAUGUUGGAAAGCUGAAGGUUUUAUUAAACAUGCAAAUGAUUUUAGAAGUGCAUGCAACAGAGGGCAUACGGUGCUGAAUGAGCUUAUCAAGGUAUCUUUGCUAGAGAGAAGUGAUAAAAGGAAAUGUGUUAAGAUGAAUAAAAUGCUUCGGAAAAUGGCGCUUAAGAUCUCAUCGAAAAGAACAGAUUCCAAAUUUUUAGUGAAGUCACAUGAGGGGUUAGAAGAUUUCUCAAAGAAGGAAGAAUGGGAACAAACCCAUCGGAUUUCUUUGAUGAAUAACCAACUAAGCACUUUACCAGAAACACUAGAUUGUCGCAAUCUGUUAACAUUGUUGCUUCAAAGAAAUAAGUACUUGACUUCUAUUCCUGAGUUUUUCUUCAAAUCUAUGUGUCGUCUUCAAAUUCUAGAUCUCCAUGGCACUAACAUUGUAGUACUGCCUUCAUCCUUAUCCAACUUGAUUUACCUCAAAGGGCUCUAUUUAAAUUCCUGCUCUGAGUUGAAAGAAAUCCGAUCUAGUGUAGAAGCACUUGAGCAUCUUGAGGUGUUGGAUAUUCGAAAGACCAAACUUAAGUUACUUCAAAUUGGAAGUUUAGUAUGGUUGAAGUGUUUGCGAUUAUCAUUGUGUAAUUUUGAUGUGGCAAACUAUACUCAAGCACAAGUGUCAAGGUUUGAUUUGUUGGAGGAAUUGACUAUUGAUGUUGGUUCAUUGGAAGAAGGGUGGGACAAGAUUGUGAAUCCAGUAACAAAGGCGAUAGUUAAGUUGAAAAAAUUGACUUCUCUUUGAUUUUGUUUCCCUAAAGUAGACUACCUUGGCUUAUUUGUUGAAGAAAGCCCUGUGUGGGAGGGUUCCUUGACAUUUCAUUUUGCUGUUGGUUACCAUGACUCCGCCAUUGCUCAUGUUCUUGAGUCUAUCGAUAAUCCAAGCUACAACAUCUUGAAGUUGGCCAAUGGUGAUGGUGUAAAUCCUAUAAUCAUGAAGGUGCUAACGAAAACCAAUGCAUUGGGACUAAUAGGCUACAAAGGAGUUUUGAGUUUAUCGGAUUUUGGCAUCAAGAAUAUGAAUAUGAUAUUUGAUUGUUUGAUUGAAGGAUGCAGUGGAAUUAAGACCAUCAUCUAUGGUAAUGGAACAUCAAAGGCUGUCCUAGAAUGGUUGAAAAAUUUGCACAUAACCAAUGUCCCAGAAUUGGAAAACAUUUGGCAGGGGCCUGUUCAUGUUGGAAGUUUGGCUCGAUUAACAACUGUGACAUUAAGUAAUUGCCCCAAGUUGAUGAAGAUAUUCACUAAUGCUAUGAUUCAACAACUUAUUCAACUGACGCACUUGAGAGUAGAAGAAUGCCAUCGAAUUGAAGAGAUUAUCAUGGAAUCCGAGAAUACACAACUAGAAAAUCAAGCACUUCCAAAGUUGGAGACCCUAGAACUCAUUCAUUUGCCACAACUAACAAGCAUAUGGGCUAAAGAUUCAUUAGAGUGGCCAUCUUUAUAAGAAGUUAAAAUAUCUAACUGUUGCAUGUUGAAGAGUUUACCUUUCAACGAGGUCAAUGCAACCAAAUUGAGAUCCAUUGAAGGGCAACAAUCAUGGUGGGAAGCACUAGAAUGGAAAGGUGAUGCCAUUAAACAAAGAUUACAGCCUCUUUGCAUCCUCAACUAGCUCCUUUGAUUUCAUCUCUUCUGCGUUUUAUUGUAAAGCUAAUCAGGAUAGUUUCUGCUGCUGAGACAAAGUAAGUUUGUGUGCAAGAUUCAAAAACUCUAGCUUGCACUUGCUUGAGAUUUACUAUCUUUUUCUUGUAUUUGUUUGAGAUUUGAUACUUUGGGUUGUGUUUGUUUAAGAUUUGCUACUUCAUAUUGUAUUUGUGUAUGAUUGCUUGUUGUUUGGUUGUUAUAUUUCCAUAUAUCUUAUGUAAGGAUAAUAGAUUGAAAAUCUUAAGCUCUAUUUGGUUCUAGAAAAGUAUUAAAGAAAGAGGAAAAUUAUUUUCUUUAUAUAGAGGAGAGAAAAAAAAAAGUAAAAUGAGUUCAAAAUAGCAAAUGAAAAUAAUUUAUCGACUUUAAAUUUUUUUUUUUCACUUUUCGUCUCCAUUUUCUUUCUCUUCCAUCUUUUUUCAAAAUUUUCAAGAACCAAAUAUAACCUUAGUCAUGACCGCUAAUAAUGAUUUUUCUUCUCUUAAGGUAGGACUGAACAAUUGUAGUAUCUGAUAUUUGUGGAGAAUUAUUCAUUUGAUACACAUAUUCUUUCUCUUGAUAUCAUAUAUGGUUUCUGAUUUUAGUUGUUAUCUUAUUUUUUGGUAUUUGAAUUUGAUUUAUUCAUCUCAUUUAUUUUUAUUUCUUUGGGGAAAUGGUUUAGGAAUAUGAAUAUGAAGAUGUUCAAUUGCUUUACGGAUUUCUGCUAACUGAGUCAUCAUGUGGCCUAAGCCCAGCCCUUUUCAUGCCCAAGCCUAGCCCAAUCAUUGAAAUUUGGGCUUAGACAGAACUCAGACCCGCAAUGAUGGGCUUUUAAAAUAUAAAUGUUAUGCAACACCUUAUCUUUUAAUCACCUUUAUGUUUUAUAAAAAUAAUUAAUUCUAAAUUUCAACUCAAAGUUAAGUUGUCCAAAAAUCAUUAAAAAUAGGAAACCUUUUUUUAGACUUGAAAAUACGUUUGGCAUUUUUUUAUUUUUAGAAAACAGUUCUUUGAAAACUCGUUAUGGAAAUAAGAUAUUUUCUGAGAACAUAUUUUAAUUAUUUUUAAAUAUCUUUCCUUAAUUUUUGGGAUUUAUUUUAAAAAGUAAUUGUACAUAUAUGUAGAAUGGUCAGAAUAAAAUCAUUGGAAACAAAAGUUGUUUUGAAGAAAUUCAAAAACAUAAAAAGUAGUUUGAGAAUAGGUGGGAAGUGUGUUAAAAAAUAGUUCUAAAAAACAAUUGAAAAAAAAAUAUUGUUUUUAUGAUAUUUUUAAAGUAAGUUUAUUUGAGAACCAAAAAUGUUGUUUUCUAUGUUUUUAAAUAUGUUUUAAAAGUAUUUUUUUUAUAUGUAGUACUUUAUUUUAAUUAUUUUUUAUAUUUAUAUAAUUUUUUUAAAAAAAAAUCCUUAGAAAAUAAGUGAAAACAAUUAAAGAUAUUCUCUAAAAAACACUAUUUUCUAUUUUUAAAAAUAAAAAAUAAAGUGCUUUCAGAAAAUAUAUUUUAAUUGUCUUCACUUGUUUAAAAAAUAAUUAUAAAGAAUAAUUAAAAAUAAAGUGUUAUGAAUAAAAAUUAUUUCUAAAAUAUAUUUAUAAACAUAGAAAAAAGGUUCAAAGUAUUUCAAGUUCCAAACAAAUUUUGUUUUGUAAAACAUUAGAAAAUGGUUUUUAAAAACUAUUCUCAAAGCUGCUUUUUAAAACUAUUUCUGAGAAUACUUCCAAAACAGACCUUAUUUUCUCUUCUUUCUUGCCCUAAAACAAGUAUAAAAAACUCUUCUUUUAAAGUUGUUUUUGAAAAUAUUUCCCAAACAGACCUUAUCAUUCUCUCUUCUUUCUUGCCCAAAAAUGAGCUGCAGUUCCAUAAUAGCUCAAGCUUACCUUCAAGGAGUCAUCAGGCUGACCUGGGCCUGGCACUCAUGGAUGUUUCAACUAACAAAUUAAAACAAAAACCAAAUAUGAGACAACAUACUAAGAAUGCACUUGUGUUAGAAAUUUAGACACAGAUGAUACAAAUGCUGUUGGGAAUUGGUUUUUUGGGCUUUGAAAGUAAAAUGUUUUAAGGAAAAACCAGCCAAAAUGUGCAGCAGGCAUGCUGGACCACCCUCUUCAUUCUGGGGAAUUAAUGAUUCUGUUCAACCGGUUGUUCUUUCUAUUGUGAUUAUUACGCAUGACACUUUCAAACAUGUCAAAUUCGUUAAUUUUUGGAUAGCAAUAGGUAGAUAUAUAUCCAUGAUUUUGGUCUUGAAUUUAUGAUUUCAGUCCCUUGAAAAUCAAAUACCUAAAGGUGAUGGAGUUCUCCGACUUUGGGUGCCAACCCCAUGAACAAUUCACAACCUCCUAAAAGGAAAUUUGAAGUUGAACCAAUAGAAAGAGAGAUUGUGGUAAAGAUCUUAUUCGAGUAUGAAACAAGUCUAGGAUUUGCAUGACAAACAUUGUAUUGGAAAAAUAAGGGAACAAUUACUCUUAAAUGAUGGUUGUCUUGUUAGAAUAAUACAUUGAAUUUAGGGUGAUUCAGUUUCUUUGGUAUUAACAAGAUUACACAAUAAUUUUGAGUUACAAAUCUUAAAUCUUAGCAAUAAAAGGUAUUAACUCAAUAGUUGUUGUGGGAUUGACCAAGUCACUAUGCCAAUAGUUGCUUGAUUUUUUGUCUUUUUAGUUCGGAAAAAACAUUAGUUUUCGACCUUGGUUUUUAAAAAUCUGGUCUUGAAUAGUCAUCCAAAGCUAGAGUCAAACAAAAUCUUAAAAUAAUUUGGCUUUAAUUCAUCUAAAGAUUUAGUCAAGAGUUUGCAAAUAAAUUGAAAAUCAAUGAAUCAUCUCACAAGGACAGACAAACAUUCAUUGAAUCUAUUUGGCAUCGCUGAAUCCUUAUCAAAAGGGACUUAAAAAGAAAUAUUCUAUCCGACGAGAAUGAGAUCCACGAAUCUAGGAAUAGGGACAGAGAUUACAUUGAAGAGAUGCAACUUGGCCUUUAUCUUCACCUUGGAACAGGCCCCUGCCAAAUGCUUCUAGUUUCAUUGCACCCUUCAACUAAACAAACUAACAUGUUUGCCACGUUGUGAAUGCCAAAAUCUGAUAGUGUUGAAACACGCUUGUGGUCAAUUAAUCAUAAUGCAUAUGUCACCAUAAGUACCUCUGGGAUUACAGGAUGCCUCCCUUCACCAUUGACCAAUUCAAGCAAUUGAAGCUUGGAUAAUCAGUAGACUCUAGAAAGUAAGAGGAGGUUGAGUCCUGGUGACCAACAGAAAAUUGAAAUGAGAAGUGUGAGAUCUUCUUCCACGCUGGGCUUCCAUGGACAAACAAUUCAAGGAAGUCCACCGUAGGGAAGCAAAAUUGAAGGGAAGUUAAUUUUUGCAAGGUAGCCACCUCCUCCGUAACAAUCUUUAAAACUUGACAAUAUAUAGGCUUGGAUUAAUCUAUCAACAUUUGUUAAAUAUUACCUACUUGUUUUCUCAUUAUUAGAUUCAUAUAAUUUGUUACUACUUUUAUAAUGAUGAUAAUCAAACAAACAUAUUUUUAGAUAUAUUGUUAAUAUGAUUCCACAUCCAUUUAUGAUAUAUUUGUUGACUAUUUUAUGUUUACCUAUUAUUUUAAUUUUUUUUUAGAUGAAAAUGUUGGAUUAAAAGACCUCAAGUGGAGAGGUUUUGUGGUCACCUUUAAAGGACAAUAAGCAUGUCGGUUCAAGGCUGUGGCUAAUCAAUGUGUCAACUAUUGCUAGAACAAUUUUUUUUUUCUAGUCCAUCUUUUGCUUAGUAUUUUCUACUAGUUAGAAUUGAUAUAGUGGCUUCAGUUGUAUUUGAGAGUUCUCUUUAGAAAAAAAAGUUAUGUUUGAUUUUUGGAAAGCAUUGAGAAAAGGAAAAGAAAUAUUGAAAAAAAAUUAUCCUUUCUAUGUCAUAAAAAGAGAUAAGAUUGUAAUGUGACCAAAUAGCGUGAAUUGGUCAGAACAAAAAGUCCAUAAUGGAAUCUGCAAGUUAUGUUUGAUUUUCAUAAUGUCUGAGGGGAAGAAAAUAGAGAACAAAAUAUAAUGAAAGAGGUAAGGAAAAUUUAUAAUAAUAUUUUUUUCUCAUUUGAUUGUUCAUGUUAAAUUAAAAAAAAAAAAAAAUUUGAAGUAUCUCAUUAUCGUUGUAGCUUUGGUUAGAUGUAAAAUAUAUCGAAUAUCAAUAAAUGAGAACACUUACAAAAUGAGGUUCGUCUCCUCGACGGCAACAGGGUCAGGCAGUUGCUUUUCCUUUGAGGCAGUUGUGGCCUUAAAUGCAGGGGCCGCCAUGAAGUCACCAGAAACCUGUCACUCAUAGACAAAUAGCCAACAAAACAAACCAAAUAUUAGACAGUGGAUUUGGAAGGGCACAUGGAGUUGGAAAUUAGUAUUCCCCCACCAUGUUUUUAAGCAUGCAAAUGAAUAAGAAUACCCAUCUUAAGUGUUAGAAAUUGGAAUCUAAUGUCCAUAUGAGAAUACCUGAUCCAAACCUUAGGGGAGUCGGAUAAAUGAGUUAUACAUUCAGUGAUAUAUAUAGAUACACAAACAUCCCAAUAGAUGGCAGUAUAUCACCGCUAGUGCAAGUGUGCAUAUACCUUUUCCAGCAAAAGAGUAAAUGCUUUUUUAACGAAAACCAGCAAUAUGUGCACAUGCUUUUUUCGAUUCAACCUGAAAAUCUGUGUAUCCUACUGAAUCAUUCAUGUCAAAGAAUAGAUCCAAAAUGCAAUGAAUUAUGCAAUGUACAUACCAGUUAUAAAUAAAAUGGAGAUCACAUCUAUCUAUGGAAAGGAAAAAAAGACAUGAAAAAUUACCUAACCUGACUGUUGAGAAGGCUUUCUUUCUUGCCUCUCAGCAAGAAGCUGAUUCUCAAUUUCUUCUAGCUGAGUCGCCAAAUCUGCAUCACUUUUAAUGGGGACAAAUACAUUAUGCCACUGAACAAGUCCAAAAUAUGAACUCUUCAAUGUACUCCACCAGUCUACCUCUCCUAUGAUCACCUUUAUACUAUUACAACAGACUUCCAUAUCAGACAUAGUUUCAAGGCGUGGACAGUUAUAGAAGCUCACCCAUUCUAAUUUUGGUACAAUGCGUAAACCACUUGAAAUGUUGACCAAUUUAGGCAUGUAAUGAAGUGAUAUCUUCCUCAAAUUAGGAAGAUAUGUUCUCAAGGGGAAUGGUCUAUGUUUAGCAGGAUCUUCAAGGGUCACUAUGCUGUUGAUUUCAAGGCACCAUUCAGCCACAAGCUCCUCUAAGCUGUUGAGAUUUUCAAGCAAACCCAAAGUAAAAAUGGUAGUCAACUGUGGGCAUUCAUGCAAUGCCAAGGACUUUAGACUAGAUAGACAACCCCUCCAAACUGGUCCCUUCUAGAUGCUCACUAAAUUCUUCAUAUAAUGAAGCCUUAAGAAUUGUAAAGACCCAAGUAUAUUUUCUCCAUAAACAUCUCCAUCAUUUUCUUGUUUGUUUACAAUUUUCUGCUUCAUCCACAAUAGUUUCAAUCUUAUUACAUUCCCCUAAUACACAAAAUUCUAGCUUCUUCAUAUUUCCAAUCCCAAAUUCAGAUAGCUUGGUGAGAGUUAAAUGGCGAUCCAGGAACAAAGCAGUGCAAUGCUGGAGUACCUCCUUGAUUUGACUUGGAAUGCCUUCACCAUUCACAUACUUCAGGCUCCUUGUGUGAAGUUCAAAUUUAAUUGCAAGUUCAUUGGGUAGUCAAGAUAUAAUCACUACAAGGAAAAAGGUAUAUUGUGACAUUUAUAACGAGUCACCAUAAACAUAGGGUGUCACUACAACAUAGCGUCACCUUCUCCACUGACACCAUAGAGGGUACCAAUUGGUGACGUAUUUGGAAGUGACACCAAAGUAGAUAAAUGGUGACCCAUUCGGAAGUGACACCAUAUAUUUCUAGUGAUGAUAGGGUGUCACAUUAAAUACAUCAUCUUUGAGUUAUGAUGUCACAUUAAAUGCAUCACCUUUAAGUUAUGGUAUCACAUCAUUGUAAAUUAUUGUGGAAGAUAUGAUUGGUUUUAGUUGUUGAUUUUUGUAAUGCUUAUGAAUUAAUAAGAUUAACCUAUUUAUAUUUUGUCCAUAAAUAUAACAAUCAUAUUAUAUUUAACUCAUUUUUCUGUAAUGUUUCUGGAAUAACUCAUAAUACAUUGAUCAUCUAAUAAUAUUUGUAUAUCAAAUGUUCACAAAAUGAUAGUACGUCCAACAUAUCAAACCCAUCAAAACUAAAAAAGAAGAGUGAAUACAUACCAAAACAUGAUUUAGAAAUGUUAAAGAUCCCAAGAUUCAUGUAUACCUCUAUUUCCUAAGCAUAAAACCGGUUAACCAUAAAAUGACAUAAAAGUCCCAUCUAAAAAUCUAAAUUUCUCAGUUGCAAUUAAAGUAACGUUUAUGUCCUACAACGUAUAACAUAAGAGUUGCAUUUAAAAACCCAAAAUCUUGUUGCCUUCUUCUUUCUUUUUAUUCUCCAUUUCACCAUCCCAAGAGUGUAUACCUGCAUUUCAAAAUUUAAUGAGUUUUAGAGAUUUUUAUUGAAGAAAAUAAACAUGGAUCGAUGUUAUCAUAAAUGAACAAAUCUAAGAACUAUUUUUUUUUUUCAAAUAGAAACAUUAUUCAAAGAAUAAGCAUUACUAUACAAUACCUAUGGAAAAAUUCAUGUAGUAGCUAAGGGACUCACCAUGCAUGGUGAUCAUGAUGCAUUAACAUGAUUCAUGAUUAGUUGUAGCACAAAAGUAGCCCAUUCUCCUCUAAUUUCAUCGAAGGGCGCUUCUUCUGAUGAAUAAAUGGAAAUAUAAUUCUACUUGAGAAUAUGUUUUUUUUAUCACAAAACUGAAAUCAAAUAAGAAAAUAACAUUAAAAUGCAUAACAUUUGGAAGCCUAAAACUAUGUACAAUUCAUUAAAUAAGUAAUACCUUUGAAGCAAUAAUUGUAGGAUAAAAAAUUAUCUCUUUAAUGAAUCUCAUAACAAAGUAGCCACAUUCGAACCCUCCUUCUUGUCUUGGACACUAAUCGAUCAAUUAUAAAAUAACAUUAGUACUCACAUAUAUAAAUGGUGCAAAUGCAUAAGCUAAUGUGUAAAGAAAAAUUUUUGGAUGUCACUUGCACUAGUUGCUAAGAUGACUCCCUCUUAGAUGUUUUCUUUGCAAAUAUUCGAAGAGUCCUAUGUAAAUAAGUUCAAUGGGUACAUUUUAAAAAUAGGUAAAUGUUAUAUGUUUUAAUAUAUAUAAAUAAUAAAAAUAUGCGUUUGAGGUGAAUGUAUUUUUUUAUUUAAAAAUAAUACUAUGAAAAAUAAUAGGAAGAACUUACAUGUUUACGAUAUCCUUUAAGUCCUCACAUGGUUUGUGAUACAUAGGGUCAAGAUAGUGGACUGUCAUUUUCCGUGGCUCAAGCACUACCUAAAUAUAAACCCUUUAAGUCCUCAUAUCUAUUUUUAUUAACAAAAUAUAAAAACUUUCCAAAACUCAACUACUUAAAUAUAAAAACAAAAUCAAAUAAAAUAUCUAGCUAAUUGGAUUUUAGAAACUAAAUAAACUAUAAAUAAAUUAAAUAUAAAAACUAAAUAAAAUAUCUAUGCCCAUGAAUUAAUUGAAGGGGAUAGAAAGACACAGAGAGAACAUGGCUAUGGUUAUGAUUUCCAUCUUAUCAUCUCCCGUCAAUACCACACAUGCCCAUUUUAAGGUUGGACACUACUUUUGUUGAUGGACUUGGAAAGGGAACUUCAAAAUUGAAAACAUAAAUAAACCCUUAUGUAAAAAAAAAAAAAAAUUAAAAUAUAAUUGAGCAUUAAAAUAUUUACUCUCUUUCAUCACUUUCAUUUGAAUAUUAAUAAUCUCUUAUUGAGAUAGAUACUUACAAUUUAACAAAAUAGAAAUUCCUAAUAAUAAAAAAUAUAAAAAUUUCUAUUUCUAUUAACAAAAUAUAAAAACUUUCCAAAACUCAACUACUUAAAUAUAAAAAUAAAAUCAAAUAAAAAAUCUAACUAAUUGGAUUUUAGAAACUAAAUAAACUAUAAAUAAACUAAAUAUAAAAACUAAAUAAAAUAUCUAUGCCCAUGAAUUAAUUGAAGAGGAUAGAAAGACAUAGAGAGAUCGAACAUGGCUAUGGUUAUGAUUUCCAUCUUAUCAUCUCCCGUCAAUACCACACAUGCCUUCCCGAAUUGGUCCUUUUGGGGUUGGAUACUCUCAACGAAAUUCUAUAUCUCAUUCCCACUUAGAUACAAACAGAAAAAUCAUUUUUUUUCCUCUCUCGUUUUUUAGAAAGGAUGAAGAUUAUGUGAUAGUAUAUCUCAAAAAAAAUUUGUACCUGUCAUUCUCACACAAAUAAAUAUUAAAAAUCAUUCAUUUUUUUUCCUAUUUUUCACUUUUUUUAAGGAUUUGAUCAUGUGUUUGGUUUAGAUUAAAAAAUCAAUUAAUCUACAGUUUUUUCUUCUAUGCUAGAAGAUUAAACCUAAAUUUUUCUUCCCUACAACUCAAGAAUACACAAUUCACAAAAACCAUAAUACAAAGAUGUUGAAACAAUUAAUAUAAUGACAUUAAUAAAAGAAAAAAAAAUGAUAGAUCCAAGAGAUUUUGGGUUACCUGGGAGUCCACAAAGUGAAGAAUGUCGGUUGUGAGCGUGUUGACUAUGGGUGAGAGAAAAGGUUGAAGAAGAUCACGAUUUUAUAUAUAGGAUUUAUAUAUUGAGAUUUUUUGGAUUGUGGGUGAGAUAUGGAAACAAUGGGAAUUUUAUAUAGUAUCCAUCAUUAUUAAUUCUAAAAAUGGGUUAUAAUACUUAAAAAAAAUUAUUUUAUAUGAUGUCACUUCCCAAAAAAUGACACUAUAAAUAUAAAAUUAAUAUCAUCUAACUACCUCAAUUGAAGAUUUUUUAUAUGAUGUGUCACCUUUAUUAAUUAUAAAUCCUAUGGUGUCAUUAUUUUAAAAGUGACACCGUAAAUAGUAACACCAUAAACUAUUUUUGUAGUAGUGAAUGCGGUUGUGAUGAUUGCCAACAAUAAAUCUAAAGUGGACUAAUGAUGUGUAUAUCGACGAAGUUCCAUUCCUCAUAAAGUGAUCAAGCAGUGCAACUUGUGGCAAAUAAAUUUUUAAAGCCUCCAACUGUUUUAAGCUGCACACUUCCUUUACAAUAUCUUCCAUGGUUGCAUUCCAUCAUUCAUCAUCAGGGUUCACAUCUAUCGUUAACUCUUGCAAUUGAAACAAUCAUUGUAUCACAUUCCGAGGAAUGAGUGUAGAGGUUUGAUUUUUUCUGUAUCCAUGAAAUGACACGUUCAAGCAUUUCAACUUUGUCAGUCUGUCAACAUCUAUGGGUAGGUUUAUAAUUUUAGUGCCUUCAAGAUUGAGCACCUCAAGAUUCCCAAGUUUUCCAACUUCAGGUGGCAGCUCCAUUAAAAGUUCACAGCCUCUUAAUAGGAAAAUUCGAAGUUUGAAUAACUUAAAGAGAGAUUGUGGUAAAGAUUUGAUUCUAGUGUAGGACAUGUCUAGAAUUUGGAGGACAGGCAAACCUUCAAAGAAUAUCGGAGGAAUAGUUCUCAAAUGGUGAUUGGACUGCAAAAACAACACUUUGAGUUGUGAGCCAUGAGGACUUGUUGGUAGCUCCGAAAGUUUAUUAUUCAUCAAAUGCAUCUCACUGGCUUUUUCCCAUUCCUCAUCUUUUGGUGGUUCAGUUAGUCCUCAUCUACCUAGCCUACGAAAGGGUGAACAUGAUUCAAAUCUUAAGAAGUUUAAUAACUCCUCAUGAAUUUCCCUUCGCUUUCGCACAAAAUAAGAAUCUCCAUAUUGAAAACUCUCUAACAAGAAGGCAUUGACAAGAUCCCCCACAAUCUGUUUACCUUCAUCAAAUGUUCCUACUAAGCCGCUUGUUCUCCACUCUUCAAUCAAAUGCACUUCCUCCAUCUGUCCCCAAUUCUCCAUGUCAACAAAGUAUUGUACAUACUUGUUUGUCGAACCUGAACAACCCCACAUGAAUGCCAAUGCAUUAAAUAAGACUCUAUCUUUUGUCUGAGAUCUGUGUUGCAAGCCUAGUGUAUAAGAUGCAUAUUCCUAUAUCAAAACAUCAUUCAUGUCUUUCAAAGCUCUUGCCAUUAUAACAACAAGAAGUAAAUGGCCACAACACUUUUCAACCACAUUUAUGGCGAGGCGUUGGAUCCCUGAAGAAUGCACAACUUCCCCAACAUUCACACAGAACAAUUCCCAUGAUAACAGAUGAUUCUCCAUCAUGAUCUCUACACCCACUGCUGUUACAUGAUCAACAUUCUGAGAAUUAGUUGGUUAAAAAUUUAAACCAUAACAAGGAUAUCUUGAAAGACAUUAAAGCAUACAAUAAAAAUUAAGAAUUAAGAAAAGCUAACCUUGAUUAAUCCCAUAGAAAGCCAUUCCUGUGUUCUUCUGAUGUUCAAGGAUGCGUUCAAUUCGUGGAGAAGAGAAACCCCGGGUUCAAUUGGCUCUUCCCUUUCAACACCCAAAACAACUAUGUGCUCUGAAGAGUUCGUUCGUGCAGUACGUUCUCUUCUCAGUCCCAAAGAGAAAAACAGAACAGAAUGGGAUAGUCACCCUGCCUUUUUCCCUUAUAUAUAUAUAUAUAUAUAUAUAAUUCAUAUAUAUACACAUAUCACACAUACACAGUUUGGACCACUUGACUUAAUGGGCUAGUCAAGUGAAUUAGGGUGAGCCCAUAGAAAUCAAUCAAUAAUGUGUCCAGCCCCAUUAUGGACCACAAUACAAAAAUUAAAUUAACACUGAUUUAUGACAUUAUCAAAUUGAUUAUGUAAGUUCACACAUAAAAAAUCCAACAAUUCUCCCACUUAGACUACAUAAUCAAACAUCACAACAUAUACAUAAUCAUAAAUCAAUAUCCCAUAGAAUCUCAUCAAAAACAAAUAAUCAAAAGCAAUCAUAUAUGCUUCAUUGCUUGAUUCACAAGGAAAUAUACAAUAAUAGCAAUCCUUCCAACAAUAGCAUAAUAUUACAAUACCAGAAGUGGCUCCCACUAACUUAAUACAACCUAGGCUUCCAAUAACCCCAUUUGAGAUACAUGUUCUUGAAACACAACUAUGGGUAAGCCUUUUUUUAGUGGAUCCACCAACAUACUUUUUGUGGACAUGUGCUUAAUAUCAAUAAGAGACUCUGCCACUUUCUCCUUUACAAAAUAGAACUUUACAUCAAUAUGUUUGGAGCGAGAAAUACUCCUAGUGUUCUUAGAGAAAGCAACAGCUGCGAAAUUAUCACAAAAUAAUUUCAGCGGUCUAGAAAUGGAGUCAACAACUCCUAAAGUUGAAAUAAAAUUCCGCAUCCACAUAGCAUGACAACAAGCCUCAUAACAUGCCACAUACUCGGCCUCCAUAGUUGAGGAUGUUGUAAGUGUUUGCUUGACACUUUUCCAAGAUACAGCUCCUUCUGCCAUCAUAAAAAUAUAGCCCGUAGUAGAUUUCUUAUCAUCUAUGCAGCCAACAAAAUCAACAUCAUAAAACCUAACUACAUCAAGUAUGUUGGUGCGCCGAUAUGUCAACAUUAAGUCCUUAGUUCUUUGCAAAUACCUAAGGACAUUCUUAGCAGCUUUCCAAUGUUCAAUCCCAGGAUUGCUCAAGUACCUUCCCAACAUGCCCACAACAAAAGUAAUAUCAGGGCGUGUACAUACUUGAGCAUACAUAAGGCUGCCAACCAAAGAUGAAUAAGGAAUGGUUCUCAUUUCCUCUCUCUCAUCAUCAUCAUUUUGAGGACACUGAGCCUUUGAAAAUUUAUCACCCUUCACAAUUGGCGUUUUAGUAGAACUACAGUUGUGCAUAUUGAACCUCUUCAAUAUCUUCUCAAUAUAGGUUCUUUGAGACAAUUUAAGGACCCCAUUAGUCCUAUCAUGAAGAAUCUUUAUGCCUAAAACAUAAGAUGCCUCACCAAGAUCCUUCAUGUCAAAAUGGGUUGACAACAUGUGCUUUGUCUCAAUUAACAAGUCAGAAUCAUUUGAUGCGAGUAGUAUAUCAUCAACAUAUAAAACAAGAAAUGUGUAACUACUCCCACUAACCCUCAAAUAUAUGCAUCUGUCAACUGUAUUAUCUUUAAAACCAUUUUGGGUGAUAAUCCUAUCAAACUUCAGAUACCACUACCUUGAAGCCUGUUUAAGACCAUAAAUUGACUUAUUGAGCUUGCAAACUAAGUGUUCCUUUCCAACUUCUGUAAAACCAGUAGGCUGCUCCAUAUACACGUCCUCAUCCAGAUCACCAUUCAAGAAAGCUGUCUUGACAUCCAUCUGAUGUAGCUCCAAAUCAAAAUGAGCUACUAUGGACAUAAUCACUCUAAAAGAGUCCUUGGUCGACACAGGUGAGAAGGUUUCUUUAAAAUCAAUGCCUUCUCUUUGAUUAUAACCUUUAACCACAAGUCUAGUUUUAUAUCUCUCUAUUCGCCCACUAGAAUCAUGUUUGGUCUUAAAGACCCACUUGCACCCAACUGGUUUACAACCAUGUGGCAAUUCGACCAAAUCCCAAACACCAUUCAUAUACAUAGAAUUUAUUUCAUCAUCCAUGGCUUCUUUCCAAAAAGUGAAUUGAGGACAAUGAAUUGCUUCUUGAUAAGUGAUUGGAUUAGAAGCAUCAUAACCAUCAUACUCAUGUUCCUGCAAAUAAAUCAUGUAGUCAUCUAAAAUAGUCGGCCUACGAACCCUCUAUGAUUUUCUCGAAGGAAUCCCAUCAACAACAGUAUCAUCAACAACAUUAUCAUCAACAGGAAUGCCAUGUUCCACUUGAUUACCAUGCUCUCCUUGAUUAGUGGUUGAUUGUUGGUCAAUAGGAACAUCCACAUUUGGAACAUGAGAUGUAGGACAAGGAAUCACGACAUGCUCUUCUUCAAAAGGUAUCUCACGUGGUACAAAAUUUGGAUCAACAUUAACUUCAUCAUCAAAGUAUACAACCCUGUUUGACUCAAUGAUCCUGGUGGUAUGAGAUGGGCAAUAAAAUUUGAAACCCCUUGAUCCAAUGCAAUAACCAACAAAGAAACCAUUGAUGGUUUUAGGAUCAAGUUUCUUUGACUGUGGGUUAUAUGGCCUAACCUCAGCUUUACAUCCCCAAACAUGGAAAUGAUGAAGACUCGGUUUCUUCCCUGACCAUAGUUCAUAAGGUGUCUUAGGCACAAACUUACUGGGCACUUGAUUUAAAAUAUAUGCCACAGUCUUUAAGGCUUCACCCCACAAAAAUUCUGGUAAGGAGGAAUUAGACAACAUGCAUCUCACCAUAUCCAACAAUGUGCAAUUCCUUUUUUCUGCAACCCCAUUCUGUUGGGGAGUACCUGGCAUUGUAUAUCUAGCAUCAAUGUCGCAUUCCAACAAAAACUUAGCGAAUGGUCCAGGAUUCCGUCUAGUCUCAUCAUAUCUCCCAUAAUACUCACCACCUCUAUCAGACUUCACAACUUUAAUGGCCUUUCCCAAAUGCAACUCCACCUUAGCCUUAAAGACCUUAAACACAUUUAGGGAGUCAGAUUUCUCAUGGAUUAGUUCAGCAUAACCAUAUCUAGAGAAAUCAUCAAUAAAAGUGAUGAAAUAUUCAUAACCCCUUAAAGCAGUUGGUGUCAAAGGACCACAUAUAUCUGUGUGGAUCAAGUCUAAAGUACUGCCACACCUAUCAAUCUUCUCAUUUCUGGUCUUAGCUGUCAUCUUCCCCUUUAAGCAAACAACACAAGUCUUGAAGUCCGAGAAAUCAAGAUUAGAAAGCACAUCAUCUCUAACCAAUCUCUCUAAUCUUUGCCUAGAAAUAUGAACUAGGUGUUUGUGCCACAACAUAGAAGAACCCAAAUUCAUUCUAGCACGCUUGCAACCAACAACAGAAUUAACAGAAGAUGAAUCACACAAAGGACCAUGAUGCAGACUGAGACUGUAAAGAUUGCCAAACAAAACACCAUUGCCAAUUAAAACCAAGUUACUAAAAAUAUCCACUUUUCCACCUCCAAAGUGAAAAUAAUAACCAUGUCUAUCCAAAACAGAUACAGAAAUCAAAUUCCUCCUAAGUGAGGGUAUGUAAGCAACAUCGUGUAACAGUAAAAAGCUUUUGGUGGCCAAUCUCAAUUUAAUCAUGCCAAAAAAUUCUACUUUCACUUUGCUUCCAUUGCCCAUGUACACAAAUUCUUCAUGCUUUGACGACCUCCUUUUCUUUGUCAUCUCCUACAAAAAAUUAGUAACAUGAAUAGUAGCACUAGUAUCUAACCACCAAGAAUUGGCAUGAACAUCAACAAUAUUAGUCUCAAUCAUGUUUGCAUUCAAAUCAACCAUAACCACAAUUUUACCUUUCUUCUUCUCUAGCCAAUUUUUAAACUUGAAGCAAUCAACCCGCUUAUGCCCAACCUUAUGAAAAAAGUUGCACUUCCACUUGAAUUUCUCAUUCUUUGUACCAUUAGAUGAAACAGAUCCACUAGGGGCUCCUUGACUCGAAUUCUCUCUUCUCUUGAAUUGCUUAGAGCCUCUAGAAUUCUUGUGUGGAGGUUUUUUCUUCAUAUUGCUGCCAUGGUCAGUAACAAGAGCAAUGAGUGAGUCUCAUUUUUCUUUAGUGAGACUUCAUGUUGCACCACAAUGGAUAUCAACUCCUCCAAAGUCCAUUCUUCCUUCAAGGCAUUAUAGGUCAACUUCACUAGAUCAAAAGAAGUAGGAAGAGACUCAAGUAUCAGCCAUUUCAGGAAUUUCUCACUCAACUCCACUUUCAUCUCAUUUGCCUUGUUGAAAUAGUGCUUUAGUUUGAUAAUGUGAUCUCUAACCCCACUUACUCCAUCAUACACAAUGGUUGUGAGAAGCUUCAAGUAAGUUGUCAUUUAUGCCUUAUCAGUCUUGGUAUAAUUGGCCUUCACAUUUUCCAAAAAAACUUUGGCCCUUUCCAUCUUUGGCACACAUUCUUUAAUGGACUUAUCCAUAGUGUAUUUCAUCACCAUCAAACAACUCCUAUUAGAGUGCUCCUAUUUCUCAUAGAAGGAUCUUUCGUCUACAGAGCUCAAAUCAGUGGGCUUAUGAUUCAUGCCUAGCUGGUGUAUGCCCUGUUGAUUGGUGUUCAAUCAACUGGUGUGCUUUGAUUUCAGUCCUCAAACGGGAGUAAUCAACAAAAUUUAUAAACCUAUUUCACCAUAUACUAGGGUAGCAUUAGCUAGCAUAGCAUAGUGGCUCUAGGAUCGUCCAUGGAGAUGGGUUUUCAAAUUACAACUGAUAUUAGUUCAAAAACUAAAUUGGUGCAUUUUCUUUUCAAGGUUAGCUUUAAAAGAAAACAUAAGUACAUGUGAAAAUGUUAGUUUUAAGUGAAACCAAAAAUAAAGUAACUGAAAUUACUUACAAAGAAAAGUGCUUCUUAGAGUUUUAGAUCACUAGGCUUAGGUUCCUUAUACAAAAAGGGAGAUUCCGGUCACUUGGAUCUUUUCCUCGCAUUGGGGAUUUAGCUUAUAGUUAUUCCCUAAACCGGUGUGGUAUAGAUGCUUCCCCUUAAUGGUUUCAAACACUAAAUCCCUGUCAUUGAAUCAUCUUGCAAUGGUUCAUACCUUUCACCUGGUAUUGGCCAUUCAAGGUGAUCCUUAACCUUGGAUUACCCGUCAAAAGCUCGCAAGAGAUAACUAAUGGAUGUCUCUUGGGAGUCCAAAAGCUUACCAAGUGUUGGUUAUUCUAGAUAAUCCUACCUUUAAACCACCUCCCAGAGGCUCGCAAGAGAUAAACUAGUGGAUCUCAAUGGACGGAGUCCACUUGCCUUACCAAGUGUUGGCCCAAGUGAUUUUAAGGGAUUUUAAGUUAACUAAAAAGAUAAAAACCAUUGAUAAGUCAUACUUUCUCUUCAUUAAAAACUACAACAACGAAACUUCCACUUUUGUAUACGGAACCUUACCUAGCUUCCUUCACUCCAAGAAACAAAAAGCCUAGCCACUCAUCCUCUGGGAAAACAUCCUCAGAGUUUAAUUUGCUAGAAAUAAAAAUAAAAGAGAAAACAAAAUGAAAAGGUAAGGUAGAGCAGAGCUCUGUGUAUUACUUUCUGAAAAACUAUACAAAAGUUCGUCUCCGAGAAAAACUCCCCAGAGAUUUUUUAAAAAAAAAAAGAAAAUUACAAUAUAUAUUAUAUAGCGAGAGUAUUCACCCUUCCUGCUAACUUCCCAACCAAGAAAACUUGUGAUUAGUGGGUUACAAGGAGAAAAUAGGGAUUUACACACAAAUAUCUGAAGAUAAACAUCAAACGAAGUCGGGUGCUCACGAAUGCUUAAGAGUGGGAGUUUACUAAAGUGGAAUUUCUAUGGGAAUGACUUUCCAGGCACAAAUAUCUCAAAUUACAAGUGGAUUUCGUAAGUUCAAACGCAACUUGAGAAAAUUUCGCAAGUUGAAAUUGUCCAUUUCGCAAGUUGAAAUUAUGGUUUCGCAAGUUGUGAAAUUGUCCUGCAACUAAUCAGCUCUUUGUCCUGCAGCGAUUCCUUUCCUCUUCUUAUUUCGCAAGUUGCGAAAAUUUCGCAAGUUGGAUUCCACAACUUGAGAAAUUGCUGGAUGGUUGAUUUCUUCUGUGAUUUUCUUCCUUGCAUCCUCGUUUGGAUUUGGUAAAGGGUUAUGAAGCUCCAAAGCUUAGUUUCUUCAUGAAUUUGAGCUUCAACUUGCUUUGCCAUGAACUAUACAAAGAUCUCCCUCAUUCUUGGAUUGCUUUGGUGAUUAAAAAGUUAUGAAAAACACCAAAACUUAACACAAUUUGAUUAGAUACGAUUGCAAAGGUCCUUAACAUGCCAAUUGAGUUAAAAGGUAAUAACUACUACUCAAAAGUGUUUAAAAGAGUUAAUUACAAGCUAUAAAAUAGCACUUUUUGAGUAGUAAUCAGCUUACUUGGCUCAUCAACUCUCAAAGCCAAGUCCAGAUUGUACAGAGUCAUAUGCACAUUGAAAGACUCAAACCAUUCCUCAAAAUUAUUUCUUGCAAGAGGCUUGAUGGCAGACAAUUGCAUAGUAAUACCAGGAUUGCUAGUAGUUGGAAAAUAGCAAAAUCAAACAAUAUGCAUGUUACUACAAAAUCAUGCUAUUUGCUAGUUUCCAAAAUUACUUAAUUUACCAAUAGCUUGGAAUUUUGAAAAAUCCACAGCGGUAAGGAUAACUAAUUAAAUAUCACAACCAAGAUGCACUAAUUUUAUUACCGAAAAGGCAAAGAAAAUUAGUACGGUUCAUAAUAUAUAAUUAAUUUCCUUCACCAAUCUAAGCAUCCUACCAAGUAUUAUAAUCAUCGAUAGGACAAUUACAAUACCCGUAUAGACCUUAGUAAUCACAAUAAUAAAACAACCAAAAUGUGGAAGAUUAAAUACCUCAACAAAGACAAUUUGACACAUAUAGGAUCACGAUAGGUAACCACAUAUAUGUUCACUAUUAUCAUGAUGAAUUCAAAAUAUCUCAAUUUGCACAACUUGACACACUUAGAAUUGUGAUAGGCAAUCACACAAGUGUUUUUCAAUGUCAUAAUAAAUUAAGAUAUUCAACAAAAUAGCUUAGGAUAACAUUAUUGGUAUAACACAAAAAUUAUACCCAAAAGAACAAUAAUAAUAAAAAUAAUUGUCCCAAUAAAGCCAAAUUUCAUACAUGCAUAAUAAUUACAACAUAUGUAUUAUCAUUCCAAGAAUGCCAAGACAAGCAAAAAAAAAAUGUUUUUUUUAAAUAUAUGAUGUCAUGAUGACGUCAUCAUCUUCUCUAUGGGUUGAACAACCCUGGUUCUGGCUGUACAGAUCUAGAAAAGAAAAAAAAAAGUAAUUUUUUGGCCAAAAAAUUAUGUAAUUUCUGACGCAAACAACUGAUUUUCCAUCUUCAAACAUUAAUCCAUCAAUCUUGACAAAAAUUUGCACAAAAACGCAUAACCGAAGAGACAUAAGAAACCCUAGUUUUUCGAAAUCCCAUCAAUUGAGUUCCAAAAACAAAAAAAAAAAAAAAAAAAUGAUGGGUUUUCCUCCAAAAGGUAUUUUCUACAAGUCUCCAACAUCAAUUUUGCUUCAAAAUGGAGAAUCAACAUCAAAUGAAAAAAGCCCCAAAAAUUGGCUUCGGGAAAACCUUGAUUAAUCCAAAAAAAAAUUGUAGCUUAAAUGUCAUCCAUGGUUGCUCUGAUACCAAUUGUUGAAAAAUUUAAACCAUAACCAGGAUAUCAUGAAAGACAUUAAAGCAUACAAUAAAAAUUAGGAAUUAAGAAAAGCUGACCUUGAUUAAUCCCAUAGAAAGCCAUUCUUGUGUUCUUCUGAUGUUCAAGGAUGCGUUCAAUUCGUGGAGGAGAGAAACCCCGGGAUCAAUUGGCUAUUCCCUUUCAACACCCAAAACAACUGUGUGCUCUGAAGAGUUCGUUCGUGCAGUACGUUCUCUUCUCAGUCCCAAAGAGAAAAACAGAACAUAAUAGAAUAGCCACCCUGCCUAUUUCUCUGUGAUAUAUAUUACAUAUCACACAUACAUAGUUUGGACUACUUGACUUAAUGGGCCAGUCAAGUGAAUUAGGGUGGGCCUAUAGAAAUCAAUCAAUAAUGUGUCCAGCCCCAUUAUGGACCACAAUACAAAAAUUAAAUUAACACUGAUUUAUGACAUUAUCAAAUUGAUUAUGUAAGUCCACACAUAAAAAAAUCCAACAUUAGUUGUAUAAACUAUCUUUUGAAUUUUCUUUGAGCUCCACCAGUUGGUCCCCAUGUCAUAAAGAUUUACCCUUUCACCAACCUCAUGAAGAAGGAUGAAGAAGUUUGUGCAUUUCAGUGUUUCAUCUAAUUUCCGUUCUCCUGAUGUGGAGGGAAACAACUCCCGUUCAAUUGAAAAUCUAAUCUCUUUAAUGGUGGAACAUCUUGAGACAUCAACAUCAAUGACAUGAUCAAAUAUACAACAUUCUUGUAGUUCGUCCCACAAUUCUGACAUAACUGUUUCUCCAUGGCUUCCUAAAAUCCUAAUCUUUCGAAUUUUAGGGCAUUCUAUAUGUUGUAAAAUUUCACAAAUAGCAAAGUCCACUGCCAAAUCAUAUAUUUUUUUUGGCGUAGGCAUUAUUUGGUCAUGUCUUUCUACAUCAAUCCCGUUAAAGCUCUUCGCAAUCACAACUUGGGAAAAUAAAAGUUGAAUUUCAUCCAUGUAACGAGUCAUCAGUGUACUGAUUCGAUUCUCUAACUUAAAAACAUCGAUCUCUUUCUUCUUUGAAGGUGCUUCCAUUUUUCUCACCACAUCAUUGAUCUUCAAAA